AUGAAUCUGUAUAUUAAAUUGUCAGUUUGUGUACCUCGGCUGAUUCCUGGACGAGGAUUUUAUGCACAAAUAAGUUCGGAAAUUACUAGUGAAUUUCCGGGCGUGACAAGUUGGUAUCAGAGCCAUCUCGACUGUAGGAUAAGCCAAAUGGUCAAACCUUAAGGACUAAUUUUCCGAAAACAUGAUUUGUGAAAAUUUCUCCUUUCUUCCUUAUCUAGAAUUCUUUGCAAAUUGUUUCAUUGUCUACUCCCCUCUCUCUUUCAACCUGAGUAGUUCUGAAACUAGUUGUUGAAAUUAGAAGAUGCUGAUGUGGUCAACUUAUGGAGGUCAGUCAAGUGGAUCGAGGAAGGACCGAAGUGCCAAGUGGUCAAGAUGGAAUGAAGUUUGGAUCCUAUCUUAGAACCUAUGCCGCCAAACUAACCUUGAAGAAUAGUUAGUAGGGUAGAACGCUUGUUGCUUGCUUGUGUGUAGGUAUGGUUGCAUUCCCGUCAUUGGUGUGAUUCAAUGAUGAGUGUGUAACGAUACUAGGUUGCUUGCUUAAUCAACUUAAACAAUAUAAUGAACUACACACACCAGAUCAGUGGUAACCUGGUUAAGGUCUUAACUUUAGCGUAACCCCUCUCCUCCUAUCUUCUCUAAUCUGCAACAGAUGGUGAACACUCGCGCUAGUGGAAGUGGAAACAAUAACAAUGAAGGGAACCCAACUCUUGCUCAAGUUCUGGCUCAACAGACUCAGUUAAUGAACAUGAUGAUACAACAGAUGCAGAACCAGCUCAACCAAGGGAACAACAAUGCUCCACCGCCGCCGAACAAGUUAACUGAUUUUCUUCGUGUGAGGCCGCCUACCUUUUCUAGCACUACCAACCCAGUAGAAGCAGGUGAUUGGCUGCAUGCCAUAGAGAAGAAGUUGGAAUUACUCCAGUGCACAGAUCAGGAGAAAGUCGUGUUCGCUUCACAUCAGUUGCAAGGACCUGCAUCAGAAUGGUGGGAUCAUUUCCGGAUGAACAGAGCAGAAGGACAACCAAUCACUUGGGCGGAGUUCACGGAAGCAUUCAAGAAGACACACAUACCUGCAGGUGUUGUUGCUUUGAAGAAGCGUGAGUUCCGGGCACUUAAGCAAAAGGAUCGUACCGUGACGGAAUAUCUUCAUGAGUUCAAUCGUCUGGCAUGUUAUGCUCCAGAAGACGUGCGUACUGACGAGGAAAGGCAGGAGAAGUUCUUGGAAGGCUUAAAGGAUGAACUGUCAGUUACGUUGAUCUCUCAUGACUAUGCUGAUUUUCAGCAGCUGGUUGACAAAGCAAUUCGACUUGAAGACAAGAAGAACAGGAUGGAUAACCGUAAAAGGAAAAUGAUUGUAUUCCAGGAGGCACAAGGUAGUAGCCAGAGGCAGCGUAUCAAGCCACUCCAAAUUGGUGAAUCUUCUUCCGCUGGACAAGGACAGUCACAGCAGUUGAACAUCGGUGGUGAGAUCAAAUUAGAGACUAAUGAAAGCAAUGAACUUAACAUCGAGCAAGCUAAUCAGCCGGUGCCAGUUCAGCAGGAUCAGUCUCAGGAGAAUAACAGUAGUGGAAGGGAGCAGCAGGUAUGUUUCAACUGUUACAAGCCAGGCCACUUUGCAAGAGAGUGUCCGAAGCCGAAGCAUCAGCAGCCGCAAGGUCAAGUCAACUACAUUGUCGUCACAGGAGCCAAUGCAGUGCCAGUUGCGUCUUCAAGAGUUGUGUCUUCAAGUGUUGCAGCUCAGCCACCAGUUUCAAAGCAGCAGUAGUUUUCUUUAAAGCCUUAGAAUAAUUAUCAGAGUUAUGGAAUAAGAUAGACUGCAGUUUACCUAUUCCCUUUCUAGCCGUUCCGAAUCUCGGGACGAGAUUCUUUGUAAGGGGGGUAGUUUGUCACAUCCUGAUUUUUGUUUCAGGAUUUAUAAAUUAUUUAAUAAAUUAAUAAUAGAAUUUAUAUUAAAUGAUCUUUAAUUUACAAGUGAAGUAAAUGUGGGAAAUAAAAUUUCCUAAAUCUAAAGCAUGGAUGGAUUUAAUUUUUUAUUAAAUUCUCCAUGUUUAAGUCAACUCUCUGAAAUUUUCUCGGAUUUUUUUUCGGAGCUCAAUUCUUAAAUGAUACAAAGAACAGUUCAGUAAUUAUUUGAUCAUUAAUGAUCUAAUUAUUAUUUGUUAAGAGUUUUUCUUGUUUAAAAAUCCUUAAAUUAUAAAUUGUUGUUUAAAAGGAAUUAUUAGAAAUGAUUUUAAAAGCCUAAAAGAGAAGAUCUAAUUUUAAUUUGUUAAAUCUCAACAUAAAAUUGGGCUAGAUAAAAUUUUGUUAAAUACUUUGCUUAAUUCUAUAAUUCCUAGAUUUUUCUGGGAUUUAUUUGAGCUAAGGAAGUAUUUUUAAUAAAUGGAAUUGCAUUUCAUGAAUAAUUUAAAUUGAAAAAGGUCUUAAAAGUUCUCUUUUGGCUUUGGGCCGAAAGCCGGCCCAAAACCCUCUCUCUCUCUUUCCCUUGGCCCAGUCCGGCCCAAUCCGCCGAGCCGCCGCUCUCCUCUCUCUCUCAGCCGCUGACAGGUGGGGCCCGUGUGUCGGAGCCGUCUUCCUCCUCGCGCCGCCGCCGCUCGAAACCCUAGCGCGCCGCCGCCGCCGUUCCUUUCCAAAUCCGGCCGUUUCUUUCCGUUUCCGGUGAAAUUAAUUGAGGGGAAACAAUCUUUGGGAUCUUCUCUACCUUUUCUCCUUUGGAAACAUCGGCUAAAUCGGUUUGGAAUGUGUUUGAUUCGAGUUCGAAUCGGAUCGGCUUUUCUCCCUCCAACCCGACCUUUCCUUCUCGCCGCCGGUCGCCGUGGGCCUCCGUCGCCGCUCGCUAGCGCCUUUAAAAGGACCCCCGAGCUCCCCUCUACCCGUCGCCUCCUUUGCCUUAGCCUGCCGUCGCGUCUAGCGCCGCCUCCGCGUAGCCCUAGUCGCCGCCGUCGUUGCCGUCGGUUCAGCCGCGUCGCGCCGCCGUUGCAGUCGCCGUCGUCGGUCGCCGUCGCCACCUUCGGGUUCGCAAGGUCGUCGCCGUCCCCGUCCACCGCUUCGCCGCCGCCGAAGACCGCCGGAGCGCCGUCGCCGUCAUCGACUCGAUCUCCGCCGCCGCUUCUUCCUCGUCGCCGGCGCUGUCCGUUGUUCCUCCGCCGCUUCUUUGGUCAUCGGUGAGUUCGCCGCGUCGCCCUCUACCCGUUGGUGCCCUCCGUUCGCGUCGCCGCGCCGUCGUUCGCCGGCGAGCAUGCGAUGCCGAGCCGCCCGAGUCGCCGCCGGUGCUGCCGUCAUCGCUGACGUCAUCGGGGUCGUCCGCCGUGAGCCGGUCGUGGACCGAUCGAUCUCAGCCGUCCGUUUUGGAUAGGGUUGAUCUCGGCCGUCCGUUCGCGUGAACCGUCGCCCGUGCGCCCGGUCCACCGAAACCCUAGCCGCUGACGCAAUAAUCCUUCUUUUCCUUUUCAAAAAUAAUUCAUUAUUGCGUCAUAAUUCAAUUAAAAUCAAUUUAAGUGUUUUUAAUCCGAUUUAAUCUUUAAAAAUUCAUAACUAAUUCAUCUUAACUCAGUUUAAUGUGGUUCAAGUUGCAAAAAUUAUAUAAAAUAAAGAUCUACAUAUUAAAAUUGUCCAUAAAUUGAAUUAAAUUUAUUUAAUUCUUUUUAAAUGGGCUUUAAUUAGAUUUAAUCUUGUAAAAUUCAUAAUAAAUUCUUUUGAAGUCAGAAUGAGGCCGUUCAAGUCUCAUAAUUCAUCUAAAAUUUUGAUCUACAUGUUUGUUUACUUUUUAUGUAUUGUUUAUUUGGUUUUUAUUAGUCUUUUUCUUCGUUUUGCAUGUUAGCUUGUCGUUUCCGUCGUUGCGAAGGUUCGCGAGUGCGCCGGAAGUAUUCAAGAAGAUUAAUUGAAGACCGAUUAUUGCAAGGCAAGUCACACAGAUCCUAAACACAAUCCUUUGAGCAUGUUGAUCCUAUAUUUAAAUUCUCUAUUUAUUUCAACUGUGCAUAUAUUUUCGAAUGUCACUGGGUGGUGUGAACCUAUUCCUUUGUUAUGGCCUGUUUGCAUUGAUUACUUUAUUCCUUGAUACCUUGGGUGAUUAUAACUUGACUAGUUGAGCUAUAUAUAUUGGUUCAGCUAGAUAUUAGACGUGAUUGCUUAGCCAUGCUUAGAAACAUUAGCACACAAUUGGGAUAACUAAUGUUUCACUAUCACUUAUGGUUAUAUUUAAUGAUAGUUCACGAUGGUCAAUCGUGAUUGGGUAAUUAAUUACUUGCCAACUAAAACUUGAUAAUGGUGGGUUGUGAGCACAUGGUUUUGAGAGUCGUGCUCAUGACAAUUAAGGACCGGUUCGCGAGCUACUGUUGUGAAACAUUAACCGUGCCAACCACAAGCCAGCGUGGGCAACGGCUUUACCUUUUGUAUAGCAUGAUUCAUUGCGGAGCACCAGACUGAGAAGUGGCGGAGAUAAGCCCACGGGGGUCGCUGGGGAGUCCAUGCCUUGUUUUAUAAGGGGGUGAUUAUGAUCCAGGAAUGGUGCACUGUGGUGAGUUGUGUUGUACAAAGGGUAUUGUCACAGCCUCUAUUCGGGUACUUUCCAGUAUCGCGACGCAUGGUAGACAUGAUGUUGAGGCUGUGUCUUGUGGGUACAGUGGUACACCUCUGGCCAGAGUAAAACUAUUCGAAUAGCCGUGCCCGCGGUUAUGGGUGAGUUGAGCAAUGUUUUUCGUGAUUAGUCUCACACCUCUCACAAUGAUUAAUGAUGUUAUAACUGGUAAUAAUUUGCUUAGCUCCUGGUUUGGAAUGGAUAAUUCCUGGUUUGGAGAUUAGAUCUGUACAGCCGGGUAUGGUUGUUCAGGAUGGUCGGGCCUGUGCAGCAUGGGUGUGCUGUUCAGUGUUGAUUAAAAUUUCUGAUUAACUACUCUACUGUUUUACUUCUCUUAAAUGUUUUGCUAAAUGCUGCUUUCGCAAAUGAGCCUAUGCUACGCCAUCCUUUGGUAUCCUUGUGCACUUGCAUAUUUGCUGUGUGGCUUGCUGAGUAUGUCAUAUGCUCACCUUGCAAUAAUCAAUCAACCUCAGUUGAAGAAAAGGAUCCAGAAGGAGAAGACGUUUGGCUUAUACCCCAGUUGAGCUGCCUGUGGGAGUGGAGCCGGAGCUUCGCUAGAUUUUAUUUUCCGCUGCAGUUUUCUUCUUGGUGAGGACUAAGUUCCUCUUAAGUAAGUAUUUAUCGUUUUAGUUAAUUUGAUGAAUCUGUAUAUUAAAUUGUCAGUUUGUGUACCUCGGCUGAUUCCUGGACGAGGAUUUUAUGCACAAAUAAGUUCGGAAAUUACUAGUGAAUUUCCGGGCGUGACACCCCUUUAGUUAGCUAAUGUUUCUAAGCAUGGCUAAGCAAACUUACAUAUAGCAUUUAGCUGAACCAAUCCAAUAUAUAAGGUUCAUGCUAAUCAAUUUAUAACCCAUAGGAAAAUAAAGUCAUCUUCGGCCAAUAAUUAAUUGGGAAAGGUUCACCACCCGAUGACAUUCGAAAACAAUGCACAGUUGAAAUAAAAUAAUAGCUUUAAACGGGUUCAACAUGCUCAAAGGGUUGUUUGGGAUCUGUGUGACUUGCCUUGGGCUUCCGCAAACGCUUCGGAACCUUCCUCAACGGAAACGCUCUCCUCCGGAACGUCGGAAACUAAAGCAAUUAAACAAAAUCAACAAAACAGUACAAAAACAAGCAUAAACAGUACAUGUGGAUAUUUUUAGCAUGUAGAUCUUGAUUUUAGAAGAAUUUAGCAACUUGAACCACCUAAAACGGAUCUACGGUUAUUUAAUUAUGAUUUUCCGAAGUUUUAAUCUAUUAGAAAAUUGGAAAAAAGAAAAGAGAAAGGAGAUGAUGACGUCAUGCUGACGUCAGCCCUGGAGGCCGGCUAGGGCUUGCGAGCUCGCCGGAGAUAGGACGGUCGGCCGGGGAUUUGGAGAACAUCUAUGCGUUGUCGCGACCGGGAAAAUUGCCUUUUCCCGAACGCUAGUGUAUUAAUCCCCGUCCCAGGAAAAGCCGGGGUACACCACACAAACAUGAUAUAAAAGACACAUCUUUAUUAUAUCGAUAAUAUUUACAUUAUUACAAAGGCACUUCAGGCCUGACAAGCAAAAAUAAACAGCAGCGGACUAGCGGCCUACGGCUCCAUCUUCACAGGCGCUCAACUGGGGUAUAAGCCAGGACUCCACCUAAGACAUCUUCUCCAAAGCUUCUCUUACUGAAGGGGGGAAAGAUUGAGCAAGAAUGAGUACAACCACAGUACUCAGCAAGCCACACCGGAGAUGCAUAAUUAAUGCAAGGGAGGUACAAGGGAAUAAUAAUAUAGGGAUUAAGUUUUGCAGUAAACAGCGUUUAAAAGCCACUUAGUUGCCCAAAGCCAUUUUGUAAAGACGAUCCUAGAGCUACACAGUAUUAUUAAACAAGGCCGUGAACCCUCACGAACCUGCCUUAACCCAAGGCCUGCGAUGAUUCGGACCGAACUGGCAACCCGACCUGGGUCCCAGCUCGUCCCAAGCCAACCCAGGCCAACCAUUCCAUAUUUUAGUUGUUGAGCAAAUUUUAAGAAUUAAAACACUGACUUGGGUACAUUGCUCGGCUUGCCCAUAUCCGAGGGCUCGGCUAUUCGAAUAGAUUUACUCUGAUCAGAGGUGUACAUCUUUACCCACAAGACACAUCUUUACUCCGCAUUCCAUGGCCUUGGAACCCGUCGUAAAGAUGUGACAUAACCCUUCACCCAUCCUAGCCGUGAACAAAAGUACCGACCCAAUCCCACCUACGGCCGGGAUACCCGGGACAGGCAGGCAGAACUGAGCCCCUAGCAGCAGGGCACCAACCCUCUGCCGUAUGACAUCUCGACUACCGGGCCGCAGCUCGUGUAGCCUUCAUUUGCCCUGGAGAAUGUCCAUCGACGCCCGACUUCAUCCAUCUCCAAUCCGUGUCCUUUUGUUCAGGACUAGACUGAGCACCGAGUUAAGCCUUACCCAUUAGACAUGUGGUUAGUACGGUAGUGCUUUGCAACAGAGGCCCGAGCUUAAUCCUUAUAGUGGCCGGGGUGCUACUUCCCAUAACUGGCAUGCACCCAAACCCCACCGAAAACAGGUUUUAGCGGUUUUGAAAGAGGAAGAGAGAUGUAUGUCCAAUUCCACCAUAAACCAAUAAUUCCAUAGUGUCCAAAUGAGAUGAGAAUUCCCAAAGUCUAAAGUUAUAAAACCACCUAAUAUUGCCUAAUUAAUCAGCGAAGCAUCUACCUAAAUUCAUACUAGUGGAACCAUGAAUGGAAUACCCACUAGUUGGGGUUUUGUUUAUCCUAGGGUGAACAAGGUAAUAAUAACAAUAGCAAUAAUAGUAAGGUUAUAACAAAGGUAAAUAGGCAUGGCUAAAUAAAACAGUGAUAACGCGGGAAUUUAAAUAAAGCGAUAAUGCAUUGAUUUAAAUUAAAAUAAUUUUAUAAACUGGGAUUCAAUAUGCUCAAGGAUGAUGUGACUUGCCUUGCUCAGAGAGAACGGCCUUCCGAACCUUCGGCGACGACCACGAACCACGCUUCGGGAACCUCCGGAACGACGAAAGCUACGCGAAGCACACAAGCAAAGCUACAAGCCUAUAAAGAAGCAAUAACAAUACAUAAAAAGAAAGCACAGGGUUCUUUAGGUUAUAGCAAACAUUAGGAGACUUGAACGGGUCGAUUCAGAGUUCGUAUGACCAAGAUAUGAUCAUCCGAAGUUUAAUGCUGUUAUAUGGAGAUUUGCGGAUUAUUAUAAUCAAGCUUUGCAAUUAUAAAACAUGUGUAAGCGCUAGCCUGGAAAAGACAGGAAGGCUGCGCUGUUGACAUGCGGACCCCACAUGUCAACCUAAAGGACCGCGGUAGACCGAGUACACAGAGUCGGUCCACGGGUCGACGGAAGCGGAUCCCGUGUGUCAACCGAGGCGAGUGACCGACAAACGGACUCCGCUAGACACCACACGGCCUGCACACGUGGAAACCACGCGGCUACCGAGCGGACACACUAACACGGUCACCACGCGCACAAGCGAACGACUGCCGAUGCCGAUACACGGGUACCGGGGCCGACAACCGCACAACGGGCACGGGCGACACCGAAAGGACGAGGACAGGGCAGCGAGGGAGAGGGAACCUUACCACCACGCGACGAGGCGUGGGAACGACAACGACGAACGGGCGCGGCGGAGACAGACGGGCACAACGGAGACGAACAGCGAGGGGACGGCUUCGGCGGCGAUCCUUGGACGAAGGCGAGACGCGGCCGGCGCGAGGCUUGACGACGCGGAGCCGAGGACGAAGACGAGGACGGGGCUGCAGCGGCACACUUGACGGACGCGGACGAGACGGACGAGAACGGCCUGACGGAGGGACGAACGCCACGACGACCGGGAACGACGAGAGGACGACGACGACGACGACGACCGGGACCGGCGAGGAGGCGACGAGGACAGCCAGCAGCGGCUGCACGGAGACGAGGACGACGUGGGACACGCCGCUGCGAUGACGACGACGGAGGCGGCGCCGCGAGACGACGAGCCGGGCGACCGACGGGACGUCGACGACGAGAACGAUCGGAGACGACGAUGAUGGACCGCGGAGGGGUUUGGAUGGAGGGGAAACGAUGCCGAGGACGGCCUUGCCGCUGCGAUGCCGGAGGUGGUAGUGGUGCAGCAAGCCGACGAGCCGGGGAGGAGGAAGGGGCGGCCGAAAGGACGCCGGCGACGAAGAGGAUGGAGAGACCGGCGCGGCGACGGCGUUCCGGCGAAAACCGAGGAGCAGCCGGUGUGGAGGGCGAUGCGGCGACGCCGAGGGAGGAGACGGUGACGUCGGCCGACGCUCAGGCGAGGCGACCGGGACGGCUGGAGAUGGUGGAGUGGUGGCGACACCACUAGUCGUCGGUGAGGACGCGUCUCCGGUGAUUUCCCCGCGAAACGGAGGCGAAGCCGGGAAAGAGGAGGCAGCUGCGAGGCCGAGGGAGAAGACGGCGCGGCCGGGCGGCGCUCGGGCGAGGAGAGGAAGGCGGCUGGAGGUGGCCGGCGCGAAGGAAAGAGGAGGGUGACGGCGGGAACGUAGUUCCGGGGGUCUCCUCGCGAAACGGAGGGCAGGCCGGCGUGGAGGAGGUGGCGGCGACGCUGGAGGAGGCGAUGGCGCGGCCGGCCGGUGCGCGGGCGAGGCGGCACAGGCGGCUGGAGGCGGCCGGCAACGUCGGAGAGAGAGGAGGGCGGCGGGGAGGUGGCUAGGGACCACGGGAGAGCUUGGGAUGGGGCUAAAACGAGAGAACGGGGGAUGAGGAUCCCAUUUUAUAGGAUGGGGGAGGGAGCCGGCCACGGGAGGAGCGGGAACGGCGACGGGAAUGGCGGCCGGCGGCAAAGGAAGGCGGCCGGACUUGGCGCGUCCGUUCCCGGCGAUUGGGGGCGCCAUCCAAGGGGGAAUUAAGGGGGAAAUGAAGAGGAUUCAAUGGGGUUUAAUUUCCCCUAAUCAAUUUUGGAAUUAACCGAGUGAAUCAAGCGGAUUUGAGGGAGGAUUGGCGCUAGGGUUCACGGGAGAGGGAGAGAGGACGGCCGGGCGGGAGGAAGGGGACGACGCCCGGCCUGGCGCGUGGGACCCACCGGUCAGGCGGCGGCGUCAGCGCGCGCACGCGCGCCGCACGGGCGGGGGCGCGGCUAGGGCAGGGCGGCUUGGGCCGGGCGGCCGGCCCAGGAAGAGAGGAGGGGAAGGCGGCAUGGGCCGAGCAGGCCGGGAGGGAAGAGGGGGGGGGAAAAAGGCAGCCCGGGAGAGAGGGAGGAGGGAGCUGGGCCGAGAGGGGGAGAGGCCCAAGAGGAGGAGGGAGAGAAGGAGAGGGAGAGAAAGAGAGGGAGGAAAGGGAGACUUUGGGCUGGGCUUGGCCCAAAGGAGGAAGAGGAUUAUUUUUAGGUUUUUCUUUUUAAUAAACUUUGUUAAUUGUUGUUGUUGUUUAAUAAUUAUUUCCGGUGCUCUGAAAAUUCAAGUAAAAUUUGAGGGCUCCUUUUUAGACCAAGGAGAAUUUAACAAAAAUUCUCCGGGCCACAUUUGAAUUUUUCUUGCACGUAUUUUAGUGUUUGCCAAUUUCUUUUCGAAUUUUAAUUAAUUCUAUUAUUCCUUUUAGCGAAUGAUUUUUAUUUCGGGAUGAAUUUAUCAGGACGUGACAAAUCCACCCCCCUUACAAGAAUCUCGUCCCCGAGAUUCGAGGAGGCUAGCAAGAAGAUAGGUUGGGCGGUCUUCUCUUCUUGUCUGACUUCUUCCGCUCCGUCUUCUAUAACAAACUUGCCUAACAAAACUUCUUCACUCUGGACUGCUUGGCUCGAUCUCCUGUUGCAGAUGGAAUCUUCUCUUCACCUGACUUGUCCCUGGUUGAACCUUUAGCUGACUUCGACUGGGUUGCGGCACUUGAAGAUGGGGCUUCAGUUCCAGAACUUCGCAUAGUUCAUAUCUUUGGGGUCAACCUCAUACAAGUUACCACUUCAUGUUAUGCGUCGAUAUCAGCUUGUCAUUACUAGGAUACCAUGCUUGUUAUUUACUUCUAACUUACCACUAUUCACUUCAUGUUGUCCUCAGUUAGCAUUCAGCGUAUUCCUUUACACCUUUGACCUUGAUGUGUUCUUUCCCGAUUUCUCUUAUCAAUCACCUUUCGACCUACUUCUUUGCCUGGUAAUAAACAUCUUUUUCGAUAUCUUCUAUCAGUCAUCUUUUGACCUUUGUCACUAAGUACUCUUCACUCCGAGAGUUGUGGAUGCUUCUGGUGGCGAUGAGGUCCUUUGGUCUGCUACCUUUCAGUGAAACCUUGAAGUGUUUCGCCAAAAGCUAUACGGACUGUCAUUGCCUUUGAUCCGAAAAAGACACAUCUGAAACUCUUAGUCCAAACAAAUGUCUCUUGGGUUAAUCACUUGAUUUGCUUCGCCAUCAAUCGCUAGGUUAUUUGAUUCAUAAUAGAUUAUGAGCUUACGGAAAUGAGACCCUAGGUCUCCCUAAUCAGCAACAAAAUGUACACAACUCACAGCACUUGCAAUCCUAACAUGGAUCCCUCAAUAAACUUAUCAAGCUCAUUCAUUAUCUCAUGUUUCUCUGUUAUUACAUGAUUGACGGGGAACAACUAUAAAACAUAAGUAUAUGAUUACUGAUAUAAGAGUAUUAUGGUUGCUUCUGACUAGCGCUAGGCUUAACAGGUACUGCAUUUGCUCCAGUGACCACUUGGCGAUUGGCACGUCUGCUUCCUUAACAGGUACUACCGUUGUAAAUAACUUUCUUACGCUUGGGUUCUUCAUCCUGUACUUGAUUUCUUGGCUGCUGUGCUGGAACAUCCAAAGGUACAAUGCCGAUACUGGCCUCUGUCUUGUCAACUGAUGGCUGGGGCUGAAAUUGAGCAUUGACACCUUGUGGUAAUGCACUCGCUGGAGUUGGAGCUGUUGCAACGCGGGCUAUAGGACUGCUUCGGGAUGCAUGGAUGACAAUUCGUUGAGGAGCAAGCUUCUGAUUGCAGGGAGUUGCGUGGACUGACGUGCUGGCAGCUAUGUUUCUCGGUUUUGGGCACUUGUCGGCGAAAUGACCCAUUCCUUGACAAUUGAAGCAACAGAUGUCUUCCCGGACUCGGCAUUUUCUUUUCUCAUUUCGAUUCCUCUGUCCUGGCACUGGAGUUAGGCUGAAACUGUAAUCUUGGCGAGGAUUGGUGUUGCCUUGAUGCUUCUCUCCGUUGGAACUGGCGGGUUGGUUAGCCAUCUUCUUCGUCAGCAGAAAACUGAAUUGACAAUCUUUUGGUACAUGAUCAGUUCCUUCACAAAAGAAACAAGUGAUCCUGCUCGUUGGACACCUGUCGGGUGGAUGGUCUUCCUCACAAUGAACGCAUAUAGUGGCACACGAGCUGGCGACAUGACCGAUUUCUCCACAACGAGAGCAUGCCUUACGUUCCAUUUCAUCUUCAUCAUCUGACGAGACUUGAUCUGAAUCUUCACUAUCAGACACUCUACCUCCAUUAGCUAAAAGAUGCUCUGUCAACCGUGGUGCACUUCGGAAGGUAUUUCUUCUCUGACGUCUUGUCAUUCCUGGUGGAGGCCAUUCUGUGCUGGUAAUGAUCAUCUUACGGACUUCAUCUUCGGUUCGCAUUGGUGUUUUUCUUUUCUGCUGAGGACGCUCCCUUGCAUAGUGCACUUGCUCAUCACACGUAAAGCAAAUGUUACUUGCUUCUUUUAGGUCAACAGGUGGCACGUCAUCAUGGGUCCUUCGGGAUGCUGGCGGCAUGCUGACUUGUGGGGUGAGUGCUUGGACUGCCUCCAACUGCACUUGAGGUUGUAUUUGACUCAGGUUCAGAAUUGGCGUCUGAUGCUGCUGUAGUAUCUCUAUAAGCAAUCGGUUCUGGUUAAUCAGGUGUUGGACCAGUGUCACACAACUGGUGUCUGGUGCUUCAUUCACUCGGGAGCUUGAGGUACCAAUGUCCUGACUUCUGACCUUAUUGCCUUUCUCAUUGUCAGCCAUCUGUUGCAAAGGUUUGGAGAGGGAGAGAGGGAAAACAAAGGGGAGAGACAGAUUAGAAACUAAGGAUAGGACCUUAAAGGAACUAACUCUUCUUGCUGAUGUGUUGUUUGUUUCACUUAUUCUGCAGGUUGAUUAAGCAAACAACCUAGCAUGGUUACAUCACCACCCACCGAUGCAAACCACGCGCUACACACACAAGCAAGGAACACACGACUAACAACACUACCCUAUAGGGCGGCUUAGGUUCUGCGACGGGUUUUCCAAGAUCUUCACUCCUGCUUCACAUCUGGCUUCACUGCUUCCUUUACUUCGCUAGCGGAUCCUGCAGUCUUCCGGAGCUUCGGCAAACAAUUGGCGAUAUCUUCUUCUUCGCAAAGCUGACCAUCUAGUACUAGUUGAAAUUUGAAGAAGGAAGAAAAGGGAGUAAACCUUUUGCAAAUAGCAUUAGGGGAAGGAGAAAAAGAGGAACUUUCGCAAAUAGUUUUAUUUAUAAAAUAUGUCCUUAGGUUUUAUCCACUUGGCUUAUCCUACAGUCGAGAUGGCUCUGAUACCAGCUUGUCACGACCGGGAAAAUUGCCUUUUCCCGAACGCUAGUGUAUUAAUCCCCGUCCCAGGAAAAGCCGGGGUACACCACACAAACAUGAUAUAAAAGACACAUCUUUAUUAUAUCGAUAAUAUUUACAUUAUUACAAAGGCACUUCAGGCCUGACAAGCAAAAAUAAACAGCAGCGGACUAGCGGCCUACGGCUCCAUCUUCACAGGCGCUCAACUGGGGUAUAAGCCAGGACUCCACCUAAGACAUCUUCUCCAAAGCUUCUCUUACUGAAGGGGGGAAAGAUUGAGCAAGAAUGAGUACAACCACAGUACUCAGCAAGCCACACCGGAGAUGCAUAAUUAAUGCAAGGGAGGUACAAGGGAAUAAUAAUAUAGGGAUUAAGUUUUGCAGUAAACAGCGUUUAAAAGCCACUUAGUUGCCCAAAGCCAUUUUGUAAAGACGAUCCUAGAGCUACACAGUAUUAUUAAACAAGGCCGUGAACCCUCACGAACCUGCCUUAACCCAAGGCCUGCGAUGAUUCGGACCGAACUGGCAACCCGACCUGGGUCCCAGCUCGUCCCAAGCCAACCCAGGCCAACCAUUCCAUAUUUUAGUUGUUGAGCAAAUUUUAAGAAUUAAAACACUGACUUGGGUACAUUGCUCGGCUUGCCCAUAUCCGAGGGCUCGGCUAUUCGAAUAGAUUUACUCUGAUCAGAGGUGUACAUCUUUACCCACAAGACACAUCUUUACUCCGCAUUCCAUGGCCUUGGAACCCGUCGUAAAGAUGUGACAUAACCCUUCACCCAUCCUAGCCGUGAACAAAAGUACCGACCCAAUCCCACCUACGGCCGGGGUACCCGGGACAGGCAGGCAGAACUGAGCCCCUAGCAGCAGGGCACCAACCCUCUGCCGUAUGACAUCUCGACUACCGGGCCGCAGCUCGUGUAGCCUUCAUUUGCCCUGGAGAAUGUCCAUCGACGCCCGACUUCAUCCAUCUCCAAUCCGUGUCCUUUUGUUCAGGACUAGACUGAGCACCGAGUUAAGCCUUACCCAUUAGACAUGUGGUUAGUACGGUAGUGCUUUGCAACAGAGGCCCGAGCUUAAUCCUUAUAGUGGCCGGGGUGCUACUUCCCAUAACUGGCAUGCACCCAAACCCCACCGAAAACAGGUUUUAGGGGUUUUGAAAGAGGAAGAGAGAUGUAUGUCCAAUUCCACCAUAAACCAAUAAUUCCAUAGUGUCCAAAUGAGAUGAGAAUUCCCAAAGUCUAAAGUUAUAAAACCACCUAAUAUUGCCUAAUUAAUCAGCGAAGCAUCUACCUAAAUUCAUACUAGUGGAACCAUGAAUGGAAUACCCACUAGUUGGGGUUUUGUUUAUCCUAGGGUGAACAAGGUAAUAAUAACAAUAGCAAUAAUAGUAAGGUUAUAACAAAGGUAAAUAGGCAUGGCUAAAUAAAACAGUGAUAACGCGGGAAUUUAAAUAAAGCGAUAAUGCAUUGAUUUAAAUUAAAAUAAUUUUAUAAACUGGGAUUCAAUAUGCUCAAGGAUGAUGUGACUUGCCUUGCUCAGAGAGAACGGCCUUCCGAACCUUCGGCGACGACCACGAACCACGCUUCGGGAACCUCCGGAACGACGAAAGCUACGCGAAGCACACAAGCAAAGCUACAAGCCUAUAAAGAAGCAAUAACAAUACAUAAAAAGAAAGCACAGGGUUCUUUAGGUUAUAGCAAACAUUAGGAGACUUGAACGGGUCGAUUCAGAGUUCGUAUGACCAAGAUAUGAUCAUCCGAAGUUUAAUGCUGUUAUAUGGAGAUUUGCGGAUUAUUAUAAUCAAGCUUUGCAAUUAUAAAACAUGUGUAAGCGCUAGCCUGGAAAAGACAGGAAGGCUGCGCUGUUGACAUGCGGACCCCACAUGUCAACCUAAAGGACCGCGGUAGACCGAGUACACAGAGUCGGUCCACGGGUCGACGGAAGCGGAUCCCGUGUGUCAACCGAGGCGAGUGACCGACAAACGGACUCCGCUAGACACCACACGGCUUGCACACGUGGAAACCACGCGGCUACCGAGCGGACACACUAACACGGUCACCACGCGCACAAGCGAACGACUGCCGAUGCCGAUACACGGGUACCGGGGCCGACAACCGCACAACGGGCACGGGCGACACCGAAAGGACGAGGACAGGGCAGCGAGGGAGAGGGAACCUUACCACCACGCGACGAGGCGUGGGAACGACAACGACGAACGGGCGCGGCGGAGACAGACGGGCACAACGGAGACGAACAGCGAGGGGACGGCUUCGGCGGCGAUCCUUGGACGAAGGCGAGACGCGGCCGGCGCGAGGCUUGACGACGCGGAGCCGAGGACGAAGACGAGGACGGGGCUGCAGCGGCACACUUGACGGACGCGGACGAGACGGACGAGAACGGCCUGACGGAGGGACGAACGCCACGACGACCGGGAACGACGAGAGGACGACGACGACGACGACGACCGGGACCGGCGAGGAGGCGACGAGGACAGCCAGCAGCGGCUGCACGGAGACGAGGACGACGUGGGACACGCCGCUGCGAUGACGACGACGGAGGCGGCGCCGCGAGACGACGAGCCGGGCGACCGACGGGACGUCGACGACGAGAACGAUCGGAGACGACGAUGAUGGACCGCGGAGGGGUUUGGAUGGAGGGGAAACGAUGCCGAGGACGGCCUUGCCGCUGCGAUGCCGGAGGUGGUAGUGGUGCAGCAAGCCGACGAGCCGGGGAGGAGGAAGGGGCGGCCGAAAGGACGCCGGCGACGAAGAGGAUGGAGAGACCGGCGCGGCGACGGCGUUCCGGCGAAAACCGAGGAGCAGCCGGGGUGGAGGGCGAUGCGGCGACGCCGAGGGAGGAGACGGUGACGUCGGCCGACGCUCAGGCGAGGCGACCGGGACGGCUGGAGAUGGUGGAGUGGUGGCGACACCACUAGUCGUCGGUGAGGACGCGUCUCCGGUGAUUUCCCCGCGAAACGGAGGUGAAGCCGGGAAAGAGGAGGCAGCUGCGAGGCCGAGGGAGAAGACGGCGCGGCCGGGCGGCGCUCGGGCGAGGAGAGGAAGGCGGCUGGAGGUGGCCGGCGCGAAGGAAAGAGGAGGGUGACGGCGGGAACGUAGUUCCGGGGGUCUCCUCGCGAAACGGAGGGCAGGCCGGCGUGGAGGAGGUGGCGGCGACGCUGGAGGAGGCGAUGGCGCGGCCGGCCGGUGCGCGGGCGAGGCGGCACAGGCGGCUGGAGGCGGCCGGCAACGUCGGAGAGAGAGGAGGGCGGCGGGGAGGUGGCUAGGGACCACGGGAGAGCUUGGGAUGGGGCUAAAACGAGAGAACGGGGGAUGAGGAUCCCAUUUUAUAGGAUGGGGGAGGGAGCCGGCCACGGGAGGAGCGGGAACGGCGACGGGAAUGGCGGCCGGCGGCAAAGGAAGGCGGCCGGACUUGGCGCGUCCGUUCCCGGCGAUUGGGGGCGCCAUCCAAGGGGGAAUUAAGGGGGAAAUGAAGAGGAUUCAAUGGGGUUUAAUUUCCCCUAAUCAAUUUUGGAAUUAACCGAGUGAAUCAAGCGGAUUUGAGGGAGGAUUGGCGCUAGGGUUCACGGGAGAGGGAGAGAGGACGGCCGGGCGGGAGGAAGGGGACGACGCCCGGCCUGGCGCGUGGGACCCACCGGUCAGGCGGCGGCGUCAGCGCGCGCACGCGCGCCGCACGGGCGGGGGCGCGGCUAGGGCAGGGCGGCUUGGGCCGGGCGGCCGGCCCAGGAAGAGAGGAGGGGAAGGCGGCAUGGGCCGAGCAGGCCGGGAGGGAAGAGGGGGGGGGGGGAAAAGGCAGCCCGGGAGAGAGGGAGGAGGGAGCUGGGCCGAGAGGGGGAGAGGCCCAAGAGGAGGAGGGAGAGAAGGAGAGGGAGAGAAAGAGAGGGAGGAAAGGGAGACUUUGGGCUGGGCUUGGCCCAAAGGAGGAAGAGGAUUAUUUUUAGGUUUUUCUUUUUAAUAAACUUUGUUAAUUGUUGUUGUUGUUUAAUAAUUAUUUCCGGUGCUCUGAAAAUUCAAGUAAAAUUUGAGGGCUCCUUUUUAGACCAAGGAGAAUUUAACAAAAAUUCUCCGGGCCACAUUUGAAUUUUUCUUGCACGUAUUUUAGUGUUUGCCAAUUUCUUUUCGAAUUUUAAUUAAUUCUAUUAUUCCUUUUAGCGAAUGAUUUUUAUUUCGGGAUGAAUUUAUCAGGACGUGACAUGCGUAGAGGACGACGAGGCGAACCCAACGGUACUCACCACGACGACAACCGAUGAACGACGACGGCCGGCGACGAGAGGAGGCGGCGCGGCGGCUCGGUUUGACGGCGUCGGCGGAGCUCCGGUGGUCAGCGGCGAAGGGGGACGGGCGGCCGAGGUUCUCCUCACCACGGCGCACCUAACGGCGGCGACGGCAAGCGACGGCGACGGCGGAAGCGGCGGCGCGACGGCGCCGAAGUCGACCGGCGGCGGCGGCGAACUAAACACACGCGGCGGCGGCGCUACGGUGCACGGGAGAGGACGGGAGAGGGGGCAAACGAAAGAGGGCGACGAGGGGAUGCUUUAUAUAGCAUUGGAUUGAAGAGAUCGAACUCCAAACGAGAGGAAUCGACUCGGGAAGAAUUCAAACUCGGUUUUAGGGAUUAAAUCGAAACGAAUUCGAUUCGGGCAAAAUACUCAACGGAUUGCUCCGUUUCUUGAGGGGAAAGAUAGAGGAGAACGAGAGGAACAAAACCCCUCAAUCAAUCGGACUCGAGGAGGCCGGAUUGAGGCGGAUUUGAGAGGAGAAAGGGGGCGGCUCGGACUCGGCAUGGCCGGCCGGCUGGAGCUUGAAGACGACCCCGACAGGUGGGGUCCACCUGUCGGCGGCUGAGGGGAGGAGGGCGGCGGCUGCUGCUGCUGGGCCGGCUUGGGCCGCGCGGGAGAGAGAGAGAAGCUCGGCCGAAAACGGCCCAACGACCUAGGAGAGGACUUUUGAACUUUUUUUUGAAUAAAACAAUUUGUGAAAUGUUGUUUUAAUUAUUAAAAAUACUUCCCUUGCUCAAAUAAUUCCUAGAAAAAUCUAGAAAAUAGAGGAGCAAGCAUAGUAUUUAAUAAAAUUUUAUCUAGCUCAUUUUUAUGUUGAAAAUUUUCCUAGAAAAUUAGGGUUUAGCUUGUAGGCUUUUAAAAUAAUUUCUAAAAAUUCCAAUUAAACAACAAUUUAUAUAUUUUGGAUUUUUAGGACGUGACAAACCUACCCCCCUUAAACGGAAUCUCGUCCUCGAGAUUCGGAAGAACUAGCGAACAGAUGAGGAUGAGCUGACUUCAAUUCAUCUUCUCGCUCCCAAGUGGCUUCUUCUUCUGAAUGAUUGCUCCACUGAACCUUGCAGAACCGUAUAACGCGAUUCCUGGUAUUCCUUUCACUUACUUCCAAGAUUCUGACUGGCUUCUCAACAUAAGUUAAAUCUUCUUGAAGCUCUAUACGAUCAGGAUCUGCUUCCUCCGUAGGUACACGUAAACAUCUCUUCAACUGCGACACAUGGAACACGUCAUGUAUUCCCGCCAUUGACGGAGGCAACUCUAGCUGAUAAGCUACUUCACCUCUUCGACUCACAAUCUUAAAAGGUCCCACGAAACGCGGUGCCAAUUUCCCUUUGGUCUGGAAACGAUGAACACCUCGUAACGGCGUAACCCGAAGGUAUACAUAAUCUCCUUCUUCGAAAGCCAAAUCUCUGCGACGAUUGUCGGCAUAGCUCUUCUGACGUGACUGAGCAACACGCAACCUUUCUUGGAUAAUCUUCACUUUUUCUUCCGCCUCUCGCAAUAUGUCUGUCCCAAAAACUUGACGUUCACCGGUUUGAUCCCAAAGAAGCGGCGUACGGCACUUUCGACCAUAUAAUGCUUCAUACGGAGCCAUUUGCAAACUAGCUUGAUAACUGUUGUUAUAUGAGAAUUCCGCGUACGGCAAAUUCUUAUCCCAACUUCCACCAAAAUCUAGAACACAGGCUCUCAACAUAUCUUCUAAAAUUUGGUUUACUCUUUCCGUCUGACCAUCUGUUUGAGGGUGAUAAGCGGUACUGAAAUUCAAACGGGUACCCAUCUCUAAUUGUAACUUCUGCCAAAACUUCGAAGUAAACUGGCUACCUCUAUCUGACACUAUCUUCUUAGGAACACCAUGCAAACAUACCACUCUGGCCAUGUAUAACUCUGCAAGCUUAUUCCCCAUGUAGGUUGUUUUGACCGGUAUAAAAUGAGCGACUUUUGUCAACCUAUCAACCACUACCCAAAUAGAAUCAUGUCCUGCCGACGUUCUGGGUAGACCGGUUAUAAAAUCCAUUCCUAUUUCUUCCCACUUCCACUCUGGAAUCUUUAACGGCUGUAACAGACCGGCUGGCUUCCGAUGUUCUGCCUUGACCCGCUGACAUACAUCACAUAGAGCCACAUAUUCUGCUAUCUCACGACGCAUACUGGCCCACCAGAAUUGUUGCUUUAAAUCUUGGUACAUCUUAGUGCUUCCAGGGUGAAUAGAAUACAAAGUUUCAUGAGCUUCUUUCAUGAUAGUAUCCUUCAACUCCUUAUUUUCUGGGACGCAAAUUCUUUCACCUAACCACACAGUACCUUGCUCAUCUUCUACAUAACCGAUGGCUUUUCCUCUUCUCAUGUUUUUCUUUAUUUCUUGGAUAUCAGGAUCAUUCACUUGAGCUUCUCUGACUUGAUCAAACAGAGUAGGUUUAGCUUCCAAAGCGGCCACAAAACCUUUGCUGACUAUUCCCAAGUUCAACUUUUCAAAUUCUUGGCAUAACUCCUAGGUAAACGUCGACCUUCUGACAUAUUACAGUAGCUUUUCCUGCUAAGUGCAUAGGCUACAACAUUUGCUUUUCCCGGGUGAUAAUGGAUUUCCAUAUCAUAAUCUUUAAUCAACUCUAACCAUCUUCGCUGACGUAUGUUCAAAUCAGGUUGAGUGAAAAUAUACUUCAAACUUUUAUGAUCCGUAUACACCUCUGUACGGUUACCGAAAAGAUAAUGACGCCAAAUCUUCAAUGCAUGCACCACAGCUGCCAACUCUAGGUCAUGCGUUGGGUAGUUAUUCUCAUGAGGACGUAAUUGCCUAGAUGCAUAGGCAACCACCUUUCCUUCUUGCAUCAACACACAACCCAAACCGAGUCGGGAUGCAUCACAAUACACUUGGAAACCUUUCCUCGAAUCAGGCAAAAUUAACACAGGCGCAGUCACUAGCCUUUUCUUCAGUUCUUGGAAACUUCGUUCACAAUCCUCUGUCCACUUGUACUUCACUUCCUUCUGAAGCAGACGAGUCAUUGGUCUGGCGAUCUUAGAAAAGUUCUCAAUAAACCUGCGGUAAUACCCAGCAAGUCCAAGGAAACUACGAAUUUCUGUAACCGUCUUGGGUUGCUUCCAACUUAACACUGACUCCACAUUGCUUGGAUCUACUGCCACUCCUCCAGACGAGAUGACAUGACCAAGAAACUUCACUUCGGACAACCAAAAUUCACAUUUACUGGACUUGGCAUAAAGCUGAUGCUCACGUAGUUUCUCUAAAGCUAGACGAAGAUGCUCUUCAUGUUCUUCCUUCGUCUUGGAGUAAAUAAGAAUGUCAUCAAUAAACACCACGACAAACUUAUCCAGAUAUUCCAUAAACACCUUGUUCAUCAGAUUCAUGAAAAAGGCUGGGGCAUUAGUGAGUCCAAAUGACAUAACGGUACAUUCGAACAAACCAUACCGAGUUGUGAAGGCGGUCUUUGGUAUAUCUUCCUCACGGAUUCGAAGUUGAUGAUAUCCAGAACGGAGAUCUAUCUUGGAGAAAACUGUAGCACCUUCCAGUUGAUCAAACAGGUCAUCAAUUCUGGGUAAAGGAUACUUAUUCUUAAUAGUAACCUCAUUCAACGCUCGAUAAUCCACGCACAUUCUCUGAGUAUGAUCUUUCUUCUCCACAAAGAUGACUGGUGCUCCCCAUAGCGAAGUACUGGGUCUGAUGUAUCCUUUCUGAAGCAAAUCUUCCACCUGUCUCUUCACUUCAGCUAACUCAUUAGCUGCCAUUCUGUAUGGUCUCUUAUCGAUAGGGUUGGUUCCAGGUACCAAGUCUAUCCGAAACUCUAUGUCUCUCUUAGGCGGCAUACCUGGCAAAUCCUCAGGAAACACGUCUGGGUAGUCUUGUACUAUGGGGAUCUCUUGUAGAGCAACUUGGUUUAAGAUCACACCAUGAUAUUUAGGAGAGGACACAAAGAAAGAAACGGUUUCCCCAUUGCUACUGGUUAAAGUCACCUUACAGUUGGCACAAUCUAUAACUCCUCUGUGACGAGAUAACCAGUCCAUCCCUAAGAUAACAUCUAGAUCUUUGGAUUCUAGCAAGAUAAGCGAGGAUGGGAAAGGAACUUCUUCUAUUUCUAUAGUAGCGGAAGGACAAUACUGUGUCGAAAAUACUUGAUUGCCUGGGGUAUUAACUAGUAAAUGUCUCCCAAGACUAAUAACUUCCAUCCCAUAAUUGCUCGCAAAACUUUUAGACAAAAAGGAAUGUGUAGCACCGGAAUCAAAAAGCACGGAUGCGGGUAUAGAGUUAACAGGAAACGUACCCAAAACCACAUCUGGUGCAUUCUGAGCUUCUGCGGCUGCAACAUGAUUAACACGUGCCUUCGGUGCUGGAGCAUUGGAGUUGUUCGGGGCUGGAGCGUUCUUCACGCGCCGAGGCUUAGGACACUUAUCAGCAUAAUGUCCUGGAUCACCACAAUUGAAGCACACCCCUGGCUUGCUUCCCUGUUCCUUCCUGACGGGCUGGUUCUGAGCUGGAGUUGCUGCAGGACGAGCAACCAUGUUGCGGUUGUCAUUGCCACGAUUACCAGUAUUGUUGUUGUAGAACUGGCGUUGGGGGCGGACAACUGAUGAAGAUCCUCCUUGAGGGUACGAUGGAUCUUGAGGUCCCGUAAUGAGACGCGGCCUCUGGUUACUGCCCUGUUGUGCCUUGAAUUGAGCAGCCCUGCGCUUCUUCUGCUCCAUCCGGUUAUACUUGUCUUCCUGACGAAUCGCCUUGUCCACCAACUGCUGGAAAUCCCGAAAAUCCGUAGACAUCAAGGCAUAAGACAACUCAUCAUUCAGUCCCUCCAAGAACUUCUCCUGACGCUCUUCAUCGGUGCGAACAUCUUCCGGAGCAUAAUGAGCUAAACGGUUGAAAUCAUGGAGGUACUCGGUGACCGAACGAGAUCCCUGGUUGAGUGCUCUAAAUUCUCUCUUCUUUAGAGCUACAACACCCGUUGGUAUGUGUGUCUUCUUGAAAGCGGCCGUGAAUUCCUGCCACGUAAUAGGCUCUCCUUCAGCCCUGCCUUGUCGAAAAUGAUCCCACCAUUCAGCAGCAGGUCCAUGCAGUUGAUGCGAAGCAAAAGAAACUUUCUCCUGCUCAGUACACUGGAUCAGAUCCAACUUCUUCUCUACCGCAUGCAGCCAAUCUCCUGCUUCUACUGGAUUGGUGGUGCUGGAAAAGGUAGGGGGUCUGACACGUAAGAAAUCUGCCAGCUUGUUUUGGGGAGGUGGGGGUGGAUUCUGGUUCUGAUUAUUCCCCUGCUGAUUCUGUGCCUGCUGCACUAACAGAUUGAUCAGUUGUGUUUGUUGGGCCAGAAUCUGAGCUAGCGUAGGCUCUCCUCCAUUGUUAGUAGCUCCACUUCCACUUCCACUUCCACUUCCGGUGCGCGUGUUCACCAUCUGGUGAUAAGCAGAGACAACAAGAAAGAACGACAGAGAGACACCCUUAGAACGGAGUUAUUUAAUUAAUUUAAAUUCUAUAUUGCUCUUAACUGUGUAUGAUUACAUUUAAGUUGCAUUAACACUAUCUCACCAACUAUCUUACACUCUGACAAGCAAAGAACUAGACUCAUGCUGUUACAUCCCACCAAUGAUGUAAGCAACAACUAAAACCCACACACUCACAAGCAAACUUAAACAAGCAAUCUAACACAGCGAACUACGGCAACGAUCUAACUAAACGACUAAUCCCUCCUUGCGUUGGAACGAAGCGAUGGAUCUUCUUCCUCUGGAGUAGCUGGCUCUCUUUCUUCAGGGUCUUCCUCUUCUUCCUCAUCACUUAUGAUGUCGAUGACAGGUUCAGCACGAUCGGGCACAGCUUCACCCAUCACGCGAAUCUUCGAAGCUAACUGGAGACGAGGUGGCGGACAGGUUCUCUUUCUUGCAGUGAGGCGAAACUUGGGUGUUGGCGGCGACGUUUCUCCUUUAAGUUCAGCUAAUUCCUUCUGUAGACGGUACACCUUGCUCUUCAACUUGUAAAUCUUGCCUCGAUUCCAGUUUUCCCUGUCAUGAGCUGCUUUAUCUCGCUCCACACUUACUGCAUCCAUAGCACUAAGCAUAUGCACCGCAUGCAUCAGAGUGGCACUCUCUUCACCAUCAGGACAGGUAUAGGCUCCAUAGUCUUGACCAUGAGGCUUGUGAGGAUGAUACUGGAAAGCUGAUGAAUCCAACUCUUCUUCAAAGCGUUGACGCAACUCUCCAAUGGCCACCAAAGCUACUUCUUGACAAGCAUGGCUGUACGAUCUUCCUCCAGCUUCGAACUUAAAAGACGGAAGGUCUUCACUAUCACUAGCCAACGUCACACGAACACGACACUUCUCCUCGUCGGGGUCAUGGGAAAUUUGGCGAUACUCGGGAGCAACUUCAUAACCUACCUCAAAAGCCAUCAACCUCAGCUCCCUGACAAAACCUAACACCUUGAUCAAAUUUCUCGGUGAAUGGGGCGGCAUCUAAAGAAACAUAGAAGGGAAGAAUUAAGGCAUAUUUUUAAGUUAGCUGCACCGACUAGACUUAACUGAUUUAGACCAAAAAGGAAGAAAAUAAAAGAAAAGACACAUACAAAGCUACUUUAUAUAUUUUUCUUUUUGAAUUUAACUUUUUGGACAGAGACAAAUCAAUUUGAAUAAGUGAAUUAAAUAGAACCAAAAUACUUAAGACCUACUUUAAGCACGGUACAAUGUCACCAUUAAAAGGGAUGAGUAGUACUAGUGCCAACAUGAUUAAAUCGAUACCAUAAUAGAUGUACAGUACCGACUGAUCAAUAAGAUUUGGUAAAGAGAUAAAAGAAACAUUUUGAGAAGAACAAGUUUUUGCUUUUAAAAGAAAAGAAAUUGAAUUAAAUAAAUUUUGUGCAUAACCUUGCAUGUGCUGCCAACUUAAUUAAUUUGUAAGAGAAUAGAGAAGAGCAGUUCUAUUUUUUUCAAAAUAUUUUGAAGGCUACUUAAGGUUUACCAUUUGGCUUAUCCUAAGGUCAAGGUGGCUCUGAUACCAACUUGUCACGCCCGGAAUUUCUAUCCAAAAUUCCAAACGCUUACAUGUGUGUUAAGCCCUCGUCCAGGAAUCAACCGAGGCACACAAUGACAAUUUGAUAAUAGAGUACAAAUAAAUAACUAUUUAAUACUCGCAAAUAAUAAAAGAUUAUAGAGGUAGAUAGUUCCUCUCAAAGAAUAACAUUCUACGCAGCGGAAAUAUAAAACGAUAACAAUCUACGGAACAGCUAUGGCGACUCCACUCCACAGGCAUCUUAACCAAGAACAAGCCUAAUCCUCCAGAUCAUCACCUUCACUGAGAUACUCCUCUUCUGAUGAAUGAAUAUUGCAAGAAUGAGCAUAUAACAUACUCAACAAGCCACACAGCAAAUAUGCAAGUGCACAGGAUAACAAAGAAUGGCAUAAUAUAGCUCAUUUGCAAAAACAGCAUUUAAUAAAUAUUUAAGAGAAUAGUAAAACAGUUGUAUAAUUAAUCAAUAUUAAACAAACACCAUACAACACCCCUGUGUUGCAUAGGCCCAACCACAUUUGAACAACCAACCCCGGUUGAACAAAUUAAACCUCCAAACCAGGAAUUUUCCAUUCCAAACCAGGAGAUCAAUUAGUUAUCACAUUAUUACCAUUGAUGAGUAGUGUGAGACUAAUCACGAAAAACAUUGCUCAACUCACCCAUAACCGCGGGUACGGCUAUUCGAAUAGUUUAAACUCUGAUCAGAGGUGUACCACUGUACCCACAAGACACAACCCCACAUCAUGUCACCAUGUGCCUCAGUACCACCACGAUACCUCGGAAAGGAGUUGUGACAAUACCUCUCGCACAACAUAACCCAUUACAGUGCACCUUUCCUGGAUCAUAAUCACCCCCUUAUAAACAAGGCAUGGACUCCCCAGCGACCCCCAUGGACUUCUCGCCACUUCUCAGUCUGGCGCACUAUAAUGAAUCACGCUAUACAAAAGAUAAAGCCGUUGCCCACGCUGGCUUGUGGCUGGCACGAUAAAUGUUUCACAACAGUAGCUCGCGAACCGGUCCUUAAUUGUCAUGAGCACAACCAUCAAAACCAUAUGCUCACAACCCACCUUAACAAGGUUUUAAUUAUCAAUUGAUUAACAUCACACAAUUAACCAUCGUGAGCUACCAUAAUAUAACCAUCAUUAAUAAUAAUAAUGUGACAUAGUUUAUAAUUAACCCCUUUAGUUAGCUAAUGUUUCUAAGCAUGGCUAAGCAAACUUACAUAUAGCAUUUAGCUGAACCAAUCCAAUAUAUAAGGUUCAUGCUAAUCAAUUUAUAACCCAUAGGAAAAUAAAGUCAUCUUCGGCCAAUAAUUAAUUGGGAAAGGUUCACCACCCGAUGACAUUCGAAAACAAUGCACAGUUGAAAUAAAAUAAUAGCUUUAAACGGGUUCAACAUGCUCAAAGAGUAGUUUGGGAUCUGUGUGACUUGCCUUGGGCUUCCGCAAAUGCUUCGGAACCUUCCUCAACGGAAACGCUCUCCUCCGGAACGUCGGAAACUAAAGCAAUUAAACAAAAUCAACAAAACAGUACAAAAACAAGCAUAAACAGUACAUGUGGAUAUUUUUAACAUGUAGAUCUUGAUUUUAGAAGAAUUUAGCAACUUGAACCACCUAAAACGGAUCUACGGUUAUUUAAUUAUGAUUUUCCGAAGUUUUAAUCUAUUAGAAAAUUGGAAAAAAGAAAAGAGAAAGGAGAUGAUGACGUCAUGCUGACGUCAGCCCUGGAGGCCGGCUAGGGCUUGCGAGCUCGCCGGAGAUAGGACGGUCGGCCGGGGAUUUGGAGAACAUCUACGCGUAGAGGACGACGAGGCGAACCCAACGGUACUCACCACGACGACAACCGAUGAACGACGACGGCCGGCGACGAGAGGAGGCGGCGCGGCGGCUCGGCUUGACGGCGUCGGCGGAGCUCCGGUGGUCGGCGGCGAAGGGGGACGGGCGGCCGAGGUUCUCCUCACCAUGGCGCACCUAACGGCGGCGACGGCAAGCGACGGCGACGGCGGAAGCGGCGGCGCGACGGCGCCGAAGUCGACCGGCGGCGGCGGCGAACUAAACACACGCGGCGGCGGCGCUACGGUGCACGAGAGAGGACGGGAGAGGGGGCAAACGAAAGAGGGCGACGAGGGGAUGCUUUAUAUAGCAUUGGAUUGAAGAGAUCGAACUCCAAACGAGAGGAAUCGACUUGGGAAGAAUUCAAACUCGGUUUUAGGGAUUAAAUCGAAACGAAUUCGAUUCGGGCAAAAUACUCAACGGAUUGCUCCGUUUCUUGAGGGGAAAGAUAGAGGAGAACGAGAGGAACAAAACCCCUCAAUCAAUCGGACUCGAGGAGGCCGGAUUGAGGCGGAUUUGAGAGGAGAAAGGGGGCGGCUCGGACUCGGCAUGGCCGGCCGGCUGGAGCUUGAAGACGACCCCGACAGGUGGGGUCCACCUGUCGGCGGCUGAGGGGAGGAGGGCGGCGGCUGCUGCUGCUGGGCCGGCUUGGGCCGCGCGGGAGAGAGAGAGAAGCUGGGCCGAAAACGGCCCAACGACCUAGGAGAGGACUUUUGAACUUUUUUUUGAAUAAAACAAUUUGUGAAAUGUUGUUUUAAUUAUUAAAAAUACUUCCCUUGCUCAAAUAAUUCCCAGAAAAAUCUAGAAAAUAGAGGAGCAAGCAUAGUAUUUAAUAAAAUUUUAUCUAGCUCAUUUUUAUGUUGAAAAUUUUCCUAGAAAAUUAGGGUUUAGCUUGUAGGCUUUUAAAAUAAUUUCUAAAAAUUCCAAUUAAACAACAAUUUAUAUAUUUAGGAUUUUUAGGACGUGACACGACGGCCCGGCGCGUGGGACCCACGCGGGGCACUGCUCGGGCAGGGGGGCGCGGCUUGGGCCGGGCGGCCGGCCCAGGAGGAGAGGAGGGAGAGGCGGCCCGGGGGAGAGAGGGAGGAGGAGGGAGCUGGGCCGAGAGGGGAAGGGGAGGCCCAAGAGGAGGGAGAGAAGGAGAGGGAGAGAAAGAGAGGGAGGAAGGGAGGACUUUGGCUGCGGGCCGAGGGAGAGAGAGGGAGGCUUUGGGCCAGACUUGGCCCAAAGGGAGGAGGGGGAUUAUUUUCAGCUUUUUCUUUUAAAUAAACUUUGUUAAUUGUUUUUGUUGCUUAAUAAAUAUUUCCGGUGCUCUGAAAAUUCAAUUAAAAUUUGAGGGCUCCUUUUAGACCAAGGAGAAUUUAACAAAAAUUCUCCGGGCCACAUUCGAAUUUUUCUUGUACGCAUUUUAAUGUUUGCCAAUUUCUUUUCGAAUUUUAAUUAAUUCUAUUAUUCCUUUUAGAGAAUGAUUUUUAUUUCGGGAUGAAUUUAUCAGGACGUGACACGAAUGCCGAGCAGAUGUUGCUGCGUCUUCGGCUCCUCGUAAGUGCCUCGAAAGUUAAGAACAAAAACAUCACGCAAUUGCUCCCAUGAAUAAAUGCUAUUAGCUGGCAAAUUGAAAUACCAAGAACAGGCAAUGCCGUCAAGAGCGAGAUGUAUUACCUUUGUCUUGGUAUUUUCGUCACCAUGAGCCGCUUCGAUCGCAGACUCGUAGAUGGAUAGGAACUCCUUCGGGUCAGUUUCGCCCGAGUAGCGUGGGACGGGUGGGAAUUUGAACUAGGGCGGGAUUGGGCGGUUCUUAAUUCCCCUACUCAGCGGUAGCCCCUUCUCGCCUCCCGCCCUAUUCGCGGUGCCUUGCUGUGGGUACGGUGUGGCGAAGGGUGCAAUUACGGCUUGCGCAUAAGUUUGAGCCAUGGCGUUCGGCUGCCCGGCUCCGAUUGGUGAUGCUUGCUGAGCCGCCAUGGAUGGGUCGAAAACUGGCUGCGACCAUGCCAUGGCGACCUGGGUUGGUGCUUGGCUUGUUCCGAAGCCUGGUGUUGGUCCUUGCGGCCGAACGGUUUGCCCCUGAGCGGUAUUGAUGAAGUCGCACUAAGGUACCUGACUCCACGGCGAAGCCCCCAGAUUCGGCUGGUUCGGCGGCAACCAACUAAGUGCACCUUGACCUGUAUUCCCCUCUGGACGAGUCGAGGGAGUUGUAUUCGAAAUGUUGUGGGGCUGAUUGAUUUGCUGAAGGAAAGCUUGGAAUUGUGCCUUCAGAGCCGAAGCCCCUUCUGCUACGGCUUGCGACACCUAGCCAAGUGGCUGAGGCUGUACUUGGGUCGCGACCGGUUGAGCUUGCAGUUGACCGUGGGGGGCCUGGUGCACUGCUGCAGCUGUCGGCUGCCCGACGAAGUACAUCGAUGCCUGCGAGACUUGUGGCGGAGUGGGCUGGGACUGCACUUGCGGAUAGACUUGAGGUGGGACAUAUCCUGCCGAAUACUAGAGGAUUGGUGCCGAAGCGACCUUGGAUCGCCUUGCCGCUUCGUACGCUUGCUGCUGUUCUUGCAUUUGGCGAAGCAUGUCUUGGAGUCGUGCCAUGUUCUGCCGCAUGGCUUCCAUAUCGGCUUCGGCUUGUGUUUCAGGGUCGGAGUUGACUUGGACUUGCAUGGCAGGGAGCGCCGCUUGGGCCGCUGCUGGCUGCGACGGAACGGCCUGGGGCACCAGCAGCUGACUUGUCGAAAGGACCUCCGCCUUGGCCUGGAGCGCCCUUGCCACUGCGGCUGCCUUCGCCAUGUCAUCCACAUUCGGCGCCUGCUCAGAGGUGGCGGGGGCCGAAGGUAGCAGCGAUGGUGCUGUCGCCGAAGUGGAUGGUGCUCCUUCGACUUCGGCCCCUGACACUGAAGGCUCCGUUCCUUCUUCGGCGGCCAUGCCCGCUCCGCCGUCGAUUUCCUUUCGACUUGUAACCUUCUCCUUCACGACCUUCUUCGGUGGCAUUCGCUCUCAGUGAUUUCGCUCGGAGGUCCCCACGGUCGGCGCCAGCUGUUGUCGAAACGACAACUGCAUAUGUCGAAAGACGUGGUUAAUUAACAGUGGUUGGAAAGAAAUAAAGUGUAUUAGUUUUUUUUGGAAUUUCUCUUUCUUCGGUCUCCCCAUUACAUGGCCCUAGUGGGCUAUUUAUAGCCCCAUUACAGAUUCUUACUACUAGGGUUUAGGUUAUACUGAGGAAUUUACAUGGUUGCCCUUAUGAAAGGGACAUUUACAGGGUUAUAUAGUGUCAAGGGGGCUUAUGGGCCCUUGUUGGGCCGUCGGGCGAUCGCCGGCCCUAUAGCCCCUAAGCUUGAUGAGCCGGAAAGGCUUCUUCGGCCCUUGGGGUGGCGAACUGGACAUGGCAAAGCCGUCCUUCUUCGAGCUGGCUGCCAGGGCGAACUGGUCAUGGCGAAGCCGUCCUUCUUCGGUAGGUACUCACGCGACGCUUCGCCUCGCAUCAUCCUUGGUUCAUAGCCUUCGCCACGGGUUUCGGCAGAUUUGGUCAGAGGGCCUAAUGCCAUCCGCCAACAUAGUGGCAGUAGAUACAGGGAGAUCAAAUGUUUUAAGAUGGUACAAAUAAUUGGCAUUUGUUAUUGGAUCUACCCCUUGUAUAGGGAUGAUUGCACCGGCCUAACCGGCCCAACUCCCGGUCUAACCGGCGUCCAGAGGCACGGUCAUACUAAUCUGAGGUCCAGUUUGACCAGCGGUGAAGUCGCGAUCUAACCGGCCGUCUAGCCUGGUCGGACCGGCUGUAUGCACCGUCCACUCCUCACCAGUUUGUGGUGUCUUCGCCCCAUCGGUUUUGCUAUAUAUUUGAUCUAUAGGGGCUUGGCUAGCACUGGUAGAGGCUUUAUCUUUGAACAUAAAAUCGGCCAUGAGAGGGACGAAUUUAGUCCUCAAGAAAUCUUCAACAUGAGUCUCAAUAGAUGCAUUUAACUUAGUAUUUAAAGUAGCUAUAGAGAAUCUAUUGUAGUUGCAAUUUGUUGUUGGAUAGGUUGUGAUACCUGUUCAGUACUUACCACAUCGAAAUUAGGCAUAGGAUGCGGUCCAGGCUUGACGAUCACACCUUGACAGGUCCUAGUGCAUGCCUUCAUCAACGCCUCCUAUGUGACCAUCUUCAGGUACUCCUCCAUAGACUUGCGCGCUUCUCCAUCGAGCUCCUCCAAUGUUAUUGGUAUCACAUUGCCCGGCUGCACCUCCGCCUUGGAUGACGGCGGCUUCAUCAUGGCGAAGUCGAAAUUGAGAUGACGUUGAGCAGAUUUUCCCAGCGGAGUUGCCAAAAAUCGUGUUGGCAACUUUUUGUGACAAGUUGACAAGCACGAUCGCAACACCUAAACGCCUCGCGGUGAUCCUAGAGUCGCCAACCACCUCGAUCUAGCAAAAGCUAAACCAAGAUGGGUUUUGAUAACUAAACCAGCUAGCGGAGCCGAUUCUAGACAACUACAAAUCUCGUGGCAAAACGGAAGGUUUUUAGGACAAACCUACAAAGAGGUGUUGCACUCUCGCAGCGGCGACGGACGAUUUACAGCCCAAACUGACAAAGAUGGACAAACUAAGAGAAAACUAAAAGCAAUAUGAAAACGAUUCGAUUGAUUGAUUGUAGAUUGAUUUUUACAAUGAACCGGCCUUACCCUCUUAUAUAGGGGUUGGUCUUGCCCUCUACAGGCCCUCCUCCACAUCCAACUCGGGAUAGAAUCCAAAGGAAACCCGAAACAUGCCUUCCCGAGCAAGGAAACUUCGAGACCUGAUGAAACAGACCCGGACUCGGACUCUGCCAGUCAGACCGGCCACACACCACCGGUCUGACCGGCCCUCACCCGGCGGUAUGGCCGGCCAACACAUGGCGGUUAGACUGGCCCUCUCUAGAGGAAACCGGCAGGACUCCAAACUUUGGCAAUUUUUCCUAAUUUAAUCCUAGGUGCCAAAUUUGGGUGUAGAAACAAUUGCAUAUGAAUGAUUAAGCACUCGACUUUGGGGUUCCAUAAACCGAUCUAGCGGCAAAACUGUUCUUGACAAAUUAAUCUAAGCAAAACCCAACUCUAAAUGAUGACGGCUACUGAAUAAAUAUGAUUAGGGAUGUCCUAUGGUUGCCCUAUGUUGGUAUUUCUUAACGACGUUACUAGAAAUAUAAUUCCUAGCAAUGGUUACUAGAAAUAUAAUUCCUAGCAAUGGUUACUAGAAAUAUAAUUCCUAGCAAUGGCACAUAAAUACUUCUGGUAUAUUAUGGUUACAGAGUUCAUCCGCAAGCGCACGGAUAUACCAUUGUAGAAUUUCAUGCAAGAGUAUUCCAAGGGUAUCGUAUUUAUUUUAUCCCGUGGGAAGAUCAUGUAGAGAGUACUUGAUUAAUAAUUUAUAUAUUACUUGUGAUAAUCAUAUCCGAAGCAGGGGUUUAGAUAUUCCAGGGGUAGAGUGACACACAAGCAGCUACUCAUUCACAUAAUAUAAUAUCUAAGCUAAGUAGAAAGAAAAGAAAAAGACAAUCUAUUCCUAUACUUCUAAUAUGCAUAGUAUACAUUCUAGUUAACCGACAUACUAGCUAAUACCCUCUAUACGAUGUCCUCCUGGUACUUCGAUGUCACGUCCUGAUAAAUUCAUCCCGAAAUAAAAAUCAUUUUCUAAAAGGAAUAAUAGAAUUAAUUAAAAUUCGAAAAGAAAUUGGCAAACAUUAAAAUACGUACAAGAAAAAUUCGAAUGUGGCUCGGAGAAUUUUUGUUAAAUUCUUCUUGGUCUAAAAAGGAGCCCUCAAAUUUUACUUGAAUUUUCAGAGCACCGGAAAUAAUUAUUAAACAACAGAAACAAUCAUCAAAGUUUAAUAAAAAGAAAACCUAAAAAUAACCUUCCUUCCUCCUUUGGGCCAAUUUUGGCCCAAAGUCCUCCCUCUCUCCCCUCGGCCUGCGGCCGAAGUCUCCCUUUCCUCCCUCUCUUUCUCUCCCUCUCCUUCUCUCCCUCCUCUUGGGCCCCCCUUCCCCUCGGCCCAGCUCCCUCCUCCCUCUCUCUCCCGGGCUGCCUCUCCCCCCCCUCCCCUCCCGGCCUGCCCGGCCCAGGCCGCCUCCCCCUCCUCUCCUCCUGGGCCGGCCGCCCGGCCCAACCCGAGCGGCGCCCUCCCGCCCGUGCCGCGCACGUGCGCGCGCGUGCGCGCCGUUGCCGCGCGCUGACCGCGCGCCCGACCGCGUGGGGCCCACGCGCCAGGCGCGUCGUCUUCCUCCCGCCCGGCCCCUUCCUCUCUCUCCCUCCCGUGCGAACCCUAGCUCGCUCCCUCCUCCAAAUCCGCUUGAUUCAAUUGGCCAAUUCCAAAAUUAAUUGGGGGGUUUUAAUCCCAAUUGAAUCCUCUUCAAUUGCCCCCAAAUUCCCCCUUGAUUCGUGCCUUCAAUCCCCGGGAACGGACGCGCCAAGUCCGGCCGCUUUCCAUGGCCGUCGGCCGUUAUUCCCGUCGCCGUUCCGCCCUCUCCCGAGCCCGGCUCCCGCCCCCACCCUAUAAAAUGGGAUCCCCUCACUCCGUUCUAUCGUUUUAACCCCAUCCCGAGCCUCCCCGUGGUCCCUAGCCCUCUCCCCGCCGCCCUCCUCUCUCUCCCACGCCGCCGGCCGCCUCCAGCCGCCUGUGCCGCCUCGACCGUGCGCCGGCCGGCCGCGCCGUCGCCUCCUCCAGCGUCGCCGCCACCUCCUCCACCCCGGCCUGCCCUCCGUUUCGCGCGGUGACCGCCGGAGGCGCGUUCCUGCCGUCGCCCUUCUCUUUCCUCCGCGCCGGCCGCCUCCAGCCGCCUCUCCCUCCUCGCCGGAGCGCCGUCCGGCCGCGCCGUCUUCUCCCUCGGCCUCGCAGCCACCUCCUCUCCCUCGGUCAGCCCUCCGUUUCGCGGGGGAAGCACCGGAGACGCGUCCUCGCCGGCAAAACAGUGGCGUUGCCGCCACUGUUCCACCUCCGGCCGCCACUGUCGCGUUUCCCGUGCGCCGGCCGACGUCGCCACCACCUCCCUCGGCUCCGCGACGCCGCCCUCAUCCCCGGCAUCACCUCCUCCUCGCCCGAAGUUCGCCGGAACGCCGCCGCCGCGCCAACCACCCAUUCCUCCUCGUCGGCUCGUCGCCCCGCUGCACCACCACCUUCUCCAACAUCGCAGCAGCGCGUUCCACGCCGUCCCCUCCUCCGCUCAGCCGCUGCUGCCUGCCAUCAUCGUUUCCUCGUCACCGUUCGUCCUCGCCGAUCGACGUCCCGUCGGUCGCCCGGCUCGUCGUCUCGUGGCGCCGCCUCCGUCAUCAUCAUCGCUGCGGCGUGUUCCACGCCGUCCUCGUCCCCGUGCAGCCGCUGCCGGCUGUCCUCGUCGCCUCCUCGCCGGUCCCGGUCGUCGUCGUCGUCGUCGUCCUCUCGUCGUUCCCGGUCGUCGUGGCGUUCGUCCCUCCGUCGAGCCGUUCUCGUCCGUCGUCCGCGUUCGUCAAGCGAGCCGCUGCAGCCCCGUCCUCGUCUUCGUCCUCGGCUCCGCGUCGUCAAGCCUCGUGCCGGCCGCGUCUCGCCUUCGUCCAAGGAUCGCCGCCGAAGCCGUCCCCUCGCCGUUCGUCUCCGUUGUGCCCGUCUGUCUCCGCCGCGCCCGUUCGUCGUUGUCGUUCCCACGCCUCGUCGCGUGGUGGUAAGGAUCCCUCUCCCUCGCUGCCCUGUCCUCGUCCUUUCGGUGUCGCCCGUGCCCGUUGUGCGGUUGUCGGCCCCGGUACCCGUGUAUCGGUGUCGGCAGUCGUUCGCUUGUGCGCGUGGUGACCGUGUUAGUGUGUCCGCUCGGUAGCCGCGUGGUUUCCACGUGUGCAGUCCGCGUGGUGUCUAGUGGAGUCCGUUGACACACGGGGUCCGCUUCCGUCGACCCGUGGACCGUCUCUGUGUACUCGGUCUACCGCGGUCCUUUUUGUUGACAUGUGAGGUCCACAUGUCAACGGCGCAGCCUUCCUGUCUUUUCCAGGCUAGCGCUUACACAUGUUUUAUAAUUGCAAAGCUUAAUUAUAAUAAUUCGCAAAUCUCCAUAUAACAGCAUUAAACUUCGGAUGAUCAUAUCUUGGUCAUACGAACUCUGAAUUGACCCGUUCAAGUCUCCUAAUGUUUGUUAUAACCUAAAGAACCCUGUGCUUUCUUUUUAUGUAUUGUUAUUGCUUCUUUAUAGGCUUGUAGCUUUGCUUGUGUGCUUCGCGUAGCUUCUGUCGUUCCGGAGGUUCCCAAAGCGUGGUUCGUGGUCGUCGCCGAAGGUUCGGAAGGCCGUUCUCUCUGAGCAAGGCAAGUCACAUCAUCCUUGAGCAUAUUGAAUCCCAGUUUAUAAAAUUAUUUUAAUUUAAAUUAAUGCAUUAUCGCUUUAUUUAAAUUCCCGCGUUAUCACUGUUUUAUUUAGCCAUGCCUAUUUACCUUUGUUAUGACCUUAUUAUUAUUGCUAUUGUUAUUAUUACCUUGUUCACCCUAGGAUAAACAAAACCCCAACUAGUGGGUAUUCUAUUCAUGGUUCCACUAGUAUGAAUUUAGGUAGAUGCUUCGCUGAUUAAUUAGGCAAUAUUAGGUGGUUUUAUAACUUUAGACUUUGGGAAUUCUCAUAUCAUUUGGACACUAUGGAAUUGUUGGUUUAAGGUGGAAUUGGACAUACACCUCUCUUCCUCUUUCAAAACCCCUAAAACCUGUUUUCGGUGGGGUUUGGGUGCAUGCCAGUUGUGGGAAGUAGCACCCCGGCCACUAUAAGGAUUAAGCUCGGGCCUCUGUUGCAAAGCACUACCGUACUUCCACAUGUCUAGUGGGUAAGGCUUAGUUUGUGGCUCAGUCUGGUCAUAAACAAAAGUACACGGAUGGAGAUGGAUGAAGUCGGGGGUCGAUGGACAUUCUCUAGGACAAAUGAAGGCUACACGAGCUGCGGCCCGGUAGUCGAGAUGUCAUGGCACAGGGUUGGUGCCCUGCUGCUAGGGGCUCAGUCCUGCCUGCCUGUCCCGGAGGUUCCGGCCGUAGGUGGGAUUGGGUCGGUACUCUUGUCUAUGGCUAGGAUGGGUUGGAAACUAUGUCACGUCUUCCGUCUGUAUACCGUGGUGGUAUGUGGCACGUGGUUGCACGUGAGGAAGAUGUGUCUUGUGGGUAAAGAUGUACACCUCUGAUCAGAGUAUAAUCUAUUCGAAUAGCCGCGCCCUCGGUUAUGGGCAAGCCGAGCAAUGUACCCAAGUCAGUGUUUUAAUUCUUAAAAUUUGCUCAACAACUAAUAUGUGGAAUGGUUGGCCUGGGUUGGCUUGGGACGAGCUGGGACCCAGGGUCGGGUUGCCAGUUCGGUCUGAAUCAUCGUAGGCCUUGGGUUAAGGCAGGUUCGUGAGGGUUCACGGCCUUGUUUAAUAAUACUGUGUAGCUCUAGGAUCGUCUUUAUAAAAUGGCUUUGGGCAACUAAGUGACUUUUAAAUGCUGCUUUCUGCAAAACUUAACCCCUAUAUUAUUACCCCUUGUACCCCCUUGCAUUAAUCAUGCAUCUGCCGGUGUGGCUUGCUGAGUACUGUGGUUGUACUCAUUCUUGCUCAAUCUUUCCCCUCUUCAGUAAGAGAAGCUUUGGAGAAGAUGUCUUAGGUGGAGUCCUGGCUUAUACCCCAGUUGAGCGCCUGUGAAGAUGGAGCCGUAGGCCCGCUAGUCCGCUGCUGUUUAUUUUUGAUUGUCAGGCCUUAAGUGCCUUUGUAAUAAUGUAAAUAUUAUCGAUAUAAUAAAGAUGUGUCUUUUAUAUCAUGUUUGUGUGGUGUACCCCGGCUUUUCCUGGGACGGGGAUUAAUACACUAGCGUUCGGGAAAAGGCAAUUUUCCCGGUCGCGACAUUCGAGAAGCCACCCCUGACUGCCGAGUUCCUUACGACAGCCCGUCAUGACCAUACAACCGGGGCUAAAUAUGGAGGAGUACCCUCCCCAGGGAAUUAACUUAGGAUUAUAUACAUGCGUGGAGGAAUACCCGUACUGAGCUGUCACCAUCAGCGGCCCACCUCUCAUCCGCAGCAUAUAACCCCAAAUAAUGAUAUCCCGUAAUCUAGACACCACGUCUAAACUACCAGAUACUACUCUAAUAUCAUCAUCAUGAUGUAGAGUAAUUGCAUAAGCAAACAUUAUACACGCAUCUCCCAGAUAAGCUAGCAGCUUAUUCAGUAUAACAUGAACAUAAUGUAAAGUAGGCAUUCAUAUACUAGGAAAGUAUUUCAAUACCAUAAAUAUAUAGAGAAGAGUAUUCUAAUAAUAUUACAAAGCUUACAAAAGAGAAGAAAAGAGCUACUACAGCCAUACCCGAACUCUUCGGAAGGCUUCCGGACUCCUGAUUUCUAUUCUAUUCCUAUUCCACUAGCUUGAUACUACUAAACUAAACUUAAGAGAAUAUGAGAGAGCUUUGCUUGAGGUGUGUGUUGAAGUGAAGAGAGUGAGUCCUUAUAUAGGCUGCCAAUGACGGUUGUGGCAGUUGGAAUGGUCGGAAUUGCCCUCCAACAGUCAUUGGGGAGGGAUCCAUGCCGUACAGCCAAAACCUGGAUCCAACGGCGCCAGAGGAGGUUCGGCCCAACCCCCUGGUGUCACGACCGGAAAUAACCCACCGGGCGUUCCUUACGUGCGUGCAUUAAUCCUUGUCCCAGGAGGCAAGGUACACCAACAGUUGAUACAAUUCAGAGUUUAACAAGCGGAAGCGUAAAUAGUUAAUUUAUUACAUGGGCAGCAAAGGCCCAGCACACACAAAGACAAACGAGAAACAGCGGAAGACUAGGGCGACGACCACAGGCGCUUGACGGCAGGCACGAGCUAGACACCAAAACCUUCAUCUUCCAGGAACUCCUCUUCUGGGUUCGGGAAAAAUUGAGCAAGACUGAGUACAACCACCGUACUCAACAAGACACACCCACAAGUGCAGAAUAAAUGCAAGGGAGUACAAAGGAGUUAUACUAUAAAGGGUUAGGGUUUGCAGUAAACAGCAUUUAAAGGUACUUAGUUGCUCAAAGCUAUUUUGUAAAUACGAUUCUAGAACUAUACCAUAUUAUUUAUCAAGGCCGUGAACCCACACGAACCUGCCUUAACCCAAGGCCUACGAUGAUUCAGACCGAACUGGCAACCCGACCCUGGGUCCCAGCUCGUCCCAAGCCAACCCAGGCCAACCAUUCCACAUUUUAGUUGUUAAGCCGGUUUUAAGAAUUAAAACACUAACUUGGGUACAUUGCUCGGCUUGCCCAUAACCGAGGGCGCGGCUAUUCGAAUAGAUUAUACUCUGAUCAGAGGUGUACAUCUUUACCCACAAGACACAUCUUCCUCACGUGUAACCACGUGCCACAUACCACCACGGUAUACAGACGGAAGACGUGACAUAGUUUCCAACCCAUCCUAGCCAUAGACAAGAGUACCGACCCAAUCCCACCUACGGCCGGAACCUCUGGUACAGGCAGGCAGGACUGAGCCCCUAGCAGCAGGACACCGGCCCUGUGCCAUGACAUCUCGACUACCGAACCGCAGCCCGUGUAGCCUUCAUUUGUCCUAGAGAUGUCCAUCGACCCCCGACUUCGUCCACCUCUAAUCCGUGUACUUUUGUUUACAACCAGACUGAGCCACAAACUAAGCCUUACCCACUAGACAUGUGGAAGUACGGUAGUGCUUUGCAACAGAGGCCCGAAGACCGGUCCUUAUUUGGCCGAGGUGCUUCUAUCAAAACCAUGCACCCCGAGCCCAGCCCAAAACCAUUUUGGGGAUUUUGAAUAGAGGGGGAGGUGUGAAUCCAAUUCCACGGUAAUCCAACAAUUCCAUAGUGUCCAGGUGAUGAGAAUAUUCCCAAAGUCUAGAGUUGUAAAAUCACCUAAUGUUACCUAAUUAAAAGCGAAGCAUCUACCUAAAAUCAUACUGGUGGUACCAUGAGUAGAGUGUCCACUAGUUGGGGUUUUGUUUAUUCUAGGGUGAACAAGGUAAUAAUAACAAUAACAAUAAUAAUAAGGUCAUAACAAAGGUAAAUAGGCAUGGCUAGAUAAAAUAGUGAUAACGCGGGAAUUUAAAUAAAGCGAUAAUGCAAUAAUUUAAAUCAACAUAAUUUUAUAAACUGGGAUUCAAUAUAUUCAAGGAUGAUGUGACUUGCCUUGCUCGCUUUCCCAAACGUCGGCUUCAACCUCCACGAAGAGCGGAUCUUCCGAAGCUGCAGCGUCUACACGACCAACGGAAAAGAAAAGGCUUUUACUCUAAUAAACUCCAUAUAACAAGCAGAAACAAAGCACAAAAAUGGGUUCUUGACUUCUUAAGGAAAAAUUAGAGACUUGAACGGUCCAAUUCCGAGUUCAAAUGGCCAAGUUAUGGCCAUUUGAAGGUUAUAUGCUCUUUAAAUGGAUAUUUGCGAAUUUCUUCAUUUAAAUUUUAAUUUAAAAUCGGAUUUAUUGCGUCAGCUGAGGGGAGGGGCGCACGGACCGGGUCCACGGGAGUGGGGCCCACGCGGCAGCCUCACGGUCCACGGUGGACCAGGUGCACGCGGCUUACGCCGGCCGGCGCCGUGGGUCCCACGCGUCAGCCGCACCCGAGGGCGCGGGCGGCUGACGGCCGGGCCCCACAUGGCAGCCGCGGGGCGCGCCCGAAGGCGGCCUCGCCGGCACAGCCGACGGGAGGCGGCGCGCCCGCGCCCCUAUGGUCGCCGGCGGCGGCCAUAGGCACGGCGGAGCGGCGGCCGGGAGAGGGGAGGGAAGGGGGAAACGAAAUGGGCGGUCCACGGCUCACCCCGGGUCGACGGCGACGACGGGAACGGCGACCGGAGCGGAGGAAGGCGGCGGCGCGACUCGGGUCGACGAGGACGGCGGUGUUCCGGCGGUCGGCGGGCGAAACGGAGGGGUGGACGAGGUCGGCGAGGACGCGGCGAAGCCGAAGAAGGCGACGCCGAAGCGGGAGAAGGUCCGGGGCGACGACGGCGGCGGACCGGAGCUCGGCGGUGACGGCGGAGAGAGGGAGCGACGGCGCGAGCUCGAUUCCGACGGAGAGAGAGAGCGGCGAGGGUCGGAAACGGCGGAGGGAGGCACGGGGAGUGUUUAUAUAGGGUUGGGAGGGGGAGAGAGCGGCCGGAUGAGGGGGAAUCGGCUGCGGAAGAUCCGGCCGCCAUUGAUGCGCCGGCGAGGUUUAGGGGGAAAUGAUUCCGAGCGAAUCCGAGGGAGAGAGAGAGGGAAAAAUGGGGGGAAAGGGGGAGGGAAUCACGGGGAGUGAUUUCCCCCUCUUUAUUGCGCGCGUGGACGGCGGGAGGCGGCGGGAUUCGCGGCGGCGGCGGCGCUAGGGCACGGGCGAGGCGGCGGGAGCGGCGCGAGGUAGGGGAUGACGGGUGGGCCCCACCCGUCAGCGAGGGUGGCGGGCGGGCCCGCCCGUCAGCGGCGCGCGCGCGGGGAGGAGGCCGAUUGGGCCGCGGGGGAGAGGAGAGAGAGGGAGAGGGAGGUGGGCCGAGCCGGCCCAAGAGGGGAAGGGGGGGAAGAGGACUUUUUAGGGUUUUUCUUUUUAUAAACUCAUUUUAACUUUGUUUAUUUCUUUUUAAUUAUUAUUUGUGCUCUGAAAAUUCCACUAAAAUUUAUUUACGCAUUUUAGGCUUUUAGGAAAUAUACAAAAAUCCUCCAAGCCUUAUUUGACUUUUAACUUAGCACAUUUUAAUUGUUGGAGGCUUUCACAAGGAUUUUACUUAUUCUAUGCAUAAUUUCGAGGAUGUAUUUUAGAGUCGUUUUGGGACGCGACACCUGGUUCGUCCGAACCAGGGGCCGGCCCAACCUGGCCCAAAUUCGGCAAGUGGCCUCCUCCGUUGCUUCACUUCAUAGACUUGUGAAUUUUGGCCCAAUUCAUCGUGUCAAUUCUGAGUUCUUGGCCCAUUCAUGCAUAAGUAUGAUUCUCGACAUCGUCCGACUGAUUUACCGUCUGUGUUGAUAUCGAUUCUCCUCCACUUUAUGGUCAUUCUCUACAAAAAUGUUAGUAUACCUAAUACUAGUGGAAUAUUAUUAUUCUAACAUAUAUAUGCAUUGCAAGCAUUACAAGUUCUCCUUUAUUUUGAUAAUAUUGACGGUCGAAACUGAUCGAUAACGACCGUCAACAAAACUCCCCAAGCUUGAAACUUUGCUCGUCCCGAGUGAAGGACGAAAGGAAACAAAAACUUGGUUGUUGAUUAGGCGUUGCUACUAUGUUGUAUAUCUCAAAGAUACAGGUGCGGGGUAUAUGUACUCUCUCUCAGAUUAAAUAAUCUUUUGCACGGUGGCUUACCCUUACCCCUGAUUCCCACGAGACAAUGCUUCUCCUUGCCUUGAGCUGUUGAAAGACAGAACAACAAUUAGAGCACAAAUCACCCAAUAUUCAUCCAACUCUUAUUCCGGAUGUUUUCAAAUUAUUUUGCAAAAGAAAGCCUAUUUUCUCAAAUGAUUCACUUAGUAUCUCCAAGUGUAUCAAUACGACUUCCUCACCAAAUUUGCCUUGUUGAUUCCUACUCUAAAAUUUGAUAUGUGGAGCUCGGUAGGGAUCAAACAUGGCAUACUUGCAUUCACAUUUAUUACUAAGUCAAAAGCUUAGACUAAAGCAGAUAACUAAACAUACUCAAGAUCAAGAUCAUGCAAUGUGUGUGUGAUAUGUGGUGAAAUGAUAUAUGAUGAAUAAAGAAAAUGCUUCUCCUUUGUGCUUACUUUCUUCUCCCAAAAAUCCUUCUUUUAUUCAUUAGGAGAGGCCAUGGCUACUUUUUUUUUCAAUAUCAUGCUCAUGCUUGAUGGAGCAUAACUUUUUUUUUCAUAACCAUGCCUUUCCCUCCUCCUUCUUCUUUUUUUUUCAAAAUGAUUUUCUCUUUUAGGAGGAGAAAGCACUUGAAAGCAUGGAGAAUUUAUUUUGGUGGUAACAUGGAAAUGGAAUGGAAUAUUGCUCAGUUCCCAGUGUAGGAGUUUAGCAUGUGCAUAAAUGUGGGUGUAUGAUCUUGAUCAUAGAGCAUGAGAAGUAUUUACACAAGUCACAAGAGUUUGACAAGGUUCAAUGGAAUGGCAAGUAACCCUCAAUUUAUAUCAAAUGAGGAACCCUCAAUUUUACCAUUUUGAUAAACAAAACAUCCGGAAUUCAAGUCAAAAUAGGAUCAGGAUCAUAGCAACUCUUAUUUACUAUCUCAUAUCUUACAACAACUUAGACUCAGAUCAGCAAGUGCAGCUCAUUUACCUUAGGUUUCCAGAUAAUUGUUGGCUACUUAUAUUUAACCUUUGUGAGAGCACUUACCUAUGAACCCAUAUAUAAGAGAUAUAAAACAGAGCAACUAUUCAUCAUUUCAACGAAGAGAACUAGCUUGUAUUACCUAGAAUGACUCAAACCUAUCCUAUCUUUUUGGUAUUUUCAAUUUUGCAAAUUUAUAUGUUGUUUUCAGUUUAUAAGAUGCAAUUGAAAAGCAAACAUGCAAUUGGAAAGGGAAAUAUGCAAUGUGAUACAAGUUACCUCAGUGGGGGGAGAGAUGUCUCCCCCCAAGCUUGGCUUUCGCUCAGGAUCCUUGAUAAGGAUUGAAUCCCUGGAAGCGGAAGUAUGCUUGAAGGUCAUCGUGCUGUUACUGCAUUAUGUUGUUGAAGUUGGUAAAUUGAGCAUCGGCAGAUUGUUGCCAUUCUUGCGUUUGUGCUAUGUGUUCCGUGAGGUUGUACUGGAUCUCCCCCGUCUGCACAUCAAAGGUAUCCAUUCUCGUAGUGAUUUCACCCAAGUCCCAACAAGAGGAACACGAGCACAAUUCACUUAGAGAUGGAGGCACACCACUUGAUCUGGGAGGUUGGUCGUCCCCCCAUUGUAUGUCAUGAGGCGCACGCCAUCGGUCCUCACUGGCACUUGCCCAGCUUGAGACUCCGAUGCUGUAGCGUGGAGCUUGGGUCCAUCCGGGUGCAUCCCCAGUUGGUUCCCAACCUGUCUCACGGGUGUUGAGGAUGAUGAGCUUUCCCGUUCAUUUCUUGCCAUGUUGCGCAUCUCCCUGUAUGCUCCACCUGCACGAGAUUCUUCUAUGGUUUGCAGGGGAAUGGUUAGUUCACGGCAGUUGUACAAAUGAUACCCCGCAUUUGGCAACGGGAUUUCAUUUGUACAACCGGAGAAAAAGUAUAUCAAAGAUCCAUCUACUCCAUGUUUCAGAAUAUGACCUUGCACUAGAUAAGUCUCAUCAAUACACGGACGAGAGGCUAAGAUAAAAGCAAUUUGGUCGCUAAUGAUCCCUAGCCCUUUUGCUAUCCGAGUAAUCAGAGAAGUGCAGUCAACAGGAGCAGAGAACUUUAUAUUCUCUAACCAUUGUCUUAUCAUACAUUUCAUAGGAGCAAUUUUGUUUUUUCUAACCAUGGCAAACAUGAUAAUCAAUUCAUCCCCCCUAAUGGAUCUAUGAUCACCUCUAGGAAACAAGGUCAUAGCAAUCCAUUUAUGCAUGAGCCUAAGUGUAGGAUUAUGAAUGUCAUUCGUCUUAGGUUUCUUGCAAAUUGGAGCACCAGAAAUAUCUUCUCAAAACCUAGGAAACAAGGUCAUAGCAAGCAAUCCAUUUAUGCAUGAGCCUAAGUGUAGGAUUAUGAAUGUCAUUCGUCCUAGGUUUCUUGCAAAUUGGAGCACUAGAAAUGAUCCCAAAACCUAUUUUUAUCGAACCCAGAAAUUCCUUUCUGAAGAUCAAUUUUACAGGAAUCAUGAAAACCAAGAAGUGUACUUAAUCCUUUCCAUGUAAGUGUGUAUUCCUUAUGGAAAAAGUGAAAGGAAAUUCCAUCUUCUAUUUCUUUCAAAGUGCACAGAAAUUGCAAAGUAAGCAAACGAGAACCAGGCUCAUCUACCGUAGCAAAUCUCUGCCAUCCAACAGCUUUCCAAAUAGCAUGAAAUUCAACAUCCAUACCUAUCUUUUUCAGCAGCUCCACAGAGUAUUCCCGCGUGUGAGCAUACUUCUGGUCACUCAGCAUGUAGUAGGCUUGUCUCUCUCUCUCACCGACAAGGUCGAGGUCGGUGUCGUUCAGGAGUCAUCAACAGUUGGGAGCGGUCUCUUGUUGUUGAGGAUAUCCUUGAGGUAACGUGCAUAUGUUGGCACUUGCAUUGCAUCCAACUACGGCAUCUUGAUGUGAAUCUUCUGGAUCACUCCAAGAAAACGUGCGAACUGCUCGUCUACUGACUGUUUCCUUUUCCUUUGAGGAAACGGCGGCAACUGUGUGUCGCAGUAUUCCUGCGGCAGAGCCUUCUUUGGCUGAAUCUCUUUGUCAGCCGAAUUAUCAGAUGGUGCUUCCUUGUUGAUACCGCUAGUCCCUGCAGGGUUAGGAUACGGCGGAUCACUAGUGGACUUACCUCCCCUCGUUGUGAUCGCCUUAACAUUUUCAAUGGAGGAAUCGGGCUGCCCCGGAAUCCUCCCAGAUUCAUUUGCAGGUACUAAUGUGGCCAAUUAAGCUAACUGAGUUUCUAUCAUUUUAUUGAAGCUCAGCUGGUUUUGAAAUGUAGAAGCGAAGCCAUUAUUGACAGUCCUUAAAUCAUAAUAUCGGACCGUCAAUACCUGCAUAUAAUGAAAUAAAACAUGGUAUCCAACUUAGUAGUAGGUAUUAAUACUAAUAAUUUUUACUAGUGUUGGUGAAAUAUGUGUAUGAAGGUAAUUUGCGGAGAAAACACAUCCGUCAAGCGAUAAACUACACCUCCACGCAUUCAAGACACGUUUACAUGGAUUAGAGGCCCAGUAAGUCAAUGAAAAACAUUUAGAAUUGGGUCUAAAUAUAGUGCAGGUUAUUAGGGGCCCAUUAAGCAACAUACCGGCCAAAGGAGAGGCCGGGAGGCGUGUUUUUGGGUUCGGCCGAACCGUUUCUAGCGCUUCCCGCCAUCUGCUUCCACAUGGACGGCUUGGAUUCCUUCCCAAAGGCUAUUGGAGGGUGUUUUGGACAAUUCCCAUGUCCCUAACCGUCAUUUGGAGCCUAUAUAAGGAGGUCUCCUUCUCACUUCAAGGACACACAACUUUGAGCUAAAUUAUAAGAGGCUCUAUUAUAUCUUUUGUACAUUAUAAUAAGGUAGAGAGUGAGGGGAAGCUCUGGAGGAGUGUCCGGAAGUUUGGCGCUCAUCCGACUUCUACCUCGACGAGUAUAGCUUUCUAGGAGGAAUUCGGGAGGAGUAUCGGAGCUGUCGGUACACUCUGCUCCGGAUUCGGAGAACUUCUUCUAUAAAGUAAGCAUCCGUGUUCCUUUCUUAUGUUAUUUAAUUACUUUGUCUAAGUAGGAUAUAUUUCCAUCUUUGCUGGUUCAUUGUUUAGUAUUUAUACUAAGUGCUUUAGUACUAGGACUCCGGAUAGAGAAGGAAUUUCCUGCGCAAGUAUUAGAGUAGUAAUUAAUAACUUAGACGUGGUGUCUAGUUUAGAGAUUACCUUUGUUUGUUGUGUAUCCCACGGAUUUGUCAGAGGUAGGCGGCAGGUGGUGACAGCCCUGAAUCCUGUCCUAGUAAUUCUCCACGUUUGGAUACAUCAAAGAGCUAUAGCCGGAACCACGUUGGCAGGCCAGCAGGGGUAGGUGCCCGAAGCAACAGAUAGGAAAUUACCUUUGCUUAGCGUAGAUAAUUAAAACCCAUAGAAAGUCCUCUCUAGCCUGGUCUACCUAUCAUCAGUUGUUGUCCUUGAAUAGUCUUAGCCUUAGGUAGAUUACGCAUGUUCCCUGAGUUAGAUAUCCUUUUGGGGUCACCCGAAGGUGAAGUGCUACAGUGGUAUUCCGUGCGCUUGUGGAUUUAUCUGUGGUCGUAAUAAAUACCAACAAGCUCAAGGCUAGAUAUGUGCCAUCCUCUAAUAGCUAAUCAUUCACUCGAACCUAUGAUAGAUUAUAUAAUUUGUGAUAGACUCCUCAAUCACCUUUGGCAUGGCCAUGCACUCCAUAAUCUAUAACAUUGAGGGGCCCAGAGAUAUCUCUCCAUAGGAGGGGCAAAUCACACUAUGAUUAUUCAUAUCCCACUACAUGUUUCAUAGCAUACCCGAAAACUACUUUUAUAACUACCCAAUUAUGGGGUAGCGUUUAGCAGUCCCUAAGUAAGCUACUACAUAUGUUGGGAACCAUGAUAAUCUCAUGUCUAAGAAUUCAACACCAACACUAAAUGAAAUCACUGAUGACACAACACAUAUGGCUCUUGCAGUGUCUCGAGUUGGGUCUAUCCAACAACAAGUUUGUCACGCCCGGAAUUUCUAUCCAAAAUUCCAAACGCUUACAUGUGUGUUAAACCCUCGUCCAGGAAUCAACCGAGGCACACAAUAACAAAUUGAUAAUAGAGUACAAGUAAAUAACUAUUUAAUACUCGCAAACAAUAAAAUAUUACAGAGGUAGAUAGUUCCUCUCAAAGAAUAACCUUCUACGCAGCGGAAAAAUAAGACUAUAACAAACUACGGAAGAGCUAUGGCGACUCCACUCCACAGGCAACUUAACCAGAACAAGCCUAAUCCUCCAGAUCAUCACCUUCACUGAGAUACUCCUCUUCUGAUGAUUGAAUAUUGCAAGAAUGAGCAUAUGACAUACUCAACAAGUCACACAGCAAAUAUGCAAGUGCACAAGAUAACAAAGGAUGGCAUAAUAUAGCUCAUUUGUAGAAACAGCAUUUAAUAAAUAUUUAAGAGAAUGGUAAAAACAGUUGAAUAAUUAAUCAAUAUUAAAUAACACCAUACAACACACCCAUGUUGCAUAGGGCCAACCUCAUAUGAACAACCAACCCCGGUUGUACAAAUCUAACCUCCAUACCAGGAAUAUACCAUUCCAAACCAGGAGUCAAAUUGAUUAUCACAAUUACCAUUAAUGAAUAACAUGGGACUAAUCACGAAAAACAUUGCUCAACUCACCCAUAACCGCGGGUAUGGCUAUUCGAAUAGAUUAAACUCUGAUCAGAGGUGUACCACUGUACCCACAAGACACAAUCCCACAACAUGUUACCAUGCGCCUUAGUACCACCACGAUACCUCGGAAAGGAACUGUGACAAUACCCCUUGCAUAACACAACUCACCACAGUGCACCGUACCUGGAUCAUAAUCACCCCCUCUACAACCAGAGGCAUGGACUCCCCAGCGACCCCCACGGACUUCUCGCUGCUUCUCAGUCUGGCACUCCAUAAUGAAUCAUGCUAUACAAAAGGUAAAGCCGUUGCCCACGCUGGCUUGUGGUUGGCACGGUAAAAGUUUCACAACAGUAGCUCGCGAACCGGUCCAUAAUUAUCAUGAGCACAACCAUCAAAACCAUAUGCUCACAACCCACCUUAACCAGGUUUUAAUUAUCAAUUAAUUAACAUCACACGAUCACCCAUCGUGAGCUACCAUUUAAUGUAACCAUAAUUAAAAUAAUAAUGUAACAUAGUCUAUAAUUAAUCCCUUUAGUUAGCUAAUGUUUCUAAGCACGGCUAAGCAAACUUACAUAUAGCAUUUAGCUGAACCAAUCCAACAUAUAAGGUUCAUGCUAAUCAAAUUAUAACCCAUAGGAAAAUAAGAUCAUCUUCGGCCGUUAAUUAAUUGGGAAGGUUCACCACCCGAUGACAUUCGAAAACAAUGCAUAGUUGAAAUAAAAUAAUAGCUUUAAACGGGUUUAACAUGCUCAAAGAGUUGUUUGGGAUCUGUGUGACUUGCCUUGGGCUUCCGCAAACGCUUCGGAACCUUCCUCAACGGAAAUGCUCUCCUCCGGAACGUCGAAAACUAAAGCAAUUAAACAAAAAUCAACAAAACAGUACAAAAACAAGCAUAAACAGUACAUGUGGAUAUUUUUAACAUGUAGAUCUUGAUUUUAGAAAAAUUUAGCAACUUGAACCACCUGAAACGGAUCUACGAUUAUUUAGUUAUGAUUUUCCGAAGAUUUAAUCUAUUAGAAAAAAAAAGAAAAAGGGAAAGAUGAUGAUGUCAUGAUGACGUCAUCAAUGGCGGCCUUGGCUCGGGCGGCACGACCACCGGCGCUACGGACCUUGGUCGGGCGAAAAGAGGGCACCUACGCGUAGAGGGCAACAAGACGAACGCAACGGUACUCACCAAUGCGCCCAACGACGACCGAUGGUGGCCGGCGACGAGAGGAGGCGGCGCGGCGGUUCGGUCGACGGCGGCGACGGGUCUCUGGCGACCGGCGACAACGGGGAGAGGGCGGCCGAGGUUCCUCACCUCCGUGCGCACCUAACGGCGGCGAGAGGAAGCGGCGGCGACGGCGAAAUCGAUGGCGCGGCGCGGCUGGAGAUCGCCGGCGGCGACGGCGAGACAAGGCGGCGUCGGCGGCGAGCUACGGGGCACGGGAGAGGACGGGAAUAGGGGCAAACGAAAGAGGGGAAUGUCGCGUCCUAAAACGACUCUAAAAUACAUCCUCGAAAUUGUGCCGAGAAUAAUUAAAAUUCGUGUGAAAGCCUCCAACAAUUAAAAUGUGCAAAUAUAAAAGUCAAAUAAGGCUUGGAGGAUUUUUGUAUAUUUCCUAAAAGCCUAAAAUGCGUAAAUAAAUUUUAGUGGAAUUUUCAGAGCACAAAUAAUAAUUGAGAAGAACUAAACAAAGUUAAAAAGGUUUUAUAAAAAGAAAAACCCUAAAAGAAGUCCUUUUCCCCCCCCUUCCCUUCUUGGGCCGGCUCGGCCCAAUUCCCUCCCUCUCUCUCCUCUCCCCCGCGGCCCAUCGGCCUCCUCCCCGCGCGCGCGCCGCUGACGGGCGGGCCCGCCCGCCACCCUCGCUGACGGGUGGGGCCCACCUGUCAUCGCCUACCUCGCGCCUCGCCCGCCGCCGCCCGUGCCCUAGCGCCGCCGCCGCCGCGGAUUCCGCCGCAUCCCGCCGUCCCCGCGCGCCAUAAAGAGGGGGAAAUCACUCCCCGUGAUUCCCUCCCUCUUUCCCCCCACUUUCCCCUCUCUCUCUCCCUCGGAUUCGCUCGGAUUCCAUCCCGCAAAGUUCGCCGGCGCAUCAAUGGAGCCCGAGAUCGCCGCGCCGGUUUCCUUCCUCCCCGGCCGCCCUCUCUCGCUCCCGUCCCUAUCUAAUUGUUCCCCGUGCCUCACUCCUCCGUUUCCGCCACUCGCCGCUCGCUCUUUCCGUCGGAUUCGUGCUCGCGCCGUUGUACUCUCUCUCCGCCGUCGCCGCCGAGCUCCGGUUCGCCGCCGUCGUCGCUCCGGACCUCCUCCCGUCUCGGCGUCACCUCCAUCGGCUUCGCCGUGUCCCCGUCAACCUCGUCCACCCCUUCGUUUCGCCCGCCGACCGUCGGAGCGCCGCCGUCCUCGUCGAUCCGAACCGCGCCGCCGCCUUCCUCCGCUCCGGUCGUCGUCUCCGCCGCCCUCGUCGUCCCGGGGUGAGCCGAGGACCGCCGUUCGCUUUCCCUCUUCCCUCCCCUCUCUCGGCCGCCGCUCCGCCGCGCCGUUGGUCGCCGGCGGCGACCAUCGGGGCGCGGGUGCGCCGCCUCCCGUCGGCCGUGCCGGCGAGGCCGCCUUCGGGCGCGCCCCGCGGCUGCCAGGUGGGGCCCGGCCGUCAGCCGCCCGCGCCCGCGGGUGCGGCUGACGCGUGGGCCCCACUCCCGUGGACCCGGUCCGCGCGCCCUCUCCCUCGGCUGACGCAAUAAAUCCGAUUUUUAAUUAAAAUUUAAAUGAAGAAAUUCGCAAAUAUCCAUUUAAAGAGCAUAUAAACUUCAAAUGGCCAUAACUUGGCCAUUUGAACUCGGAAUUGGACCGUUCAAGUCUCUAAUUUUUCCUUAAGAAGUCAAGAACCCAUUUUUGUGCUUUGUUUCUGCUGUUAUAUGGAGUUUAUUAGAGUAAAAGCCCUUUUCUUUUCCGUUGGUCGUGUAGACGCUGCAGCUUCGGAAGAUCCGCUCUUCGUGGAAGUUGAAGCCGACGUUUGGGAAAGCGAGCAAGGCAAGUCACAUCAUCUUUGAGCAUAUUGAAUCCCAGUUUAUAAAAUUAUGUUGAUUUAAAUUAUUGCAUUAUCGCUUUAUUUAAAUUCCCGCGUUAUCACUGUUUUAUUUAGCCAUGCCUAUUUACCUUUGUUAUGACCUUAUUAUUAUUGUUAUUGUUAUUAUUACCUUGUUCACCCUAGAAUAAACAAAACCUCAACUAGUGGACACUCUACUCAUGGCACCACUAGUUUAGUUUUAGGUAGAUGCUUCGCAAUUUAAUUAGGUAACAUUAGGUGGUUUUUCAACUAUAGACUUUGGGAAAUAUUCAUAUCACUUGGACACUAUGGAAUGGUUUGGUUAUUGUGGAAUUGGCUUCACACCGCUCCUUCUAUUCAAAAUCCCCAAAAUGGUUUUAGGCUGGGUUCAGGGUGCAUGGUUUUGAUAGUAGCACCUCGGCCAUAUAAGGACCGGUCUUCGGGCCUCUGUUGCAAAGCACUACCGUACUUUCACAUGUCUAGUGGGUAAGGCUUAGUUUGUGGCUCAGUCUGGUUAUAAACAAAAGUACACGGAUUGGAGAUGAAUGAAGUCGGGGGUCGAUGGACAUUCUCCAGGGCAAAUGAAGGCUACACGAGCUGCGGCCCGGUAGUCGAGAUGUCAUGGCACAGGGCCGGUGUCCUGCUGCUAGGGGCUCAGUCCUGCCUGCCUGUCCCGGGGGUUCCGGCCGUAGGUGGGAUUGGGUCGGUACUCUUGUCUAUGGCUAGGAUGGGUUGGAAACUAUGUCACAGCUUCCGUCUGUAUACCGUGGUGGUAUGUGGCACGUGGUUGCACGUGAGGAAGAUGUGUCUUGUGGGUAAAGAUGUACACCUCUGAUCAGAGUAUAAUCUAUUCGAAUAGCCGCGCCCUCGGUUAUGGGCAAGCCGAGCAAUGUACCCAAGUUAGUGUUUCAAUUCUUAAAACCUGCUUAACAACUAAAAUGUGGAAUGGUUGGCCUGGGUUGGCUUGGGACGAGCUGGGACCCAGGGUCGGGUUGCCAGUUCGGUCUGAAUCAUCAUAGGCCUUGGGUUAAGGCAGGUUCGUGUGGGUUCACGGCCUUGAUUAAUAACAUUGUAUAGUUCUAGGAUCGCGUUUACAAAAUAGCUUUGAGCAACUAAAUGUCUUUAAAUGCUGUUUUCUGCAACCCUAACCCCUUUAUAGUAUAAUUCCUUUGUACUCCCUUGCAUUUAUUCUGCAUUUGUGGGUGUGUCUUGUUGAGUACGGUGGUUGUACUCAGUCUUGCUCAAUUUUUUCCCAAGCCCAGAAGAGGAGCUCCUUGAAGAUGAAGGCUUUGGUGUCUAGCUCGUGCCUGCCGUCAAGCGCCUGUGGUCGUCGCCCUAGUCUUCCGCUGUUUCUCGUUUGUCUCUGUAAUAAGUUAUCUAUUUACGCUUCCGCUUGUUAAACUCUGAAUUGUAUCAACUUUUGGUGUACCUUGCCUCCUGGGACAAGGAUUAAUGCACGCACGUCAGGAACGCCCGUUGGGUUAUUUCCGGUCGUGACAAGUUGGUAUCAGAGCCACCCUUGACCCUAGGACGAGCCGUAGAUCCCAAGCCUUAGCAAUAUUUUCAAAAAUAAAAAUCUUUUGUUAUUUGUGAAAACUGUCUAGUCUCUCUCUGUCUUGCUGCUUCAUUUAUCGCCAAAAUCUGACCUUUAAAAUGUUGUCUUUUCUUUUUGUUUUUGUUUGUAGAUGGCCGGCAGCGUCACCCGUCGUGGUUUGGACAUGACUGGCUUUGUCUUGGAGCUGCGGGGCAUGUGCGUGGUCUUGGGGUAUCCACAUGGAGUGGACUACCAGGCCAGGCCGCUUCCGGAGCAGGAGGGUGACGAUGCAGAGCCCCACGCUGGUUGGGAGGUCACUGCAGUGAUCCUCUCUGGUUCUCCCGAGCGGACUUCGCUGGCAGUCACCGCGGGUGGAGAUUCCUUCCCCGCCGCUUGCCAGAACGCCGCUCUCCUCGCCAUCGGCACUCUUCACCAGCGCUACCCGGACGAGUUGCAGCACUCGCCCUACCGCUACCACCCUCGUCGCGGAGGAGCCCGCGACUACGCCACCUUCCGGGAUGCUAGCUCGGAGGAUGACGCUACCAUCGUGCACCUGGCGCGCAUGGUGGAGGCGUACGACGCGGCUCGUAUCGACUUCCACCAGAUGGUACACCGUGGGAUGGUCGAGAACAACUUGAAGAUCCUGGAGCUGCGUCAGGAGAACCUGCAGCUCAAGAAGGACCUAGACGCGGUGGAGGUGCAGCUGCAUCAGCUCAAGAUCGCCCAGGGAGAGGUCUGCCGCCCCAAGCGUCGCCGUGUCUGCCGCAGCCAGAAGAUCACCGCCCGCAAGAGCACCUCCAGGCCCGAGCUUGUUCGUCAGUCCCUGGCGUGGACUUGCUUCGUCGAGACCCCUCGUGCCGAGCCCGCGCCCGUGGUUCCCCAGGAGGGGGAAGCCUCCGGCGUUGGUAGCACGGAGGAUGCGCUGUUGCUCACCUUCCGUCCUGGCCCGUCGCAGCGGUAGACGAGCAGUUAGUAGGCUUGCGCGUGUGUUCUUUCUUGUUUGUCUUUUGUUUGAGUCGUGUGGGGCAUGGUCAUGCCGGUGUGUGGCAUAACUGUGUCGGAGCCUGUCUUAUUUUAUUUGCCUAAGCAACUUGAACUUUAAUGAACCCAUUUAAUAGCAGUAAUAAAUUCAAGAAUUAUGGUAGUCGUGGGUGGUUAGUUUUAAUUGUUAGCUCUUUCUCUGUUUGCUGGUUCUGUGUGGGGUUUUCAGAUGGUGACGACCAGGAGAAAUGCUGCCACCGGUGAUGGCAACCAACCUGAAGGCAGCAACCACAACCACCCGGGCAACCCACCUCCACCUCCUCCUCCGCCUCCACCACCACCACCAGAUACCAAUGCCAUUCUCACCCAAAUCCUCGCCCAGCAGGCCAACAUGAUGACUGCUUUCCUCCACCACCUCCAAAAUCCACCACAACAGAAUGCUCCACCACCACCCCCACAACACUCUAAACUCGCCGAGUUCCUCCGCAUCCGUCCACCCACCUUCUCUAGCUCCAACAACCCCGUGGAUGCGUUGGAUUGGUUGCAUGCCGUGGGGAAAAAGCUAGACACGGUGCAGUGCAGCGAUGAGGAGAAAGUCAUCUUCGCCGCCCACUAGCUGCAGGGGCCCGCAUCUCUAUGGUGGGACCAUUUCCAAGCUACGCAGCCAGAGGGGCAACCUAUUACUUGGGCCCGCUUCACCGCCGCUUUCCGGAGGACCCAUGUGCCCGCUGGAGUCGUGGCUCUUAAGAAAAGGGAAUUCCGAGAGUUGAAGCAAGGCAACCGCUCCGUGAUGGAGUAUUUGCAUGAGUUCAACAAUCUGGCCCGUUACGCCCCGGAGGAUGUGCGGGAAGAUGAGGAGAAGCAAGAGAAGUUCUUGGCAGGAAUGGACCCCGAGCUGUCCGUCCGUCUAGUCUCUGGGGACUAUCCGGAUUUUCAACGAUUGGUGGACAAGAGCAUCCGCUUGGAGGCCAAGCACAAGGAACUGGAGUCGCACAAGCGCCGCUUGGCGAAUUUCCGCAAUCAGCAGGGUGCUAACCAAAGGGUCCGCUACACCAAUCCCUAUCCAGGGGGAUCCUCCUCGCAGCAGCAACAACAGCAGCAGCAACCUCGCUCCGCGCCUCGACCUCAAUUCGUGGUGCGCGUCCCACAGCCGCAGCAGCAGCAGAAUCAGCAAGGGACUCGUGCGCCCCGUCCUCCUACGCCGACUGUGCAGCCCGGUCAAGGCCGCAGGGACGCUCAAGGUCAGCAGCGUCUGUGCUUCAACUGCUUCGAGCCCGGGCACUUUGCGGAUAAAUGCCCGAAGCCAAGGCGUCAGCAAGGUCAAGCGCCUCCCCGCUCCAACAACGGUGGGAAGGAUGUCAUUCGGGGUCGUGUGAAUCACGCGACGGCCGAGGACGUGCUGACAACUCCAGACGUCAUCGUUGGUACGUUCCUCGUUCAUUCCAUCCCUGCUACCAUUUUGUUCGACUCUGGAGCUUCCCACUCGUUUAUAUCUGUGCCAUUCGUGGGGAGAAAUCAGUUGGGGGUAGAAAGGCUUAGGAACCCUCUGCUCAUCACCACCCCUGGAGGGGUUAUGACAGCAAAGUAUUAUAGCCCUGCCGUCCCUAUAGAAAUUCAGGGGAUUCCUUUUCCCUCGGAUCUGAUUCUGCUAGACACCAAGAAUUUGGAUGUGAUUCUUGGGAUGAAUUGGUUGGCUCAAUUCCAAGGAGUAGUGGAUUGCGCGAGGCGCACUGUCACUCUGUACCGAGGGCCGGAACAACCGGUUGUUUUCUUUGCACCCCCAACCUCUGUCAGAAGUUCAGAACGGCAUCAGAUAGGACUGUCAGAAAUCCCCAUCGUCAGGGAGUUCGGAGAUGUGUUUCCGGAAGAACUACCCGGUAUGCCGCCCAAGCGAGAGAUUGAGUUCCGGAUAGAUCUUGCUCCAGGAACCACUCCUCUGCACAAGCGACCCUACCGUAUGGCAGCAAAUGAACUGGCCGAAGUAAAGAAACAGUUGGAAGAGUUGAAAGAAAAGGGGUACAUACGUCCGAGUACUUCCCCCUGGGGUGCUCCUGUGAUUUUUGUGGAGAAGAAAGACAAGACUAAGAGGAUGUGCGUUGACUACAGAGCUCUCAAUGAAGUCACCAUCAAAAACAAGUACCCUCUUCCCCGGAUCGAUGAUCUGUUCGAUCAGCUUAAAGGUGCCACUGUAUUCUCCAAGAUUGAUCUUCGUUCUGGAUAUCACCAAUUACGUAUUCGUGAAGAAGAUAUUCCGAAGACCGCAUUCACCACGCGAUACGGGCUGUAUGAAUUCACGGUGAUGUCAUUCGGCCUAACCAAUGCACCUGCCUUCUUCAUGAACUUAAUGAACAAAGUGUUCAUGGAAUACUUGGAUAAGUUUGUUGUGGUUUUCAUUGAUGACAUUCUGAUAUACUCACAAUCAGAAGAAGACCAUCAGCACCAUCUCCGUCUGGUGUUGGGAAAGUUGCGGGAACAUCAAUUGUAUGCCAAGCUUAGCAAGUGUGAGUUCUGGUUGUCCGAAGUCAAAUUCUUAGGGCACGUGAUAUCUGCUAAAGGAGUUGCUGUGGACCCCGAAACAGUGACCGCCGUCACCGAUUGGAAGCAACCCAAGACAGUUACUCAAGUCCGCUGUUUCUUAGGUUUGGCAGGAUACUACCGGAGAUUCAUCGAGAACUUCUCCAAAAUCGCUCGACCCAUGACACAGUUGUUGAAGAAAGAAGAGAAAUUUGUGUGGAGCCUGCAAUGCGAGAAGGCGUUCCAAACUCUCAAGGAAAAGCUGGUUUCCUCGCCGGUGUUAAUCUUACCGGAUACUCGCAAGGACUUCCUGGUGUAUUGUGACGCUUCGCGCCAAGGAUUGGGGUGCGUGCUCAUGCAGGACGGUCACGUGGUAGCCUAUGCCUCACGUCAGCUACGACCUCAUGAAGGCAACUACCCUACACAUGAUUUGGAGUUAGCCGCGGUGGUUCAUGCUCUAAAAAUCUGGCGGCACUAUCUUAUUGGGAAUCGCUGUGAAAUAUAUACUGAUCAUAAGAGUUUAAAAUACAUCUUCACCCAGUCGGAUCUGAAUCUUCGGCAAAGGAGAUGGUUAGAACUCAUCAAGGACUAUGAUGUGGGAAUUCACUAUUAUCCUGGUAAGGCCAACGUGGUUGCCGACGCUCUAAGUCGAAAGGGCCAUUGCAACACUCUUAACGUCCGUGGCAUUCCACCCGAACUUAAUCAACAGAUGGAAGCCCUGAACCUAAGCAUAGUUGGUCGCGGAUUCUUGGCCGCGCUAGAAGCCAAGCCCACCUUGCUCGAUCAAAUCCGCGAGGCUCAGAAGAAUGAUCCGGACAUGCAUGGACUCCUCAAGAAUAUGAAACAGGGUAAAGCCGCUGGUUUCACAGAGGAUGAACACAGAACCCUAUGGAACGGAAAUCGGGUAUGCGUUCCAGAUAACAGAGAACUUAAACAGCUGAUACUUCAGGAAGCUCACGAGAGUCCUUAUUCCAUUCACCCGGGCAGUACAAAGAUGUACUUAGACUUGAAGGAAAAAUACUGGUGGGUUAGUAUGAAGCGGGAAAUUGCAGAGUUCGUGGCCCUUUGUGAUGUGUGCCAGCGUGUCAAGGCAGAGCACCAACGACCGGCCGGACUUCUCCAACCUCUCCAAGUACCAGAAUGGAAAUGGGAUGAAAUUGGGAUGGAUUUCAUCACCGGACUUCCAAAAACCCAAGGUGGAUAUGAUUCUAUAUGGGUAGUUGUGGAUCGAUUAACCAAGGUAGCUCGAUUUAUUCCUGUGAAGACCACCUAUGGAGGGAACAAACUAGCAGAGCUCUACUUCGCUAGGAUCGUGAGUCUCCAUGGCGUUCCCAAGAAAAUCGUAUCUGAUAGGGGAAGCCAAUUCACCUCUCAUUUCUGGAAGAAACUCCAAGAAGAAUUGGGAACCCGAUUAAAUUUCAGCACCGCGUAUCAUCCGCAGACAGAUGGACAGACCGAGCGUCUAAAUCAGAUCCUAGAAGAUAUGCUCCACGCAUGUGUACUAGAUUUCGGGAAGACCUGGGAUAAGAGUCUCCCCUAUGCUGAGUUCUCCUACAAUAACAGUUAUCAAGCCAGCAUACAAAUGGCACCUUAUGAAGCGUUGUACGGGCGCAAAUGCCGGACACCGCUCUUGUGGGACCAAGUUGGAGAAAGCCAAGUGUUCGGGACUGAUAUCCUGAGAGAAGCUGAAGCUAAAGUCAGAAUCAUUCGGGAUAAUCUAAAGGUGGCACAGUCCCGGCAGAAAAGUUAUGCGGAUAACCGACGCCGUGAUCUGGAAUUCGCAGUGGAUGACUUUGUGUAUCUUCGGGUCACGCCAUUGCGAGGUGUACACAGGUUUCAGACAAAAGGGAAGCUCGCACCUCGGUAUGUGGGUCCUUUCCGUAUCAUUGCUCGACGCGGAGAAGUCGCUUACCAGCUGGAGCUGCCCGCCUCCUUGGGCAACGUGCAUGAUGUGUUCCAUGUGUCGCAACUCAAGAAAUGCCUUCGAGUGCCAUCCGAGCAGGCCGACUCAGAGCAGAUUGAAGUUCGCGAAGACUUGACCUAUGUGGAGAGGCCAGUGAAAAUCCUGGACACCAUGGAGCGCAGGACCAGGAACCGGGUAAUCCGUUUUUGCAAGGUCCAGUGGAGCAACCAUGCCGAAGAAGAAGCUACUUGGGAGCGUGAAGACGAGCUGAAGGCAGCCCAUCCCGAUCUCUUCGCCAGUUCUUCCGAAUCUCGGGGUCGAGAUUCCGUUUAAGGGGGGUAGGUUUGCCGCGUCCUAAAACGACUCUAAAAUACAUCCUCGAAAUUGUGCCGAGAAUAAUUAAAAUUCGUGUGAAAGCCUCCAACAAUUAAAAUGUGCAAAUAUAAAAGUCAAAUAAGGCUUGGAGGAUUUUUGUAUAUUUCCUAAAAGCCUAAAAUGCGUAAAUAAAUUUUAGUGGAAUUUUCAGAGCACAAAUAAUAAUUGAGAAGAAAUAAACAAAGUUAAAAAGGUUUUAUAAAAAGAAAAACCCUAAAAGAAGUCCUUUUCCCCCCCCUUCCCUUCUUGGGCCGGCUCGGCCCAAUUCCCUCCCUCUCUCUCCUCUCCCCCGCGGCCCAUCGGCCUCCUCCCCGCGCGCGCGCCGCUGACGGGCGGGCCCGCCCGCCACCCUCGCUGACGGGUGGGGCCCACCUGUCAUCGCCUACCUCGCGCCUCGCCCGCCGCCGCCCGUGCCCUAGCGCCGCCGCCGCCGCGGAUUCCGCCGCAUCCCGCCGUCCCCGCGCGCCAUAAAGAGGGGGAAAUCACUCCCCGUGAUUCCCUCCCUCUUUCCCCCCACUUUCCCCUCUCUCUCUCCCUCGGAUUCGCUCGGAUUCAAUCCCGCAAAGUUCGCCGGCGCAUCAAUGGAGCCCGAGAUCGCCGCGCCGGUUUCCUUCCUCCCCGGCCGCCCUCUCUCGCUCCCGUCCCUAUAUAAUUGUUCCCCGUGCCUCACUCCUCCGUUUCCGCCACUCGCCGCUCGCUCUUUCCGUCGGAUUCGUGCUCGCGCCGUUGUACUCUCUCUCCGCCGUCGCCGCCGAGCUCCGGUUCGCCGCCGUCGUCGCUCCGGACCUCCUCCCGUCUCGGCGUCACCUCCUUCGGCUUCGCCGCGUCCCCGUCAACCUCGUCCACCCCUUCGUUUCGCCCGCCGACCGUCGGAGCGCCGCCGUCCUCGUCGAUCCGAACCGCGCCGCCGCCUUCCUCCGCUCCGGUCGUCGUCUCCGCCGCCCUCGUCGUCCCGGGGUGAGCCGAGGACCGCCGUUCGCUUUCCCUCUUCCCUCCCCUCUCUCGGCCGCCGCUCCGCCGCGCCGUUGGUCGCCGGCGGCGACCAUCGGGGCGCGGGUGCGCCGCCUCCCGUCGGCCGUGCCGGCGAGGCCGCCUUCGGGCGCGCCCCGCGGCUGCCAGGUGGGGCCCGGCCGUCAGCCGCCCGCGCCCGCGGGUGCGGCUGACGCGUGGGCCCCACUCCCGUGGACCCGGUCCGCGCGCCCUCUCCCUCGGCUGACGCAAUAAAUCCGAUUUUUAAUUAAAAUUUAAAUGAAGAAAUUCGUAAAUAUCCAUUUAAAGAGCAUAUAAACUUCAAAUGGCCAUAACUUGGCCAUUUGAACUCGGAAUUGGACCGUUCAAGUCUCUAAUUUUUCCUUAAGAAGUCAAGAACCCAUUUUUGUGCUUUGUUUCUGCUGUUAUAUGGAGUUUAUUAGAGUAAAAGCCCUUUUCUUUUCCGUUGGUCGUGUAGACGCUGCAGCUUCGGAAGAUCCGCUCUUCGUGGAAGUUGAAGCCGACGUUUGGGAAAGCGAGCAAGGCAAGUCACAUCAUCUUUGAGCAUAUUGAAUCCCAGUUUAUAAAAUUAUGUUGAUUUAAAUUAUUGCAUUAUCGCUUUAUUUAAAUUCCCGCGUUAUCACUGUUUUAUUUAGCCAUGCCUAUUUACCUUUGUUAUGACCUUAUUAUUAUUGUUAUUGUUAUUAUUACCUUGUUCACCCUAGAAUAAACAAAACCUCAACUAGUGGACACUCUACUCAUGGCACCACUAGUUUAGUUUUAGGUAGAUGCUUCGCAAUUUAAUUAGGUAACAUUAGGUGGUUUUUCAACUAUAGACUUUGGGAAAUAUUCAUAUCACUUGGACACUAUGGAAUGGUUUGGUUAUUGUGGAAUUGGCUUCACACCGCUCCUUCUAUUCAAAAUCCCCAAAAUGGUUUUAGGCUGGGUUCGGGGUGCAUGGUUUUGAUAGUAGCACCUCGGCCAUAUAAGGACCGGUCUUCGGGCCUCUGUUGCAAAGCACUACCGUACUUCCACAUGUCUAGUGGGUAAGGCUUAGUUUGUGGCUCAGUCUGGUUAUAAACAAAAGUACACGGAUUGGAGAUGAAUGAAGUCGGGGGUCGAUGGACAUUCUCCAGGGCAAAUGAAGGCUACACGAGCUGCGGCCCGGUAGUCGAGAUGUCAUGGCACAGGGCCGGUGUCCUGCUGCUAGGGGCUCAGUCCUGCCUGCCUGUCCCGGGGGUUCCGGCCGUAGGUGGGAUUGGGUCGGUACUCUUGUCUAUGGCUAGGAUGGGUUGGAAACUAUGUCACAGCUUCCGUCUGUAUACCGUGGUGGUAUGUGGCACGUGGUUGCACGUGAGGAAGAUGUGUCUUGUGGGUAAAGAUGUACACCUCUGAUCAGAGUAUAAUCUAUUCGAAUAGCCGCGCCCUCGGUUAUGGGCAAGCCGAGCAAUGUACCCAAGUUAGUGUUUCAAUUCUUAAAACCUGCUUAACAACUAAAAUGUGGAAUGGUUGGCCUGGGUUGGCUUGGGACGAGCUGGGACCCAGGGUCGGGUUGCCAGUUCGGUCUGAAUCAUCAUAGGCCUUGGGUUAAGGCAGGUUCGUGUGGGUUCACGGCCUUGAUUAAUAACAUUGUAUAGUUCUAGGAUCGCGUUUACAAAAUAGCUUUGAGCAACUAAAUGUCUUUAAAUGCUGUUUUCUGCAACGCUAACCCCUUUAUAGUAUAAUUCCUUUGUACUCCCUUGCAUUUAUUCUGCAUUUGUGGGUGUGUCUUGUUGAGUACGGUGGUUGUACUCAGUCUUGCUCAAUUUUUUCCCAAGCCCAGAAGAGGAGCUCCUUAAAGAUGAAGGCUUUGGUGUCUAGCUCGUGCCUGCCGUCAAGCGCCUGUGGUCGUCGCCCUAGUCUUCCGCUGUUUCUCGUUUGUCUCUGUGUGUGCUGGGCCUUCGCUGCCCAUGUAAUAAGUUAUCUAUUUACGCUUCCGCUUGUUAAACUCUGAAUUGUAUCAACUUUUGGUGUACCUUGCCUCCUGGGACAAGGAUUAAUGCACGCACGUCAGGAACGCCCGUUGGGUUAUUUCCGGUCGUGACAGGGAACUGGGGGGUCCUAUUUAUAGCCUUGGAUUGAAGAGAUCAGACUCCAAACGAGAGGAAUCGAAACCGGAAAAUCUUCGGGUUAGUUUGCAGAGAUAAAAUCAAAACGAGUUUGAUUCGGACAAGAUACACAACCAUUUGCUCCGAUUCUUGAGGGGAAAGAUAGAGGAAGAUGUGGGGAUAAAAACCCCCCUAACAAUCGGACUCGAUUGCGACCGAGGGCGGCGGUAUCGAUGGUGCAAACGGCGGCUCGGACGGCUCGGCCUGGCAAUCGGCCGGCUGGAGGAGGAAGAUGGGUCCGACAUGUGGGCCCUACAUGUCGGUGACCCGAGGAGGAGGGGCGGGCGGCGUCGGCUGGGCCGGCUUGGGCCGGUUCGGCCGCGCGGAAGAGAGAGGAAUGUUGGGCCGAAUUCGGCCCAACGGCUUAGGGAGGGGUUUUUGAACUUUUUUGAAUAAAAAUAAUUUGUGAAUUGUUGUUUCAAUUAUUAAAAAUACUUCCCUUGCUCAAACAAUUCCUAGAAAAAUCUAGAAAAUAGAGGAACAAGUAAAGUAUUUAAUAAAAUUUUAUCUAGCUCAUUUUUAUGCUGAAAAUUUUCCUAGAUAAUUAGGGUUUAACUUGUAGGCUUUUAAAAUAAUUUCUAAAAAUGAUUUAAACAAUGUAUUUUUACAUUAGACGAUUUUUAGGGCGUGACAAACCUACCCUCCUUAAACGGAAUCUCGUCCUCGUGAUUCAGAAGAACUGGCGAAGAGAUGAGGAUGAGCUGACUUCAAUUCAUCUUCUCGCUCCCAAGUGGCUUCUUCUUCUGAAUGAUUGCUCCACUGAACCUUGCAGAACCGUAUAAUGCGAUUCCUGGUAUUCCUCUCGCUUACUUCCAAGAUUCUGACUGGCUUCUCAACAUAAGUUAAAUCUUCUUGAAGCUCUAUACGAUCAGGAUCUGCUUCCUCCGUAGGUACACGUAAACAUUUCUUCAACUGCGACACAUGGAACACGUCAUGUAUUCCCGCCAUUGACGGAGGCAAUUCCAACUGAUAAGCUACCUCACCUCUUCGACUCACAAUCUUAAAAGGUCCCACGAAACACGGUGCCAAUUUCCCUUUGGUCUGGAAACGAUGAACACCUCGUAACGGCGUAACCCGAAGGUAUACAUAAUCUCCUUCUUCGAAAGCCAAAUCUCUGCGACGAUUGUCGGCAUAGCUCUUCUGACGUGACUGAGCAACGCGCAACCUUUCUUGGAUAAUCUUCACUUUUUCUUCUGCCUCUCGCAAUAUGUCUGUCCCAAAAACUUGACGUUCACCGGUUUGAUCCCAAAGGAGCGGCGUACGGCACUUUCGGCCAUAUAAUGCUUCAUACGGAGCCAUUUGCAAACUAGCUUGAUAACUGUUGUUAUAUGAGAAUUCCGCGUACGGCAAAUUCUUAUCCCAACUUCCACCAAAAUCUAGAACACAGGCUCUCAACAUAUCUUCUAAAAUUUGGUUUACUCUUUCCGUCUGACCAUCUGUUUGAGGGUGAUAAGCGGUACUGAAAUUCAAACGGGUACCCAUCUCUACUUGUAAUUUCUGCCAAAACUUCCAAGUAAACUGGCUACCUCUAUCUGACACUAUCUUCUUAGGAACGCCAUGCAAACAUACCACUCUGGCCAUGUAUAAUUCUGCAAGCUUAUUCCCCGUGUAGGUUGUUUUGACCGGUAUGAAGUGAGCGACUUUUAUCAACCUAUCAACCACUACCCAAAUAGAAUCAUGUCCUGCCGACGUUCUGGGUAGACCGGUUAUAAAAUCCAUUCCUAUUUCUUCCCACUUCCACUCUGGAAUCUUCAACGGUUGUAACAGACCGGCUGGCUUCUGAUGUUCUGCCUUGACCCGCUGACAUACAUCACAUAGAGCCACAUAUUCUGCUAUCUCACGUCGCAUACUGGCCCACCAGAAUUGUUGCUUUAGGUCUUGGUACAUCUUAGUGCUUCCAGGGUGAAUGGAAUACAAAGUUUCAUGAGCUUCUUUCAUGAUAGUAUCCUUCAACUCCUUAUUAUCUGGGACGCAAAUUCUUUCUCCUAACCACACAGUUCCUUGCUCAUCUUCUACAUAACCGAUGGCUUUUCCUCUUCUCAUGUUCUUUUUUAUUUCUGGGAUAUCAGGAUCAUUCACUUGAGCUUCUCUAACUUGAUCAAACAGAGUAGGUUGAGCUUCCAAAGUAGCCACAAAACCUUUGCUGACUAUAUCCAAGUUUAACUUUUCAAAUUCUUGGCAUAACUCCCAAGGUAAAUGUCGACCUUCUGACAUAUUACAGUAGCUUUUCCGGCUAAGAGCAUCGGCUACAACAUUUGCUUUCCCCGGGUGAUAGUGGAUUUCCAUAUCAUAAUCUUUAAUCAACUCUAACCAUCUUCGCUGACGCAUGUUCAAAUCAGGUUGAGUGAAAAUGUACUUCAAACUUUUAUGAUCCGUAUACAUCUCUGUACGGUUACCGAAAAGAUAAUGACGCCAAAUCUUCAAUGCAUGCACCACAGCUGCCAACUCUAGGUCAUGCGUUGGGUAGUUAUUCUCAUGAGGACGUAAUUGCCUAGAUGCAUAGGCAACCACCUUUCCUUCUUGCAUCAUCACACAACCCAAACCGAGUCGGGAUGCAUCACAAUACACUUGGAAACCUUUCCUCGAAUCAGGCAAAAUUAACACAGGCGCAGUCACUAGCCUUUUCUUCAGUUCUUGGAAACUUUGUUCACAAUCCUCUGUCCACUUGUACUUCACUUCCUUCUGAAGCAGACGAGUCAUUGGUCUAGCGAUCUUUGAAAAGUUCUCAAUAAACCUGCGGUAAUACCCCGCAAGUCCAAGGAAACUACGAAUUUCUGAAACCGUCUUGGGUUGCUUCCAACUUAACACUGACUCCACAUUGCUUGGAUCUACUGCCACUCCUCCCGACGAGAUGACAUGACCAAGAAACUUUACUUCGGACAACCAAAAUUCACAUUUACUGAACUUGGCAUAAAGCUGAUGCUCACGUAGUUUCUCUAAAGCUAGACGAAGAUGCUCUUCAUGUUCUUCCUUCGUCUUGGAGUAAAUAAGAAUGUCAUCAAUAAACACCACGACAAACUUAUCCAGAUAUUCCAUAAACACCUUGUUCAUCAGAUUCAUGAAAAAGGCUGGGGCAUUAGUGAGUCCAAAUGACAUAACGGUACAUUCGAACAAACCAUACCGAGUUGUGAAGGCGGUCUUUGGUAUAUCUUCCUCACGGAUUCGAAGUUGAUGAUAUCCAGAACGGAGAUCUAUCUUGGAGAAAACUGUAGCUCAUUCCUGUUGAUCAAACAGGUCAUCAAUUCUGGGUAGAGGAUACUUAUUCUUGAUAGUAACCUCAUUCAACGCUCGAUAAUCCACGCACAUUCUCUGAGUAUGAUCUUUCUUCUCCACAAAGAUGACUGGUGCUCCCCAUGGCGAAGUACUGGGUCUGAUGUAUCCUUUCUGAAGCAAAUCAUCCACCUGUCUCUUCACCUCAGCUAACUCAUUAGCUGCCAUUCUGUAUGGUCUCUUAUGGAUAGGGUUAGUUCCAGGUACCAAGUCUAUCCGAAACUCUAUGUCUCUCUUAGGUGGCAUACCUGGCAAAUCCUCGGGAAACACGUCUGGGUAGUCUUGUACUAUGGGGAUCUCUUGUAGAGCAACUUGGUUUAAGAUCACACCAUGAUAUUUAGGAGAGGACACAAAGAAAGAAACGGUUUCCCCAUUGCUACUGGUUAAAGUCACCUUACGGUUGGCACAAUCUAUAACUCUCUGUGACGAGAUAACCAGUCCAUCCCUAAGAUAACAUCUAGAUCUUUGGAUUCUAGCAAGAUAAGCGAGGAUGGGAAAGGAACUUCUUCUAUUUCUAUAGUAGCGGAAGGACAAUACUGUGUCGAAAAUACUUGAUUGCCUGGGGUAUUAACUAGUAAAGGUCUCCCAAGACUAAUAACUUCCAUCCCAUGAUUGCUCGCAAAACUUUUAGACAAAAAGGAAUGUGUAGCACUGGAAUCAAAAAGCACAGAUGCGGGUAUAGAGUUAACAGGAAACGUACCCAAAACCACAUCUGGUGCAUUCUGAGCUUCUGCUGCUGCAACAUGAUUAACACGUGCCUUCGGUGCUGGAGCAUUGGAGUUGUUCGGGGCUGGAGCGUUCUUCACGCGCCGAGGCUUAGGACACUUAUCAGCAUAAUGUCCUGGAUCACCACAAUUGAAACACACCCCUGGCUUGCUUCCCUGUUCCUUCCUAACGGGCUGGUUCUGAGCUGGAGUUGCUGCAGGACGAGCACCCAUGUUGCGGUUGUCAUUGCCACGAUUACCAGUAUUGUUGUUGUAGAACUGGCGUUGGGGGCGGACAACUGAUGAAGAUCCUCCUUGAGGGUACGAUGGAGCUUGAGGUCCCGUAACGAGACGCGGCCUCUGGUUACUGCCCUGUUGUGCUUUGAAUUGGGCAGCCCUGUGCUUCUUCUGCUCCAUCCGGUUAUACUUGUCUUCCUGACGAAUCGCCUUGUCCACCAACUGCUAGAAAUCCCGGAAAUCCGUAGACAUCAAAGCAUAAGACAACUCAUCAUUCAGUCCCUCCAAGAACCUCUCCUGACGCUCUUCAUCGGUGCGAACAUCUUCCGGAGCAUAACGAGCUAAACGGUUGAAAUCAUGGAGGUACUCGGUGACCGAACGAGAUCCCUGGUUGAGUGCUCUAAAUUCUCUCUUCUUUAGAGUUACAACACCCGUUGGUAUGUGUGUCUUCUUGAAAGCGGCCGUGAAUUCCUGCCACGUAAUAGGCUCUCCUUCAGCCCUGCCUUGGCGAAAAUGAUCCCACCAUUCAGCAGCAGGACCAUGCAAUUGAUGCGAAGCAAAAGAAACUUUCUCCUGCUCAGUACACUGGAUCAAAUCCAACUUCUUCUCCACCGCAUGCAGCCAAUCUCCUGCUUCUACUGGAUUGGUGGUGCUUGAAAAGGUAGGGGGUCUCACACGUAAGAAAUCUGCCAGCUUGUUUUGGGGAGGUGGGGGUGGAUUCUGGUUCUGAUUGUUUGCCUGCUGAUUCUGUGCCUGCUGCACUAACAGAUUGAUCAGUUGUGUUUGUUGGGCCAGAAUUUGAGCUAGCGUGGGAUCUCCUCCAUUGUUAGCAGCUCCACUUCCACUUCCACUUCCACUUCCGGUGCGCGUGUUCACCAUCUGACGAUAAGCAGAGACAACAGGAAAGAACGACAGAGAGACACCCUUAGAACAGAGUUAUUUAAUUAAUUUAAAUUCUAUAUUGCUCUUAACUGUGUAUGUUUUCAUUUAAAUUGCAUUAACACUAUCUCACCAACUAUCUUACACUCUGACAAGCAAAAGAACUAGACUCAUGCUGUUACAUCCCACCAAUGAUGUAAGCAACAACUAAAACCCACACACUCACAAGCAAACUUAAACAAGCAAUCUAACACAGCGAACUACGGCAACGAUCUAACUAAGCGACUAAUCCCGCCUUGCGUCGGAACGAAGCGAUGGAUCUUCUUCCUCUGGAGUAGCUGGCUCUCUUUCUUCAGGGUCUUCCUCUUCUUCCUCAUCACUUAUGAUGUCGAUGACAGGUUCAGCACGAUCGGGCACAGCUUCACCCAUCACGCGAAUCUUCGAAGCUAACUGGAGACGAGGUGGCGGACAGGUUCUUUUUCUUGCGAUGAGGCGAAGCUUGGGUGUUGGCGGCGGCGUUUCUCCUUUAAGUUCAGCUAAUUCCUUCUGUAGACGGUACACCUUGCUCUCCAACUUGCAAAUCUUGCCUCGAUUCCAGUUUUCCCUGUCAUGAGCUGCUUUGUCUCGCUCCACACUUACUGCAUCCAUAGCACUAAGCAUAUGCACCGCAUGCAUCAGAGUGGCACUCUCUUCACCAUCAGGACAGGUAUAGGUUCCAUAGUCUUGACCAUGAGGCUUGUGAGGAUGAUACUGGAAAGCUGAUGAAUCCAACUCUUCUUCAAAGUGUUGACGCAACUCUCCAAUGGCCACCAAAGCUGCUUCUUGACAAGCAUGGCUAUACGAUCUUCCUCCAGCUUCGAACUUAAUGGACGGAAGGUCUUCACGAUCACUAGCCAAUGUCACACGAACACGACACUUCUCCUCGUUGGGGUCAUGGGAAAUCCGGCGAUCCUCAGGAGCAACUUCAUAGCCUACCUCAAAAGCCAUCAACCUCAGCUCCCUGACGAAUCCUAACACCUUGAUCAAAUUUCUCGGUGAAUGGGGCGGCAUCUAAAGAAACAUAGAAGAGAGGAAUUAAUGCAUAUUUUUUUUUAAGUUAGCUGCACCAUCUAGACUUAACUGAUUUGACCAAAGAGGAAGAAAAAAUAAAAGAAAAGACACAUACUAAGCUAUUAUAUAUAUAUAUAUUUAGAAUUUAACUUUUUGGACAGAGACAAAUAAUUUUUUUUUUUGACAAAUAACUAAAAUAAAACUAAAAUACUUAUGAUCUAUUAUAAGCACGGUACAGUGUCACCAUAAGAAGGAUGAGUAGUACUAGUGCUAUCAUGAUUGUAUCGAUACCAUAAUAGAUGUACAGUGCUGACUAAUCAAUGAAGUUUACUAAGGCGGAAUAAGAAACAUUUUGAGAAGAAAAUUUUUUUUUCUUUUAAAAGAAAAGAAAAUGAAUUAAAUUAAUUUUGUGCAUAACCUUGCAUGUGCGGCCAACUUAAUUAAUUUGUAAGAGAAUAGAGAAGAGCAGUUCUAAUUUUUUUCAAAAUAUUUUGAAGGCUACUUAAGGUUUACCAUUUGGCUUAUCCUAAGGUCAAGGUGGCUCUGAUACCAACUUGUCACGCCCGGAAUUUCUAUCCAAAAUUCCAAACGCUUACAUGUGUGUUAAACCCUCGUCCAGGAAUCAACCGAGGCACACAAUAACAAAUUGAUAAUAGAGUACAAGUAAAUAACUAUUUAAUACUCGCAAACAAUAAAAUAUUACAGAGGUAGAUAGUUCCUCUCAAAGAAUAACCUUCUACGCAGCGGAAAAAUAAGACUAUAACAAACUACGGAACAGCUAUGGCGACUCCACUCCACAGGCAACUUAACCAGAACAAGCCUAAUCCUCCAGAUCAUCACCUUCACUGAGAUACUCCUCUUCUGAUGAUUGAAUAUUGUAAGAAUGAGCAUAUGACAUACUCAACAAGUCACACAGCAAAUAUGCAAGUGCACAAGAUAACAAAGGAUGGCAUAAUAUAGCUCAUUUGCAGAAACAGCAUUUAAUAAAUAUUUAAGAGAAUGGUAAAAACAGUUGAAUAAUUAAUCAGUAUUAAAUAACACCAUACAACACACCCAUGUUGCAUAGGGCCAACCUCAUAUGAACAACCAACCCCGGUUGUACAAAUCUAACCUCCAUACCAGGAAUAUACCAUUCCAAACCAGGAGUCAAAUUGAUUAUCACAAUUACCAUUAAUGAAUAACAUGGGACUAAUCACGAAAAACAUUGCUCAACUCACCCAUAACCGCGGGUACGCCUAUUCGAAUAGAUUAAACUCUGAUCAGAGGUGUACCACUGUACCCACAAGACACAUUCCCACAACAUGUUACCAUGCGCCUUAGUACCACCACGAUACCUCGGAAAGGAACUGUGACAAUACCCCUUGCAUAACACAACUCACCACAGUGCACCGUACCUGGAUCAUAAUCACCCUCUACAACCAGAGGCAUGGACUCCCCAGCGACCCCCACGGACUUCUCGCCGCUUCUCAGUCUGGCACUCCAUAAUGAAUCAUGCUAUACAAAAGGUAAAGCCGUUGCCCACGCUGGCUUGUGGUUGGCACGGUAAAAGUUUCACAACAGUAGCUCGCGAACCGGUCCUUAAUUGUCAUGAGCACAACCAUCAAAACCAUAUGCUCACAACCCACCUUAACCAGGUUUUAAUUAUCAAUUAAUUAACAUCACACGAUCACCCAUCGUGAGCUACCAUUUAAUGUAACCAUAAUUAAAAUAAUAAUGUAACAUAGUCUAUAAUUAAUCCCUUUAGUUAGCUAAUGUUUCUAAGCACGGCUAAGCAAACUUACAUAUAGCAUUUAGCUGAACCAAUCCAACAUAUAAGGUUCAUGUUAAUCAAAUUAUAACCCAUAGGAAAAUAAGAUCAUCUUCGGCCGUUAAUUAAUUGGGAAGGUUCACCACCCGAUGACAUUCGAAAACAAUGCAUAGUUGAAAUAAAAUAAUAGCUUUAAACGGGUUCAACAUGCUCAAAGAGUUGUUUGGGAUCUGUGUGACUUGCCUUGGGCUUCCGCAAACGCUUCGGAACCUUCCUCAACGGAAACGCUCUCCUCCGGAACGUCGGAAACUAAAGCAAUUAAACAAAAAUCAACAAAACAGUACAAAAACAAGCAUAAACAGUACAUGUGGAUAUUUUUAACAUGUAGAUCUUGAUUUUAGAAAAAUUUAGCAACUUGAACCACCUGAAACGGAUCUACGAUUAUUUAGUUAUGAUUUUCCGAAGAUUUAAUCUAUUAGAAAAAAAAAGAAAAAGGGAAAGAUGAUGAUGUCAUGAUGACGUCAUCAAUGGCGGCCUUGGCUCGGGCGGCACGACCACCGGCGCUACGGACCUUGGUCGGGCGAAAAGAGGGCACCUACGCGUAGAGGGCAACAAGACGAACGCAACGGUACUCACCAAUGCGCCCAACGACGACCGAUGGUGGCCGGCGACGAGAGGAGGCGGCGCGGCGGUUCGGUCGACGGCGGCGACGGGUCUCCGGCGACCGGCGACAGCGGGGAGAGGGCGGCCGAGGUUCCUCACCUCCGUGCGCACCUAACGGCGGCGAGAGGAAGCGGCGGCGACGGCGAAAUCGAUGGCGCGGCGCGGCUGGAGAUCGCCGGCGGCGACGGCGAGACAAGGCGGCGUCGGCGGCGAGCUACGGGGCACGGGAGAGGACGGGAAUAGGGGCAAACGAAAGAGGAGAACUAGGGGGUCCUAUUUAUAGCCUUGGAUUGAAGAGAUCAGACUCCAAACGAGAGGAAUCGAAACCGGAAAAUCUUCGGGUUAGUUUGCAGAGAUAAAAUCAAAACGAGUUUGAUUCGGACAAGAUACACAACCAUUUGCUCCGAUUCUUGAGGGGAAAGAUAGAGGAAGAUGUGGGGAUAAAAACCCCCCUAACAAUCGGACUCGAUUGCGACAGAGGGCGGCGGUAUCGAUGGUGCAAACGGCGGCUCGGACGGCUCGGCCUGGCAAUCGGCCGGCUGGAGGAGGAAGAUGGGUCCGACAUGUGGGCCCCACAUGUCGGUGACCCGAGGAGGAGGGGCGGGCGGCGUCGGCUGGGCCGGCUUGGGCCGGUUCGGCCGCGCGGAAGAGAGAGGAAUGUUGGGCCGAAUUCGGCCCAACGGCUUAGGGAGGGGUUUUUGAACUUUUUUGAAUAAAAAUAAUUUGUGAAUUGUUGUUUCAAUUAUUAAAAAUACUUCCCUUGCUCAAACAAUUCCCAGAAAAAUCUAGAAAAUAGAGGAACAAGUAAAGUAUUUAAUAAAAUUUUAUCUAGCUCAUUUUUAUGUUGAAAAUUUUCCUAGAUAAUUAGGGUUUAACUUGUAGGCUUUUAAAAUAAUUUCUAAAAAUGAUUUAAACAAUGUAUUUUUACAUUAGACGAUUUUUAGGGCGUGAACAAGCUCAAGGCUAGAUAUGUGCCAUCCUCUAAUAGCUAAUCAUUCACUCGAACCUAUGAUAGAUUAUAUAAUUUGUGAUAGACUCCUUGUCACGCCCGGAAUUUCUAUCCAAAAUUCCAAACGCUUACAUGUGUAUUAAACCCUCGUCCAGGAAUCAACCGAGGCACACAAUGACAAUUUGAUAAUAGAGUACAAAUAAAUAACUAUUUAAUACUCGCAAAAAUAAAAGAUUACAGAGGUAGAUAGUUCCUCUCAAAGAAUAACAUUCUACGCAGCGGAAAAAUAAAACGAUAACAAACUACGGAACAGCUAUGGCGACUCCACUCCACAGGCAUCUUAACCAAGAACAAGCUCAAUCCUCCAGAUCAUCACCUUCACUGAAAAACUCCUCUUCUGAUGAAUGAAUAUUGCAAGAAUGAGCAUAUGACAUACUCAACAAGCCACACAGCAAAUAUGCAAGUGCACAGGAUAACAAAGGAUGGCAUAAUAUAGCUCAUUUGCAGAAACAGCAUUUAAUAAAUAUUUAAGAGAAUAGUAAAAACAGUUGAAUAUUUAAUCAAUAUUAAAUAAACACCAUACAACACACCCAUGUUGCACAGGCCCAACCACAUUUGAACAACCAACCCCAGUUGAACAAAUUAAACCUCCAAACCAGGAAUUAUCCAUUCCAAACCAGGAGUCAAAUUAAUUAUCACAUUAUUAACAUUGAUGAGUAGUGUGAGACUAAUCACGAAAAACAUUGCUCAACUCACCCAUAACCGCGGGUACGGCUAUUCGAAUAGUUUAAGCUCUGAUCAGAGGUGUACCACUGUACCCACAAGACACAACCCCACAUGAUGUCACCAUGUGCCUCAAUACCACCACGGUACCUCGGAAAGGAGUUGUGACAAUACCCCUUGCACAACAUAACCCAUUACAGCGCACCUUUCCUGGAUCAUAAUCACCCCCUUAUAAACAAGGCCUGGACUCCCCAGCGACCCCCGUGGACUUCUCGCCACUUCUCAGUCUGGCGCACUAUAAUGAAUCACGCUAUACAAAAGAUAAAGCCGUUGCCCACGCUGGCUUGUGGCUGGCACGAUAAAUGUUUCACAACAGUAGCUCGCGAACCGGUCCUUAAUUGUCAUGAGCACAACCAUCAAAACCAUAUGCUCACAACCCACCUUAACCAGGUUUUAAUUAUCAAUUAAUUAACCUCACACGAUUAACCAUCGUGAGCUACCAUUUAAUAUAACCAUCAUUAAUAAAAAUAUAACAUAGUUUAUAAUUAAUCCCUUUAGUUAGCUAAUGUUUCUAAGCAUGGCUAAGCAAACAUAUAUAUAGCAUUUAGCUGGACCAAUCUAAUAUAUAAGGUUCAUGCUAAUCAAAUUAUAACCCAUAGGAAAAUAAAGUCAUCUUCGGCCAACAAUUAACUGGGAAAGGUUCACCACCCAAUGACAUUCGAAAAUAAUGCAUAAGUUGAAAUAAAAUAAUAGCUUUAAAUGGGUUCAACAUGCUCAAAGGGUUGUUUGGGAUCUGUGUGACUUGCCUUGGGCUUCCGCAAAUGCUUCGGAACCUUCCUCAAUGGAAACGCUCUCCUCCGGAACGACGGAAACUAAAGCAAUUAAACAAAAAUCAACAAAACAGUACAAAAACAAGCAUAAACAGUACAUGUGGAUAUUUUUAACAUGUAGAUUUUGAUUUUAGAAAAAUUUAGCAACUUGAACCACCUAAAACGGAUCUACGGUUAUUUAGUUAUGAUUUUCCGAAGUUUUAAUCUAUUAGAAAAUUGGAAAAAAGAAAAGAAAAGGAGAUGAUGACGUCAUGCUGACGUCACCCCACGGCAGCCGGCUAGGGUUUGCGACCUCGCCGGAGCUAGGGCGAUCGGCCGGGCAAUUGGAGGGCACCUACGCGUAGAGGACGACGAGGCGAACCCAACGGUACUCACCACAACGACAAACGACGAACGAUGACGGCCGGCGACGAGAGGAAGGCGGCGGCGGCUCGGGUUGGACGGCGACGGCGAGCUACGGCGGUCGGCGGCGAAGGGGAAGGGGCGGCCAAGGUUCCUCUCACCACGGCGCACCUAACGGCGGCGGCGGCAGACGGCGGCGACGGCGGAGGCGGCAGCGCGACGCGACCGAAGACGGCCGGCGGCGGCGGCGAACUUAAUGCGCGCGGCGGCGGCUCUACGAUGCACGAGAGAGGACGGAAGAGGGGGCAAACGAAAGGGGGCGAUGAGAUGGUCCUAUAUAUAACCUUGGAUUGAAGAGAUCGAACUUGUCACGCCCGGAAAUUCACUAGUAAUUUCCGAACUAAUUUGUGUAUAAAAUCCUCGUCCAGGAAUCAGCCGAGGUACACAAACUGACAAUUUAAUAUACAAAUCCAUCAUAAUAACGUUACAUACUUACAAAGAAAAGAAAACAGCAGCGGAAUUAACGGUCUAGCGAUGGCUUCAGCUCCACUCCCACAGGCAGCUCAACUGGGGUAUAAGCCAAACGUCUUCUCCUUCCGGAUCCUUUAUCUUCAACUGAGGUUUGAUGAUUAUUGCAAGAAUGAGCAUAUGACAUACUCAACAAGCCACACAGCAAAUAUGCAAGUGCACAAGGAUUCCAAAGGAUGGCAUAAUAUAGGCUCAUUUGCAAAAGCAGCAUUUAGCAAAGAUUUAAGAUAAGUAAAACAGUAGAGUAAUUAAUCACCAAUUUUAAUCAACACUGAACAGCACACCCAUGCUGCUCAGGCCCAACCAAACCUGAACAACCAACCCCGGUCAUACAGAUCAAACCUCCAAACCAGGAAUUAUCCAUUCCAAACCAGGAGUCAAAUUAAUUAUCACAUUAUUAAUAUUGAUGAGUAGUGUGAGACUAAUCACGAAAAACAUUGCUCAACUCGCCCAUAACCGCGGGCACGGCUAUUCGAAUAGUUUUACUCUGGCCAGAGGUGUACCACUGUACCCACAAGACACGAUUCCACACAUGUUGCCAUGCCCCGAAAUACCACCACGGCAUUGCAAAGGGGGAAAUCGUGACAAUACCCUUUGCACAACACAACUCAAAACAGUGCACCGUACCUGGAUCAUAAUCACCCCCUUAUAAACAAGGCAUGGACUCCCCAGCGAUCCCCAUGGAUGUCACGUCCUGAUAAAUUCAUCCCGAAAAUAAAAAUCAUUCUCUAAAAGGAAUAAUAGAAUUAAUUAAAAUUCGAAAAGAAAUUGGCAAACACUAAAAUACGUGCAAGAAAAAUUCAAAUGUGGCCCGGAGAAUUUUUGUUAAAUUCUCCUUGGUCUAAAAAUAAGCCCUCAAAUUUUACUUGAAUUUUCAGAGCACCGGAAAUAUUUAUUAAACAACAACAUUUAUCAAAGUUCAAUAAAAAGAAAACCUAAAAAUCCCUCCUCUUCCUCCUUUGGGCCAAGCCCAGCCCGAAGUCCUUCCCUCCUCCCUCUCUUUCUCUCCCUCUCCUUCUCUCCCUCCUCUUGGGCCUCCUCCCCUCUCGGCCCAGCUCCCUUUCCCCCCUCUCUCUCCCGGGCUGCCUCUUUCCCCCCCCCCUCCUUCCCGGCCUGCCUCGGCCCAGCCGCCCGGCCCAAGCCGCCUCCCCCUUCCCCCCCCCUCCUGGGCCGGCCGCCCGGCCCAACCCGAGCGGCGCCCUCCCGCCCGAGCGCGCACGUGCGCGCGCUGACCGCGCGCCCCGCGUGGGGCCCACGCGUCAGGCCGCCGUCGCCUUCUUCCUCCAGCCGCCGCCCGGCUUCCCUCUCCCCGUGCGAACCCUAGCUCACUCCCUCCUCCAAAUCCGCUUGAUUCGCUUGGUUAAUUCCAAAAUUAAAUAGGGGAAAUUAAUCCCCAUUGACUCCUCUUCAUUUCCCCCUAAUUUCCCCUUUGAAUGCCGCCCCCAAUCGCCGGGAACGGCCGCGCCAAGUCCGGCCGCCUUCCAUUGCCGCCGGCCGGCUUUUCCGCCGCCGUUCCGACCUCCCCCGUGGCCGGCUCCCUCUUCUCUCAUAUAAAAUAGAACCCCCUCUUUACGUUCUACCGUUUUAGCCUCUUCCCGAGCUCUCCCGUGGUCUCUAGCCACCUCCCCACCGUCGCCCUCUCUCUCCCACGUUGCCGGCCGGCCUCCAGCCGCCUCUCCCGCCUCGCCGGAGCGUCGUCCGGCCGCGCCGUCGCCUCCUCCAGCGUCGCCGCCACCUCCUCCACCCCGGCUUGCCCUCCGUUUCGCGAGGUGACCCCCGGAGCUGCCUCCCCGCCGUCGCCCUUCUCGUUUCUCCGCGCCGGCCGCCUCCAGUCGCCUCUCCCGCCUCGCCCGUGCGCCGUCCGGUCACGCCGUCUUCUCCCUCGGCCUCGCAGCCACCUCCUCUCCCUCGGUCAGCCCUCUGUUUCGCGGGGAAAACACCGGAGACGCGUCCUCGCCGGCGUCCAGUGGCGUCGCCACCACUUCUCCGCCUCCGGCCGCCUCUGCCGCGUCCCCGGUGCGCCGGCCGACGUCGCCACCACCUCUCCCGGCACCGGAGUGCCGUCCUCUCUCCCGGCCAGGCCACGGCGUCGCCCGAAUUUCGCCGGAACGCCGUCAUCUCCGCGCCGGCCUCUCCUUCCUCCUCGUCGGCUCGUCGCCCCGCUGCACCACCACCUUCACCAACAUCGCAGCGGCGUGUUCCACGCCAUCCCCUCCUCCGCUCAGCCGCUGCUGCCUGCCAUCAUCGUCAUCGUCGUCUCCGUUCGUCCUCGCCGAUCGACGUCCCAUCGGUUGCCCGGCUCGUCGUCUCGCGGCGCCGCCUCCGUCAUCGUCAUCGUAGCGGCGUGUUCCACGUCGUCCUCGUCCCCGUGCAGCUGCUGCUGGCUGCCCCUCGUCGCCCCCUCGCCGGUCCCGGUCGUCGUCGUCGUCGUCGUCCUCUCGUCGUUCCCGGUCGUCGUGGCGUUCGUCCCUCCGUCGAGCCGUUCUCGUCCGUCGUCCGCGUUCGUCAAGCGAGCCGCUGCAGCCCCGUCCUCGUCUCCGUCCUCGGCUCCGCGUCGUCAAGCCUCGUGCCGGCCGCGUCUCGCCUUUGUCCAAGGAUCGCCGCCGAAGUCGUUCCCUCGCCGUUCGCCUCCGUCGUCCCCGAGCUGUCCUCGCCGGUCCCGUUCGUCGUUGUCGUUCCCACGCCUCGUCGCGUGGUGGUAAGGAUCCGUCCUCUCGCUUCCCCGCCCUCGUCCUUCCGGUGUCGCCCCGUACCCGUUGUGCGGUCGUCGACCCCGGUACCCGUGUACCGGUGUCGGUAGUCGUUCACGUGUGCGGGUGGCGACCGUGUAGUGUCCGUGUUAGUGUGCCCGCUCGGUAGCCGCGUGGUUUCCACGUGUGCAACCCGUGUGGUGUCUAGUGGAGUCCGUUUGUCGGCCACUCGCCUCGGUUGACACACGGGGUCCGCUUCCGUCGACCCGUGGACCGUCUCUGUGUACCCGGUCUACCGUGGUCCUUUAGGUUGACAUGUGGGGUCCGCAUGUCAACGGCGCAGCCUUCCUGUCUUUUCCAGGCUAGCGCUUACACAUGUUUUAUAAUUGCAAAGCUUAAUUAUAAUAAUUCGCAAAUCUCCAUAUAACAGCAUUAAACUUCGGAUGAUCAUAUCCUGGUCAUACGAGCUCCGAAUCGACCCGUUCAAGUCUCUUAAUGUUUGUUAUAACCUAAAGAACCCUGUGCUUUGUUUUUAUGUAUUGUUAUUGCUUCUUUAUAGGCUUGUAGCUUUGUUUGUGUGCUUCGCGUAGCUUCUGUCGUUCCGGAGGUUCCCGAAGCGUGGUUCGUGGUCGUCGCCGAAGGUUCGGAAGGCCGUUCUCUCUGAGCAAGGCAAGUCACAUCAUCCUUGAACAUAUUGAAUCCCAGUUUGUAAAAUUAUGUUGAUUUAAAUUAUUGCAUUACCGCUUUAUUUAAAUUCCCGCGUUAUCACUGUUUUAUCUAGCCAUGCCUAUUUACCUUUGUUAUGACCUUAUUAUUGCUAUUGUUAUUAUUACCUUGUUCACCCUAGAGUAAACAAAACCUCAACUAGUGGACACUCUACUCGUGGUAUCCCUAGUUUAAAUUUAGGUAGAUGCUUCGCAAUUUAAUAGGACAACAUUAGUUAGAUUUUAUAACUUUAGACUUUGGGAAUUUCUCAUAUCAUUUGGACACUAUGGAAUUGUUGGAUUAUGGUGGAAUUGGACAUACACCUCUCUUCCUCUUUCAAAACCCCUAAAGCCUGUUUUCGGUGGGGUUUGGGUGCAUGCCAGUUAUGGGAAGUAGCACCCCGGCCACUAUAAGGAUUAAGCUCGGGCCUCUGUUGCAAAGCACUACCGUACUAACCACAUGUCUAAUGGGUAAGGCUUAACUCGGUGCUCAGUCUAGUCCUGAACAAAAGGACACGGAUUGGAGAUGGAUGAAGUCGGGUGUCGAUGGACAUUCUCCAGGGCAAAUGAAGGCUACACGAGCUGCGGCCCGGUAGUCGAGAUGUCGUAUGGCAGAGGGUUGGUGCCCUGCUGCUAGGGGCUCAGUUCUGCCUGCCUGUCCCGGGUAUCCCGGCCGUAGGUGGGAUUGGGUCGGUACUUUUGUUCACGGCUAGGAUGGGUGAAGGGUUAUGUCACAUCUUUACGACGGGUUCCAAGGCCAUGGAAUGCGGAGUAAAGAUGUGUCUUGUGGGUAAAGAUGUACACCUCUGAUCAGAGUAAAUCUAUUCGAAUAGCCGAGCCCUCGGAUAUGGGCAAGCCUAGCAAUGUACCCAAGUCAGUGUUUUAAUUCUUAAAAUUUGCUCAACAACUAAAAUAUGGAAUGGUUGGCCUGGGUUGGCUUGGGACGAGCUGGGACCCAGGGUCGGGUUGCCAGUUCGGUCCGAAUCAUCGUAGGCCUUGGGUUAAGGCAGGUUCGUGAGGGUUCACGGCCUUGAUUAAUAAUACUGUGUAGCUCUAGGAUCGUCUUUACAAAAUGGCUUUGGGCAACUAAGUGGCUUUUAAAUGCUGUUUACUGCAAAACUUAACCUCUAUGUUAUUAUCCCCUUGUACUCCUUUGCAUUAAUUGUGCAUCCCCGGUGUGGCUUGCUGAGUACUGUGGUUGUACUCAUUCUUGCUCAAUCUUUCCCCUCUUCAGUAAGAGAAGCUUUGGAGAAGAAGUCUUAGGUGGAGUCCUGGCUUAUACCCCAGUUGAGCGCCUGUGAAGAUGGAGCCGUAGGCCCGCUAGUCCGCUGCUGUUUAUUUUUGAUUGUCAGGCCUUAAGUGCCUUUGUAAUAAUGUAAAUAUUAUCGAUAUAAUAAAGAUGUGUCUUUUAUAUCAUGUUUGUGUGGUGUACCCCGGCUUUUCCUGGGACGGGGAUUAAUACACUAGCGUUCGGGAAAAGGCAAUUUUCCCGGUCGCGACAAGCUGGUAUCAGAGCCAUCUCGACUGUAGGAUAAGCCAAGUGGAUAAAACCUAAGGACAUAUGUUAUAAAUAAAACUAUUUGCGAAAGUUCCUUUUUUUCCUCCCCCUAAUGCUAUUUGCAAAAGGUUUACUCCCUUCUUCCUUCUUCGGAUUUCAACUAGUACUAGAUGGUCAGUUUUGCGAAGAAGAAGAUGUCGUCAGUUGUUUGCCGAAGCUCCGGAAGACUGCAGGAUCCGCUAGCAAAGUGUAGGAAGCAGUGAAGCCAGCCGUGAAGCUGAAGCUAAGAUCUUGGAGAACCAGUCGCAGAACCUAAGCCGCCCUAUAGGGUAGUGUUGUUAGUCGUGUGUUUCUUGCUUGUGUGUGUAGCGCGUGGUUUGCAUCGGUGGGAGGUGAUGUAACCAUGCUAGGUUGUUUGCUUAAUCAACCUGCAGAAUAAGCGAAACAAACAACACAUCAACAAAAAGAGUUAGUUCCUUUAAGGUCUUGUCCCUAGUUCUGGUCUAUUCUUUCCUUGUAUGCUUCCCCUCUCAACCUCUACCUUGUGACAGAUGGAUAACAUUGGUAACAAAGGCUACGGGAAUGAUGGAUCCGAUGACUCAAGAACCCAAGCCAAUGGGAAUGAGAAAAGCAUCAACGAAACCUCACCAGAGCUAAUCCAAAUUGUGGUUAACCAAACCGACAUGUUGGCAACAGCCUUUCAACUAUUACAGAAUCGGAACAAUCCAGCAGGGGCAACCAACGUUCAAGUACCUACAGUCCAGCAACAGUGCAAGUUAUCAGAAUUUCUCAAAACGGGGCCUCCAACCUUUGCCAUGGCCGUCGAUCCUAUGGAAGCCAGUGAUUGGUUGCGCACAGUCGAGAAGAAGCUAGGGUUGAUUCAGUGCACCGACCAGGAGCGGGUUGGCUUCGCAACUCAUCAGUUGGUUGGACCGGCUUCAGAGUGGUGGGAUAGCUACGAAGCAUCACGGCCAGAAGGACAUACCAUCACCUGGAACGAGUUUUCAUCUGUAUUCAAGAGAUCACAUGUUCCCGCAGGAAUGAUCACACUAAGAAAACGAGAGUUUCGCUACCUGAAGCAAGGAGAUUUGACCGUCACAGAGUACCUGCAUGAGUUCUAUCGUUUGGCUCACUAUGCACCAGAAGAUGUGGAAACGGAUGAAGACAAACAAGAGAAGUUUCUCCAGGGGUUAAAAGAUGAGCUUGCAGUGCAACUACUUCUAGAGGAUUAUGAAGAUUUUGAGAAACUUGUGGACAAAGCCAUGCAACUCGAAAGUGAGCAUAAUCGGAUGACGAACUGCAAGAGAAGGAUUGUCAACAUCCCAGUAUUUCCAGGUGGUAACCAAAGACAGCGCACUGAGCCACUUCAGAUCACCGGAUCUCCUGUUGUGCAUCAAGAGUUCCUACCCCAAGAAGAUGAAUGCAAUGCAGACAACAACACUAGCAAUACUAAUAAUGAUGAUACCACCAACAACCAUGGUUCUUGCCCCAUUAGUGACCACUCGAAUAAAGCGUGCAAUGUCAGUAGCAUUCACCAAGAUGUCAACGAUAGUAUCAAUGUUGGAACCCAGAAUGACAACCUUAGCAAUUUCGACACUGAGAAAGACUCCAAUGGUGAUAGCAACUAUGGUACCACUGAUGCCAAUGUUAGCAAGGAUUUCCAACCACCAAUUCCAACUCCAAGUCACAAUGAUCAUCCCCAGAUGGACAGCUCAGCAAAGAAGACGUUGAUUUGUUACAACUGCAAAGAACCAGGUCAUUUCUCUAGAGAUUGUCCACAGCCGAAGCGUAACCUGCGCCAUCACUCCGGCCAUUAUGCAAGAAGAAGACAGGUCACUCGCCUUGUGGUCACUGGAGCAAACGCCGUACCUGUGAGGCCUCAUGUUAAUUCUAACCCAUAGUGGAAACAAUGUACCGAUGUUAAGCACCUUCCCUUUUUGUUUAAGACAGUGCCUUGUAUUCAUGUAAUAAGGGAGACAUGUGUAAUAAAAACAAGUUCUAUGAGGAUUAUUUCGGAAGAGUACUUGGUUGACAACGUUCGAAAGGUGAUUGAUAAGAGAAAUCUAAAAAGAAUACGUCAGGGUUGAAUGUGUAAAGGAAUACUUUGAAUGCUAAAUAAUAACGACAUGAAGAGAAUAGUGGAAAGUGAAUCCGAGUUGCUUGUUCGUGAGAGCUAUUCCCAGUUAUGAACCAAGUGAUAUGUUCGAAGAUAGUCUACAGAGGUCAGACAACGAAGCUUCAGAUUUGGCAGGAUAACGAUCAAACAAUAAGAAGCCCAGCAGUAAAGCUAUUUAGGAAGACGUCAAAGCAUGUCAAGUGGGAUAAUUUGGUUCCCCUGGGAAACAUAAUUCAAAGGCAAAGUUAUCGACCCUUGCAUCGAAUAGCAGAAGUAGCCUGCACCCGGAGACCAGGAAGGCUAAUAUGAGGCAGUUGGUGGCAAGUUAGAAGUAAAUGACAAGCCAGUCGAAGUCAGCUAAAGGUUCAACCAAGGACAAGUCAGGUGAAGAGAAGACUCCAUCUGCAACAGGAGAUCGAGCCAAGCAGUCCAGAGUGGAGAAGUUGUGCUAGGCAAGUUUGUUAUAGAAGACGGAGCGGAAGAAGUCAGACAAGAAGAGAAGACCGCCCAACCUAUCUUCUUGCUAGCCUCCUCGAAUCUCGGGGACGAGAUUCCUGUAAGGGGGGUGGAUUUGUCACGUCCUGAUAAAUUCAUCCCGAAAAUAAAAAUCAUUCUCUAAAAGGAAUAAUAGAAUUAAUUAAAAUUCGAAAAGAAAUUGGCAAACACUAAAAUACGUGCAAGAAAAAUUCAAAUGUGGCCCGGAGAAUUUUUGUUAAAUUCUCCUUGGUCUAAAAAUAAGCCCUCAAAUUUUACUUGAAUUUUCAGAGCACCGGAAAUAUUUAUUAAACAACAACAUUUAUCAAAGUUCAAUAAAAAGAAAACCUAAAAAUCCCUCCUCUUCCUCCUUUGGGCCAAGCCCAGCCCGAAGUCCUUCCCUCCUCCCUCUCUUUCUCUCCCUCUCCUUCUCUCCCUCCUCUUGGGCCUCCUCCCCUCUCGGCCCAGCUCCCUUUCCCCCCUCUCUCUCCCGGGCUGCCUCUUUCCCCCCCCCUCCUUCCCGGCCUGCCUCGGCCCAGCCGCCCGGCCCAAGCCGCCUCCCCCUUCCCCCCCCCUCCUGGGCCGGCCGCCCGGCCCAACCCGAGCGGCGCCCUCCCGCCCGAGCGCGCACGUGCGCGCGCUGACCGCGCGCCCCGCGUGGGGCCCACGCGUCAGGCCGCCGUCGCCUUCUUCCUCCAGCCGCCGCCCGGCUUCCCUCUCCCCGUGCGAACCCUAGCUCACUCCCUCCUCCAAAUCCGCUUGAUUCGCUUGGUUAAUUCCAAAAUUAAAUAGGGGAAAUUAAUCCCCAUUGACUCCUCUUCAUUUCCCCCUAAUUUCCCCUUUGAAUGCCGCCCCCAAUCGCCGGGAACGGCCGCGCCAAGUCCGGCCGCCUUCCAUUGCCGCCGGCCGGCUUUUCCGCCGCCGUUCCGACCUCCCCCGUGGCCGGCUCCCUCUUCUCUCAUAUAAAAUAGAACCCCCUCUUUACGUUCUACCGUUUUAGCCUCUUCCCGAGCUCUCCCGUGGUCUCUAGCCACCUCCCCACCGUCGCCCUCUCUCUCCCACGUUGCCGGCCGGCCUCCAGCCGCCUCUCCCGCCUCGCCGGAGCGUCGUCCGGCCGCGCCGUCGCCUCCUCCAGCGUCGCCGCCACCUCCUCCACCCCGGCUUGCCCUCCGUUUCGCGAGGUGACCCCCGGAGCUGCCUCCCCGCCGUCGCCCUUCUCGUUUCUCCGCGCCGGCCGCCUCCAGUCGCCUCUCCCGCCUCGCCCGUGCGCCGUCCGGUCACGCCGUCUUCUCCCUCGGCCUCGCAGCCACCUCCUCUCCCUCGGUCAGCCCUCUGUUUCGCGGGGAAAACACCGGAGACGCGUCCUCGCCGGCGUCCAGUGGCGUCGCCACCACUUCUCCGCCUCCGGCCGCCUCUGCCGCGUCCCCGGUGCGCCGGCCGACGUCGCCACCACCUCUCCCGGCACCGGAGUGCCGUCCUCUCUCCCGGCCAGGCCACGGCGUCGCCCGAAUUUCGCCGGAACGCCGUCAUCUCCGCGCCGGCCUCUCCUUCCUCCUCGUCGGCUCGUCGCCCCGCUGCACCACCACCUUCACCAACAUCGCAGCGGCGUGUUCCACGCCAUCCCCUCCUCCGCUCAGCCGCUGCUGCCUGCCAUCAUCGUCAUCGUCGUCUCCGUUCGUCCUCGCCGAUCGACGUCCCAUCGGUUGCCCGGCUCGUCGUCUCGCGGCGCCGCCUCCGUCAUCGUCAUCGUAGCGGCGUGUUCCACGUCGUCCUCGUCCCCGUGCAGCUGCUGCUGGCUGCCCCUCGUCGCCCCCUCGCCGGUCCCGGUCGUCGUCGUCGUCGUCGUCCUCUCGUCGUUCCCGGUCGUCGUGGCGUUCGUCCCUCCGUCGAGCCGUUCUCGUCCGUCGUCCGCGUUCGUCAAGCGAGCCGCUGCAGCCCCGUCCUCGUCUCCGUCCUCGGCUCCGCGUCGUCAAGCCUCGUGCCGGCCGCGUCUCGCCUUUGUCCAAGGAUCGCCGCCGAAGUCGUUCCCUCGCCGUUCGCCUCCGUCGUCCCCGAGCUGUCCUCGCCGGUCCCGUUCGUCGUUGUCGUUCCCACGCCUCGUCGCGUGGUGGUAAGGAUCCGUCCUCUCGCUUCCCCGCCCUCGUCCUUCCGGUGUCGCCCCGUACCCGUUGUGCGGUCGUCGACCCCGGUACCCGUGUACCGGUGUCGGUAGUCGUUCACGUGUGCGGGUGGCGACCGUGUAGUGUCCGUGUUAGUGUGCCCGCUCGGUAGCCGCGUGGUUUCCACGUGUGCAACCCGUGUGGUGUCUAGUGGAGUCCGUUUGUCGGCCACUCGCCUCGGUUGACACACGGGGUCCGCUUCCGUCGACCCGUGGACCGUCUCUGUGUACCCGGUCUACCGUGGUCCUUUAGGUUGACAUGUGGGGUCCGCAUGUCAACGGCGCAGCCUUCCUGUCUUUUCCAGGCUAGCGCUUACACAUGUUUUAUAAUUGCAAAGCUUAAUUAUAAUAAUUCGCAAAUCUCCAUAUAACAGCAUUAAACUUCGGAUGAUCAUAUCCUGGUCAUACGAGCUCCGAAUCGACCCGUUCAAGUCUCUUAAUGUUUGUUAUAACCUAAAGAACCCUGUGCUUUGUUUUUAUGUAUUGUUAUUGCUUCUUUAUAGGCUUGUAGCUUUGUUUGUGUGCUUCGCGUAGCUUCUGUCGUUCCGGAGGUUCCCGAAGCGUGGUUCGUGGUCGUCGCCGAAGGUUCGGAAGGCCGUUCUCUCUGAGCAAGGCAAGUCACAUCAUCCUUGAACAUAUUGAAUCCCAGUUUGUAAAAUUAUGUUGAUUUAAAUUAUUGCAUUACCGCUUUAUUUAAAUUCCCGCGUUAUCACUGUUUUAUCUAGCCAUGCCUAUUUACCUUUGUUAUGACCUUAUUAUUGCUAUUGUUAUUAUUACCUUGUUCACCCUAGAGUAAACAAAACCUCAACUAGUGGACACUCUACUCGUGGUAUCCCUAGUUUAAAUUUAGGUAGAUGCUUCGCAAUUUAAUAGGACAACAUUAGUUAGAUUUUAUAACUUUAGACUUUGGGAAUUUCUCAUAUCAUUUGGACACUAUGGAAUUGUUGGAUUAUGGUGGAAUUGGACAUACACCUCUCUUCCUCUUUCAAAACCCCUAAAGCCUGUUUUCGGUGGGGUUUGGGUGCAUGCCAGUUAUGGGAAGUAGCACCCCGGCCACUAUAAGGAUUAAGCUCGGGCCUCUGUUGCAAAGCACUACCGUACUAACCACAUGUCUAAUGGGUAAGGCUUAACUCGGUGCUCAGUCUAGUCCUGAACAAAAGGACACGGAUUGGAGAUGGAUGAAGUCGGGUGUCGAUGGACAUUCUCCAGGGCAAAUGAAGGCUACACGAGCUGCGGCCCGGUAGUCGAGAUGUCGUAUGGCAGAGGGUUGGUGCCCUGCUGCUAGGGGCUCAGUUCUGCCUGCCUGUCCCGGGUAUCCCGGCCGUAGGUGGGAUUGGGUCGGUACUUUUGUUCACGGCUAGGAUGGGUGAAGGGUUAUGUCACAUCUUUACGACGGGUUCCAAGGCCAUGGAAUGCGGAGUAAAGAUGUGUCUUGUGGGUAAAGAUGUACACCUCUGAUCAGAGUAAAUCUAUUCGAAUAGCCGAGCCCUCGGAUAUGGGCAAGCCUAGCAAUGUACCCAAGUCAGUGUUUUAAUUCUUAAAAUUUGCUCAACAACUAAAAUAUGGAAUGGUUGGCCUGGGUUGGCUUGGGACGAGCUGGGACCCAGGGUCGGGUUGCCAGUUCGGUCCGAAUCAUCGUAGGCCUUGGGUUAAGGCAGGUUCGUGAGGGUUCACGGCCUUGAUUAAUAAUACUGUGUAGCUCUAGGAUCGUCUUUACAAAAUGGCUUUGGGCAACUAAGUGGCUUUUAAAUGCUGUUUACUGCAAAACUUAACCUCUAUAUUAUUAUCCCCUUGUACUCCUUUGCAUUAAUUGUGCAUCCCCGGUGUGGCUUGCUGAGUACUGUGGUUGUACUCAUUCUUGCUCAAUCUUUCCCCUCUUCAGUAAGAGAAGCUUUGGAGAAGAAGUCUUAGGUGGAGUCCUGGCUUAUACCCCAGUUGAGCGCCUGUGAAGAUGGAGCCGUAGGCCCGCUAGUCCGCUGCUGUUUAUUUUUGAUUGUCAGGCCUUAAGUGCCUUUGUAAUAAUGUAAAUAUUAUCGAUAUAAUAAAGAUGUGUCUUUUAUAUCAUGUUUGUGUGGUGUACCCCGGCUUUUCCUGGGACGGGGAUUAAUACACUAGCGUUCGGGAAAAGGCAAUUUUCCCGGUCGCGACAAUGGACUUCUCGCCACUUCUCAGUCUGGCGCACUAUAAUGAAUCAUGCUAUACAAAGGAUAAAGCCGUUGCCCACGCUGGCUUGUGGUUGGCACGAUAAAUGUUUCACAACAGUAGCUCGCGAACCGGUCCUUAAUUGCCAUGAGCACGACCUUCAAAACCAUGUGCUCACAACCCACCAUUAAUCAUAUUUUAAUUACCAAUUAAUUAUCAUAACACGAUUAACCAUCGUGAGCUACCAUUAAAUAUAACCAUAAUAAUAAUGUAGUAUAUAUGAUUCAUCCCAUUAGUGAGCUAAUGUUUCUAAACAUGGCUAAGCAAUUAUAUAUAUAUAACAUUUAGCUGAACCAAACCAAUACAUAAGGUUCAAGCUAAUCAAUUUAUUACCCAAGGUAUCAAGGAAUAGAGCAUUCAAUGCAAAUUGGCCAUAACAAAGGAAAAGGUUCACACCACCCGGUGACAUUCAAAAAUAAAUGCACAGUUGAAAUAAAUAGAGAAUUUAAAUAUAGGAUCAACAUGCUCAAAGGAUUGUGUUUAGGAUCUGUGUGACUUGCCUUGCAAUAAUCGAUCUUCAAUUAAUCUUCUUGAUCACUUCCGACGCACUCACGAACCUUCGCAACGACGGAAACGACAAGCUAACACGCAAAACGAAGAAAAAGACUAAUAAAAAACCAAAUAAACAGUACAUAAAAAGUAAACAAACAUGUAGAUCAUAAUUUUAGAUGAAUUAUGAGACUUGAACGGCCUCAUUCUGACUUCAAAUGAAUUUAUUAUGAAUUUUACAAGAUUAAAUCUAAUUAAAGCCCAUUUAAAAAGAAUUAAAUAAAUUUAAUUCAAUUUAUGGACAAUUUUAAUAUGUAGAUCUUUAUUUUAGAAAAAUUUAGCAACUUGAACUACAUUAAACUGAGUUACGAUGAUUUAGUUAUGAUUUUCCGAAGAUUUAAUCUAUUAAAAGAAAAGGAAAAAGAUGAGAUGAUGACGUCAGCAUGACGUCAUCCAUGGCCGGCGGCUCGGAUUGGCGACCUCGCCGGAGCUAGGAUGGUCGGCCGGGGAUUUGGAGGGCACCUACGCAUAGAGGACGACGAGAUGAACCCAACGGUACUCACCACGACGACAAACGACGAACGACGACGGCCGGCGACGAGAAGGGCGACGGCGGCGGCUCGGUUGAACGGCGACGGCGAGCUCCGGUGGCCGGCGGCAAAGAAGGACGGGCGGCCGAGCUUCUCCACCCCUUGGCGCACCUCUUGGCGAUGGCGGCAAGCGGCGGCGACGACGGAGGCGGCGGCGCGACGACGCCGAAGAUGGCCGGCGGCGGCGGCGAGCUAGACGCGCGUGGCGCGGCGGCUAGGAGGCACGGGAGACCACGGGAGAGAGAGCAAAUGAAAGAGGGCGACGAGGGGAUGCUAUAUAUAGCCUUGGAUUGAAGAGAUCGAACUCCAAACGAGAGGAAUCGACUCGGGAAAAAUCCAAACUCGGUUUUAGGGAUAAAAUCAAAACGAACUCGAUUCGGAUAAAAUACCCAACGAUUCGCUCCGAUUCUUGAGGGGAAAGAUAGAGGAGAAUGAGAGGAUAAAAUCCCCUCAAAAACCCGGAGGAAACGGGGUCGGAUUGGGUUGGAUUUGAGAGAAGAAAGGAGGCGCGGUCGGUCGGCAGCUCGGCUCGGCUUGGCCGGCCGGAGGUAGGGGAUGACCCCGACAUGUGGGCCCCACAUGUCGGUGGCUAGAGGAGGAGGGGCGGCGGCUGCUUGGCUGGGCCGACUUGGGCCGGUUCGGCCGCGCGGAGAAGAGAAGAGUUGGGCCGAAUUCGGCCCAACGGCUUAAAGGAGGGGUUUUUGAACUUUUUCAAUAAAAACAAUUUGUGAAAUGUUGUUUCAUUUAUUAAAAAUACUUCCCUUGCUCAAAUAAUUCCCAGAAAAAUCUAGAAAAUAGAGGAGCAAGCAUAGUAUUUAAUAAAAUUUUAUCUAGCUCAUUUUUAUAUUGAAAAUUUUCCUAGAAAAUUAGGGUUUAGCUUGUAGGUUUUUAAAAUAAUUUCUAAAAAAUUCCAAUUAAACAACAAUUUAUAUAUUUAGGAUUUUAAACAAGAAAAACUCUUAACAAUUAUAGUUAGAUCAUUUAAUGAUCAAAUAAUUACUAAACUGUUCUUUGUAUCAUUUAGGAAUUGAGCUCCGAAAAAUCCGAGAAAAUUCCAGAGAGUAUAAUUAACCAUGGAGAAUUUAAUAAAAAUUAAAUCCAUCCAUGCUUUAUAUUUAGGAAAUUUUAUUUCCCACAUUUAACUUCACUUGUAAAUUAAUGAACAUUUAAUAUAAAUUCUAUUAAUAAUUUACUAAAUUCUUUAUAAAUCUUGAAACGAAAAUCAGGCUGUGACAGAACUCCAAACGAGAGGAAUCGACUCGGGAAAAAUCCAAACUCGGUUUUAGGGAUAAAAUCGAAACGAACUCGAUUCGGAAAAAAUCCUCAACGAUUUGCUUCGAAACUUGGGAAAAGAUAGAGGAGAACGUGAGGAACAAAACCCCUCAAAAACCCGAAAGAAUCGGGGUCGGAUUGGAGCAGAAACGGAGGCGGAAAAGGGCGGCUCGGGCUUGCUAGGGCGGCCGGCCGGAGGUAGGGGAUGGAUCCGACAGGUGGGCCCCACCUGUCGGUCUCCUGAGAGGAGGGCACGGGCGGCUCGGCUGGGCCGGCUUGGGCCGCGCGGGAGAGAGAGAAUGUUGGGCCGAAUUCGGCCCAACGGCUAAGGAAGGGGAUUUUUGAACUUUUUUGAAUAAAAACAAUUUGUGAAAUGUUGUUUCAUUUAUUAAAAAUACUUCCCUUGCUCAAAUAAUUCCCAGAAAAAUCUAGAAAAUAGAGGAGCAAGCAUAGUAUUUAAUAAAAUUUUAUCUAGCUCAUUUUUAUGUUGAAAAUUUUCCUAGAAAAUUAGAGUUUAGCUUGUAGGCUUUUAAAAUAAUUUCUAAAAAUUCCAAUUAAACAACAGUUUAUACAUUUAGGAUUUUUAGGGCGUGACAAACCUACCCCCCUUAAACGGAAUCUCGUCCUCGAGAUUCAGAAGAACUGGCGAACAGAUGAGGAUGAGCUGACUUCAAUUCAUCUUCUCGCUCCCAAGUGGCUUCUUCUUCUGAAUGAUUGCUCCACUGAACCUUGCAGAACCGUAUAACGCGAUUCCUGGUAUUCCUCUCGCUUACUUCCAAAAUUCUGACGGGCUUCUCAACAUAAGUUAAAUCUUCUUGAAGCUCUAUACGAUCAGGAUCUGCUUCCUCCGUAGGUACACGUAAACAUUUCUUCAACUGAGACACAUGGAACACGUCAUGCAUUCCCGUCAUUGACGAAGGCAACUCUAACUGAUAAGCUACUUCACCUCUUCGACUCACAAUCUUAAAAGGUCCCACAAAGCGCGGUGCCAAUUUCCCUUUGGUUUGGAAACGAUGAACACCUCGUAACGGCGUAACCCGAAGGUAUACAUAAUCUCCUUCUUCGAAAGCCAAAUCUUUGCGACGAUUGUCGGCAUAGCUCUUCUGACGUGACUGAGCAACACGCAACCUUUCUUGGAUAAUCUUCACUUUUUCUUCUGCCUCUCGCAAUAUGUCUGUCCCAAAAACCUGACGUUCACCGGUUUGAUCCCAAAGAAGCGGCGUACGACACUUUCGACCAUAUAAUGCUUCAUACGGAGCCAUUUGCAAACUAGCUUGAUAACUAUUGUUAUAUGAGAAUUCCGCGUACGACAAAUUCUUAUCCCAACUUCCACCAAAAUCUAGAACACAGGCUCUCAACAUAUCUUCUAAAAUUUGGUUUACUCUUUCUGUCUGACCAUCUGUUUGAGGGUGAUAAGCGGUACUGAAAUUCAAACGGGUACCCAUCUCAACUUGUAAUUUCUGCCAAAACUUCGAAGUAAACUGGCUACCUCUAUCUGACACUAUCUUCUUAGGAACGCCAUGCAAACAUACCACUCUGGCCUUGUAUAACUCUGCAAGCUUAUUCCCCGUAUAGGUUGUUUUGACCGGUAUGAAAUGCGCGACUUUUGUCAACCUAUCAACCACUACCCAAAUAGAAUCAUGUCCUGCCGACGUUCUGGGUAGACCGGUUAUAAAAUCCAUUCCUAUUUCUUCCCACUUCCACUCUGGAAUCUUUAACGGUUGUAACAGAUCGGCUGGCUUCUGAUGUUCUGCCUUGACCCGCUGACAUACAUCACAUAGAGCCACAUAUUCUGCUAUCUCACGACGCAUACUGGCCCACCAGAAUUGUUGCUUUAAAUCUUGAUACAUCUUAGUGCUUCCAGGGUGAAUGGAAUACAAAGUUUCAUGAGCUUCUUUCAUGAUAGUAUCCUUCAACUCCUUAUUAUCUGGGACGCAAAUUCUUUCUCCUAACCACACAGUACCUUGCUCAUCUUCUACAAAACCGAUGGCUUUUCCUCUUCUCAUGUUUUUCUUUAUUUCUUGGAUAUCAGGAUCAUUCACUUGAGCUUCUCUAACUUGAUCAAACAGAGUAGGUUUAGCUUCUAAAGCGGCCAUAAAACCUUUGCUGACUAUUCCCAAGUUCAACUUUUCAAAUUCUUGGCAUAACUCCCGAGGUAAACGUCGACCUUCUGACAUAUUACAGUAGCUUUUCCUGCUAAGUGCAUCGGCUACAACAUUUGCUUUCCCCGGGUGAUAGUGGAUUUCCAUAUCAUAAUCUUUAAUCAACUCUAACCAUCUUCGCUGACGCAUGUUCAAAUCAGGUUGAGUGAAAAUAUACUUCAAACUUUUAUGAUCCGUAUAUACCUCUGUACAGUUACCGAAAAGAUAAUGACACCAAAUCUUCAAUGCAUGCACCACAGCAGCCAAUUCUAGGUCAUGCGUUGGGUAGUUAUUCUCAUGGGGACGUAAUUGCCUAGACGCAUAAGCAACCACCUUUCCUUCUUGCAUCAACACACAACCCAAACCGAGUCGGGAUGCAUCACAAUACACUUGGAAACCUUUCCUCGAAUCAGGCAAAACUAACACAGGCGCAGUCACUAGCCUUUUCUUCAAUUCUUGGAAACUUUGUUCACAAUCCUCUGUCCACUUGUACUUUACUUCCUUCUGAAGCAGACGAGUCAUUGGUCUGGCGAUCUUUGAAAAGUUCUCAAUAAACCUGCGGUAAUACCCAGCAAGUCCAAGGAAACUACGAAUUUCUGAAACCGUCUUGGGUUGCUUCCAACUUAACACUGACUCCACAUUGCUUGGAUCUACUGCCACUCCUCCGGACGAGAUGACAUGACCAAGAAACUUCACUUCGGACAACCAAAAUUCACAUUUACUGAACUUGGCAUAAAGCUGAUGCUCACGUAGUUUCUCUAAAGCUAGACGAAGAUGCUCUUCAUGUUCUUCCUUCGUCUUGGAGUAAAUAAGAAUGUCAUCAAUAAACACCACGACAAACUUAUCCAGAUAUUCCAUAAACACCUUGUUCAUCAGAUUCAUGAAAAAGGCUGGGGCAUUAGUGAGUCCAAAUGACAUAACGGUACAUUCGAACAUACCAUACCGAGUUGUGAAAGCGGUCUUUGGUAUAUCUUCCUCACGGAUUCGAAGUUGAUGAUAUCCAGAACGGAGAUCUAUCUUAGAGAAAACUGUAGCACCUUCCAGUUGAUCAAACAGGUCAUCAAUUCUGGGUAGAGGAUACUUAUUCUUGAUAAUCACCUCAUUCAACGCUCGAUAAUCCACGCACAUUCUCUGAGUAUGAUCUUUUGUCACGCCCGGAAUUUCUAUCCAAAAUUCCAAACGCUUACAUGUGUGUGAACCCUCGUCCAGGAAUCAGCCGAGGCACACAAUAACAAAUUGAUAAUAGAGUACAAUUAUUACUCUAAUUAAUAAGCGUAUAAAGUGUCAUUACAGAGGUAGAUAGUUCCUCUCAAACAAUAAAUAUCUAAGCAGCGGAAAAAGAAAUAAACGGCGCAGACGGCUCCACUCCACAGGCAGCUUGACCAAGGCUACACCUAAUCCUCCACUCCAUCAGCUUCACUGUAGAACUCUUCCUCUGAUGAAUGAUUGCAAGGUGAGUAUAUGACAUACUCAGCAAGCCACGCAGCAAAUAUGCAAGUGCACAGGAUAACAAAGGAUGGCAUAAUAGGGUUUCAUUUGCAAAAGCAGCAUUUAGCAAACAUUUGAGAAUUUAAUCAAACCGUUAAGUAAUAAUUAAACAAUAUUAAUCCAACGCUAUACAACAUACCCUGUUGUAUAGGCCCAACCAUUCUAAACAACCACCUCGGCUGCACAGUUCUAUCUCCAAACCAGGAAUAUACCAUUCCAAACCAGGAGCUAAUCAAAUUAUUACCAGUUAAAGCAUCAUUUACUAAGAUGAGAAGUGUGGGACUAAUCACGAAAGACAUUGUUAGACUCGCCCAUAACCGCGGGCACAGCUAUUCGAAUAGUUUUACUCUGAUCAGAGGUGUACCACUGUACCCACAAGACACAACCCCACAUCAUGUCACCAUGUGCCUCAAUACCACCACGGUACCUCGGAAAGGAGUUGUGACAAUACCCCUCAUACAACACAAUCCACUGCAGUGCACCUUCCUGGAUCAUAAUCACCCCCUUAUAAACAAGGCAUGGACUCCCCAGCGACCCCCGUGGGCUUAUCUCCGCCACUUCUCAGUCUGGUGCCCCGCAAUGAACCAUGCUAUACAAAGGAUAAAGCCGUUGCCCAUGCUGGCUUGUGGUUGGCACGAUUAAUGUUUCACAACCGAAACUCGUGAACCGGUCCUUAAUUGUCAUGAGCACGACCAUCAAAACCAUGUGCUCACAACCCACCAUUAUCAGGUUUUAGUUGGCACAUUAAUUAAUUAACCAAUCACGAUUGUCCAUCGUGAACUAUCAAUAAGCCAUCGUGAAAUAAUAGUGAAUCAUUAGUUAUCCCAUAAGUGUGCUAAUGUUUCUAAGCAGGGCUAAGCAAUUAUUUCUAAUAUCUAGUUGAACCAAUAAACAUAAAGCUCAACUAGUCCAAUUUUAAUAACCCGAGGUAUCAAGGAAUAAGGUAAUCAAGAACAAAAGGGCUAUAACAAACAAUAGGUUAAUUCCACCCAAUGACAUUCGAAAAUAAAUGCAAUAUUUGAAUAGAAACAAUAGCUUUAAAUAGGAUCAACCAUGCUCAAAGGGUUGUUUGGGAUCUGUGUGACUUGCCUUGCUGGCCUUGGAACUCUUCAAACUCUUCUCCGGCGAAAACGGACUCUCCGGAAACGACGGAAUCUAAGCAGAAAGAAGCAAAAACACCAAAACAGCACAUAAAUAAGCUUGAACAGUACAUGUGGAUAUUUUUAUUGUGUAGAUCUCAAUUUUAGAAAAAUUUAGAGACUUGAACCAACUAAAUCGGAGCUAAGAUGAAUUAGUUAUGAAUUUUUAAAGAUUAAAUCGGAUUAAAACACUUAAAUCGGUUAAAAUUGAAUUAUGACGCAAUAAUGAAUUAUUUUUGAAAAGGAAAAGAAGGUUUAUUGCGUCAGCGGCUAGGGUUUCGGUGGACCGGGCGCACGGGCGGCGGUUCACGCGAACGGACGGCCGAGAUCGAUCCAAUCCAAAACGGACGGCCGAGAUCGAACGGUCCACGACCGGCUCACGGCGGACGACCCCGAUGACGUUAGCGAUGACGUCACCGACAGCGGCGGCGGCUCGGCGGAGCAGACGGCUCGGACGGCGCACGCUCGCCGGCGAACGGCGGCACUACGGCACAAACGGAGGGCACCAGCACGUAGAGGACGACGCGGCGAACUCACCGGUGACCAAAACGGCGGCGGAGGAAGAACGGACGGCGACGGUGACGAGGUUGAAACGGCGGCGGAGAUCGGGUCGACGACGGCGACGAUGCUCCGGCGGUCUCCGACGGUGGCGAAGUGGCGGACGAGGACGACGACGACUUGGCGACCACGACGGCGGUCUUCCCGAGCGACGACGAUGACCGGAACGGCGGCGGCGCACGGCUGGAGCGACGGCGGCGACGGCGGCACUAGGGCACACGGUGCUAGAGCUCUUCCGGCGACGAGAGGCGAAGGCGAGGGUGGCGACGGGUAGAGGAGGCACCGGGGGUCCUUUUAAAUGGGCUCGGAGGCGGCGGCAAAGGCCCACGGCGACGGCAACGGCGAAGGAAAGCUCGGGUAGAACGAAUCCGAGACGAACUCGAAUCCAACUCUUUCCAAGACGAUUUGGCCAAAGAUUCCAAAGGAGAAAAGGUAGAGGAGAUCCCGAGGAUCAUUUCCCCUCUAUCAAUUCGGCCGGAGAAGGAAAGGAGCGGCCGGAUUGGAAAGCGGCGGCGGCGGCGCGAAACUAGGGUUUCGGCCCGAGGAAGACGACGACUCCGACAGGCGGGACCCACCUGUCAGCGACAGCGAGGGCGCGCGCGCGAGCGGCUGCGGCUGCGGACUGGGCCGGCUGGGCCGAGGAGAGAGAGAGGAGGUUUUGGGCCGACUUUCGGCCCAAAGCCAAAAGAAGACUUUUUAAAACCUUUUUCCAUUUAAAUUAUUUCUUAAAUGCAAUUCCAUUUAUUAAAAAUACUUUCUUAGCUCAAAUAAAUCCCAGAAAAAUCUAGGAAUUAUAGAAUUAAGCAAAGUAUUUAAUAAAAUUUUAUCUGGCCCCAUUUUAUAUUGGAAUUUAUUAAUUAAAACUAGAUCUUCCUUUCUAGGCUUUUAAAAUAUAUUCUAGAAAUUCCAAUUAAACAACAAUUUAUAAAUUUUGAAUUUUCAGGAUGUGACAAACCUACCCCCCUUAAACAGAAUCUCGUCCUCGAGAUUCGGAAGAACUGGCGAACAGAUGCGGAUGAGCUGACUUCAAUUCAUCUUCUCAUUCCCAAGUUGAUUCUUCUUCCGAGUGAUUACUCCAUUGGACUUUGCAAAAACGGAUAACUCGAUUCCUGGUUCUUCUCUUAUUUGUUUCCAAGAUACGGAUUGGUUUCUCCACAUAGGUCAGAUCCUCUUGGACUUCUAUCUAUUCAAGAUUAGCUUCUUCGGUAGGUACCCUUAAACACUUCUUCAAUUGCGACACAUGGAACACAUUAUGGACUCCUGCCAAGGAUUGAGGUAACUCUAACUGAUAAGCAACCUCUCCUCUUCUACUGACAAUCUUAUAAGGUCCCACAAAACGCGGUGCUAAUUUUCCUUUGGUAUGAAAACGAUGAACUCCUCGAAAAGGCGUGACACGAAGAUACACAUAAUCUCCUUCUUCAAAACUCAAAUCUCUACGGCGAUUGUCGGCAUAACUCUUAUGACGAGACUGAGCCACUCGCAAUCUUUCUUGAAUGAUUUUCACCUUUUCUUCUGCUUCUCUUAGAAUAUCCGUCCCGAAAACCUGACGUUCUCCCGUUUGAUCCCACAAAAGCGGAGUGCGGCACUUACGACCAUACAGUGCUUCGUAAGGAGCCAUCUGUAUACUAGCUUGAUAACUGUUGUUGUACGAAAAUUCUGCAUAAGGUAGAUUCUUAUCCCAACUUCCACCGAAAUCUAAAGCACAAGCUCUCAACAUGUCUUCCAAAAUCUGAUUCACCCUUUCGGUUUGUCCGUCUGUCUGCGGAUGAUAAGCAGUGCUAAAGUUCAGCUUAGAACCCAUCUCUUCCUGAAGUUUCUUCCAGAAAUUUGAGGUAAACUGACUGCCUCGAUCAGACACUAUUUUCUUAGGGACGCCAUGCGAACACACAAUCCUUGCCAUAUACAAUUCUGCCAACCGACUUCCGGAAUAAGUUGUCUUUACCGGAAUAAAAUGAGCCACUUUGGUAAGUCUAUCGACUAUUACCCAAAUAGAGUCAUGGCCUGAUGACGUUCUGGGUAAACCAGUGAUAAAAUCCAUACCGAUUUCUUCCCAUUUCCAUUCAGGAAUCUUCAAAGGCUGCAGCAAACCGGCAGGUUUCUGAUGUUCUGCCUUGACACGCUGACAAACAUCACAUACUGCUACGUAUUCUGCGAUUUCACGCUUCAUACUUGCCCACCAAAAUCUUUCUUUGAGAUCCUGGUACAUCUUAGUACUUCCAGGGUGAAUGGAGUAUAAAGUAUCAUGAGCUUCUUUCAGAAUUACAUCUUUCAAAUCUUUGUUGUCAGGGACACAGAUUCUCUCGCCCAACCAAACAGUUCCUUGCUCAUCCUCCAAGAAACCGAUAGCUUUUCCUCUUCUCAUAUUCUUCUUGAUCUCUUGAAUAUCAGGAUCAUUAAUUUGGGCUUCUCUAACUUGAUCAAUUAGAGUGGGCUUCGCUUCUAAAGCUGCAACGAAACCUCUACUGACAAUUCCCAAAUUUAAUCUUUCAAAUUCCUGGCAUAACUCCAAUGGCAACUGUCGUCCUUCGGUAGCAUUGCAAUAGCCUUUCCUGCUAAGAGCGUCGGCUACAACAUUUGCCUUUCCUGGGUGAUAAUGAAUUCCCAUGUCAUAAUCCUUAAUUAAUUCCAACCAUCUCCGUUGUCUCAUGUUCAGAUCCGGCUGAGUAAAGAUAUACUUUAAACUCUUGUGAUCGGUAUAUACCUCUGUACGAGUACCGAAAAGAUAAUGACGCCAAAUUUUCAACGCAUGAACUACUGCAGCUAACUCAAGAUCAUGAGUAGGGUAGUUCUUCUCAUGCGGACGUAACUGACGAGAUGCAUAGGCAACCACCUUCCCAUCUUGCAUCAGAACACAACCUAACCCAAGUUUGGAUGCAUCGCAAUAGACUUGGAAACCCUUCUUUGGAUCGGGUAAAAUCAAAAUAGGAGCUGAUAUCAAGCGAUUCUUCAACUCUUGAAAACUCUGCUCACAUUCUUCUGACCACUUGUACUUCACAUCUUUCUGUAGCAGUCGUGUCAUGGGCUUAGCAAUCUUGGAAAAAUUCUCUAUAAACCUCCGGUAAUAUCCUGCGAGGCCUAGAAAACUGCGAAUCUCUGAAACUGUCUUUGGUUGUUUCCAGUUGGUUACGGAUUCCACAUUACUGGGAUCGACGGCAACUCCUCCUGCUGAGAUGACGUGACCAAGGAACUUCACUUCAGACAACCAAAAUUCACACUUGCUAAACUUAGCAUACAGUUGAUGUUCUCGUAGCUUCUCCAAUGCAAGGCGAAGAUGUUCUUCAUGCUCUUCUUUGGUUCGGGAGUAGAUAAGAAUGUCAUCAAUAAAGACCACCACAAACUUGUCUAGGUAUUCCAUAAACACCUUAUUCAUCAAGUUCAUGAAGAAAGCAGGGGCAUUGGUAAGUCCAAAAGACAUAACAGUACAUUCGAACAACCCAUACCUAGUGGUAAAAGCUGUCUUAGGUAUAUCUUCCUCUUUGAUUCUCAACUGGUGAUAUCCUGAUCGAAGAUCUAUCUUGGAGAAUACAGUAGCACCUUUAAGCUGAUCAAACAAAUCAUCAAUUCUGGGCAGCGGAUACUUAUUCUUGAUAGUCACAUCGUUUAAUGCACGAUAGUCCACACACAUCCGCUGAGUAUGGUCUUUCUUUUCCACAAAAAUAACCGGAGCACCCCAUGGAGAUGAACUCGGUCUGAUGUACCCUUUCUGAAGCAAAUCGUCUACUUGCCUUUUGACUUCUGCCAACUCAUUGGCUGCCAUUCUAUAAGGUCUCUUAUGGAUCGGAGUUGUUCCUGGUACCAAAUCUAUUCUGAACUCUAUAUCCCUUUUGGGCGGCAUACCAGGUAAAUCAUCUGGGAACACAUCGGGAUACUCCCGGACUAUAGGAAUCUCUUCCAAAGUUAUCUGGUUCAGUCUUGACCUUAAAGACUCAGAUGACAAUGCAUGAACAGUUACAACUCGACCAUCAUUGCUGAUGAGAGUUACUUUUCUGUUAGCACAGUCUAUCACACCUUUAUGUCUGGCUAACCAGUCCAUCCCUAGGAUGACAUCAAGGUCUUUGGAUUCUAACAAGAUAAGAUUGGCCAGAAAUGGUACUCCUUGAAUUUCUAUUCUGACAGAGGGGCUACGUUGCAAAGAGAGUGCUUGAUUGCUUGGGGUACUAACCAUCAAAGGACGUCUAAGAUCUUCUACUUCCAUCCCAUGAUUUCCCGCAAAACUCAUAGAUAAGAAUGAAUGUGUAGCACCAGAAUCGAAAAGCACUGUUGCAGGAACUGAGUUAACAGAAAACGUACCCAAAAUCACAUCUGGAGCAUCUUGGGCUUCUGCAGCAGCAACAUGAUUGACACGGGCCUUUGAUGCUGGUGCGGUAGAGUUGCUCUGGGCAGGGACAACCUUCACGCGUCGGGGCUUCGGACACUUGUCAGCAUAAUGUCCUGGGUCUCCACAGUUGAAACACACCACGGGCUUGCUGCCUGGCUCCCUCUUGGCAGGUUGUUGCUGUGUUGGAGCUGCAACAGGACGUGGAGCUUGAUUGCGGAUGUUGUUGCCAGCAUUGUUGUUGAAAAACUGACGUUGCGGACGAACAACAGACGAAGAACCUCCCUGUGGCAUAGACUGGGGUCCUAAAGUAAGACGCGGCUUCUGAUUACUCCCCUGUUGUGCUUUGAAGUGAGCAAUCCGGCGUUUCUUCUGCUCCAUGCGGUUGUACUUGUCUUCCUGACGAAUAGCCUUAUCCAUUAAUUUCUGGAAAUCAGAAUAAUCUCCAGUCAUGAGUGGGUAAGAAAGCUCAUCAUUAAGUCCUUCCAAGAACUUCUCCUGGCGCUCUUCAUCAUUGCGCACAUCUUCCGGAGCAUAACGAGCAAGACGAUUGAACUCGUGCAGAUACUCCGUAACAGAGCGAGAUCCCUGGGUGAGCGACCUGAACUCCUUCUUCUUGAGAGACACCACUCCCGAUGGUAUAUGCGUCUUCCGGAAAGCAGCGGUGAAUUCAAGCCAAGUAAUAGGUUCAGCAGUAGUCCUAUUCAGGCGGAAGUGAUCCCACCAUUCAGAGGCAGGGCCAUGCAACUGAUGUGAUGCAAAUGAGACCUUCUCCUGAUCAGUGCACUGAAGCAAAUCCAACUUCUUCUCUAUGGCAUGCAGCCAAUCACCAGCUUCAACAGGAUUAGUGGUACUAGAGAAAACAGGCGGCCUCACACGAAGAAAUUCUGCUAACUUAUUCUGAGGAGGUGCAUGGUUAUUUCCUUGGUUCUGCUGAUUCUGGAGUUGCUGCAUCAUCAUGUUCAUGAGUUGUGUCUGUUGAGCAAGAACUUGGGCAAGAGUGGGAUUCUCUCCAUUAUUGUUGUUAUUGGGGUUGUUAGGGCCAUUCCCAUUGCUGCGAGUGUUCACCAUCUGGCAUGGACAGGGCACAAGAAGAGAAACCGGGGGAAACUACUUAGGAUAGAGAAUUACUUUAACUUUUAUUGAUCUUAACUGAGUUUUAUUACAAACUGAAGACUCUCACACCACUAAACUCACCAACUUCCUCACACUCAAAAGCAAACAAACGCAUGCACUUACAUCCCACCACUGAUGUAAAUCACAUGCGAGACACACACAAGCAAACUUAAAACAAGCAAACUAACACAACGAUCUAAGACCACGACUUAACAAGUCACUCUAGUUCUUCUGAGCAUCGGAGGUCGAUUGAAGGCUCGUUCGGCUCGUCUUCAUCAUCUUGAGUUGCUACCCACUCAAUCUUGGAAUGGGUGCGCUUGGAUUCUUCAUCUUCAUCACUACUUAUGAUAAUGACCGGAGGAUCUGCUGGGGCAACUUCUUUCUCCACCACACGAACCUUUGGCGCCAAUUGAUAGCGAGGGACAAAUAGAGCUCUCUUCCUUGCGGUAAGACGAAUCCUGGCCUUCUGCGGCGGAGCUUCUCCCUUCAAUGCGGCUAAUUCCUUCUCCAAACGAUCCACCUUGUCUUCGAGCUUGCAAAUCUUACCACGAUUCCGGUCUUCACGAUCUUGAGCUGCUAACACAGUCUCCGCACGACUUUCAUCCAUAGCCCACAACAUCUCAACCAAAUGCCUUGUGGUAGCAUCAUUCUCAAUUCCUUCAGUCUCAAGGUAACUGCCACGGUCACUUCCCUGUGGUUGACGAGGAUGAUAGCGAUACUCAGUGUCGGCCAACUGAUCACUGUAGCGAUCACGGAGCUCUCCUAUGGCGAUCCUUGCCACUUCCUGACAUGCAUGGAUGUAGUUUCUUCCUCCAGCUUCGAACAUUACUGAGGGGACCUCUUCACUAUUGCUGUUCAAAGUAACUUUGACUCGGCACUUCUCUUCAUGACGAUCAUGAGGAAUCUGGGCAUAAAAAGGGGCAGUCCCAAAUCCAAUGACAAAGGACAUCGUACGCAACUCCUGGACAAAACCCUCAACACCAAACAAGUACUCAGGCUUGUAGCGCGGCAUCUAAAGACAAGUGAAAGGAGGGAGUUAAGACAUCUAUCCAAUUAACAGCACAAGUUUUUGGAUUAAUUUGAAUAAAGUUUAGAAAUCAAAAUAAACCAAACCUGCAGGAUAAGUUGAAACAGUUGGAAACAAGGUUACAAGCUUUGUGCUUUUGAGUAACAGGUUUUAAAAGAAAUAAAAGAAAGUUAUAAAAUCAACUUGCUAAAUCUAUUUUAUUGCAGCAAGAUUAAAUAAAACAACAUUGUAAAACUUUUGCUGGUAAAUGAGCCAUUGGUACAGUAAUAAAUGUACGGUACUAAUAACACUGGAAUAAAUUUUGAAUGAGAACCAUUAAAAGAGAUUAUGAAGUGCAUGUGCCAUUAGUUUGGUUUAAUUAAAAGAGAAAGGGAGGAGAACAGUUCUACUUUUCCAAUAUUUUUAGAAGGCUUCUAUGGGUAACCAUUUGGCAUAACCUAGGGUCAAGGGGGCUCUGAUACCAACUUGUCACGCCCGGAAUUUCUAUCCAAAAUUCCAAACGCUUACAUGUGUGUGAACCCUCGUCCAGGAAUCAGCCGAGGCACACAAUAACAAAUUGAUAAUAGAGUACAAUUAUUACUCUAAUUAAUAAGCGUAUAAAGUGUCAUUACAGAGGUAGAUAGUUCCUCUCAAACAAUAAAUAUCUAAGCAGCGGAAAAAGAAAUAAACGGCGCAGACGGCUCCACUCCACAUACCGAGGUGCGAGCUUCCCUUUUGUCUGAAACCUGUGCACACCUCGCAAUGGCGUGACCCGAAGGUAUACAAAAUCACCCACUGCGAAUUCCAGGUCACGGCGACGGUUAUCUGCAUAACUUUUCUGCCGAGACUGUGCCACCUUUAGAUUAUCCCGAAUGAUUCUGACUUUAGCUUCAGCUUCUCUCAGGAUAUCAGUCCCGAACACUUGGCUUUCUCCAACUUGGUCCCACAAGAGCGGUGUCCGGCAUUUGCGCCCGUACAACGCUUCAUAAGGUGCCAUUUGUAUGCUGGCUUGAUAACUGUUAUUGUAGGAGAAUUCGGCAUAGGGGAGACUCUUAUCCCAGGUCUUCCCGAAAUCUAGUACACAUGCGCGGAGCAUAUCUUCUAGGAUCUGAUUUAGAUGCUCGGUCUGUCCAUCUGUCUGCGGGUGAUACGCGGUGCUGAAAUUUAAUCGGGUUCCCAACUCUUCUUGGAGUUUCUUCCAAAAAUGAGAGGUGAAUUGGCUUCCCCUAUCAGAUACAAUUUUCUUGGGAACGCCAUGGAGACUCACGAUCCUAGCGAAGUAGAGCUCGGCUAGUUUGUUCCCUCCAUAGGUGGUCUUCACAGGAAUAAAUCGAGCUACCUUGGUUAAUCGAUCCACAACUACCCAUAUAGAAUCAUAUCCACCUUGGGUUUUUGGAAGUCCGGUGAUGAAAUCCAUCCCAAUUUCAUCCCAUUUCCAUUCUGGUACUUGGAGAGGUUGGAGAAGUCCGGCCGGUCGUUGGUGCUCUGCCUUGACACGCUGGCACACAUCACAAAGGGCCACGAACUCUGCAAUUUCCCGCUUCAUACUAACCCACCAGUAUUUCUCCUUCAAGUCUAAGUACAUCUUUGUACUGCCCGGGUGAAUGGAAUAAGGGCUCUCGUGAGCUUCCUGAAGUAUCAGCUGUUUGAGUUCUCGGUUAUCUGGAACGCAUACCCGCUUUCCGUUCCAUAGGGUUCCGUGUUCAUCCUCUGUGAAACCAGCGGCUUUACCCUGUUUCAUAUUCUUGAGGAGUCCAUGCAUGUCCGGAUCAUUCUUCUGAGCCUUGCGGAUUUGAUCGAGCAAGGUAGGCUUGGCUUCUAGCGCAGCCAAGAAUCCGCGACCAACUAUGCUUAGGUUCAGGGCUUCCAUCUGUUGAUUAAGUUCGGGUGGAAUGCCACGGACGUUAAGAGUGUUGCAAUGGCCCUUUCGACUUAGAGCGUCGGCAACCACGUUGGCCUUACCAGGAUGAUAGUGAAUUCCCACAUCAUAGUCCUUGAUGAGUUCUAACCAUCUCCUUUGCCGAAGAUUCAGAUCCGACUGGGUGAAGAUGUAUUUCAAACUCUUAUGAUCGGUAUAUAUUUCACAGCGAUUCCCAAUGAGAUAGUGCCGCCAGAUUUUUAGAGCAUGAACCACCGCGGCUAACUCCAAAUCAUGUGUAGGGUAGUUGCCUUCAUGAGGUCGCAGCUGACGUGAGGCAUAGGCUACCACAUGACCGUCCUGCAUGAGCACGCACCCCAAUCCUUGGCGCGAAGCGUCACAAUACACCAGGAAGUCCUUGCGAGUAUCCGGCAAGAUUAACACCGGCGAGGAAACCAGCUUUUCCUUGAGAGUUUGGAACGCCUUCUCGCAUUGCGGGCUCCACACAAAUUUCUCUUCUUUCUUCAACAACUGUGUCAUGGGUCGAGCGAUUUUGGAGAAGUUCUCGAUGAAUCUCCGGUAGUAUCCUGCCAAACCUAAGAAACUGCGGACUUGAGUAACUGUCUUGGGUUGCUUCCAAUCGGUGACGGUGGUCACUGUUUCGGGGUCCACAGAAACUCCUUUAGCAGAUAUCACGUGUCCUAAGAAUUUGACUUCGGACAGCCAGAACUCACACUUGCUAAGUUUGGCAUACAAUUGAUGUUCCCGCAGCUUUCCCAACACCAGACGGAGAUGGUGCUGAUGGUCUUCCUCUGAUUGUGAGUAUACCAGAAUGUCAUCAAUGAAAACCACAACAAACUUAUCCAAGUAUUCCAUGAACACUUUGUUCAUUAAGUUCAUGAAGAAGGCAGGUGCAUUGGUUAGGCCGAAUGACAUCACCGUGAAUUCAUACAGCCCGUAUCGCGUGGUGAAUGCGGUCUUCGGAAUAUCUUCUUCACGAAUACGUAAUUGGUGAUAUCCGGAACGAAGAUCAAUCUUGGAGAAUACAGUGGCACCUUUAAGCUGAUCGAACAGAUCAUCGAUCCGGGGAAGAGGGUACUUGUUUUUGAUGGUGACUUCAUUGAGAGCUCUGUAGUCAACGCACAUCCUCUUAGUCUUGUCUUUCUUCUCCACAAAAAUCACAGGAGCACCCCAGGGGGAAGUACUCGGACGUAUAUACCCCUUUUCUUUCAACUCUUCCAACUGUUUCUUUACUUCGGCCAGUUCAUUUGCUGCCAUACGGUAGGGUCGCUUGUGCAGAGGAGUGGUUCCUGGAGCAAGAUCUAUCCGGAACUCAAUCUCUCGCUUGGGCGGCAUACCGGGUAGUUCUUCCGGAAACACAUCUCCGAACUCCCUGACGAUGGGGAUUUCUGACAGUCCUAUCUGAUGCAGUUCUGAACUACUGACAGAGGUUGGGGGUGCAAAGAAAACAACCGGUUGUUCCGGCCCUCGGUACAGAGUGACAGUGCGCCUCGCGCAAUCCACUACUCCUUGGAAUUGAGCCAACCAAUUCAUCCCAAGGAUCACAUCCAAGUUCUUGGUGUCUAGCAGAAUCAGAUCCGAGGGAAAAGGAAUCCCCUGAAUUUCUAUAGGGACGGCAGGGCUAUAAUACUUUGCUGUCAUAACCCCUCCAGGGGUGGUGAUGAGCAGAGGGUUCCUAAGCCUUUCUACCCCCAACUGAUUUCUCCCCACGAAUGGCACAGAUAUAAACCAGUGGGAAGCUCCAGAGUCGAACAAAAUGGUAGCAGGGAUGGAAUGAACGAGGAACGUACCAACGAUGACGUCUGGAGUUGUCAGCACGUCCUCGGCCGUCACGUGAUUCACACGACCCCGAAUGACAUCCUUCCCACCGUUGUUGGAGUGGGGAGGCGCUUGGCCUUGCUGACGCCUUGGCUUCGGGCAUUUAUCCGCAAAGUGCCCGGGCUCGAAGCAGUUGAAGCACAGACGCUGCUGACCUUGAGCGUCCCUGCGGCCUUGACCAGACUGCACGGUUGGCGUAGGAGGACGGGGCGCACGAGUCCCUUGCUGAUUCUGCUGCUGCUGCGGCUGUGGGACGCGCACCACGAAUUGAGGUCGCGGCGCGGAGCGAGGUUGCUGCUGCUGUUGUUGCUGUUGCGAGGAGGAUCCCCCUGGAUAGGGGUUGGUGUAGCGGACCCUUUGGUUAGCACCCUGUUGAUUGCGGAAAUUCGCCAAGCGGCGCUUGUGCGACUCCAGUUCCUUGUGCUUUGUCGCGUCCCAAAACGACUCUAAAAUACAUCCUCGAAAUUGUGCCGAGAAUAAUUAAAAUUCAUGUGAAAGCCUCCAACAAUUAAAAUGUGCAAAUAUAAAAGUCAAAUAAGGCUUGGAGGAUUUUUGUAUAUUUCCUAAAAGCCUAAAAUGCGUAAAUAAAUUUUAGUGGAAUUUUCAGAGCACAAAUAAUAAUUGAGAAGAAAUAAACAAAGUUAAAAAGGUUUUAUAAAAAGAAAAACCCUAAAAGAAGUCCUUUUCCCCCCCUUCCUCUCUUGGGCCGGCCCGGCCCAACUCCCUCCCUCUCUCUCCUCUCCCCCGCGGCCCAUCGGCCUCCUCCCCGCGCGCGCGCCGCUGACGGGCGGGCCCGCCCGCCACCCUCGCUGACGGGUGGGGCCCACCUGUCAUCGCCUACCUCGCGCCGCGCCCGCCGCCGCCCGUGCCCUAGCGCCGCCGCCGCCGCCGAAUCCGCCGCAUCCCGCCGUCCCCGCGCGCCAUAAAGAGGGGGAAAUCACUCCCCGUGAUUCCCUCCCUCUUUCCCCCCACUUUCCCCUCUCUCUCUCCCUCGGAUUCGCUCGGAUUUAAUCCCGCAAAGUUCGCCGGCGCAUCAAUGGAGCCCGAGAUCGCCGCGCCGGUUUCCUUCCUCCCCGGCCGCCCUCUCUCGCUCCCGUCCCUAUAUAAUUGUUCCCCGUGCCUCACUCCUCCGUUUCCGCCACUCGCCGCUCGCUCUUUCCGUCGGAUUCGUGCUCGCGCCGUUGUACUCUCUCUCCGCCGUCGCCGCCGAGCUCCGGUUCGCCGCCGUCGUCGCUCCGGACCUCCUCCCGUCUCGGCGUCACCUCCUUCGGCUUCGCCGCAUCCCCGUCAACCUCGUCCACCCCUUCGUUUCGCCCGCCGACCGUCGGAGCGCCGCCGUCCUCGUCGAUCCGAACCGCGCCGCCGUCUUCCUCCGCUCCGAUCGUCGUCUCCGCCGCCCUCGUCGUCCCGGGGUGAGCCGAGGACCGCCGUUCGCUUUCCCCCUUCCCUCCUCUCUCUCGGGUGCCGCUCCGCCGCGCCGUUGGUCGCCGGCGGCGACCAUCGGGGCGCGGGCGCGCCGCCUCCCGUCGGCCGUGCCGGCAAGGCCGCCUUCGGGCGCGCCCCGCAGCUGCCAGGUGGGGCCCGGCCGUCAGCCGCCCGCGCCCGCGGGUGCGGCUGACGCGUGGGACCCACGGCGCCGGCCGGCGUCAGCCGCGUGCGCCCGGUCCACCGUGGACCGAGAGGCUGACGCGUGGGCCCCACUCCCGUGGACCCGGUCCGCGCGCCCUCUCUCCCGGCUGACGCAAUAAAUCCGAUUUUUAAUUAAAAUUUAAAUGAAGAAAUUCGCAAAUAUCCAUUUAAAGAGCAUAUAAACUUCAAAUGGCCAUAACUUGGCCAUUUGAACUCGGAAUUGGACCGUUCAAGUCUCUAAUUUUUCCUUAAGAAGUCAAGAACCCAUUUUUGUGCUUUGUUUCUGCUGUUAUAUGGAGUUGAUUAGAGUAAAAGCCUUUUCUUUUCCGUUGGUCGUGUAGACGCUGCAGCUUCGGAAGAUCCGCUCUUCGUGGAAGUUGAAGCCGACGUUUGGGAAAGCGAGCAAGGCAAGUCACAUCAUCUUUGAACAUAUUGAAUCCCAGUUUAUAAAAUUAUGUUGAUUUAAAUUAUUGCAUUAUCGCUUUAUUUAAAUUCCCGCGUUAUCACUGUUUUAUUUAGCCAUGCCUAUUUACCUUUGUUAUGACCUUAUUAUUAUUGUUAUUGUUAUUAUUACCUUGUUCACCCUAGAACAAACAAAACCCCAACUAGUGGACACUCUACUCAUGGCACCACUAGUUUAGUUUUAGGUAGAUGCUUCGCAAUUUAAUUAGGUAACAUUAGGUGGUUUUUCAACUAUAGACUUUGGGAAAUAUUCAUAUCAUCUGGAUACUAUGGAAUGGUUUGGUUACUGUGGAAUUGGCUUCACACCGCUCCUUCUAUUCAAAAUCCCCAAAAUGGUUUUAGGCUGGGCUCGGGGUGCAUGGUUUUGAUAGUAGCACCUCGGCCAUAUAAGGACCGGUCUUCGGGCCUCUGUUGCAAAGCACUACCGUACUUCCACAUGUCUAGUGGGUAAGGCUUAGUUUGUGGCUCAGUCUGGUUAUAAACAAAAGUACACGGAUUGGAGAUGGAUGAAGUCGGGGGUCGAUAGACAUUCUCCAGGGCAAAUGAAGGCUACACGAGCUGCGGCCCGGUAGUCGAGAUGUCAUGGCACAGGGCCGGUGUCCUGCUGCUAGGGGCUCAGUCCUGCCUGCCUGUCCCGGGGGUUCCGGCCGUAGGUGGGAUUGGGUCGGUACUCUUGUCUAUGGCUAGGAUGGGUUGGAAACUAUGUCACGUCUUCCGUCUGUAUACCGUGGUGGUAUGUGGCACGUGGUUGCACGUGAGGAAGAUGUGUCUUGUGGGUAAAGAUGUACACCUCUGAUCAGAGUAUAAUCUAUUCGAAUAGCCGCGCCCUCGGUUAUGGGCAAGCCGAGCAAUGUACCCAAGUUAGUGUUUUAAUUCUUAAAACCUGCUUAUCAACUAAAAUGUGGAAUAGUUGGCCUGGGUUGUGUCACGUCCUGAUAAAUUCAUCCCGAAAUAAAAUUCAUUCGCUAAAAGGAAUAAUAGAAUUAAUUAAAAUUCGAAAAGAAAUUGGCAAACACUAAAAUACGUACAAGAAAAAUUCGAAUGUGGCCCGGAGAAUUUUUGUUAAAUUCUCCUUGGUCUAAAACGAGCCCUCAAAUUUUACUUGAAUUUUCAGAGCGCCGGAAAUAAUUAUUAAACAACAACAACAAUUAACAAAGUUUAUUAAAAAGAAAAUCUAAAAAUAACCCUCCUUCCUCCUUUGGGCCAAGCCCAGCCCAAAAGUCCUUCUCUCCUCCCUCUCUUUCUCUCCCUCCCCUUCUCUCCCUCUCUCUCCCGGGCCUCUCUUCCCCUCCCGGGCAGCCCACUCCCUCCUCUCCUCCUCCUUCUGGGCCGCCCCUCCCUCCUCUCCUUCCCGGCCCAUCUUCUCUCCCUCCCCUCCUCCUGGGCCGCCUCGGCUUCGCCCGGCCCAAGCCGAGCCGCGCUCCCACCCGUGCCGCGCACGUGCGCGUGCGUGCGCGCCGUUGCCGCGUGUCGGCCGCGCGCCCGACCGCGUGGGGCCCACGCGUCAGGCCGCCGUCGCCUUCUUCCUCCUCCGCCCGGCCACCUCUCUCUCUCUUCCCGUGGAACCCUAAUCCCUUCCUCCCUCAAAUCCACGCGAAUCAAUGCCCUUCUUUCCAAAUUGAAUAGGGGAAAUUAAACCCCAUUGAAUCCUCUUCAAUUCCCCCUUAAUUCCCCCUUGAACGGCGCCCCCAAUCGCCGGGAACGGACGCGCCAAGUCCGGCCGCCUUCCUUUGCCGCCGGCCGCCAUUCCCGUCGCCGUUCCCGCUCCUCCCGUGGCCGGCUCUCUCCCCCAUCCUAUAAAAUGGGAUCCUCAUCCCCCGUUCUACCGUUUUAGCCUCUUCCCGAGCUCUCCCGUGGUCUCUAGCCACCUCCCCACCGUCGCCCCCUCUCUCCCACGUUGCCGGCCGGCCUCCAGCCGCCUCUCCCGCCUCGCCGGAGCGUCUUCCGGCCGCGCCGUCGCCUCCUCCAGCAUCGCAGCCGCCUCCUCUCCCACGGCCUACCCUCCGUUUCGCGCGGUGACCGCCGGAGGCGCGUUCCCGCCGUCGCCCUCCCCUUUCCCUCGCGCCGGCCACCUCCAGCCGCCUUCCUCUCCUCGCCCGAGCGCCGCCCGGCCGCGCCGUCUUCUCCCUCGGCCUCGCAGCUGCCCCCUCUCCCUCGGUCAGCCCUCCGUUUCGCGGGGAAAUCACCGGAGACGCGCCCUCGCCGGCGUCCAGUGGCGUCGCCACCACUUCUCCGCCUCCGGCCGCCUCUGCCACGUCCCCGGAGCGCCGGCCGACGUCGCCACCACCUUCCUCGGCUCCACGACGCCGCUCUCAUCCCCGGCAUCACCUCCUCCUCGCCCGAACUUCGCCGGAACGCCGUCGUCUCCGCGCCGGCCUCUCCUUCCUCCUCGUCGGCUCGUCGCCCCGCUGCACCACCACCUUCACCAACGUCGCAGCGGCGUGUUCCACGCUGUCCCCUCCUCCUCUCAGCCGCUGCUGCCUGCCAUCAUCGUCGUCUCCGAUCGUUCUCGCCGUCGACGUCCCGUCGGUCGCCCGGCUCGUCGUCUCGCGGCGCCGCCUCCGUCAUCGUCAUCGUAGCGGCGUGUUCCACGCCAUCCUCACCGCCGUGCAGCCGCUGCUGGCUGCCCUCGUAGCCUCCUCGCCGGCCCCGGUCGUCGUCGUCCUCGUCCUCUCGUCGUUCCCGAUCGUCGGGGCGUUCGUCCCUCCGUCAAGCCGUUCUCGUUCGUCGUCCUCGCUUCGUCAAGGUCGCUGCAGCCCCCGUCAUCGUCUUCGUCCUCGCCUCCGCGUCGUCAAGCCUCGCGCCGGCCGCGUCUCGCCUUCGUCCAAGGAUCGCCGCCGAAGCCGUCCCCUCGCCGUUCGCCUCCGUUGUGCCCGUCUGUCUCCGCCGCGCCCGUUCGUCGUUGUCGUUCCCGCGCCUCGUCGCGUGGUGGUAAGGUUCCCUCUCCCUCGCUGCCCUGUCCUCGUCCUUUCGGUGUCGCCCAUGCCCGUUGUGCGGUUGUCGGCCCCGGUACCCGUGUAUCGGCGUCGGCAGUCGUUCGCGUGUGCGGGUGGUGACCGUGUGGUGUCUAGUGGAGUCCGUUUGUCGGCCACUCGCUUCGGUUGACACACGGGGUCCGCUUCCGUCGACCCGUGGACCGUCUCUGUGUACUCGGUCUGCCGCGGUCCUUUAGGUUGACAUGUGGGGUCCGCAUGUCAACGGCGCAGCCUUCCUGUCUUUUCCAGGCUAGCGCUUACACCUGUUUUAUAGUUGCAAAACUUGAUUAUAAUAAUCCGCAAAUCUCCAUAUAACAGCAUUAAACUUCGGAUGAUCAUAUCUCGGUCAUACGAACUCUGAAUCGACCCGUUCAAGUCUCCUAAUGUUUGUUAUAACCUAAAGAACCCUGUGCUUUCUUUUUAUGUAUUGUUAUUGCUUCUUUAUAGGCUUGUAGCUUUGCUUGUGUGCUUCGCGUAGCUUUCGUCGUUCCGGAGGUUCCCGAAGCGUGGUUCGUGGUCGUCGCCGAAGGUUCGGAAGGCCGUUCUCUCUGAGCAAGGCAAGUCACAUCAUCCUUGAGCAUAUUGAAUCCCAGUUUAUAAAAUUAUUUUGAUUUAAAUUAAUGCAUUAUCGCUUUAUUUAAAUUCCCGCGUUAUCACUGUUUUAUUUAGCCAAGCCUAUUUACCUUUGUUAUGACAUUAUUAUUGCUAUUGUUAUUAUUAUUACCUUGUUCACCCUAGAUUAAACAAAACCUCAACUAGUGGGUACUCUAUUCAUGGUUCCACUAGUAUAAAUUUAGGUAGAUGCUUCGCUGAAUAAUUAGGCAACAUUAGGUGGUUUUAUAACUUUAGACUUUGGGAGUUCUCAUAUCAUUUGGACACUAUGGAAUUGUUGAAUUAUGGUGGAAUUGGACACACACCUCUCUUCCUCUUUCAAAACCCCUAAAACCUGUUUUCGGUGGGGUUUGGGUGCAUGCCAGUUGUGGGAAGUAGCACCCCGGCCACUAUAAGGACUAAAGCUCGGGCCUCUGUUGCAAAGCACUACCGUACUUCCACAUGUCUAAUGGGUAAGGCUUAGUUUGUGGCUCAGUCUAGUCAUAAACAAAAGUACACGGAUUGGAGAUGGAUGAAGUCGGGCGUCGAUGGACAUUCUCCAGGGCAAAUGAAGGCUACACGAGCUGCGGCCCGGUAGUCGAGAUGUCAUACGGCGGAGGGUUGGUGCCCAAUGCUAGGGGCUCAGUUCUGCCUGCCUGUCCCGGGUAUCCCGGCCGUAGGUAGGAUUGGGUCGGUACUCUUGUCUAAGGCUAGGAUGGGUUGGAAACUAUGUCACAUCUUUACGACGGGUUCCAAGGCCAUGGAAUGCGGAGUAAAGAUGUGUCUUGUGGGUAAAGAUGUACACCUCUGAUCAGAGUAAAUCUAUUCGAAUAGCCGAGCCCUCGGAUAUGGGCAAGCCUAGCAAUGUACCCAAGUCAGUGUUUUAAUUCUUAAAAUUUGCUCAACAACUAAAAUAUGGAAUGGUUGGCCUGGGUUGGCUUGGGACGAGCUGGGACCCAGGGUCGGGUUGCCAGUUCGGUCUGAAUCAUCGUAGGCCUUGGGUUAAGGCAGGUUCGUGAGGGUUCACGGCCUUGUUUAAUAAUACUGUGUAGUUCUAUGAUCGUCUUUACAAAAUGGCUUUGGGCAACUAAGUGACUUUUAAAUGCUGUUUACUGCAAACCUUAAUCCCUAUAUUAUUAUUCCCUUGUACCUCCCUUGCAUUAAUUAUGCAUCUGCCGGUGUGGCUUGCUGAGUACUGUGGUUGUACUCAUUCUUGCUCAAUCUUUCCCCCCCUUCAGUAAGAGAAGCUUUGGAGAAGAUGUCUUAGGUGGAGUCCUGGCUUAUACCCCAGUUGAGCGCCUGUGAAGAUGGAGCCGUAGGCCGCUAGUCCGCUGCUGUUUAUUUUUGCUUGUCAGGCCUGAAGUGCCUUUGUAAUAAUGUAAAUAUUAUCGAUAUAAUAAAGAUGUGUCUUCUAUAUCAUGUUUGUGUGGUGUACCCCGGCUUUUCCUGGGACGGGGAUUAAUACACUGGCGUUCGGGAAAAGGCAAUUUUCCCGGUCGCGACAAGCUGGUAUCAGAGCCAUCUCGACUGUAGGAUAAGCCAAGUGGAUAAAACCCAAGGACAUAUUUUAUAAAUAAAAAUUAUUUGCGAAAGUUCCUUUUUCUCCUUCCCCUAAUGCUAUUUGCAAAAGGUUUACUCCGUUCUUCCUUCUUCGGAUUUUCAACUAGUACUAGAUGGUCAGCUUUGCGAGGAAGAAGAUGUCGUCAGUUGUUUGCCGAAGCUCCGGAAGACUGCAGGAUCCGCUAGCGAAGCGAAGGAAGCAAUGAAGCCAGCUGUGAAGGAGUGAAGAUCUUGGGAACCCGUCGCAGAACCUAAGCCACCCUAUAGGGUAGUGUUGUUAGUCGUGUGUUCCUUGCUUGUGUGUGUAGCGCGUGGUUUGCAUCGGUGGGUGGUGAUGUAACCAUGCUAGGUUGUUUGCUUAAUCAACUUGCAGAAUAAGUGAAACAAACAACACAUCAACAAAAAGAGUUAGUUCCUUUAAGGUCUUGUCCCUAGUUCUGGUCUAUUCUUUCCUUGUAUGCUUCCCCUCUCAACCCCUACCUUGUGACAGAUGGAUAAUACUGGUAACAAAGGCUAUGGGAAUGAUGGAUCCGAUGACGCAAGAACCCAAGCCAAUGGGAAUGAGAGAAGCACCAACGAAACCUCACCAGAGCUAAUCCAAGUUGUGGUUAACCAAACCAACAUGUUGGCAACAGCCUUUCAACUAUUACAGAAUUGGAGCAGCCCAGCAGGGACAACCAACGUUCAAGUGCCUACAGUCCGGCAACAGUGCAAGUUAUCAGAAUUUCUCAAAACUGAGCCUCCAACCUUUGCCAUUGCCGUCGAUCCUAUGGAAGCCAGUGAUUGGUUGCGCACAAUCGAGAAGAAGCUAGGGUUGAUUCAGUGCACCGACCAGGAGCGGGUUGGCUUCGCAACUCAUCAGUUGGUUGGACCGGCUUCAGAGUGGUGGGAUAGCUACGAAGCAUCACGGCCAGAAGGACAUACCAUCACCUGGAACGAGUUUUCAUCUGUAUUCAAGAGACCACAUGUUCCCGCAGGAAUGAUCACACUAAGAAAACGAGAGUUUCGCUACCUGAAGCAAGGAGAUUUGACCGUCACAGAGUACCUGCACGAGUUCUAUCGUUUGGCUCGCUAUGCACCAGAAGAUGUGGAAACGGAUGAAGACAAACAAGAGAAGUUUCUCCAGGGGUUAAAAGAUGAGCUUGCAGUGCAACUACUCCUAGAGGAUUAUGAAGAUUUUGAGAAACUUGUGGACAAAGCCAUGCAACUCGAAAGUGAGCAUAAUCGGAUGACGAACUGCAAGAGAAGGAUUGUCAACAUCCCAGUAAUUCCAUGUGGUAACCAAAGACAGCGCACUGAGCCACUUCAGAUCACCGGAUCUUCUGUUGUGCAUCAAGAGUUCCUGCCCCAAGAAGACGGACGCAAUACAGACAACAACCCUAGCAAUACUAAUGGUGAUGAUACCACCAACAACCAUGGUUCUUGCCCCAUUAGUGACCACUCGAAUCAAGCGUGCAAUUUUGACACUGAGAAAGACUCCAAUUGUGAUAGCAACUACGGUACCACUGAUGCCAAUGUUAGCAAGGAUUUCCAACCACCAAUUCCAACUCCUAGUCAGAACGAUCGUUCCCAGACGGACAACUCAGCAAAGAAGACGUUGAUUUGUUACAACUGCAAAGAACCAGGUCAUUUCUCCAGAGAUUGUCCACAGCCGAAGCGUAACCUGCGCCAUCACUCCGGCCAUUAUGCAAGAAGAAGACAAGUCACUCGCCUUGUGGUCACUGGAGCAAACGCCGUACCUGUGAGGCCUCAUGUUAAUUCUAACCCAUAGUAGAAACAAUGUACCGAUGUUAAGUACCGUCCCUUUUUGUUUAAGACAGUGCCUUGUAUUCAUGUAAUAUGGGAGAAAUUGGUAAUAAAAACAAGUUCUAAGAGGAUUCUUUCGGAAGAUGCGGAUAUGUGAUCAUGUGUAUAAUUGUUUACUGACAAAGGAGACCUAGGGUCUCGUGCCAGAGGAACUAUAUUCUAACCUCGAGCUAAUAACCAACCUGAGGAUGGAAAAGAAAAUCAGGUGAUUAACCAAAGAGACAUUUGUUUGGACUAAGAGUUUCAGAUGUGUCUUUUCCGGAUCAAAGGCAAUGACAGUCAGUGUAGCUUUUGGCGAAACACUUCAAGGUUUCACUGAAAGGUAGCAGACCAAAGGACCUCCUCGCCACCAGAAGCAUCCACAACUCUCGGAGUGAAGAGUACUUAGUGACCAAGGUCAAAAGAUGACUGAUAGAAGAUAUCGAAAAAGAUGUUUAUUACCAGGCAAAGAAGUAGGUCGAAAGGUGAUUAAUAAGAGAAAUCGGGAAAGAACACAUCAAGGGCAAAGGUGUAAAGGAAUACGUUGAAUGCUAAAUGAUGACAAGUUAUGACAAGCAUGGUAUCUUAGUAAAGACGAGCUGAUCUCGACGCAUGACAUGAAGUGGGUAACUUGUAUGAGGUUGACUCCAAAGAUAUGAACUAUGCAAAGUUCUGGAACUGAAGCCCCAUCUUCAAGUGCCGCAACCCAGUCGAAGUCAGCUAAAGGUUCAACCAGGGACAAGUCAGGUGAAGAGAAGAUUCCAUCUGCAACAGGAGAUCGAGCCAAGCAGUCCAGAGUGAAGAAGUGUUGUUAGGCAAGUUUGUUAUAGAAGACGGAGCGGAAGAAGUCAGACAAGAAGAGAAGACCGCCCAACCUAUCUUCUUGCUAGCCUCCUCGAAUCUCGGGGACGAGAUUCUUGUAAGGGGGGUGGAUUUGUCACGUCCUGAUAAAUUCAUCCCGAAAUAAAAUUCAUUCGCUAAAAGGAAUAAUAGAAUUAAUUAAAAUUCGAAAAGAAAUUGGCAAACACUAAAAUACGUACAAGAAAAAUUCGAAUGUGGCCCGGAGAAUUUUUGUUAAAUUCUCCUUGGUCUAAAACGAGCCCUCAAAUUUUACUUGAAUUUUCAGAGCGCCGGAAAUAAUUAUUAAACAACAACAACAAUUAACAAAGUUUAUUAAAAAGAAAAUCUAAAAAUAACCCUCCUUCCUCCUUUGGGCCAAGCCCAGCCCAAAAGUCCUUCUCUCCUCCCUCUCUUUCUCUCCCUCCCCUUCUCUCCCUCUCUCUCCCGGGCCUCUCUUCCCCUCCCGGGCAGCCCACUCCCUCCUCUCCUCCUCCUUCUGGGCCGCCCCUCCCUCCUCUCCUUCCCGGCCCAUCUUCUCUCCCUCCCCUCCUCCUGGGCCGCCUCGGCUUCGCCCGGCCCAAGCCGAGCCGCGCUCCCACCCGUGCCGCGCACGUGCGCGUGCGUGCGCGCCGUUGCCGCGUGUCGGCCGCGCGCCCGACCGCGUGGGGCCCACGCGUCAGGCCGCCGUCGCCUUCUUCCUCCUCCGCCCGGCCACCUCUCUCUCUCUUCCCGUGGAACCCUAAUCCCUUCCUCCCUCAAAUCCACGCGAAUCAAUGCCCUUCUUUCCAAAUUGAAUAGGGGAAAUUAAACCCCAUUGAAUCCUCUUCAAUUCCCCCUUAAUUCCCCCUUGAACGGCGCCCCCAAUCGCCGGGAACGGACGCGCCAAGUCCGGCCGCCUUCCUUUGCCGCCGGCCGCCAUUCCCGUCGCCGUUCCCGCUCCUCCCGUGGCCGGCUCUCUCCCCCAUCCUAUAAAAUGGGAUCCUCAUCCCCCGUUCUACCGUUUUAGCCUCUUCCCGAGCUCUCCCGUGGUCUCUAGCCACCUCCCCACCGUCGCCCCCUCUCUCCCACGUUGCCGGCCGGCCUCCAGCCGCCUCUCCCGCCUCGCCGGAGCGUCUUCCGGCCGCGCCGUCGCCUCCUCCAGCAUCGCAGCCGCCUCCUCUCCCACGGCCUACCCUCCGUUUCGCGCGGUGACCGCCGGAGGCGCGUUCCCGCCGUCGCCCUCCCCUUUCCCUCGCGCCGGCCACCUCCAGCCGCCUUCCUCUCCUCGCCCGAGCGCCGCCCGGCCGCGCCGUCUUCUCCCUCGGCCUCGCAGCUGCCCCCUCUCCCUCGGUCAGCCCUCCGUUUCGCGGGGAAAUCACCGGAGACGCGCCCUCGCCGGCGUCCAGUGGCGUCGCCACCACUUCUCCGCCUCUGGCCGCCUCUGCCACGUCCCCGGAGCGCCGGCCGACGUCGCCACCACCUUCCUCGGCUCCACGACGCCGCUCUCAUCCCCGGCAUCACCUCCUCCUCGCCCGAACUUCGCCGGAACGCCGUCGUCUCCGCGCCGGCCUCUCCUUCCUCCUCGUCGGCUCGUCGCCCCGCUGCACCACCACCUUCACCAACGUCGCAGCGGCGUGUUCCACGCUGUCCCCUCCUCCUCUCAGCCGCUGCUGCCUGCCAUCAUCGUCGUCUCCGAUCGUUCUCGCCGUCGACGUCCCGUCGGUCGCCCGGCUCGUCGUCUCGCGGCGCCGCCUCCGUCAUCGUCAUCGUAGCGGCGUGUUCCACGCCAUCCUCACCGCCGUGCAGCCGCUGCUGGCUGCCCUCGUAGCCUCCUCGCCGGCCCCGGUCGUCGUCGUCCUCGUCCUCUCGUCGUUCCCGAUCGUCGGGGCGUUCGUCCCUCCGUCAAGCCGUUCUCGUUCGUCGUCCUCGCUUCGUCAAGGUCGCUGCAGCCCCCGUCAUCGUCUUCGUCCUCGCCUCCGCGUCGUCAAGCCUCGCGCCGGCCGCGUCUCGCCUUCGUCCAAGGAUCGCCGCCGAAGCCGUCCCCUCGCCGUUCGCCUCCGUUGUGCCCGUCUGUCUCCGCCGCGCCCGUUCGUCGUUGUCGUUCCCGCGCCUCGUCGCGUGGUGGUAAGGUUCCCUCUCCCUCGCUGCCCUGUCCUCGUCCUUUCGGUGUCGCCCAUGCCCGUUGUGCGGUUGUCGGCCCCGGUACCCGUGUAUCGGCGUCGGCAGUCGUUCGCGUGUGCGGGUGGUGACCGUGUGGUGUCUAGUGGAGUCCGUUUGUCGGCCACUCGCUUCGGUUGACACACGGGGUCCGCUUCCGUCGACCCGUGGACCGUCUCUGUGUACUCGGUCUGCCGCGGUCCUUUAGGUUGACAUGUGGGGUCCGCAUGUCAACGGCGCAGCCUUCCUGUCUUUUCCAGGCUAGCGCUUACACCUGUUUUAUAGUUGCAAAACUUGAUUAUAAUAAUCCGCAAAUCUCCAUAUAACAGCAUUAAACUUCGGAUGAUCAUAUCUCGGUCAUACGAACUCUGAAUCGACCCGUUCAAGUCUCCUAAUGUUUGUUAUAACCUAAAGAACCCUGUGCUUUCUUUUUAUGUAUUGUUAUUGCUUCUUUAUAGGCUUGUAGCUUUGCUUGUGUGCUUCGCGUAGCUUUCGUCGUUCCGGAGGUUCCCGAAGCGUGGUUCGUGGUCGUCGCCGAAGGUUCGGAAGGCCGUUCUCUCUGAGCAAGGCAAGUCACAUCAUCCUUGAGCAUAUUGAAUCCCAGUUUAUAAAAUUAUUUUGAUUUAAAUUAAUGCAUUAUCGCUUUAUUUAAAUUCCCGCGUUAUCACUGUUUUAUUUAGCCAAGCCUAUUUACCUUUGUUAUGACAUUAUUAUUGCUAUUGUUAUUAUUAUUACCUUGUUCACCCUAGAUUAAACAAAACCUCAACUAGUGGGUACUCUAUUCAUGGUUCCACUAGUAUAAAUUUAGGUAGAUGCUUCGCUGAAUAAUUAGGCAACAUUAGGUGGUUUUAUAACUUUAGACUUUGGGAGUUCUCAUAUCAUUUGGACACUAUGGAAUUGUUGAAUUAUGGUGGAAUUGGACACACACCUCUCUUCCUCUUUCAAAACCCCUAAAACCUGUUUUCGGUGGGGUUUGGGUGCAUGCCAGUUGUGGGAAGUAGCACCCCGGCCACUAUAAGGACUAAAGCUCGGGCCUCUGUUGCAAAGCACUACCGUACUUCCACAUGUCUAAUGGGUAAGGCUUAGUUUGUGGCUCAGUCUAGUCAUAAACAAAAGUACACGGAUUGGAGAUGGAUGAAGUCGGGCGUCGAUGGACAUUCUCCAGGGCAAAUGAAGGCUACACGAGCUGCGGCCCGGUAGUCGAGAUGUCAUACGGCGGAGGGUUGGUGCCCAAUGCUAGGGGCUCAGUUCUGCCUGCCUGUCCCGGGUAUCCCGGCCGUAGGUAGGAUUGGGUCGGUACUCUUGUCUAAGGCUAGGAUGGGUUGGAAACUAUGUCACAUCUUUACGACGGGUUCCAAGGCCAUGGAAUGCGGAGUAAAGAUGUGUCUUGUGGGUAAAGAUGUACACCUCUGAUCAGAGUAAAUCUAUUCGAAUAGCCGAGCCCUCGGAUAUGGGCAAGCCUAGCAAUGUACCCAAGUCAGUGUUUUAAUUCUUAAAAUUUGCUCAACAACUAAAAUAUGGAAUGGUUGGCCUGGGUUGGCUUGGGACGAGCUGGGACCCAGGGUCGGGUUGCCAGUUCGGUCUGAAUCAUCGUAGGCCUUGGGUUAAGGCAGGUUCGUGAGGGUUCACGGCCUUGUUUAAUAAUACUGUGUAGUUCUAUGAUCGUCUUUACAAAAUGGCUUUGGGCAACUAAGUGACUUUUAAAUGCUGUUUACUGCAAACCUUAAUCCCUAUAUUAUUAUUCCCUUGUACCUCCCUUGCAUUAAUUAUGCAUCUGCCGGUGUGGCUUGCUGAGUACUGUGGUUGUACUCAUUCUUGCUCAAUCUUUCCCCCCCUUCAGUAAGAGAAGCUUUGGAGAAGAUGUCUUAGGUGGAGUCCUGGCUUAUACCCCAGUUGAGCGCCUGUGAAGAUGGAGCCGUAGGCCGCUAGUCCGCUGCUGUUUAUUUUUGCUUGUCAGGCCUGAAGUGCCUUUGUAAUAAUGUAAAUAUUAUCGAUAUAAUAAAGAUGUGUCUUCUAUAUCAUGUUUGUGUGGUGUACCCCGGCUUUUCCUGGGACGGGGAUUAAUACACUGGCGUUCGGGAAAAGGCAAUUUUCCCGGUCGCGACAAGCUGGUAUCAGAGCCAUCUCGACUGUAGGAUAAGCCAAGUGGAUAAAACCCAAGGACAUAUUUUAUAAAUAAAAAUUAUUUGCGAAAGUUCCUUUUUCUCCUUCCCCUAAUGCUAUUUGCAAAAGGUUUACUCCGUUCUUCCUUCUUCGGAUUUUCAACUAGUACUAGAUGGUCAGCUUUGCGAGGAAGAAGAUGUCGUCAGUUGUUUGCCGAAGCUCCGGAAGACUGCAGGAUCCGCUAGCGAAGCGAAGGAAGCAAUGAAGCCAGCUGUGAAGGAGUGAAGAUCUUGGGAACCCGUCGCAGAACCUAAGCCACCCUAUAGGGUAGUGUUGUUAGUCGUGUGUUCCUUGCUUGUGUGUGUAGCGCGUGGUUUGCAUCGGUGGGUGGUGAUGUAACCAUGCUAGGUUGUUUGCUUAAUCAACUUGCAGAAUAAGUGAAACAAACAACACAUCAACAAAAAGAGUUAGUUCCUUUAAGGUCUUGUCCCUAGUUCUGGUCUAUUCUUUCCUUGUAUGCUUCCCCUCUCAACCCCUACCUUGUGACAGAUGGAUAAUACUGGUAACAAAGGCUAUGGGAAUGAUGGAUCCGAUGACGCAAGAACCCAAGCCAAUGGGAAUGAGAGAAGCACCAACGAAACCUCACCAGAGCUAAUCCAAGUUGUGGUUAACCAAACCAACAUGUUGGCAACAGCCUUUCAACUAUUACAGAAUUGGAGCAGCCCAGCAGGGACAACCAACGUUCAAGUGCCUACAGUCCGGCAACAGUGCAAGUUAUCAGAAUUUCUCAAAACUGAGCCUCCAACCUUUGCCAUUGCCGUCGAUCCUAUGGAAGCCAGUGAUUGGUUGCGCACAAUCGAGAAGAAGCUAGGGUUGAUUCAGUGCACCGACCAGGAGCGGGUUGGCUUCGCAACUCAUCAGUUGGUUGGAACGGCUCCACCAGACGCGGCGACGCUUGGGGCGGCAGACCUCUCCCUGGGCGAUCUUGAGCUGAUGCAGCUGCGCCUCCACCGCGUCUAGGUCCUUCUUGAGCUGCAGGUUCUCCUGACGCAGCUCCAGGAUCUUCAUGUUGUUCUCGACCAUCCCACGGCGUACCAUCUGGUGGAAGUCGAUACGAGCCGCGUCGUACGCCUCCACCAUGCGCGCCAGGUGCACGAUGGUAGCGUCAUCCUCCGAGCUAGCAUCCCGGAAGGUGGCGUAGUCGCGGGCUCCUCCGCGACGAGGGUGGUAGCGGUAGGGCGAGUGCUGCAACUCGUCCGGGUAGCGCUGGUGAAGAGUGCCGAUAGCGAGGAGAGCGGCGUUCUGGCAAGCGGCGGGGAAGGAAUCUCCACCCGCGGUGACUGCCAGCGAAGUCCGCUCGGGAGAGCCAGACAGGAUCACUGCAGUGACCUCCCAACCAGCGUGGGGCUCUGCAUCGUCACCCUCCUGCUCCGGAAGCGGCCUGGCCUGGUAGUCCACUCCAUGUGGAUACCCCAAGACCACGCACAUGCCCCGCAGCUCCAAGACGAAGCCAGUCAUGUCCAAACCACGACGGGUGACGCUGCUGGCCAUCUACAAACAAAAACAAAAAGAAAAACAACAUUUUAAAGGUCAGAUUUUGGCGAUAAAUGAAGCAGCAAGACAGAGAGAGACUAGACAGUUUUCACAAAUAACAAAAGAUUUUUAUUUUUGAAAAUAUUGCUAAGGCUUGGGAUCUACGGCUCGUCCUAGGGUCAACGGUGGCUCUGAUACCAACUUGUCACGACCGGAAAUAACCCAACGGGCGUUCCUGACGUGCGUGCAUUAAUCCUUGUCCCAGGAGGCAAGGUACACCAAAAGUUGAUACAAUUCAGAGUUUAACAAGCGGAAGCGUAAAUAGUUAACUUAUUACAUGGGCAGCGAAGGCCCAGCACACACAGAGACAAACGAGAAACAGCGGAAGACUAGGGCGACGACCACAGGCGCUUGACGGCAGGCACGAGCUAGACACCAAAGCCUUCAUCUUCAAGGAGCUCCUCUUCUGGGCUUGGGAAAAAUUGAGCAAGACUGAGUACAACCACCGUACUCAACAAGACACACCCACAAAUGCAGAAUAAAUGCAAGGGAGUACAAAGGAAUUAUACUAUAAAGGGGUUAGGGUUGCAGUAAACAGCAUUUAAAGACGUUUAGUUGCUCAAAGCUAUUUUGUAAACGCGAUCCUAGAACUAUACAAUAUUAAUUAUCAAGGCCGUGAACCCACACGAACCUGCCUUAACCCAAGGCCUAUGAUGAUUCAGACCGAACUGGCAACCCGACCCUGGGUCCCAGCUCGUCCCAAGCCAACCCAGGCCAACCAUUCCACAUUUUAGUUGUUAAGCAGGUUUUAAGAAUUGAAACGCUAACUUGGGUACAUUGCUCGGCUUGCCCAUAACCGAGGGCGCGGCUAUUCGAAUAGAUUAUACUCUGAUCAGAGGUGUACAUCUUUACCCACAAGACACAUCUUCCUCACGUGCAACCACGUGCCACAUACCACCACGGUAUACAGACGGAAGCUGUGACAUAGUUUCCAACCCAUCCUAGCCAUAGACAAGAGUACCGACCCAAUCCCACCUACGGCCGGAACCCCCGGGACAGGCAGGCAGGACUGAGCCCCUAGCAGCAGGACACCGGCCCUGUGCCAUGACAUCUCGACUACCGGGCCGCAGCUCGUGUAGCCUUCAUUUGCCCUGGAGAAUGUCCAUCGACCCCCGACUUCAUCCAUCUCCAAUCCGUGUACUUUUGUUUAUAACCAGACUGAGCCACAAACUAAGCCUUACCCACUAGACAUGUGGAAGUACGGUAGUGCUUUGCAACAGAGGCCCGAAGACCGGUCCUUAUAUGGCCGAGGUGCUACUAUCAAAACCAUGCACCCCGAGCCCAGCCUAAAACCAUUUUGGGGAUUUUGAAUAGAAGGAGCGGUGUGAAGCCAAUUCCACAAUAACCAAACCAUUCUAAAGUGUCCAGGUGAUAAGAAUAUUUCCCAAAGUCUAUAGUUGAAAAACCACCUAAUGUUACCUAAUUAAAUUGCGAAGCAUCUACCUAAAACUAAACUAGUGGUGCCAUGAGUAGAGUGUCCACUAGUUGAGGUUUUGUUUAUUCUAGGGUGAACAAGGUAAUAAUAAUAAUAACAAUAAUAAUAAGGUCAUAACAAAGGUAAAUAGGCAUGGCUAAAUAAAACAGUGAUAACGCGGGAAUUUAAAUAAAGCGAUAAUGCAAUAAUUUAAAUCAACAUAAUUUUACAAACGGGGAUUCAAUAUGUUCAAAGAUGAUGUGACUUGCCUUGCUCGCUUUCCCAAACGUCGGCUUCAACUUCCACGAAGAGCGGAUCUUCCGAAGCUGCAGCGUCUACACGACCAACGGAAAAGAAAAGGCUUUUACUCUAAUAAACUCCAUAUAACAGCAGAAACAAAGCAUAAAAAUGGGUUCUUGGCUUCAUAAGGAAAAAUUAGAGACUUGAACGGUCCAAUUCCGAGUUCAAAUGGCCAAGUUAUGGCCAUUUGAAGUUUAUAUGCUCUUUAAAUGGAUAUUUGCGAAUUUCUUCAUUUAAAUUUUAAUUAAAAAUCGGAUUUAUUGCGUCAGCCGAGGGAGAGGGCGCGCGGACCGGGUCCACGGGAGUGGGGCCCACGCGUCAGCCUCUCGGUCCAUGGUGGACCGGGCGCACGCGGCUGACGCCGGCCGGCGUCGUGGGUCCCACGCGUCAGCCGCACCCGCGGGCGCGGGCGGCUGACGGCCGGGCCCCACCUGGCAGCCGCGGGACGCGCCCGAAGGCGGCCUUGCCGGCACGGCCGACGGGAGGCGGCGCGCCCGCGCCCCGAUGGUCGCCGGCGGCGACCUCCGGCGCGACGGAGCGGCGGCCGAGAGAGGGGAGGGAAGGGGGAAGUGAAACGGCGGUCCUUGGCUCACCCCGGGUCGACGGCGGUGACGGAAACGGCGACCGAAGCGGCGAGAGGCGGCGGCGCGGCUCGGGUUGACGAGGACGGCGGUGCUCCGACGGUCGGCGGGCGAAACGGAGGAGUGGACGAGGUCGACGAGGACGCGGCGAAGCCGAAGGAGGUGACGCCGAGACGGGAGGAGGUCCGGGGCGACGACGGCGGCGAACCGGAGCUCGGCGGCGACGGCGGAGAGAGAGGACGACAGCGCGGGCUUGAUUCCGACGGGGAGAGAAAGCGGCGAGCGGCGGAAACGGAGGAGAGAGGCUCGGGGAGCGAUUAUAUAGCGUCGGGAGGGGGAGAGAGCGGCCGGAGGGGAAGGAAUCGGCCGCGGAAAUCUCGGCCGCCAUUGAUGCGCCGGCGAAGAUCGCGGGAGUGAAUCCGGACGAAUCCGAGGGAGAGAGAGAGGGGAAAGUGGGGGGAAAGAGGGAGGGAAUCACGGGGAGUGAUUUCCCCCUCUUUAUGGCGCGCGGGGACGGCGGGAUGCGGCGGAUUCGGUGGCGGCGGCGGCGCUAGGGCACGGGCUGGCGGCGGGCGCGGCGCGAGGUAGGGGAUGACGGGUGGGCCCCACCCGUCAGCGAGGGUGGCGGGCGGGCCCGCCCGUCAGCGGCGCGCGCGCGGGGAGGAGGCCGAUGGGCCGCGGGGGAGAGGAGAGAGAGGGAGGGAGUUGGGCCGAGCCGGCCCAAGAGAGGAAGGGGGGGGGGGGAAAAGGACUUUUAGGGAUUUUUCUUUUUAUAAAACCCUUUUAACUUUGUUUAUUUCUUCUCAAUUAUUAUUUGUGCUCUGAAAAUUUCACUAAAAUUUAUUUACGCAUUUUAGGCUUUUAGGAAAUACACAAAAAUCCUCCAAGCCUUAUUUGACUUUUAUAUUUGCACAUUUUAAUUGUUGGAGGCUUUCACACGAAUUUUAAUUAUUCUCGGCACAAUUUCGAGGAUGUAUUUUAGAGUCGUUUUAGGACGCGACAGGGUCCCAGCUCGUCCCAAGCCAACCCAGGCCAACCAUUCCACAUUUUAGUUGUUAAGCAGGUUUUAAGAAUUUAAAACACUAACUUGGGUACAUUGCUAGGCUUGCCCAUAACCGAGGGCGCGGCUAUUCGAAUAGGUUAUACUCUGAUCAGAGGUGUACAUCUUUACCCACAAGACACAUCUUCCUCACGUGCAACCACGUGCCACAUACCACCACGGUAUACAGACGGAAGACGUGACAUAGUUUCCAACCCAUCCUAGCCAUAGACAAGAGUACCGACCCAAUCCCAACCUACGGCCGGAACCUCCGGGACAGGUAGGCAGGAUUGAGCCCCUAGCAGCAGGACACUAGCCCUGUGCCAUGACAUCUCGACUACCGGGCCGCAGCUCGUGUAGCCUUCAUUUGUCCUAGAGAUGUCCAUCGACCCCCGACUUCAUCCAUCUCCAUCCGUGUACUUUUGUUUAUAACCAGACUGAGCCACAAACUAAGCCUUACCCACUAGACAUGUGGAAGUACGGUAGUGCUUUGCAACAGAGGCCCGAGCUUAAUCCUUAUAUUGGCCGGGGUGCUACUUCCCACAACUGGCAUGCACCCAAACCCCACCGGAAAACAGGUUUUAGGGGUUUUGAAAGAGGAAGAGAGGGGUAUGUCCAAUUCCACCAUAAUCCAACAAUUCCAUAAUGUCCAAAUGAUAUGAGAUUUCCCAAAGUCUAAAGUUAUAAAACCACCUAAUGUUGCCUAAUUAAACAGCGAAGCAUCUACCUAAAUUCAUACUAGUGGAACCAUGAAUAGAGUGUCCACUAGUUGGGGUUUUGUUUAUUCUAGGGUGAACAAGGUAAUAAUAACAAUAGCAAUAAUAAUGUCUUAACAAAGGUAAAUAGGCAUGGCUAAAUAAAACAGUGAUAACGCGGGAAUUUAUAUAAAGCGAUAAUGCAUUAAUUUAAAUCAAAAUAAUUUUAUAAACUGGGAUUCAAUAUGCUCAAGGAUGAUGUGACUUGCCUUGCUCAGAGAGAACGGCCUUCCGAACCUUUGGCGACGACCGCGAACCACGCUUCUGGAACCUCCGGAACGACAGAAGCUACGCGAAGCACACAAGCAAAGCUACAAGCCUAUAAAGAAACAAUAACAAUACAUAAAAAGAAAGCAUACGGUUCUUUAGGUUAUAACAAACAUUAGGAGACUUGAACGGGUCGAUUCAGAGCUCGUAUGACCAAGAUAUGAUCAUCCAAAGUUUAAUGCUGUUAUAUGGAGAUUUGCGGAUUAUUAUAAUUAAACUUUGCAACUAUAAAACAUGUGUAAGCGCUAGCCUGGAAAGACAGGAAGGCUGCGCCGUUGACAUGCGGACCUCACAUGUCAACAAAAAGGACCGCGGUAGACCGCGUACACAGAGACGGUCCACGGGUCGACGGAAGCGGAUCCCGUGUGUCAACCGAGGCGAGUGGCCGACAAACGGACUCCACUAGACACCACACGGCCUGCACACGUGGAAACCACGCGGCUACCGAGCGGGCACACUAACACAGACACUACACGGUCACCACCCGCACGCGUGAACGACUACCGACACCGGUACACGGGUACCGGGGUCGACAACCGCACAACGGGUACGGGGUGACACUGAAAGGACGAGGACGGGGCAGCGAGAGGACGGAUCCUUACCACCACGCGACGAGGCGUGGGAACAACAACGACGAACGGGCGCGGCGGACGGCGAGGGAACGACUUCGGCGGCGAUCCUUGGACGAAGGCGAGACGCGGCCGGCAUGAGGCUUGACGACGCGGAGCCGAGGACAAAGACGACGACGGCUACAGCGACCUUGACGAAACACCGAGGACGGACGAGAACGGCUCGACAGAGGGACGAACGCCACGACGACCGGGAACGACGGGAGGACGACGACGACGACGACCGGGGCCGGCGAGGAGACGACGAGGGCAGCCGGCAGCGGCUGCACGGAGGCGAGGAUGGCGUGGAACACGCCGCUGCGAUGUCGACGACGGAGGCGGCGCCGCGAGAUGACGAGCCGGCGAGGAUGAACGGUGACGACGACGACGAACACCGGCGGGGUUCGGUCGAAGGGGAGGCGAGGCCGAGGGCGUCCUUGACGCUGCGAUGCCGGAGGUGGAGACGGCGACGUCGGCCGGCGCACUGGCACGGCGAAAGGGGCUGCCGGAGUGGGUGCCGACGAGACCGAGGAAGAGGCGGCGCGCGUGACGGCGGUGAGGGCUAGGGACCACGGGAGAUCGCGGGAGUGGGCUAAAACGAUAGAACGGAGCGAGGGGAUUCCGUUUUAUAGCGGAGGGAAGCGAGCCGGGCAUGGGAGAGGGCGGAACGGCGACGGGAAACACGGCCGGCAGCCAUGGAAGGCGGCCGGGAAUGGCGCGGCCGUUCCGGGCGAUUGGGGGCGCCAUUCAAGGGGAAAAACGGGGGAAAUCAAAGAGGAAUCAAUGGGGAUUAAUUCCCCCCAAUCAAUUUGGAAAGAGCCGGCUUGAAUGGAGCGGAUUUGGAGGAGGAACGGCGCUAGGGUUCACGGGAGAGAGAGGAAGGAGGCCGGCGGCUGGAGGCCGGGGACGCGCCUGACAGGCGGGACCCACGCGGGAGGCGCGCGGUCAACGCGCGGCAACGGCGCGCACGCACGCGCACGUGCGCGGCACGGGAGGGAGGCGCGGCUCGGCUUGGGCCGGGCGAAGCCGAGGCGGCCCAGGAGGAGAGGAGGGAGAGGCAGCCCGGGAGGGAGAGGGUGGAGGAGGGAGUGGGCCGAGAGGGGGAGGGGAAGAGUGGGCCGGGAGGAGGAGGAGAGGCCCGGGAGAGGAGGGAAAGAGAGGGAGGAGAGGGAGACUUUGGCCGCGGGCCAAGAGAGAGAGAGGAACCUUGGGCCAGACUUGGCCCAAAGGGAAGGAGAGGGUUAUUUUUAGGUUUUCGUUUUAUUAAACUUUGAUAAUUGUUUUUGUUGCUUAAUAAAUAUUUCCGGCGCUCUGAAAAUUCAAGUAAAAUUUGAGGGCUCCUUUUAGACCAAGGAGAAUUUAACAAAAAUUCUCCGGGCCACAUUCGAAUUUUUCUUGUACGUAUUUUAGUGUUUGCCAAUUUCUUUUCGAAUUUUAAUUAAUUCUAUUAUUCCUUUUAGAAAAUGAUUUUUAUUUUGGGAUGAAUUUAUCAGGACGUGACACCACAUCAUGUCACCAUGUGCCUCAAUACCACCACGGUACCUCGGAAAGGAGUUGUGACAAUAACCCUUGCACAACAUAACCCAUUACAGCGCACCUUUCCUGGAUCAUAAUCACCCCCUUAUAAACAAGGCCUGGUGUCGCGUCCCAAAACGGCUCUAAAAUACAUCCUCGAAAUUGUGCCGAGAAUAAUUAAAAUUCGUGUGAAAGCCUCCAACAAUUAAAAUGUGCAAAUAUAAAAGUCAAAUAAGGCUUGGAGGAUUUUUGUAUAUUUCCUAAAAGCCUAAAAUGCGUAAAUAAAUUUUAGUGAAAUUUUCAGAGCACAAAUAAUAAUUGAGAAGAAAUAAACAAAGUUAAAAAGGUUUUAUAAAAAGAAAAACCCUAAAAGAAGUCUUCUUUCCCCCCCCCUCCUCUCUUGGGCCGGCCCGGCCCAACUCCCUCCCUCUCUCUCCUCUCCCCCGCGGCCCAUCGGCCUCCUCCCCGCGCGCGUGCCGCUGACGGGCGGGCCCGCCCGCCACCCUCGCUGACGGGUGGGGCCCACCCGUCAUCCCCUACCUCGCGCCGCGCCCGCCGCCCGCCCGUGCCCUAGCGCCGCCGCCGCCGCCGAAUCCGCCGCAUCCCGCCGUCCCCGCGCGCCAUAAAGAGGGGGAAAUCACUCCCCGUGAUUCCCUCCCUCUUUCCCCCCACUUUCCCCUCUCUCUCUCCCUCGGAUUCGUCCGGAUUCACUCCCGCGAUCUUCGCCGGUGCAUCAAUGGCGGCCGAGAUUUCCGCGGCCGAUUCCUUCCCCUCCGGCCGCUCUCUCCCCCUCCCGACGCUAUAUAAUCGCUCCCCGAGCCUCUCUCCUCCGUUUCCGCCGCUCGCCGCUUUCUCUCCCCAUCGGAAUCGAGCCCGCGCCGUCGUCCUUUCUCUUCGCCGUCGCCGCCGAGCUCCGGUUCGCCGCCGUAGUCGCCCCGGACCUCCUCCCGUCUCGGCGUCACCUCCUUCGGCUUCGCCGCGUCCUCGUCGACCUCGUCCACUCCUCCGUUUCGCCCGCCGACCGUCGGAGCACCGCCGUCCUCGUCAACCCGAGCCGCGCCGCCGCCUCUCGCCGCUUCGGUCGCCGGUUCCGUCACCGCCGUCGACCCGGGGUGAGCCAAGGACCGCCGUUUCACUUCCCCCUUCCCUCCCCUCUCUCGGCCGCCGCUCCGUCGCGCCGGAGGUCGCCGCCGGCGACCAUCGGGGCGCGGGCGCGCCGCCUCCCGUCGGCCGUGCCGGCAAGGCCGCCUUCGGGCGCGUCCCGCGGCUGCCAGGUGGGUCCCGGCCGUCAGCCGCCCGCGCCCGCGGGUGCGGCUGACGCGUGGGACCCACGGCGCCGGCCGGCGUCAGCCGCGUGCGCCCGGUCCACCGUGGACCGAGAGGCUGACGCGUGGGCCCCACUCCCGUGGACCCAGUCCGCGCGCCCUCUCCCUCGGCUGACGCAAUAAAUCCGAUUUUUAAUUAAAAUUUAAAUGAAGAAAUUCGCAAAUAUCCAUUUAAAGAGCAUAUAAACUUCAAAUGGCCAUAACUUGGCCAUUUGAACUCGGAAUUGGACCGUUCAAGUCUCUAAUUUUUCCUUAUGAAGCCAAGAACCCAUUUUUAUGCUUUGUUUCUGCUGUUAUAUGGAGUUUAUUAGAGUAAAAGCCUUUUCUUUUCCGUUGGUCGUGUAGACGCUGCAGCUUCGGAAGAUCCGCUCUUCGUGGAAGUUGAAGCCGACGUUUGGGAAAGCGAGCAAGGCAAGUCACAUCAUCUUUGAGCAUAUUGAAUCCCAGUUUAUAAAAUUAUGUUGAUUUAAAUUAUUGCAUUAUCGCUUUAUUUAAAUUCCCGCGUUAUCACUGUUUUAUUUAGCCAUGCCUAUUUACGUUUGUUAUGACCUUAUUAUUAUUGUUAUUGUUAUUAUUACCUUGUUCACCCUAGAAUAAACAAAACCUCAACUAGUGGACACUCUACUCAUGGCACCACUAGUUUAGUUUUAGGUAGAUGCUUCGCAAUUUAAUUAGGUAACAUUAGGUGGUUUUUCAACUAUAGACUUUGGGAAAUAUUCAUAUCAUCUGGAUACUAUGGAAUGGUUUGGUUAUUGUGGAAUUGGCUUCACACCGCUCCUUCUAUUCAAAAUCCCCAAAAUGGUUUUAGGCUGGGCUCGGGGUGCAUGGUUUUGAUAGUAGCACCUCGGCCAUAUAAGGACCGGUCUUCGGGCCUCUGUUGCAAAGCACUACCGUACUUCCACAUGUCUAGUGGGUAAGGCUUAGUUUGUGGCUCAGUCUGGUUAUAAACAAAAGUACACGGAUUGGAGAUGGAUGAAGUCGGGGGUCGAUGGACAUUCUCCAGGGCAAAUGAAGGCUACACGAGCUGCGGCCCGGUAGUCGAGAUGUCAUGGCACAGGGCCGGUGUCCUGCUGCUAGGGGCUCAGUCCUGCCUGCCUGUCCCGGGGGUUCCGGCCGUAGGUGGGAUUGGGUCGGUACUCUUGUCUAUGGCUAGGAUGGGUUGGAAACUAUGUCACGUCUUCCGUCUGUAUACCGUGGUGGUAUGUGGCACGUGGUUGCACGUGAGGAAGAUGUGUCAUGUGGGUAAAGAUGUACACCUCUGAUCAGAGUAUAAUCUAUUCGAAUAGCCGCGCCCUCGGUUAUGGGCAAGCCGAGCAAUGUACCCAAGUUAGCGUUUCAAUUCUUAAAACCUGCUUAACAACUAAAAUGUGGAAUGGUUGGCCUGGGUUGGCUUGGGACGAGCUGGGACCUAGGGUCGGGUUGCCAGUUCGGUCUGAAUCAUCAUAGGCCUUGGGUUAAGGCAGGUUCGUGUGGGUUCACGGCCUUGAUAAUUAAUAUUGUAUAGUUCGAGAAUCGUGUUUACAAAAUAGCUUUGAGCAACUAAACGUCUUUAAAUGCUGUUUACUGCAACCCUAACCCCUUUAUAGUAUAAUUCCUUUGUACUCCCUUGCAUUUAUUCUGCAUUUGUGGGUGUGUCUUGUUGAGUACGGUGGUUGUACUCAGUCUUGCUCAAUUUUUCCCAAGCCCACAAGAGGAGCUCCUUGAAGAUGAAGGCUUUGGUGUCUAGCUCGUGCCUGCCGUCAAGCGCCUGUGGUCGUCGCCCUAGUCUUCCGCUGUUUCUCGUUUGUCUCUGUGUGUGCUGGGCCUUCGCUGCCCAUGUAAUAAGUUAACUAUUUACGCUUCCGCUUGUUGAACUCUGAAUUGUAUCAACUUUUGGUGUACCUUGCCUCCUGGGACAAGGAUUAAUGCACGCACGUCAGGAACGCCCGUUGGGUUAUUUCCGGUCGUGACACCUGGACUCCCCAGCGACCCCCGUGGACUUCUCGCCACUUCUCAGUCUGGCGCACUAUAAUGAAUCACGCUAUACAAAAGAUAAAGCCGUUGCCCACGCUGGCUUGUGGCUGGCACGAUAAAUGUUUCACAACAGUAGCUCGCGAACCGGUCCUUAAUUGUCAUGAGCACAACCAUCAAAACCAUAUGCUCACAACCCACCUUAACCAGGUUUUAAUUAUCAAUUAAUUAACCUCACACGAUUAACCAUCGUGAGCUACCAUUUAAUAUAACCAUCAUUAAUAAAAAUAUAACAUAGUUUAUAAUUAAUCCCUUUAGUUAGCUAAUGUUUCUAAGCAUGGCUAAGCAAACAUAUAUAUAGCAUUUAGCUGGACCAAUCCAUUAUAUAAGGUUCAUGCUAAUCAAAUUAUAACCCAUAGGAAAAUAAAGUCAUCUUCGGCCAACAAUUAACUGGGAAAGGUUCACCACCCAAUGACAUUCGAAAAUAAUGCAUAAGUUGAAAUAAAAUAAUAGCUUUAAACGGGUUCAACAUGCUCAAAGGGUUGUUUGGGAUCUGUGUGACUUGCCUUGGGCUUCCGCAAACGCUUCGGAACCUUCCUCAAUGGAAACGCUCUACUCCGGAACGACGGAGCUCAUUUUUAUGUUGAAAAUUUUCCUAGAAAAUUAGAGUUUAGCUUGUAGGCUUUUAAAAUAAUUUCUAACAAUUCCAAUUAAACAACAGUUUAUACAUUUAGGAUUUUUAGGGCGUGACACUCCUCAAUCACCUUUGGCAUGGCCAUGCACUCUAUAAUCUAUAACAUUGAGGGGCCCAGAGAUAUCUCUCCAUAGGAGGGGCAAAUCACACUAUGAUUAUUCAUAUCCCACUACAUGUUUCAUAGCAUACCCGAAAACUACUUUUAUAACUACCCAAUUAUGGGGUAGCGUUUAGCAGUCCCUAAGUAAGCUACUACAUAUGUUGGGAACCAUGAUAAUCUCAUGUCUAAGAAUUCAACACCAACACUAAAUGAAAUCACUGAUGACACAACACAUAUGGCUCUUGCAGUGUCUCGAGUUGGGUCUAUCCAACAACAAGUUCCCCAACGUGUGUCCACUGAUGAGAACAUAACUAGCUCGGUGUUGAUGUAAAAAAACGAGGCCUGGAAGAUCUGCUUAACUUCAGUGUAGGUCCAAAAAUCUUGCCUUUAGGUUAAUGAGCAUGCCAGUUGAUUUGAUCCUGCAAUCAACAAGAAAUAAAGACAAAGAAACCGCGGUUAAAUCCAUAAACGAUAGCCGAUCGGCUAAUUGCCGAUGACAUAUCAUUCAUCUUUGAGCCGAUGUCAUAUAUAGAUCGAUCGGCAAUCAUGAACAAGUAAGAAAAAAUUAAAUCUACUCGAUCGGCUAUAGAUAUUAACAAUAUAUAAUCCUUGUGUCGAUAUAUACUUAAAUCAAGUGAUUGGGACAGAUCGGUCGCCAUGCCGAGACAGUAUAAAUCACUUAGAUCGAAAUAUAUAUUAACAACAAGACUAUAUACGUUCAUAGCAUAGCCGAUCAGAUAGAUCUAGCAUGUAUCGGCUAAUACUCCAAUACCACUCUAUAUUGAGAUAUCAAAGCAAGUAAAAUAUAUCAAACGAAAGCCUAAUAUACUUAAAUGCAACAAGAUCUUAACAAAAAGGGCAAUUUAACAUGUCAAUCAAGCAUAUAAGAUAAAUGUAGUUAAAUUAGGUAAGAUCGACUGAAACCCCGAUGCUACACUAAUCGGCAACCAAAAGCAGGCUAGAGAUUGAGAUUCUAAUCAUGACUUACAAGGUCAAACUCAACUGAUGCAGCUAUAAGUAUGAAAAGAAGGAAAAUAUCUAGACAAUCAAGCCAUUGGAUGUUUCAUAGAGUGGUGGAUAUCCUAUAUAAUCCUAGUCAACGUUGGUAUUUAACCUAAUCGGCUGCCUUUUAGUAACAGACAUUAGCCAAUUGGGGGUUAGAUAACGAUAUUGCCGGAGAUUAUAUAGGAUAUAUGAUAACUCAACGAAUUACAUGAACAAGAUUAGAGUAUCAUAAAGAUGGAAGCCCUAAUUCCGAGAACGCAAGCCACCAUAACAAGUUUUACCUCUAGUUGAAGAUCGAAACCGAUGCAGCUCAACCCGAAAGCAAGAACUCGUCGAAACAAAAUGAAAGUAAAAGGGUGGCGGUGCGCUGAGAUUGUAUUGAACGUGUGUUAUCAUAUUACAUGGGGCUCGGGGUCUAUUUAUACCCAAGAUUUACAAAAUAUGCCCGUGUCGGACACGACUUUUAUCUCUAACAAACUAAGAUACCAUAAGUCUUUGCGGCAGACUUUUGCCCAAACAUAUCUCUAAGGAAAUUACAUAAAAUAUCCUAAUUAAUAGAUACAAUUGCCUUCUCAGGACUUAGUCCAUGCGUGGCAAUCCUCAUGAAGCACAUUAACUUAACCCGACAACAUGUACCUCACCAUAUUAUCGGACUCGGCUUAAUCAGCUAACCUUAUCCAAUUCGGACUCUGCCGAUCCCGGUCACAGCCGAUUCGGACUUUAGCCGAUUCUUGCUCUGUUUGCGGAACGAUCUCCAUCUUGGAUUCCGCUUCGACUUUAUCUCCAUCUCCGAUACUGAAAUUACCAAAUUUGGUUGUUAACACUCGGAUAUAACCAUGACUACCUUAGGUAUUAAUCAACCAAAUGUGCAUAUGUUCUAUAUUAGAUUUGCUUGUUAUAUACUUGAACAAACAUUUUCGUUUACAGAUGUACUUGCUUGGACGAAGGAAAAGAGGCCGAGCAUAACGAAUGCAUGGAUGAUCAAAGAAGUUGAUUCGGGACCUCACCUCCCACAUCAUCCACAUUAUCAAUUUGGUAUCUCUAUACCAUGAUCCAUGAGACAUGAUCAUCAACUAAUACAUGUGCUGAUCAUUUAAACAUAUUUGUUCCACAUAUGAUAUAUGAUCAGGGAUCCUUUAGAAAUAGUAACAUUCAACAUCAAGAGUCUCAUGAAAGAAUCAAACAUUUAUUAACCAAUAAUGAGUUAUCUAUUUCAAGGAACAAUGUCGGAUAAAUAUGUAAACAUAGUAUGUGAUACAGUCAUCUCUAUGAUUGCCUCUAGGGCAUAUCACCAACACUCAGCAAGUCAUGAGAAACGUGAGCAUGAAGACUUCGAAGGGAGGCUGGGUUUACUUCGCAACCAUUUCUUUUUAAAAGAACAUUUUGCGAACCACUAAGUGCCCUCAAUCAUGGGGUCAGAAAGAAGUUUUUGCUUAGAUACUGUUGGCAAAUUGCUUUACAACAACUCAAACGGACGAAGCAAAUUUUAGUUGGUUAACAUUAUUCUGCCAUCAAGCAGCUUCUAACUCCGUUCUCAACUAUCAGUUUCUUUUCACUUUCAAACCAUCGGGUAGCCCAUCUCAUCACUCAUCUCUUUGGCUCCAAGAGUUGUCCAUAAUCUCUAGCACACACUGCUUCCACUAGGGAAGCCUAAUCUAUAAUGCCAAUCGACACCCCGAUCUACACAAGAUCAUUUUCAGACCACGUAAUGGUCCUCUAUUACUCAUCAUGACUGAUUCUAGUAAUGGUUCCCAAUCCCACAAACACUUUUCACAAAGUAUAGGCAAACAAAUCUAUGCAAAGAGGAAUCACCUCACAUUUGCCCAUGACCAUGGUCACGGCCGUUCGAAUAGUUUGAUAAUCCUCUGCAGAGGGUGCAUGCUUUACCCACGAGACGUGAUCUUACUCCCUCACUAGCCAAGCGGGGAAGGUUCGUGACAAGGUCUUUCUGAAGCCAACCAGGGAUACCUCAUGCAACAUAGAAGGGUUCUCUCUGAACUUGAGAAUCAGGCAAAUCUCAGCCUUCAUCUACCUAGGCAUUGGGGAUGUCUCCAAUCAGUCGUGCUUUAGAUUCCUGUGAGCUACCAGGUGAUACUUGCGAGGUAUUAGGCGAUACACUUGAUAUCAGUUUUUGAUAAUGAUGUGUAUCGGAUGAUUACUAUGAGAUAUUAGGUAUACUUGCGAGGUACCAAGCAAUACUUGUAGAAAGAGCAUCUAUGCCCCUAGUGGGUUUUGGUUAAUUGAUGACAAACGAUUAAGGGAUUAAUGCACUUAUUGAAUGUAUAAGCAAGGGAUUUGUCCGAUGAAGAACCAAUGAAGAUGAUGAAGAAAAAUAUGCAAUACAACGAGGUUUCAUUGUCAUCCAAUUCUACAAGUGACGGAAAAUGGCAAGAGGUGGUGAAGGGUUGGCAAGACUUGCUACGCGAUGGACCAUGCAUGGGAGAAGAUCAAGCAAAUGUUUGGCGCAAAGGAACCGACGCAGUGGUGAAGGAGAAAAUGCCUUGCCAAACACCAAUGGACCGAUCGAGGCCAUAGGAAGUCAUAAGUUGCUAAGUAUCAACCAUAUUAGUAUCGAUAAAAGCAAAGAAAGAAGAUGGUGUGAAGGUGUUCAUAUUGGUACAACUUUUCUAUCUGCUUUUGAGUUUGGUGCUCAAAAAUCCUUUCGAAGUGUUUCUCAUUAUUGGAUUUUACAUUUUGGUGAUUUUCGGAAUUUCCGAAAGAUCUUUUCGGAAUUUUCAAAAUUGAUAAGGCCAGCAAAUUGCCCUCUGGUAUUUUUCAGAAUUUCCAAAAGUUGAUUUUGCUCUCUGGUGUUUUUAGGAUUUUUCCGAAAAUGGUUUUCGGAAUUUCCGAAAGUUGAUUUUGUUCUCUUGUGAUUUUUGGAUUUUUCUAAAAUAUUUUUGGUAUUUCCAAAAUGCUUUUUUCUCUGCUGAAUUAUGCACUUUUUGGAAUUUACAAAAAUUGCUGCUGAAAUGCAAUUGCCUUCUUGUGAUUUUCAGAAUUUUGGAAAAAUUUAAUCUUUGCCAUCAACGGGCAUAUCUGAGGCUGUGGCUAUAAAUAACCCCCUCCACCCACAAGCUAGGGCUGCUGGCUCUAUUUCUUAUUCUUUGCCCUGGGCUUGUGUUGAUUUGAGAUUCAGUUUGAGCCUUUGCCUUCUCACUUCUUCCUCUCCACCGAUCUUCAAUCUCAGAUUUCGUGUGUGUGCGUGAGUGGUUGAUUUGAGUUUGUUUGAGUGCUUGGUGUUGACUUCGUGAAGAUUUGUUGAGCACUCGAUUCAUCGCCAAGAAAUCUCUGUGGCAUUUGUUACUCUUGGUGGUUGAGGACACCUAGAUGGUUAGGAGUAAACCUCGAGAUACCGAUUUGUUUGUGGUGUGCCGAGGGAGUAUGUGAAGGUCGGAUCUUACCUCCGAAAGGGAAGAGCGAGGAUAGAGUUGGAAAAGACCCGGCCCAUUAUGGGCUCCUCAACAAAGUGUAGAAUCCCCCCAAGGAUUUGAUCUUUGGUAACACAUCAACUUGCAAGAAUCCUGAUGAUAUCUUUUUCUUACUCCUCUAGCUUUGCUAUUUGGUGCCGCUAGUAGUUUAGUCGUUGUUUGUGCAAACCCAUUAACUACCUGUUACACCAUCCCUUUUUGUUUGCCUUUCUAGCUUGCUAAAAAAUCUGAGAUUUUUGGAAUAUCCCAAAAUAUUUCAGAAUAUCGGAAAAUAUUCCAAAAUAUCCGAAAAUAUUCCAAAAUAUCCAAAAAGUUUAUCUUCUUCAUUGACUUACGAGUUUUAAACGCCUCUUCAACCUCCCCCCCCCCCCUCCGCAGGUGAUAUCAAGAUCCUUUCACUUGUGAUACCACGUUCUGAUACCUAUGGUUCUCAGAUGAUUCCUAUGGGGCAUCAUGUAAUACUUGUGAGGUAUUGCAACACUUGUGAUAUUAGGUUCUAACACCUACGUUGAAGCAUCGAGGCCCCCGGUGUUAAUUUUGGUAAUUAAUGACAAGCGCUAAUUGUGGACUAACCGUUGUCUUUGAGAUAAUAUUUUAAGUUAGGUCCACGUCAUGUGUGCACAUGGAUGACGAUCGAUGGAUUAAAAUUGACGGCGCAAGGCAAAGAGAAAGAAGACGGUAAAACUAGUGCUUUAAUUUAGAAUUGAUCAGGGUGUAGGGCGAUCAAAUUUGCUAGUUUAUUUCUAGUUUCGCCGUACUAUUAAGAGGGGUAAUGACCUAGCAAAGAGAUGAUUUUAAUUGCCACAUUAGGUCAUUGCAUUAUCACUUGUGCUCACUUUUUCAUCACACACAAACACAUUCACUGGGUUCGGCCUGACCAGGGGCGGUCAGACCGGCCACAUAGUGGCGGUCUCACCGGCGUGCCCUGCCCGGUGACCUCUCCGAGAAGAUUGUGGAGGAGGCCCGGUGCCGGUUUGUGAGUGGUUUGGAGUUCACCACCUUCGGAGUGAAGAAAGAACUAACCUAGUGAUCGAGGCUUGGGUAGUCCUCUCCAUGGGCCGGCUCCCGCCAUGCCCACCCCUUGACGAAGGGGGCGUGCGGAGGCUACGUGGUUGAGCGGUGGAGUUGGGCUCGCCUCAGCGGGGAGUAAGAAACCGACGAGUUUCCGAACCUCGGUGAAAAAUCUCUUGUCUCCUUGUCUCAUUUGAUUGUCGCAUUUACUUUUGUGCAAUUUACUUUUCUAGAGACAAACUUGAGAUCAUAUCACCCUAGGAUUGCUAAACAUUGACAUAGGAGUGUGAGUUACUUUCCUAGAGAUAUAAUUGAGCCUCUAUCACCCUAGGUUUGCAAAACCUAACUUAGUUGCAUAGUUAGAGUUGACCCUCACCAAGCCUAGCAACUUAGGUUAGUUUUGAUUAGGUGUCAUUUAGUUUUAAAUCGCCUAUUCACCCCCCUCUAGUCGACAUCUCGAUCUUACAAGUGGUAUCAGAGCUUGGUCUCUCCUGAUUGGGCUUCACCGCCUAGAGAGAAGAUGUCGAACGAGGUGAAACACGAAGGGAAGGCUCCCAUGUUUAAUGGCACAAACUAUUCCACUUGGAAAAUUAAAAUGUCUACUCACCUCAAAGCUAUGAGCUUCCAUAUUUGGAGUAUUGUGGAUGUAGGCUUUGCAAUCACCGGCACGCCCUUGAUGGAGAUUGAUCACCGCAACCUCCAACUCAAUGCCCAAGCCAUGAAUGCUUUGUUCAACUCUUUGAGCCAAGAGGAGUUUGAUAGAGUGAGCAACCUUGAGACCGCAUAUGAGAUUUGGAACAAGUUGGCGGAGAUCCAUGAGGGCACAAGUGAGUACAAGGAUGCCAAGCUUCACUUCCUCAAGAUCCAAUAUGAGACAUUCUCUAUGUUGCCUCAUGAGAGUGUGAAUGACAUGUAUGGGAGGCUCAAUGUCAUUGUGAAUGAUCUCAAGGGGCUUGGGGCAAACUACACCGAUCUUGAGGUUGCCCAAAAGAUGCUUAGGGCUCUACCAGAGAAGUAUGAGACCCUUGUCACCAUGCUCAUCAACUCCGACAUGUCAAGGAUGACACCGGCAAGCCUCUUGGGGAAGAUCAACACCAAUGACAUGUAUAAGUUGAAGAAAAAGGAAAUGGAGGAAGCCUCACCUUCCAAGAAGUGCAUUACUCUCUAAGCCGAAGUUGAAGACAAGGGCAAGGGCAAGGUGAAUGAAGUCAAUGAGAACUUGGAAGAAGAGAAUGCCCUUCUUGCUAGAAGGUUCAAUGAUUUCUUGGGAAGGAGAAAGGAGAGAGGAAAGGGCUCCAACUCAAAUAGGAGAAGAAAUAGAAGACCCAACAAGACUCUCUCCAACUUGAGGUGCUUUGAGUGUGGUGAGAAGGGACACUUUGCUUCCAAGUGCCCUUCCAAGGAUGAUGAUGGAGACAAGUCAUCCAAGAAGAAGAGUGGAGGCUACAAGCUCAUGAAGAAGCUCAAGAAGGAAGGCAAGAAGAUUGAGGCCUUCAUCGAGGAAUGGGACUCAAAUGAGGAGAGCUCGCCUCAUCCGGGUCCGAGGAAGAAGAUGGUGAUGAUGCAAGCUCCAGGAAGAAGAAGAUGGCCGUUGUUGCCAUCAAGGAGGCUCCAUCACUCUUCGCUCCACUUUGUCUCAUGGCAAAAGGCUCCUCUAAGGUAACAUCUCUUAGUGAUAGUGAGAGUGAUGAUGAUUGUGAUGAUGUUUCCUAUGAUGAGCUUGUGAGUAUGUUUGAGGAGCUCCAUGCUUAUAGUGAGAAGGAGAUUGUCAAGUUCAAGGCCCUAAAGAAGGAUCAUGCUUCUUUGGAGGUCUUGUAUGAGGAGCUAAAGACUUCUCAUGAGAGACUCACCAUUUCUCAUGAGAAGCUUAAGGAAGCUCAUGACAACCUCCUUUCCACUACUCAACAUGGAGCUCUAAUUGAUGUUGGCAUAUCUUGUGAUUUGCUUGAUGAUAGUGCUACUUUCCAUAUUGCUUAUGUUGCAUCAUCUAGCAUUUCUACCUCUUGUGAUGAUCUUGUGGAUAUGUCUAGCUCUAGCUCUAGCUCUUGUGUAUCUAUUUGUGAUGCCUCACUUGUUGUUGAGAACAAUGAGCUUAAGGAGCAAGUGGCUAAGCUCAACAAGAGGUUGGAGAGGUGCUUCAAGGGUAAGAACACUCUUGACAAGAUUUUGAGUGAGCAACGGUGCAUCCUUAACAAGGAGGGACUUGGAUUCAUUCCAAAGAAGGGUAAGAAACCUUCUCACCGUGCCACUCGUUUUGUCAAGAGCAAUGGUAAGUAUUGCCCCUAGUGUCGUGAGGUUGGGCAUUUGGUGAAUGAUUGCCCCGGUGGUAAGCCUCCUAAGACAUGCAUGUUUGAUUCUCAUUAUAUGCUUAGGAAGGCUCAUGAUGGUAGCAUUGUUCCUAGAUAUGUGGGUUCCCCUAUACUCGGUGGUAAAAAGAAUGACAUUUGGGUGCCCAAAGCUUUGGUCUCUAACCUCCAAGGACCCAAAUAAGUUUGGGUACCUAAAAGAGCUUGAUCUUCUUUUGUAGGUGAACUACCACACCGGUGGGAGCCAUUGGGUGCUUGAUAGUGGAUGCACUCAACACAUGACCGGUGAUAGGGCUAUGUUCACCACAUUUGAGGUAGGAAGGAAUGAACAAGAGAAAGUGACAUUUGGAGACAAUAGCAAAGGAAAGGUAAUUGGGUUAGGUAAAAUUGCUAUCUCCAAUGAUUUGUCAAUUGAUAAUGUCUCUCUUGUUAAAUCUCUAAAUUUCAAUUUGCUUUCGGUUGCUCAAAUUUGUGAUCUUAGCUUGUCAUGUGCUUUCUUCCCGCAAGAAGUUAUUGUUUCUAGCCUUCUUGACAAGUCUUGUGUGUUCAAAGGUUUUAGAUAUGGAAAUCUUUAUUUGGUUGAUUUCAAUUCUAGUGAAGCAAAUUUGAAAACUUGUUUAGUUGCAAAAACUUCUUUGGGUUGGCUUUGGCAUAGAAGGCUAGCCCAUGUUGGCAUGAAUCAAUUGAGCAAAUUUUCAAAACGUGAUCUAGUUAUGGGCUUGAAAGAUGUGAAGUUUGAGAAAGAUAAGCUUUGUAGUGCUUGUCAAGCCGGCAAGCAAGUUGCAUGUUCUCAUCCUACUAAGAGUAUCAUGUCCACAUCUAAACCAUUGGAGCUCUUGCAUAUGGAUUUGUUUGACCCAACAACCUAUAAGAGCAUUGGUGGUAAUAGUCAUUGUCUUGUGAUUGUUGAUGAUUAUUCUCGCUAUACUUGGGUGUUCUUUUUGCAUGAUAAGUCUAUUGUCGCCGACCUUUUCAAAAAGUUUGCAAAAAGGGCCCAAAAUGAAUUUAGUUGCACUCUUGUGAAAAUUAGAAGUAACAUUGGUUCCGAGUUUAAGAAUACCAAUAUCGAGGACUAUUGUGAUGAUCUUGGUAUUAAACAUGAACUUUUCGCUACCUACUCACCUCAACAAAAUGGUGUAGUGGAGAGGAAAAAUCGUACAUUGAUUGAGAUGGCAAGGACUAUGCUUGAUGAAUAUGGUGUUUCCGAUUCCUUUUGGGCGGAAGCCAUAAACACCGCUUGCCAUGCAACCAAUAGGCUUUAUUUGCAUCGUGUCUUGAAAAAGACUUCCUAUGAGGUAAUUGUUGGGAGGAAGCCUAAUAUUGCCUAUUUUCGAGUUUUUGGUUGUAAAUGUUAUAUUCAUCGAAAGGGUGUUAGACUAACCAAAUUUGAAAGUCGGUGUGAUGAAGGGUUUCUUCUAGGUUAUGCCUCAAAAAGCAAGGCAUACCGGGUCUACAACAAGAACAAAGGUAUUGUGGAAGAAACCGCCGAUGUUCAAUUUGAUGAGACUAAUGGCUCCCAAGAGGGGCACGAGAAUUUGGAUGAUGUAGGUGAUGAAGGCUUGAUGAGAGUUAUGAAGAACAUGUCAAUUGGAGAUGUCAAGCCUAUUGAAGUGGAAGACAAGCCAUCCACCUCCACUCAAGAUGAGCCAUCUACUUCCGCUAUGCCAAGUCAAGCUCAAGUUGAAGUGGAGGAGGAGAAGGCACAAGAACCACCUAUGCCACCAAGGAUACACACCGCUCUUUCCAAGGAUCACCCAAUUGACCAAGUGUUGGGUGACAUUAGUAAGGGUGUUCAAACUCGAUCUCGUGUCACUUCGAUUUGUGAACAUUACUCGUUUGUUUCUUGUCUUGAGCGAAAACAUGUAGAUGAAGCUCUUUGUGAUCCGGAUUGGAUGAAUGCUAUGCAUGAAGAGCUCAAAAACUUUGCAAGAAACAAGGUGUGGACUUUGGUUGAAAGACCUAGAGACCACAAUGUCAUAGGGACAAAGUGGGUCUUUAGGAACAAACAAGAUGAGAACGGGUUGGUGGUGAGAAACAAGGCAAGAUUGGUGGCACAAGGUUUCACACAAGUUGAAGGUUUGGACUUUGGUGAAACUUUUGCCCCCGUGGCAAGACUUGAGGCUAUUUGCAUCCUUCUUGCAUUUGCAUCAUGCUUUGAUAUAAAACUAUUUCAAAUGGAUGUGAAAAGUGCUUUUCUAAAUGGUGAAAUUGCCGAACUUGUCUUUGUUGAAUAACCUCCCGGUUUUGAAGAUACUAAAUAUCCUAACCAUGUUUACAAACUCUCAAAAGCUCUUUAUGGUUUAAGACAAGCUCCUAGGGCUUGGUAUGAAAGAUUGAGAGAUUUUCUUUUGUCAAAGGAUUUCAAAAUUGGAAAAGUUGACAUCACUCUUUUCACAAAAAUCAUUGGUGAUGAUUUCUUUGUGUAUCAAAUUUAUGUUGAUGACAUCAUAUUCGGUUCUACUAAUGAGGUAUUUUGCAAGGAAUUUGGUGAUAUGAUGUCUAGGGAAUUUGAAAUGUCCAUGAUUGGAGAGUUGAGCUUCUUCCUUGGACUUCAAAUCAAGCAACUCAAGAAUGGGACGUUCGUGAGCCAAACCAAGUACAUCAAGGAUCUACUCAAGAGGUUUGGCUUGGAGGAUGCGAAGCCCAUUAAGACACCUAUGGCAACCAACGGGCAUCUCGACCUUGAUGAGGGAGGUAAACCGGUAGAUUUAAAGCUUUAUCGUUCUAUGAUUGGUAGCUUGCUUUACCUUACCGUAUCUAGGCCGGAUAUCAUGUUUAGUGUUUGCAUGUGUGCACGGUUUCAAGCCGCUCCUAAGGAGUGUCACUUAGUGGCCGUGAAAAGGAUUCUAAGAUAUUUAAAGCAUUCCUCUACUAUUGGCUUGUGGUACCCAAAAGGUGCUAAAUUUAAGCUUGUUGGCUAUUCCGAUCCGGAUUAUGCCGGUUGCAAAGUGGAUAGAAAGAGCACAUCCAGUAGUUGCCAAAUGCUUGGUAGAUCCCUUGUGUCAUGGUCAUCCAAGAAACAAAACUCCGUAGCCCUCUCUACUGCCGAGACAGAAUAUGUUUCGGCGGGUAGUUGUUGUGCCCAAUUGCUUUGGAUGAAACAAACAUUGUUGGACUAUGGCAUAUCCUUCACCAAAACCCCACUCCUAUGUGACAAUGAUGGUGCCAUAAAGAUAGCCAAUAACCCGGUCCAACAUUCUAGAACCAAGCAUAUUGACAUACGCCAUCACUUCCUAAGAGACCAUGUUGCCAAGUGUGACAUAGUCAUUAGCCACAUAAGAACCGAGGAUCAACUAGCCGACAUCUUUACCAAGCCUCUUGAUGAAACCCGCUUUUGCAAGUUGAGGAAUGAGUUAAAUAUCAUAGACUUCUCUAAUGUGGCUUGAGAUGGUGCACCAUGGUUGCUUCUUUUCCAUAUUGUUUAUUUGCUCCUUUUUUGCUCUUAUGCUUUAGAUUUAUUGCCAUUUGGUUCUUCAUUGCGAAAAUGGAGCAUGUCACAUUAAGGGGGAGGUUUGCACUCUUGCAUGUGCUCCACUUCCUUUUAUAUGUGAGCAAAUCAACUAAAAGUGCUAGUAGUGUUUUCAAAAUGCCCAAGUCAACAUAAGUCAAAAUUUUUGCAAAAUUAAUGUAAUUUGAAAACUAUCUCUUGGAAAAUGUUUCAAAAGGUUCCCUAUAUGUUUUCCAACCUUCACUUUGCAAGAAAAAUGUUUUUUUAAUGAAAAUGCCAUUUUGGCCCUCUUUUGAAGAAACUAGAAUCUUGUUUUUGGCCAAAAUGAAAUUCAACCCCAAAAUGAGAUUGAGAAGGAAUUUGAGAAAAGUUUCAAAACAAAGUUGGUAGAGAAGAAGAUUUGAAAUGUUUUUGGUAUUCAAAUCAUAUUCAAAAUCCAAAUAUUUUAAAAGUUGUUUGAAAAUCAAAUUCGCCCAAAAACCCCUAUAGACCAUAAAUGGUCACCUCCUAGCACUCAAGUGAGUUUUGUUGCAAAUCUUCAUAAAUUUCAAAUAUUAUGAAUGGUUGGCAAUAUUUCAACUCACACAUUUCAAAAUUGCUCCAAAAUUCAAAUUUUUAUUGAAUUUUAUUGUGUGGGGGUAGCCGAACUAUGCAAGGGCAGUGCACAGUCGGCUGGGGGCCAGGCGGUCUGACCAGCGCUAUAUGCGCGGUCUGACCGGCCUGGUGGCGGCGGUCUGACCGGCCUCUAGGGCCCGGUCUGACCGGCUGCACCCUGGCGGUCUGACUGGCCAGGGAUGGAGGGCCCAGGACUUUGUCCUUUCUUCCUCCUCCUCCUUCUACCCGACCCGUCCUCAUCCCAUCUCAUCUCUUCACUUCUCCAACUCGAAAUUUCUUCUGCUCUCUCCUCUCCCAAACCCUAGCCACCUCCCUCCACCAAAUCCGUCCGGUUCAACCGUCAAAAUCACUCCGGUUACUCCGUAAGUGAAUCCCCUCCUCUUCCUCUCUCUAUUCCAUGGAUUGAUUUGAGUUUUUAUUGAGUUUGUGAUCCAUGGCAUGGAACCCUAGGUGAAGGAAGAGGUGUUCAUCGAUUUGCACCAAUAGAGGGUAGUUUCUUGGUGUGAUUCAACUCCUUCAACCGGUAAAUCCCUCUCCCUCUUGUGCAUUGCUCUCAAAUCGGUCUAUUUCAAUCUUUAGGGUUAAGGGUAGUUUCCCCAUUGCUUCAAUCUUGAUGAAAUAGACCUACACAAUGUCACGUCCCAAAACGACUCUAAAAUACAUCCUCUAAAUUAUGCCUAGAAUAAUUAAAAACCGUGUGAAAGCCUCCAACAAUUAAAAUGUGCAAAGUUAAAAGUCAAUUAAGGCUUAGAGGAUUUUUGUAUAUUUCCUAAAAGCCUAAAAUGUGUAAAUAAAUUUUAGUGGAAUUUUCAGAGCAUAAAUAAUAAUUAUUAAGAAAUAAACAAAGUUAAAAUGAUUUUAUAAAAAGAAAAACCCUAAAAUCUCCCCUCCCCCUCUCUCUCUCUCCCCUCCCCGCGGCCCAUCCGGCCUCUCCCCGCGCGCGCGCCGCUGACGAGCGUGCCCGCUCGCCACCCUCGCUGACGGGUGGGGCCCACCCGUCAUCCCCGACCUCCCGCUGCUCCCGCCGCCUCGCCCGUGCCCUAGCGCCGCCGCCGCCACGAAUCCCGCCGCCUCCCGUCGUCCCCGCGUGCAAUAAAGUGGGGGCAAUCACUCCCCGUGAUCCCCUCUCCCUUUCCCCCCAUUUUUCCCUCCCUCUCUCCCUUGGAUUCGUUUGGAAACCCCUCCCCAAAUCCCGCCGGCGCCAUUGAUGGAGCCCGAGAACGCCACGCCGGUUUCCUUCCUUCUCCGGCCGCCCUCUCUCGCCCCGGCCCUAUUUAAACUCUCCCCGCGCCUCCCCCGCCCGUUUCCGCCCCUUGCCGCACCGUCUCUCCGCCGGAAUCGAGCUCGCGCCGUCGCCCUCUCUCUCCUCCGUCGCCGACGACCACCGGCCGGCCUUCUCCGCUCGCCGGGACCGUCUCCCGCCCCGGCGUCGCCUCCUCCGGCUUCGCCGCACCGCCAUCGACCCCGUCCACCCCCUCGCCGGGUCCGCCGACCGCCGGAACGCCGUCGACCCCGUCGACCCGAGCCGCGCCGCCGCCUUCCUCCGCUCUGGCUGCCUUUUUCGUCGUUGCCGUCGACCUAGGGUGAGCCGUGGACCGCCGCCUCUUUUCCCCCUUCCCUUCCCCUCUCUCGGCCGCCGCUCCGCCGUGCCUAUGGCCGUCGCCGGCGACCAUAGGGGCGCGGGCGCCGCCUCCCGCCGGCCGCGCCGAGUGGCCGCCGUCGGGCGCGCCGAGUGGCUGCCGCGUGGGGUCCAGCCGUCAGCCGCCCGCGCCCUCGGGUGUGGCUGACACGUGGGGCCCACGGCGCCGGCCGGUGCGAGCCCGGGUGCGCCCGGUCCACCGUGGACCAUGAGGCUGCCGCGUGGGCCCUACUCCCGUGGACCCGGUCCGCGCGCCCCUCCCCCUCGGCUGACGCAAUAAACCCUUUUUAAAUUAAAAUUUAAAUGAAGAAAUUCGCAAAUAUUCAUUUAAAGAGCAUAUAAACUUCAAAUGGCCAUAACUUGGCCAUUUGAACUCGGAAUUGGACCGUUCAAGUCUCUAAUUUUUCCUUAAGAAGUCAAGAACCCAUUUUUGUGCUUUGUUCCUGCUUGUUAUAUGGAGUUUAUUAGAGUAAAAGCCUUUUCUUUUCUGUUGGUCGUGUAGACGCUGCAGCUUCGGAAGAUCCGCUCUUGGUGGAGGUUGAAGCCGACGUUUGGGAAAGCGAGCAAGGCAAGUUACAUCAUCCUUGAACAUAUUGAAACCCAGUUUAUAAAAUUAUUUUCAUUUAAAUUAUUGCAUUAUCGCUUUACUUAAAUUCCCGCGUUAUCACUGUUUUAUCUAGCCAUGCCUAUGUACCUUUGUUAUGACCUUAUUAUUAUUGUUAUUGAUAUUAUUACCUUGUUCACCCUAGAUUAAACAGAACCCCAACUAGUGGACACUCUACUCAUGGUACCACUAGUAUGAUUUUAGGUAAAUGCUUCGCUGGUUAAUUAGGCAACAUUAGGUGGUUUUACAACUCUAGACUUUGGGAAUAUUCUCAUCACCUGGACACUACGGAAUGGAUGGAUUAUUUUGGAAUUGGAUUCACACCUCCCCCUCUAUUCAAAACCCUCAAAAUGGUUUUUGGCUGGGCUCGGGGUGCAUGGUUUUGAUAGUAGCACCUCGGCCAUAUAAGGACCGGUCUUCGGGCCUCUGUUGCAAAACACUACCGUACUUCCACAUGUCUAGUGGGUAAGGCUUAGAUUGUGGCUCAGUCUGGUUAUAAACAAAAGUACACGGAUGGAGAUGGACGAAGUCGGGGGUCGAUGGACAUCUCUAGGGCAAAUGAAUGCUACACGAGCUGCGGCCCAGUAGUCGAGAUGUCAUGGCACAGGACCGGUGUCCUGCUGUUAGGGGCUCAGUCCUGCCUACCUGUCCCGGGGGUUCCGGGCGUAGGUGGGGUUGGGUCGGUACUCUUUUCUAUGGCUAGGAUGGGUUGGAAACUAUGUCACGUCUUCCGUCCGUAUACCGUGGUGGUAUGUGGCACGUGGUUACACGUGAGGAAGAUGUGUCUUGUGGGUAAAGAUGUACACCUCUGAUCAGAGUAUAACCUAUUCGAAUAGCCGCGCCCUCGGUUAUGGGCAAGCCGAGCAAUGUACCCAAGUUAGUGUUUUUAAUUCUUAAAACCUGCUUAACAACUAAAAUGUGGAAUGGUUGGCCUGGGUUGGCUUGGGACGAGCUGGGACCCAGGGUCGGGUUGCCAGUUCGGUCUGAAUCAUCGUAGGCCUUGGGUUAAGGCAGGUUCGUGUGGGUUCACGGCCUUGAUUAAUAAUAUUGUAUAGCUCUAGGACCAUGUUUACAAAAUAGCUUUGAGCAACUAAGUGUCUUUUAAUGCUAUUUACUGCAAACCCUAACCCCUAAUUUAUGGCUCCCUUGUACUCCCUUGCAUUUAUUCUGCACUUGUGGGUGUGUCUUGUUGAGUACGGUGGUUGUACUCAGUCUUGCUCAAUUUUUCCCAAACCCAGAAGAGGAGUUCCUGGAAGAUGAAGGCUUUGGUGUCUAGCUCGUGCCUGCCGUCAAGCGUCUGUGGUCGUCACCCUAGUCUUCCGCUGUUUUUCGUUUGUCUUCUUGUGUGCUGGGUCUUCGCCGCCCAUGUAAUAAUUAAUUAAUUGCGCUUCCGCUUGUUAAACUCUGAAUUGUAUCAACUUUUGGUGUACCUUGCCUCCUGGGACAAGGAAUAAUGCACGCACGUAAGGAACGCCCGUUGGGUUAUUUCCGGUCGUGACACACACCUUGAUGUUCUAGUUCCAAUCGUGUGCAACACUGUCCUAGCAAUUUUUAGAAUCAUUUAUGUGGAUUGUGGAAGGAUUUGGGUGUGCUCUUGUCAGUGGUGGUCUGACCAAAGGCGGUCUAACCAGCCAUUGGCCGUCGGUCUGACCGGCCGAGGGCACGCGGUCUGAUCGGCCGAGGGCCGGCGGUCUGACCGGCCGUGGCUCUCAGUCUGACCGCCCCUGAUAGGCAGCACUCGCCCUUCCUCCCACUUCACUAUGUGGUUUCUAAAAUUGUUGCUUAUCCAUCCUUUGCUCCUUGUUUUUCAGCUAUGCCUCCCCGCACCCGUCAUGGUCGUCGUGCGCCCACUCCUGAUCCCGUGAGUGAGGAGUCAAGCGGAGAUGAGUAUGCUCAAAGUGAUGAAGAGGUUGAGGCCAAUGUUGAGGGGGCUAGCGAGGGGGAAAGUGGAGAUGAUGACAGUGGAAGUGGAGAGGAUGAGGAUGAAGGAAGUGAUGAGAUGAAUAUUGAUCCCUCCAUCCAGUUUGUUGUAAACAUGAGGAAUCCAUCCCAAUAUACCAUCUUGAGGCACCACGAUCAGUUUUUGAGGCCUCGGGACACCCCGGAUCCCCGUUUUCAUACUGCUUUCCAGAAGAGUGUGUAUGAGCAAGUCUAUGCUGGGAAAGCUUUUGCAGAACAUAAGUUGAUCUCUUGGAGAGACAUUAAUGAGACUACCGAGUUUAAGGGCUUGCAGGAUCUCUUCAGGACUGUUGGCAUUGACCGGAUUUUAACUCUUAAGCAAGAUUACAAUGAAGAUUUGAUCCGGAAGUUUUAUGCUACAGUGUGGGUGGCCGGGGACUAUAGUGAGAUGAAGUGGAUGUCCGACACCCUUCAGUGCUCUAUCUCCAGGAGGCAAUUCCGGCGGCUCCUAAAUGUUCGCUUGGACUUUGGAGAUGACUUGCAUGAGGAGCACACCCAUAAUCCGCUCUCCAUCGACUACCUCUCUCAGUUUUAUGAAGUUGGAGCGCGGUACACACAUGGGAAGGUUGCCGGGUUGAGGACCAUCCCAAGUGUGGUCAACAGGAUUGUGAGAGCUAGCAUCCUCCCUCGCCUGGGUAACAAUGAUGACAUUAGGGGAGUGGCUUGGCACGUUAUCGAUGCCAUCAUUCAGGGCCGUCAGUUCGAUGUUGUUACUCUCAUGAUGCAAGAGAUUGCCAUCUCUAAGGGGACCUUCACUCAGGGUAUCUAUUAUGCCCCUUACAUCAUGAGAUUAAUUCAAGACAAGCUUGGGGCUGCUGGGCCAAAUUUGAAGAAGCACAAGUAGUACAAGCCCCGCCUACAGCUUGGAGCUCCCCGUGCUCCUAGGACGGCGCCCUCCUCUCAUCCUAGAGCUAGCUCAUGCUCUGCACCUCCGCCUCCUCAUGGGUAUGAUCCAAAUGCCUUCUUUCAUCCUCAGUAUGCCUAUUUUGGGAUGCAACCCAACGAGUACUUCAACCCGGUACUUGGGGCUAUUAAUACCCUAAGUGAAAGCAUUCAACGCUUGUCUACCGGGCAUGACGCUUUGCAUGAGGAUGUUCGUGGCUUGCGCACGGACGUUGGAGACUUGAAUGCUUCCGUGGGGAGAUUGCACACUCGAGUGGGUACAUUGGACUCUCGAGUCCAAAUGUUGGAGAGCUCCCAAGCAUUCGUGUAUCAUCGUCAUCGUGAUGCUUCUCAUCCUUCCACUUCGGCGCGUCCUCCUUUUUCUCCACAAGAGUGAAGACCUUUUUGGUGCUUGAUGCCAAAAGGGGGAGAAAAGUGUGUUUUUUGUUGGGUUGGGACUAGUAGUAGUGAGGAUAGUGCCCUCGUAUUUAAUAGGUUAAGGAGGAUUGAGCUAUAUUUUGUAUGGGUAUGGGCUAUUACUCUAUCUUGUGUGUUAUUUGUCGUUUUGUUAAACUCUUUAUGUCAUUUGGACCCUUCGUGGUCUUGUAAUAGCCUAUGCAUUUAUUUGUGAACCCUUUAUGUGGUCUUGAUGUGAACUUGUGCUAUGAUGGAUGGUUGGUGCUACAUUGAUAUACUUGUGACCAUCUUAUGCAUUCGGUUGAUUCAUAUGUGAAGUUCACAUAUAAUUUGCAUAUGUGUUGUGCUAUGUUGAAAUGUGAUAUUGUAAUGUGCAUUGGCUCCAUAUUUGCUAUUUGUGAUUUUUAUGCAUAUGUUUAGGGGGAGCCUUUGCUUUUCAAUGCAAUAAAUGUCCAUGUGCUCUAUGUUUGAUUAUAUAUCUAUUUGUGGAGUUUGUCAUCAAUUACCAAAAAGGGGGAGAUUGAAGCAUCUAGGCCCCCGGUGUUAAUUUUGGUAAUUAAUGACAAGCGCUAAUUGUGGACUAACCGUUGUCUUUGAAAUAAUAUUUUAAGUUAGGUCCACGUCAUGUGUGCACAUGGAUGACGAUCGAUGGAUUAAAAUUGACGGCGCAAGGCAAAGAGAAAGAAGACGGUAAAACUAGUGCUUUAAUUUAGAAUUGAUCGGGGUGUAGGGCGAUCAAAUUUGCUAGUUUAUUUCUAGUUUCGCCGUACUAUUAAGAGGGGUAAUGACCUAGCAAAGAGAUGAUUUUAAUUGCCACAUUAGGUCAUUGCAUUAUCACUUGUGCUCACUUUUUCAUCACACACACACACACAUUCACUGGGUUCGGCCUGACCAGGGCAGGUCUGACCGGCCACAAGUUGGCGGUCUGACCGGCCCAUAAUGUCGGUCUGACCGGCGGCACAUGCCCGGUCAGACCGGCCCCCUGGAGGCCGAAAUGGUGCUCCUCGGGACUGCCGAUACAGAGCCGACGGAGCCGUAGUCGGUCAGACCGAGCCGAUGGCGGUCUGACCGAGCCGACUCCGGUCUGACCGCCCAAUCAACUCCGGUCUGACCGGCCGGGCCGAUGGGGCCCUCUGACAGCGCUACAACUGCUAGUUUUCUAGCCGUUGCAGAGUAGCACAGUAUGACCGGCCACAUACCUCCGGUCAGACCGGCAGAGCACAAAGUUGGGGGAUUUCGCCCCCAACGGCUAGUUUUGGUGGGUGGGAGUAUAAAUACUCUCCCACCAGCAGCAAGGGGACUCUCUUGGCACCCAAUUCAAUUGCAUACACCCCUUGCACCUCUCUCACACUCACUUGAGCUUUGUGUUCAUCCAUCUAGUGUUAUAGGGUUGAUUAGCCAAGAGUCAAGUGCAUUUGCUUCCAUUGUAGAGCUAGUGUGGCACUUGAUCAUCUCCACGCCGGGUCAUUGCUUGUUACUCUUGGAGGAUGCCGCCUCCUAGACGGCUUGUGGAGAAGUUGCCCGGUGACCUCUCCGAGAAGAUUGUUGUCACACCCUGAAAAUUCAAAAUAUAUAAAUUGUUGUUUAAAUGAAAUUUUUAGAAUUUAUUUUAAAAGCCUAGAAGAGAAGAUCUAAUUUUAAUUAAUAAAUUCCAAUAUAAAAUGGGGCCAGAUAAAAUUUCAUUAAAUACUUUGCUUAAUUCUAUAAUUCCUAGAUUUUUCUGGGAUUUAUUUGAGCUAAGGAAGUAUUUUUAAUAAAUGGAAUUGCAUUUAAAAAAUAAUUUAAAUUGAAAAAGGUUUUGAAAAGUCUUCUUUUGGCUUUGGGCCGAAAGUCAGCCCAAAACCCUUCUCUCUCUCCUCGGCCCAAGUCGGCCCAGUCCGCAGCCGCAGCCGCCCGCGCGCGCGUCCUCGCUCGCUGACAGGUGGGGCCCGCCUGUCGGAGUCGUCGUCUUCCUCCGGCCGAAACCCUAGCGCCGCGCCGCCGCCGCCGCUUUCCAAAUCGGCCGAUCCUUUCCUUCUCCGGCCGAAUCAAAAGAGGGGAAAUGAUCUUCGGGAUUUCCUCUACCUUUUCUCCUUUGGAAACACCGGCUAAAAUCGUUUGGAAAUUCGUGGAUUCGAGUUUGUUUCGGAUUCGAUUUUCCCGAACUUUCCUUCUCGUCGCCGGCCGUCGUGGGCCUUCGCCGCUGCCUCCGAGCCCCUUUAAAAGGACCCCCGAGCUCUUCUCUACCCGCCGCCACCCUCGCCUUCGCCUCUCGUCGCCGGUAGCGCCCUAGCGUCGUGAGACCUCGAGCCGCCAUCGCCGCCGUCGCUCCAGCCGUGCGCCGCCGCCGUUCCGGUCGUCGUCAUCGCUCGGGAAGGCCACCGUCGGGAUCGCCAAGUCGUCGCCGUCCUCGUCCGCCCCUUCGCCACCGUCGGAGACCGCCGGAGCAUCGUCGCCGUCGUCGACCCGAUCUCCGCCGUCGCUUCUUCCUCGUCGCCGUCGCCGUCCGUUGGUCUUCCGCCGUCGCUUGGGUCGCCGGUGAGUUCGCCGUGCCGUCCGCUACCCGUUGGUGUCCACCGUUCUUGCCGAAGUGCCGCCGUUCACUGGCAAGCGUGCGCCGUCCGAGCCGUCCGAGCCGCCGAGCCGCCGCCGCCGGUGGUGACGUCAUCGCCGACGUCAUCGUCGCCCUCUUCCGUGAGCCGGUCGUGGACCGAUCGAUCUCGGUCGUCCGUUUUGGUCAUCGUCGCCCUCUUCCGUGAGCCGGUCGUGGACCGAUCGAUCUCGGUCGUCCGUUUUGGAUCAAGUCGAUCUCGGCCGUCCGUUCGCGUGAACUGCCGCCGUGCGCCCGGUCCACCGAAACCCUAGCCCGCUGACGCAAUAAAUCCCUUUUCCUUUUCAAAAAUAAUUCAUUAUUGCGUCAUAAUUCAAUUAAAAUCAAUAUAAGUGUUUUAAUCCGAUUUAAUCUUCAAAAAUUCAUAACUAAUUCAUCUUAGCUCCGAUUUAGUUGGUUCAAGUCUCUAAAUUUUUCUAAAAUUGAGAUCUACACAAUAAAAAUAUCCACAUGUACUGUUCAUGCUUGUUUAUGUGCUGUUUUGGUGAUUUUGCUCUUUUCUGCUUAGAUUCCGUCGUUUCCGGAGAGUCCGUUUUCGCAGGAGAAGAGUUUGAAGAGUUCCAAGGCCAGCAAGGCAAGUCACACAGAUCCCAAACAACCCUUUGAGCAUGUUGAUCCCGUUUAAAGCUAUUGUUUCUAUUCAACUAUUGCAUUUAUUUUCGAAUGUCAUUGGGUGGAAUUAACCUAUUGUUUGCUAUAGCCCUUUUGUUCUUGAUUACUUUAUUCCUUGAUACCUUGGGUUAUUAUAAUUUGACUAGUUGAGCUUUAUUUAUAUUGGUUCAACUAGAUAUUAGAUAUAAUUGCUUAGCCAUGCUUAGAAACAUUAGCACACUUUUGGGAUAACUUAUGAUUCACUAUUAUUUAAUGAUAGCUCACGAUGGUCAAUCGUGAUUGGUUAAUUAAUUAAUGUGCCAACUAAAACUUGGUAAUGGUGGGUUGUGAGCACAUGGUUUUGAUGGUCGUGCUCAUGACAAUUAAGGACCGGUUCACGAGUUUCGGUUGUGAAACAUUAACCGUGCCAACCACAAGCCAGCGUGGGCAACGGCUUUAUCUUUUGUAUAACAUGGUUCAUUGCAGGGCACCAGACUGAGAAGUGGCGGAGAUAAGCCCACGGGGGUCGCUGGGGAGUCCAUGCCUUGUUUAUAAGGGGGUGAUUAUGAUCCAGGAAGGUGCGCUGCAGUGGAUUGUGUUAUGCAAGGGGUAUUGUCACAACUCCUUUCCGAGGUACCGUGGUGGUAUUGAGGCACAUGGUGACAUGAUGUGGGGUUGUGUCUUAUGGGUACAGUGGUACACCUCUGAUCAGAGUAAAACUAUUCGAAUAGCCGUGCCCGCGGUUAUAGGCGGGUCUAACAAUGUCUUUCGUGAUUAGUCUCACCCUUCUCACCAUAGUAAAUGAUGCUAUAACUGGUAAUAAUUUGAUUAGCUCCUGGUUUGGAAUGGUAUAUUCCUGGUUUGGAGAUAGAACUGUGCAGCCGGGAUGGUUAUUCAGAAUGGGUGGGCCUAUACAACAGGGUAUGUUGUAUAGCGUUGGAUUAAUAUUGUUUAAUUAUUACUUAACUGUUUUAUUAAAUUCUCAAAUGUUUGCUAAAUGCUGCUUUUGCAAAAGAAACCCUAUUAUGCCAUCCUUUGUUAUCCUGUGCACUUGCAUAUUUGCUGCGUGGCUUGCUGAGUAUGUCAUAUACUCACCUUGCAAUCAUUCAUCAGAGGAAGAGUUCUACAAUGAUGCUGAUGGUGUGGAGGAUUAGGUGUAGCCUUGGUCAAGCUGCUUGUGGAGUGGAGCCGUCCGCGCCGUUUAUCUUAUUUUCCGCUGCUUAGAUCUUUAUUGAUUGAGAGGAACUAUCUACCUCUGUAAUGACAUUUUAUUCGCUUAUUAGUUAGAGUAAUAUUUGUACUCUAUUAUCAAUUUGUUAUUGUGUGCCUCGGCUGAUUCCUAGACGAGGGUUCCCACACAUGUAAGCGUUUGGAAUUUUGGAUAGAAAUUCCGGGCGUGACAAGUUGGUAUCAGAGCCUCCUUGACCUUAGGUUAUGCCAAAUGGUUACCCAUAGAAGCCCUCUAAAAAUAUUGGAAAAGUAGAACUGUUCUCCUCCCUUUCUCUUUUAAACCAAACUAAUGGCACAUGCACUUCAUAAUCUCUUUUAAUGGUUCUCAUUCAAAAUUUAUUUCAGUGUUAUUAGUACUGUACAUCUAUUACUGUACUAAUGACUCAUUUACCAGCAAAAGUUUUACAAUAUUGUUUUAUUUAAUCCUGCUGCAAUAAAAUAAAUUUAGCAUGUCGAUUUUAUAACUUUCUUUUAUUUCUGUUAAAACCUGAUGAUCAAAAGUACAAAAAUUUGUAACCUCGUUUUCAACUAUUUCAACUUAUCUUGCAAGCUUGGUUUACUUUAUUUACUUACCUUUUUACUUUGAUUUUCCAACUUUAUUCACAUUAAUCCAAAAACUUGUGCUAUUAAUUGGAUAAAUGUCUUAACUCCCUCCUUUCACUUGUCUUUAGAUGCCGCGCUACAAGCCUGAGUACUUGUUUGGUGUGGAGGGUUUUGUCCAGGAGUUGCGUACAAUGUCCUUUGUCAUUGGAUUUGGGACUGCCCCUUUUUAUGCCCAGAUUCCUCAUGAUCGUCAUGAAGAGAAGUGCCGAGUCAAAGUCACCUUGAACAGUAAUAGUGAAGAUAUUCCCUCAGUGAUGUUCGAAGCUGGAGGAAGAAACUACAUCCAUGCGUGUCAGGAGGUGGCAAGGAUCGCCAUAGGAGAGCUUCGCGAUCGCUACAGUGAUCAGUUGGCCGAUACGGAGUAUCGCUACCAUCCUCGUCAACCACAGGGAAGUGACCGUGGCAAUUACCUUGAGACUGAAGGAAUUGAGAAUGAUGCUACCACAAGGCAUUUGGUUGAGAUGCUGUGGGCUAUGGAUGAAAGUCGUGCGGAGACUGUAUUAGCGGCUCAAGAUCGUGAAGACCGGAAUCGUGGUAAGAUUUGCAAGCUAGAAGACAAGGUGGAUCGUUUGGAGAAGGAAUUAGCCGCAUUGAAGGGAGAAGCACCGCCGCAGAAGGCCAGGAUUCGUCUCACUGCAAUGAAGAGAGCUCUAUUUGUCCCUCGCUAUCAAUUGGCGCCAAAGGUUCGUGUGGUGGAGAAUGAAGUUGCCCCAACCCUAGCAGAUCCUCCGGUCAUCAUCAUAAGUGAUGAUGAAGAAGAAGAAUCCAAGCACACCCAUUCCAAGAUUGAGUGGGUAGUAACUCAAGAUGAUGAAGACGAGCCGAAUGAGCCUUCAAUCGACCUCCGAUGCUCGGAAGAACUAGAGUGACUUGUUAAGUCGUUGUCUUAGAUCGUUGUGUUAGUUUGCUUGCUUUAAGUUUGCUUGUGUGUGUCUCGCAUGUGAUUUACAUCAGUGGUGGGAUGUAAGUGCAUGCGUUUGUUUGCUUUUGAGUGUUAGGAAGUUGGUGAGUUUAGUGGUGUGAGAGUCUUCAGUUUGUAAUAAUGAAACUCAGUUAAGAUCAAUAAAAGUUAAAGUAAUUCCCUGUCCUAAGUAGUUUUGCCCGGUUUCUCUUCUUGUGCCCUGUCCAUGCCAGAUGGUGAACACUCGCAGCAAUGGGAAUGGCCCCAACAACAACAACAAUAACAACAACAACAGUGGAGAGAAUCCCACACUUGCCCAAGUCCUGGCUCAACAGACACAGCUUAUGAACAUGAUGAUGCAGCAACUCCAGAACCAGCAAAACCAAGGAAAUAACCAUGCACCUCCCCAGAACAAGUUAGCAGAAUUUCUGCGUGUGAGGCCGCCCACUUUUUCUAGCACCACUAAUCCUGUUGAAGCUGGUAACUGGCUGCACGCCAUAGAAAAGAAGUUGGAUUUGCUUCAGUGCACUGAUUAGGAGAAGGUCUCAUUUGCAUCACAUCAGUUGCAUGGCCCUGCCUCUGAAUGGUGGGAUCACUUUCGCCUGAACAGGAUUACUGCUGAACCUAUCACUUGGCUUGAAUUCACCGCUGCUUUCCGGAAGACGCAUAUACCAUCGGGAGUGGUGUCUCUCAAGAAGAAGGAGUUCAGGUCGCUCACUCAGGGAUCUCGCUCUGUUACGGAGUAUUUGCACGAGUUCAAUCGUUUGGCUCGUUAUGCUCCUGAAGAUGUGCGCAAUGAUGAAGAGCGUCAGGAGAAGUUCUUGGAAGGACUUAAUGAUGAGCUUUCUUACCCACUCAUGACUGGAGAUUAUCCUGAUUUCCAGAAGUUAGUGGAUAAGGCUAUUCGUCAGGAGGACAAAUACAACCGCAUGGAGCAGAAGAAGCGCCGGAUUGCUCAAUUCAAGACACAACAGGGGAAUAAUCAGAGGCCGCGUCUUACUUUAGGACCCCAGUCCGUGCCACAGGGAGGUUCUUCGUCUAUUGUUCGUCCGCAGCGUCAGUUCUUCAACAACAAUGCUGGCAACAACAUCCGUAAUCAAGUUCCACGUCCUGUUGCAGCUCCAACACAGCAACAACCUGCCAAGAGGGAGCAAGGCAGCAAACCCGUGGUGUGUUUCAACUGUGGAGACCCAGGACAUUACGCUGACAAGUGUCCGAAGCCCCGACGCGUGAAGGUUGUCCCUACUCAGAGCAACUCUACCGCACCAGCAUCAAAGGCCCGUGUCAAUCAUGUCGCUGCUGCAGAAGCUCAAGAUGCUCCAGAUGUGAUUUUGGGUACGUUCCUUGUUAACUUAGUUCCUGCCACAGUGCUUUUCGAUUCUGGUGCUACACAUUCAUUCUUAUCUAUGAGUUUUGCGGGAAAUCAUGGGAUGGAAGUAGAAGAUCUUAGACAUCCUUUGAUGGUUAGUACCCCAAGUAAUCAAGCACUCUCUUUGCAACGUAGCCCCUCUGUCAGAAUAGAAAUUAAAGGAGUACCAUUUCUGGCCAAUCUUAUCUUGUUAGAAUCCAAAGACCUUGAUGUCAUCCUAGGGAUGGACUGGUUAGCCAGACAUAAAGGUGUGAUAGACUGUGCUAACAGAAAAGUAACUCUCACCAGCAAUGAUGGUCGAGUUGUAACUGUUCAUGCAUUGUCUUCUGAGUCUUUAAGGUCAAGACUGAACCAAAUAACUUUGGAAGAGAUUCCUAUAGUCCAGGAGUAUCCCGAUGUGUUCCCAGAUGAUUUACCUGGUAUGCCGCCUAAAAGGGAUAUAGAGUUCAGAAUAGAUUUGGUACCAGGAACAACUCCGAUCCAUAAGAGACCUUAUAGAAUGGCAGCCAAUGAGUUGGCAGAAGUUAAGAGGCAAGUAGACGAUUUGCUUCAGAAAGGAUACAUCAGACCGAGUUCAUCACCAUGGGGAGCUCCGGUUAUUUUUGUGGAAAAGAAAGACCAUACCCAGAGGAUGUGUGUGGACUAUCGUGCACUAAAUGAUGUGACUAUCAAGAAUAAGUAUCCACUACCCAGAAUUGAUGAUUUGUUUGAUCAGCUUAAAGGUGCUACUGUUUUCUCCAAGAUAGAUCUUCGAUCAGGGUAUCACCAGUUGAGAAUCAAAGAGGAAGAUAUACCUAAGACAGCUUUUACCACUAGGUAUGGGUUGUUCGAAUGUACUGUUAUGUCUUUUGGACUUACCAAUGCCCCUGCUUUCUUCAUGAACUUGAUGAAUAAGGUGUGUAUGGAAUACCUAGACAAGUUCGUGGUGGUCUUUAUUGAUGAUAUUCUUAUCUACUCUCGAACCAAAGAAGAGCAUAAAGAACAUCUUCGCCUUGCACUAGAGAAGCUACGAGAACAUCAACUGUAUGCUAAGUUUAGCAAGUGUGAAUUUUGGUUGUCUGAAGUGAAGUUCCUUGGUCACGUCAUCUCAGCAGGAGGAGUUGCCGUCGAUCCUAGUAAUGUGGAAUCCGUAACCAACUGGAAACAACCAAAGACAGUUUCAGAAAUUCGCAGUUUCCUAGGCCUCGCAGGGUAUUAUCGGAGGUUUAUAGAGAAUUUUUCCAAGAUUGCUAAGCCCAUGACACGACUGCUUCAGAAAGAUGUGAAGUAUAAGUGGUCAGAAGAAUGUGAGCAGAGUUUCCAAGAGUUGAAGAAUCGCUUGAUAUCAGCUCCUAUUUUGAUUUUACCUGAUCCAAAGAAGGGUUUCCAAGUGUAUUGCGAUGCAUCUAAACUUGGGUUAGGUUGUGUUCUGAUGCAGGAUGGGAAGGUGGUUGCCUAUGCAUCUCGUCAGUUACGUCCGCAUGAAAAGAACUACCCUACUCAUGAUCUUCAAUUGGCCGCAGUAGUUCAUGCGUUGAAAAUUUGGCGUCAUUAUCUUUUCGGUACUCGUACAGAGGUAUAUACCGAUCACAAGAGUUUAAAGUAUAUCUUUACUCAGCCGGAUCUGAACAUGAGACAACGGAGGUGGUUGGAAUUAAUUAAGGACUAUGACAUGGGAAUUCAUUACCACCCAGGAAAGGCUAAUGUUGUAGCAGACGCUCUUAGCAGGAAAGGCUAUUGCAAUGCUACAGAAGGACGACAGUUGCCAUUGGAAUUAUGCAAGGAAUUUGAAAGAUUAAAUUUGGGAAUUGUCAGUAGAGGUUUCGUUGCAGCCUUAGAAGCGAAGCCCACUCUAAUUGAUCAAGUUAGAGAAGCCCAAAUUAAUGAUCCUGAUAUUCAAGAGAUCAAGAAGAAUAUGAGAAGAGGAAAAGCUAUCGGUUUCUUGGAGGAUGAGCACGGAACUGUAAGGUUGGGUGAGAGAAUCUGCGUCCCCGACAACAAAGAUUUAAAAGAUGCAAUUCUGAAAGAAGCUCACGAUACUUUAUACUCUAUUCACCCUGGUAGUACUAAGAUGUACCAGGAUCUCAAGGAAAGAUUUUGGUGGGCAAGUAUGAAACGUGAAAUAGCAGAAUAUGUAGCAGUAUGUGAUGUUUGUCAGCGAGUCAAGGCAGAACAUCAGAAACCUGCCAGUUUGCUGCAGCCUUUAAAGAUUCCUGAAUGGAAGUGGGAAGAAAUCGGUAUGGAUUUUAUCACUGGUUUACCCAGAACGUCAUCGGGUCAUGACUCUAUUUGGGUGAUAGUCGACAGACUUACCAAAGUAGCUCAUUUCAUUCCGGUAAAGACAACCUAUUCUGGAAGUCGGUUGGCGGAAUUGUACAUGGCAAGGAUCGUGUGUUUGCAUGGCGUCCCUAAGAAAAUAGUGUCUGAUCGAGGCAGUCAGUUUACUUCAAAUUUUUGGAAGAAACUUCAGGAAGAGAUGGGUUCUAAGCUGAACUUUAGUACUGCUUAUCAUCCGCAGACAGACGGACAAACCGAAAGGGUGAAUCAAAUUUUGGAAGACAUGUUGAGAGCUUGUGCUUUAGACUUCGGUGGAAGUUGGGAUAAGAGUCUACCUUAUGCAGAAUUUUCGUACAACAACAGUUAUCAAGCUAGUCUUCAGAUGGCUCCUUACGAAGCACUGUAUGGUCGGAAGUGCCGCACUCCACUUUUGUGGGAUCAAACGGGAGAACGUCAGGUUUUCGGGACGGAUAUCCUAAGAGAAGCAGAAGAAAAGGUGAAAAUCAUUCAAGAAAGAUUGCGAGUGGCUCAGUCUCGUCAUAAGAGUUAUGCCGACAAUCGCCGCAGAGAUUUGAGUUUUGAAGAAGGAGAUUAUGUGUAUCUUCGUGUCACGCCUCUUCGAGGAGUUCGUCGUUUUCAUAUCAAAGGAAAAUUGGCACCGCGUUUUGUGGGACCUUAUAAGAUUGUCAGUAGAAGAGGAGAGGUUGCUUAUCAGUGGAGUUACCUCAAUCUUUGGCAGGAGUCCAUAAUGUGUUCCAUGUGUCGCAAUUAAAAAAGUGUUUAAGGGUACCUACCGAAGAAGCUAAUCUUGAACAGAUAGAAGUCCAAGAGGAUCUGACCUAUGUUGAGAAAUGUCACGUCCUGAUAAAUUCAUCCCGAAAUAAAAAUCAUUUUCUAAAAGGAAUAAUAGAAUUAAUUAAAAUUCGAAAAGAAAUUGGCAAACACUAAAAUGCGUAUAAGAAAAAUUCAAAUGUGGCCCGGAGAAUUUUUGUUAAAUUCUCCUUGGUCUAAAAGGAGCCCUCAAAUUUUAGUGGAAUUUUCAGAGCACAAAUAAUAAUUGAGAAGAAAUAAACAAAGUUAGAAUGGUUUUAUAAAAAGAAAAAUCCUAAAAAAAGUCUUCUUUUCCCCCCCUUCCCUUACUGGGCCGGCUCGGCCCAGCUCCCUCCCUCUCUCUCCUCCUCCCCGCGGCCCACUCGGCCUCUCCCCGCGCGCGCGCCGCUGACGGGCGGGCCCGCCCGCCACCCUCGCUGACGGGUGGGGCCCACCUGUCAUCCCUAUCCUCGCGCCGCGCCCGCCGCCCGCCCGUGCCCUAGCGCCGCCGCCGCCGCGGAUUCCGCCGCAUCCCGCCAUCCCCGCGCGCCAUAAAGAGGGGGAAAUCACUCCCCGUGAUUCCCUCCCUCUUUUCCCCCUCUUUCCCCUCUCUCUCUCCCUCGGAUUCGUCCGGAUUCACUCCCGCAAAGUUCGCCGGCGCAUCAAUGGCGGCCGAGAUUUCCGCGGCCGAUUCCUUCCCCUCCGGCCGCUCUCUCCCUCUCCCGGCGCUAUAUAAUCGUCCCCCGUGCUUCGCUCUUCCGUUUCCGCCACUCGCCGCCUCUCCUCCCCGUCGGAAUCGAGCCCGCGCCGUCGCACCUUCUCUCCGCCGUCGCCGCCGAACUCCGGUUCACCGCCGUCGUCGCCCCGGACCUCCUCCCGCUUCGGCAUCGCCCCCUUCGGCUUCGCCGCGUCCUCGCCGACCCCGUCCGCUCCUCCGUUUCGCCCGCCGACCGCCGGAACGCCGCCGUCCUCGUCGACCCGAGCCGCGCCGCCGCCUUCCUCCGCUCCGGUCGUCGUUUCCGCCGUCCUCGUCGUCCCGGGGUGAGCCGUGGACCGCUCCUUUCGCUUCCCCCUUCCCUCCUCUCUCUCGGGUGCCGCUCCGCCGCGUCGGUGGUCGCCGGCGGUGACCAUCGGGGCGCGGGCGCGCCGCCUCCCGUCGGCCGUGCCGGCGAGGCCGCCUUCGGGCGCGCCCCGCGGCUGCCAGGUGGGGCCCGGCCGUCAGCCGCCCGCGCCCGCAGGUGCGGCUGACGCGUGGGACCCACGGCGCCGGCCGGCGUCUGCCGCGUGCGCCCGGUCCACCGUGGACCGAGAGGCUGACGCGUGGGCCCCACUCCCGUGGACCCGGUCCGCGCGCCCCUCCCCUCGGCUGACGCAAUAAAUCCGAUUUUUAAUUAAAAUUUAAAUGAAGAAAUUCGCAAAUAUCCAUUUAAAGAGCAUAUAAACUUCAAAUGGCCAUAACUUGGCCAUUUGAACUCGGAAUUGGACCGUUCAAGUCUCUAAUUUUUCCUUAAGAAGUCAAGAACCCAUUUUUGUGCUUUGUUUCUGCUGUUAUGUGGAGUUUAUUAGAGUAAAAGCCUUUUCUUUUCCGUUGGUCGUGUAGACGCUGCAGCUUCGGAAGAUCCGCUCUUCGUGGAAGUUGAAGCCGGUGUUUGGGAAAGCGAGCAAGGCAAGUCACAUCAUCCUUGAGCAUAUUGAAUCCCAGUUUAUAAAAUUAUUUUGAUUUAAAUUAAUGCAUUACCGCUUUAUUUCAAUUCCCGCGUUAUCACUGUUUUAUUUAGCCAUGCCUAUUUACCUUUGUUAAGACAUUAUUAUUGCUAUUGUUAUUAUUACCUUGUUCACCCUAGAAUAAACAAAACCCCAACUAGUGGGUACUCUAUUCCUGGUUCCACUAGUAUGAAUUUAGGUAGAUGCUUCGCUGAUUAAUUAGGCAAUAUUAGGUGGUUUUAUAACUUUAGACUUUGGGAAUUCUCAUAUCAUUUGGACACUAUGGAAUUGUUGGUUUAUGGUGGAAUUGGACAUACACCUCUCUUCCUCUUUCAAAACCCCUAAAACCUGUUUUCGGUGGGGUCUGGGUGCAUGCCAGUUGUGGGAAGUAGCACCCCGGCCACUAUAAGGAUUAAGCUCGGGCCUCUGUUGCAAAGCACUACCGUACUUCCACAUGUCUAGUGGGUAAUGCUUAGUUUGUGGCUCAGUCUGGUCAUAAACAAAAGUACACGGAUGGAGAUGGAUGAAGUCGGGGGUCGAUGGACAUUCUCUAGGACAAAUGAAGGCUACACGAGCUGCGGCCCGGUAGUCGAGAUGUCAUGGCACAGGGUUGGUGCCCUGCUGCUAGGGGCUCAGUCCUGCCUGCCUGUCCCGGGGGUUCCGGCCGUAGGUGGGAUUGGGUCGGUACUCUUGUCUAUGGCUAGGAUGGGUUGGAAACUAUGUCACAGCUUCCGUCUGUAUACCGUGGUGGUAUGUGGCACGUGGUUGCACGUGAGGAAGAUGUGUCUUGUGGGUAAAGAUGUACACCUCUGAUCAGAGUAUAAUCUAUUCGAAUAGCCGCGCCCUCGGUUAUGGGCAAGCCGAGCAAUGUACCCAAGUCAGUGUUUUAAUUCUUAAAAUUUGCUUACAACUAAAAUGUGGAAUGGUUGGCCUGGGUUGGCUUGGGACGAGCUGGGACCCAGGGUCGGGUUGCCAGUUCGGUCUGAAUCAUCGUAGGCCUUGGGUUAAGGCAGGUUCGUGAGGGUUCACGGCCUUGUUUAAUAAUACUGUGUAGCUCUAGGAUCGUCUUUAUAAAAUGGCUUUGGGCAACUAAGUGACUUUUAAAUGCUGCUUUUCUGCAAAACUUAACCCCUAUAUUAUUUACCCCUUGUACCCCCUUGCAUUAAUCGUGCAUCUACCGGUGUGACUUGCUGAGUACUGUGGUUGUACUCAUUCUUGCUCUAUCUUUCUCCCCCCUUCAGUAAGAGAAGCUUCAGAGAAGAUGUCUUAGGUGGAGUCCUGGCUUAUACCCCAGUUGAGCGCCUGUGAAGAUGGAGCCGUAGGCCCGCUAGUCCGCUGCUGUUUAUUUUUGUUUGUCAGGCCUGAAGCGCCUUUGUAAUAAUGUAAAUAUUAUCGAUAUAAUAAAGAUGUGUCUUUUAUAUCAUGUUUGUAUGGUGUACCCCGGCUUUUCCUGGGACGGGGAUUAAUACACUGGCGUUCGGGAAAAGGCAAUUUUCCCGGUCGCGACAAGAUGGUAUCAGAGCCAUCUCGACUGUAGGAUAAGCCAAGUGGAUAAAACCUAAGGACAUAUUUUAUAAAUAAAACUAUUUGCGAAAGUUCCUUUUUUUCUCCUUUCCCCUAUGCUAUUUGCAAAAGGGUUUACUCCCUUCUUCCUUCUUCGGAUUUCAACUAGUACUAGAUGGUCAGGUCAGUGAAGAAGAAGACAUCGUCAGUUGUUUGCCGAAGCUCCGGAAGACUGCAGGAUCCGCUAGCGAAGUGGAGGAAGCAGUGAAGCCAGCUGUAAAGCAGGAGUGAAGAUCUUGGAGAACCCGUCGCAGAACCUAAGCCACCCUCUAGUGUUUCGUUUGUCGUGUGUUUCCUUGCUUGUGUGUGUAGCGCGUGGUUUGCAUCAGUGGAUUGUGAUGUAACCAUGCUAGGUUGUUUGCUUAAUCAACUUGCAGAAUAAGUGAAACAAAGAACACAUCAACAAGAAGAGUUAGUUCCUUUAAGGUCCUAUCUCUAGUUCUGGUCUAUUCUUUCCUGGCUUGUUUCCUCUCUCACCUCAAUCCCUGUAACAGAUGUUUAACAGAGAAAAAGGAAAGAAUGUCAGCGGGUAUGACUCAAGUAACUCAAGUUUUCAACUCAAUCUGCCACUGGCCUCAAGAGAGUUAACCAGGGCACACCCUUGGUCCAUUCCAAGCAUGCUGCUUAGUUCACAGCUACCAUUGGUUGGAAGUCAAGACCAAAAUCAGUAUGUGUUUGAUCGAGCCUUUGCCACCCAGGUCAAUGAGCUUCCAAUGCCAGAAGAGCAGGUUCCCUUUUGUCAUGAUUGUAGAGAGCAAGGACACUAUGCCCUGAAUUGUCCAUGGGUAUAUGUCAAAGAAGCCCCUUCCCUUGGUUUAGCAGGGCGGACAUCGCUAAACCAGCCUCCUCACACCAAGUCAAGCUUGCAGCCUAGUGUGCAAAGUAGAGAGCUCAACGGAGAGAAUCCAUUGAAUCCCGGGAAAUGCUUUCCUCCUAGCCUCUCGUACCACGUGGGGUCACAUACUAAGCAAGCCAAAGGCAAGAAGAGUAAGAAUCAGAAGAGAAAAGCACCGAUGCGAACUGAAGAAGAAGUACGUAAGAUGACUAUUACCAGCACCGAAUGGCCUCCAGCAGGGAUAACUAUUCCUAGACGUCAAAGAGGAAAUACCUUCCGAGGUGCACGACAGUUGACCCAGCACCUCCUAAGCCGUGGUGGCAGAGUAUCUGAUAGUGAAGGGUCAGAUCAAGUCUCCUCGGAUGAAGAAGAUGAGUCUCCCCGACAUCUCGGCGAGGAAGAGAUGGAAUCCAAAGCAUGCCCCCGUUGUGGAGAAAUUGGACACGUUGCUAGCAUGUGUCUCACACUCUGCCCUCAUUGUGAGGAAGACCAUCCACCAGGUGAAUGUCCCACCCGCAAGGUCACAUGUUUUCUGUGCGAAGGUACAAACCAUGUGCCCAAGGAUUGCCAACUCAGUGUGUUGUUGACCAAGACCGCAGAAAUCCAACGAACAACCCUACGAUUGUCUCAUCAGCUAGUCAGCUCCAACAGCAACAUCGACGAUAUCAUCCACAGCACCAAUGCUCCUCCCGCUGCACCUGACUCUGCAAUAAAUCAUAGCGAUAAUACCUUCAGCACCAACCAUUCUCUGCACCGACAGCCUCAACAAAGAAUUGUCAUCGAUGGAAGAAGUUGUGUCUCUCCCCGACCUACUCCAGGCCGAGCCAAGGGCAAUCAACCUCCGGAGGGCGAUACCAAGCAGAAGACCGUUAUUCGCCUCAACCAGCAACCAGAAGGAAACUUCUCCUGUGAAUGAUAGCAAUAUGCAGUCCUAUCACAUCAUCACAGAACCAAUCAAGGAUGCAGUCACUAGAACAAUGCCAGCUAUGUAUCCAUGUUUGUGAUUUUCAGUUCGCUACUUAUCACUGUAAUCGGGAGUUUGCAGCAAUCAUGUAAUAAAUAAACAUAUUCAUGAUUAUAAACAAUGAGUUUGUUAUGUUUAUGGAUGAUUCAUGUUGAGGAUACAAUGUACCGAUGAUAAGCACCUUCCCUUUUUGUUUAAGGCAGUGCCUUGUAUUCGUGUAAUAAGGGAGAAAUGUGUAAUACAGACAAGUUCUGAGAGGAUUCUUUUGGAAGAUGCGGAUAUGUGAUCAUGUGUAUAAUUGUUUACUGACAAAGGAGACCUAGGGUCUCGUGUCAGAGGAACUAUAUUCUAACCUCGAGUUAAUAACCAACCUGUGGAUGGAAAAGAAAACCAAUUAAACUGUGUUGGGUUAAAAAGCCAAUGAGACAGUAGUUGGGGAUAGGAGUUUGGAUACGCCUCUUACAGAUCAAGAUAAGGAUUGUUGGAUGAAACCCAUAAGGGUACCCGCCAUGCCUCUACAUUGAUAAGUUCGGAUAUUCCUGCAAACAGUUAAGAAGAUCCAGGAGACAUCAAUAUUUGAGAACAUAAUAGUCGAUGGUUGGUAAUUAGUCUAUCAGGUAUCAGAAAAGGGUCAAAGGUGAUAUGGCAGAAGAACAAUAUGGAUGCUCCCCAUCUCGAGGAAGCACUAAAGAUGAUCAUCGGCAAUUAAACCCUAGUGGCAUAGAUACAGAUAGCAAGCAAUGUAUUUCCCUGAAGGUGGUCAGUGCAGCUUCUUGACAAACCACAUCAAGGUUUCACUGAAAGGCAGCAAGCCAAAGGACCUCAUCGUCCCCAGAAGCGUCCGCAAUCCACAUUAAAGAAUACCACAUGUUAAAGAUAAGCCGAAAGAUGAUUGAUAAAAGAGAUUGGCAAAGAUGUUCUCCAGCAUGAAAGAAGUAGGCCGGAAGGUGAUUGAUAAACAGAAACAUGCUCUGCAUCGCUCAAGGAAGACCCCUGAUAGUAAUUGCCCCGCAACAGUCACCUUGUCAUUAAGUAAGCAAGAUGACCUAGGUAAAAGUGUUUCUAUGAAGGCAAGGAGUGAAAUCUUCAACUCGGUAUCAGAUGCUACACGGAGUGAAAAGUGCAAGCACCGGUUACCAGGUAAUGCCAUGUCUUGGGAGAUGAUCCAAUGGGAAGGAACACAUCAAGGUUAAAAGGUGUAAAGGAAUACGUUGAAUGCUAACCGAGGACAACCUGAAGAUAAUAGUGGAAAGUAAACUGAACAUAAAGAAAGUGAAUCCGAGUUGCUUGUUCGUGAGAGCUAUUCCCAGUUAUGAAUCAAGUGAUAUGUUCAAAGAUAAUCUACAGAGGUCAGAUUAAAAUCACAUCUAACAACGAAGCCUCAGAUUUGGCAGGAUAAUGAUUAGACAGUAACAAAUCCAGCAAUAAAGCCAUUUGGGAAGACGUCAAAGUAUGUCAAGUGGGAUAAGUUGGUUCUCUUGGGAAGCAUAAUUCAAAGGCAAAGUUAGCGACCCUUGCAUCAAAUAGCAGAAGUACCUAGCACCGGAGACCAGGAAAGCUAAUAUGAGACAGUUCAUGUUGUCAAUCAUGGUAUCCUUAGUAAGCGGGAUAUCAUAGUCUAAAGCAUAUGGUGGUAAGCUGGAAGGAAACGCCAAGCAUGGUAUUCUCAUGAUGACAAGCAUGGUAUCCUAGUAAUGACAAGCAGGUUACGAGACAUGACAUGAAGUUGAUAACUUGUGAGGUUGACGCCGAAGAUAUGAAUCGUGAGAAGUUCUGGAUCUGAAGCCCCAUCUUCAAGUGCCGCAACCUAGUCUGAGUCAGCUAAAAGGUGCACCCUGGUUCAAGUCAGGUGAAGAGAAGAUUCCAUCCGCAGCAGGAGGUCAAGCCAAGCAGUUCCGAGUGGUGAAGUUUUGCUGAAAGUUUGUGAGGACGGAGCGGAAGAAGUCAAACAAGAAGAGAAGACCGCCCAACCUAUCUUCUUGCUAGCCUCCUCGAAUCUCGGGGACGAGAUUCUUGUAAGGGGGGUGGAUUUGUCACGUCCUGAUAAAUUCAUCCCGAAAUAAAAAUCAUUUUCUAAAAGGAAUAAUAGAAUUAAUUAAAAUUCGAAAAGAAAUUGGCAAACACUAAAAUGCGUAUAAGAAAAAUUCAAAUGUGGCCCGGAGAAUUUUUGUUAAAUUCUCCUUGGUCUAAAAGGCGCCCUCAAAUUUUAGUGGAAUUUUCAGAGCACAAAUAAUAAUUGAGAAGAAAUAAACAAAGUUAGAAUGGUUUUAUAAAAAGAAAAAUCCUAAAAAAAGUCUUCUUUCCCCCCCCUUCCCUUACUGGGCCAGCUCGGCCCAGCUCCCUCCCUCUCUCUCCUCCUCCCCGCGGCCCACUCGGCCUCUCCCCGCGCGUGCGCCGCUGACGGGCGGGCCCGCCCGCCACCCUCGCUGACGGGUGGGGCCCACCUGUCAUCCCUAUCCUCGCGCCGCGCCCGCCGCCCGCCCGUGCCCUAGCGCCGCCGCCGCCGCGGAUUCCGCCGCAUCCCGCCGUCCCCGCGCGCCAUAAAGAGGGGGAAAUCACUCCCCGUGAUUCCCUCCCUCUUUUCCCCCUCUUUCCCCUCUCUCUCUCCCUCGGAUUCGUCCGGAUUCACUCCCGCAAAGUUCGCCGGCGCAUCAAUGGCGGCCGAGAUUUCCGCGGCCGAUUCCUUCCCCUCCGGCCGCUCUCUCCCUCUCCCGGCGCUAUAUAAUCGUCCCCCGUGCUUCGCUCUUCCGUUUCCGCCACUCGCCGCCUCUCCUCCCCGUCGGAAUCGAGCCCGCGCCGUCGCACCUUCUCUCCGCCGUCGCCGCCGAACUCCGGUUCACCGCCGUCGUCGCCCCGGACCUCCUCCCGCUUCCGCAUCGCCCCCUUCGGCUUCGCCGCGUCCUCGCCGACCCCGUCCGCUCCUCCGUUUCGCCCGCCGACCGCCGGAACGCCGCCGUCCUCGUCGACCCGAGCCGCGCCGCCGCCUUCCUCCGCUCCGGUCGUCGUUUCCGCCGUCCUCGUCGUCCCGGGGUGAGCCGUGGACCGCUCCUUUCGCUUCCCCCUUCCCUCCUCUCUCUCGGGUGCCGCUCCGCCGCGUCGGUGGUCGCCGGCGGUGACCAUCGGGGCGCGGGCGCGCCGCCUCCCGUCGGCCGUGCCGGCGAGGCCGCCUUCGGGCGCGCCCCGCGGCUGCCAGGUGGGGCCCGGCCGUCAGCCGCCCGCGCCCGCGGGUGCGGCUGACGCGUGGGACCCACGGCGCCGGCCGGCGUCUGCCGCGUGCGCCCGGUCCACCGUGGACCGAGAGGCUGACGCGUGGGCCCCACUCCCAUGGACCCGGUCCGCGCGCCCCUCCCCUCGGCUGACGCAAUAAAUCCGAUUUUUAAUUAAAAUUUAAAUGAAGAAAUUCGCAAAUAUCCAUUUAAAGAGCAUAUAAACUUCAAAUGGCCAUAACUUGGCCAUUUGAACUCGGAAUUGGACCGUUCAAGUCUCUAAUUUUUCCUUAAGAAGUCAAGAACCCAUUUUUGUGCUUUGUUUCUGCUGUUAUGUGGAGUUUAUUAGAGUAAAAGCCUUUUCUUUUCCGUUGGUCGUGUAGACGCUGCAGCUUCGGAAGAUCCGCUCUUCGUGGAAGUUGAAGCCGGUGUUUGGGAAAGCGAGCAAGGCAAGUCACAUCAUCCUUGAGCAUAUUGAAUCCCAGUUUAUAAAAUUAUUUUGAUUUAAAUUAAUGCAUUACCGCUUUAUUUCAAUUCCCGCGUUAUCACUGUUUUAUUUAGCCAUGCCUAUUUACCUUUGUUAAGACAUUAUUAUUGCUAUUGUUAUUAUUACCUUGUUCACCCUAGAAUAAACAAAACCCCAACUAGUGGGUACUCUAUUCCUGGUUCCACUAGUAUGAAUUUAGGUAGAUGCUUCGCUGAUUAAUUAGGCAAUAUUAGGUGGUUUUAUAACUUUAGACUUUGGGAAUUCUCAUAUCAUUUGGACACUAUGGAAUUGUUGGUUUAUGGUGGAAUUGGACAUACACCUCUCUUCCUCUUUCAAAACCCCUAAAACCUGUUUUCGGUGGGGUCUGGGUGCAUGCCAGUUGUGGGAAGUAGCACCCCGGCCACUAUAAGGAUUAAGCUCGGGCCUCUGUUGCAAAGCACUACCGUACUUCCACAUGUCUAGUGGGUAAGGCUUAGUUUGUGGCUCAGUCUGGUCAUAAACAAAAGUACACGGAUGGAGAUGGAUGAAGUCGGGGGUCGAUGGACAUUCUCUAGGACAAAUGAAGGCUACACGAGCUGCGGCCCGGUAGUCGAGAUGUCAUGGCACAGGGUUGGUGCCCUGCUGCUAGGGGCUCAGUCCUGCCUGCCUGUCCCGGGGGUUCCGGCCGUAGGUGGGAUUGGGUCGGUACUCUUGUCUAUGGCUAGGAUGGGUUGGAAACUAUGUCACAGCUUCCGUCUGUAUACCGUGGUGGUAUGUGGCACGUGGUUGCACGUGAGGAAGAUGUGUCUUGUGGGUAAAGAUGUACACCUCUGAUCAGAGUAUAAUCUAUUCGAAUAGCCGCGCCCUCGGUUAUGGGCAAGCCGAGCAAUGUACCCAAGUCAGUGUUUUAAUUCUUAAAAUUUGCUUACAACUAAAAUGUGGAAUGGUUCGCCUGGGUUGGCUUGGGACGAGCUGGGACCCAGGGUCGGGUUGCCAGUUCGGUCUGAAUCAUCGUAGGCCUUGGGUUAAGGCAGGUUCGUGAGGGUUCACGGCCUUGUUUAAUAAUACUGUGUAGCUCUAGGAUCGUCUUUAUAAAAUGGCUUUGGGCAACUAAGUGACUUUUAAAUGCUGCUUUUCUGCAAAACUUAACCCCUAUAUUAUUUACCCCUUGUACCCCCUUGCAUUAAUCGUGCAUCUGCCGGUGUGACUUGCUGAGUACUGUGGUUGUACUCAUUCUUGCUCUAUCUUUCUCCCCCCUUCAGUAAGAGAAGCUUCAGAGAAGAUGUCUUAGGUGGAGUCCUGGCUUAUACCCCAGUUGAGCGCCUGUGAAGAUGGAGCCGUAGGCCCGCUAGUCCGCUGCUGUUUAUUUUUGUUUGUCAGGCCUGAAGCGCCUUUGUAAUAAUGUAAAUAUUAUCGAUAUAAUAAAGAUGUGUCUUUUAUAUCAUGUUUGUAUGGUGUACCCCGGCUUUUCCUGGGACGGGGAUUAAUACACUGGCGUUCGGGAAAAGGCAAUUUUCCCGGUCGCGACAAGAAACCAAUCCGUAUCUUGGAAAUAGAUGAGAGAAGAACCAGGAAUCGAGUUAUCCGUUUUUGCAAAGUUCAAUGGAGUAAUCACUCGGAAGAAGAAUCAACUUGGGAACGAGAAGAUGAAUUGAAGUCAACUCAUCCGCAUCUGUUCGCCAGUUCUUCCGAAUCUCGAGGACGAGAUUCUGUUUAAGGGGGUAGGUUUGUCACACCCUGAAAAUUCAAAAUAUAUAAAUUGUUGUUUAAAUGGAAUUUUUAGAAUUUAUUUUAAAAGCCUAGAAGAGAAGAUCUAAUUUUAAUUAAUAAAUUCCAAUAUAAAAUGGGGCCAGAUAAAAUUUCAUUAAAUACUUUGCUUAAUUCUAUAAUUCCUAGAUUUUUCUGGGAUUUAUUUGAGCUAAGGAAGUAUUUUUAAUAAAUGGAAUUGCAUUUAAAAAAUAAUUUAAAUUGAAAAAGGUUUUGAAAAGUCUUCUUUUGGCUUUGGGCCGAAAGUCGGCCCAAAACCCUUCUCUCUCUCCUCGGCCCAAGUCGGCCCAGUCCGCAGCCGCAGCCGCCCGCGCGCGCGUCCUCGCUCGCUGACAGGUGGGGCCCGCCUGUCGGAGUCGUCGUCUUCCUCCGGCCGAAACCUUAGCGCCGCGCCGCCGCCGCCGCUUUCCAAAUCGGCCGAUCCUUUCCUUCUCCGGCCGAAUCAAAAGAGGGGAAAUGAUCUUCGGGAUUUCCUCUACCUUUUCUCCUUUGGAAACACCGGCUAAAAUCGUUUGGAAAUUCGUGGAUUCGAGUUUGUUUCGGAUUCGAUUUUCCCGAACUUUCCUUCUCGUCGCCGGCCGUCGUGGGCCUUCGCCGCUGCCUCCGAGCCCCUUUAAAAGGACCCCCGAGCUCUUCUCUACCCGCCGCCACCCUCGCCUUCGCCUCUCGUCACCGGUAGCGCCCUAGCGUCGUGAGACCUCGAGCCGCCGUCGCCGCCGUCGCUCCAGCCCUGCGCCGCCGCCGUUCCGGUCAUCGUCAUCGCUCAGGAAGGCCACCGUCGGGAUCGCCAAGUCGUCGCCGUCCUCGUCCGCCCCUUCGCCACCGUCGGAGACCGCCGGAGCAUCGUCGCCGUUGUCGACCCGAUCUCCGCCGUCGCUUCUUCCUCGUCGCCGUCGCCGUCCGUUGGUCUUCCGCCGUCGCUUGGGUCGCCGGUGAGUUCGCCGUGCCGUCCGCUACCCGUUGGUGUCCUCCGUUCUUGCCGAAGUGCCGCCGUUCGCUGGCAAGCGUGCGCCGUCCGAGCCGUCCGAGCCGCCGAGCCGCCGCCGCCGGUGGUGACGUCAUCGCCGACGUCAUCGUCGCCCUCUUCCAUGAGCCGGUCGUGGACCGAUCGAUCUCGGCCGUCCGUUUUGGAUCAAGUCGAUCUCGGCCGUCCGUUCGCGUGAACCGCCGCCGUGCGCCCGGUCCACCGAAACCCUAGCCCGCUGACGCAAUAAAUCCCUUUUCCUUUUCAAAAAUAAUUCAUUAUUGCGUCAUAAUUCAAUUAAAAUCAAUAUAAGUGUUUUAAUCCGAUUUAAUCUUCAAAAAUUCAUAACUAAUUCAUCUUAGCUCCGAUUUAGUUGGUUCAAGUCUCUAAAUUUUUCUAAAAUUGAGAUCUACACAAUAAAAAUAUCCACAUGUACUGUUCAUGCUUGUUUAUGUGCUGUUUUGGUGAUUUUGCUCUUUUCUGCUUAGAUUCCGUCGUUUCCGGAGAGUCCGUUUUCGCAGGAGAAGAGUUUGAAGAGUUCCAAGGCCAGCAAGGCAAGUCACACAGAUCCCAAACAACCCUUUGAGCAUGUUGAUCCCGUUUAAAGCUAUUGUUUCUAUUCAACUAUUGCAUUUAUUUUCGAAUGUCAUUGGGUGGAAUUAACCUAUUGUUUGCUAUAGCCCUUUUGUUCUUGAUUACUUUAUUCCUUGAUACCUUGGGUUAUUAUAAUUUGACUAGUUGAGCUUUAUUUAUAUUGGUUCAACUAGAUAUUAGAUAUAAUUGCUUAGCCAUGCUUAGAAACAUUAGCACACUUUUGGGAUAACUUAUGAUUCACUAUUAUUUAAUGAUAGCUCACGAUGGUCAAUUGUGAUUGGUUAAUUAAUUAAUGUGCCAACUAAAACCUGGUAAUGGUGGGUUGUGAGCACAUGGUUUUGAUGGUCGUGCUCAUGACAAUUAAGGACCGGUUCACGAGUUUCGGUUGUGAAACAUUAACCGUGCCAACCACAAGCCAGCGUGGGCAACGGCUUUAUCUUUUGUAUAACAUGGUUCAUUGCGGGGCACCAGACUGAGAAGUGGCGGAGAUAAGCCCACGGGGGUCGCUGGGGAGUCCAUGCCUUGUUUAUAAGGGGGUGAUUAUGAUCCAGGAAGGUGCGCUGCAGUGGAUUGUGUUAUGCAAGGGGUAUUGUCACAACUCCUUUCCGAGGUACCGUGGUGGUAUUGAGGCACAUGGUGACAUGAUGUGGGGUUGUGUCUUGUGGGUACAGUGGUACACCUCUGAUCAGAGUAAAACUAUUCGAAUAGCCGUGCCCGCGGUUAUGGGCGGGUCUAACAAUGUCUUUCGUGAUUAGUCUCACCCUUCUCACCAUAGUAAAUGAUGCUAUAACUGGUAAUAAUUUGAUUAGCUCCUGGUUUGGAAUGGUAUAUUCCUGGUUUGGAGAUAGAACUGUGCAGCCGGGAUGGUUGUUCAGAAUGGUUGGGCCUAUACAACAGGGUAUGUUGUAUAGCGUUGGAUUAAUAUUGUUUAAUUAUUACUUAACUGUUUUAUUAAAUUCUCAAAUGUUUGCUAAAUGCUGCUUUUGCAAAAGAAACCCUAUUAUGCCAUCCUUUGUUAUCCUGUGCACUUGCAUAUUUGCUGCGUGGCUUGCUGAGUAUGUCAUAUACUCACCUUGCAAUCAUUCAUCAGAGGAAGAGUUCUACAAUGAUGCUGAUGGUGUGGAGGAUUAGGUGUAGCCUUGGUCAAGCUGCUUGUGGAGUGGAGCCGUCCGCGCCGUUUAUCUUAUUUUCCGCUGCUUAGAUCUUUAUUGAUUGAGAGGAACUAUCUACCUCUGUAAUGACAUUUUAUUCGCUUAUUAGUUAGAGUAAUAUUUGUACUCUAUUAUCAAUUUGUUAUUGUGUGCCUCGGCUGAUUCCUGGACGAGGGUUCCCACACAUGUAAGCGUUUGGAAUUUUGGAUAGAAAUUCCGGGCGUGAUAAUUGUGGAGGAGGCCCGGUGCCGGUUUGUGAGUGGUUUGGAGUUCACCACCUUCGGAGAGAAGAAAGAACUACCCUAGUGAUCGAGGCUUGGGUAGUCCUCUCCGUGGGCUGGCUCCCGCCUUGCCCACCCCUUGACGAAGAGGGCGUGCGGAGGCUUCGUGGUUGAGUGGUGGAGUUGGGCUCGCCUCAACGGGGAGUAGGAAACCAGCGAGUUUCCGAACCUCGAUGAAAAAUCUCUUGUCUCCUUGUCUCAUUUGAUUGUCGCAUUUACCUUUGUGCAAUUUACUUUUCUAGAGACAAACUUGAGAUCAUAUCACCCUAGGAUUGCUAAACAUUGACAUAGGAGUGUGAUUUACUUUCGUAGAGAUAUAAUUGAGCCUCUAUCACCCUAGAUUUGCAAAACAUAACUUAGUUGCUUAGUUAGAGUUGACCCUCACCAAGCCUAGCAACUUAGGUUAGUUUUGAUUUGGUGUCAUUUAGUUUUAAAUCGCCUAUUCACCCCCCUCUAGUCGACAUCUCGAUCUUACAUACGUGUAUCGGAUGAUUCUUGUGAAGUAUUAGGCGAUACUUAUGAGGUACCAGACGAUUCUUGUGAGGGAUUAGCUCAUACCCAUCCCAGCGCAACGGCAUCGAUCUUGCUCCACCGAUUCCCCAUCACGGCCAUGCAGCUCCAGGACCAGUAGCUGCUCCUGCUCCGUCAUGCUCCAGGACCAGUAGUUCAGCCACAAUAGUCUAUAGCUCUUCCUGGGCCUCUUAAGCCCUGCACUAACUUGAUCUAAUAAGCGAUUGAUGGAUCAAUAUAUCCAUCGGAGAAGAAAGAGAAAUAGAAAGAGAGAAAUCAAAAGCAUACCGACACAGCAAGUGAGUGCGUUAUAGCGGCCCUCCCUUUGGGUGGCAAUGUCGUUAAUGAGGAGCAGGUCCUCGACCGUCCACGGCCCACGCUAGAGGUCGGUGGUGGCGACCACGUCCUCCAUAUUGAGCAGGUCCUCCACCAUCCACGCCCCACGCUGAAGGUCGUUGCCGGCAGCCACGUCCUCCUCGCUGAGCAGGUCGUCCUCCAUGGCCCGCAUUACAGGUCAUCAGUGGUGGGCCGCCUCCUUGCCACUGCUCAGCUCUCGCUCCUCCUCGCGACAUCCUUGGAUAGGCCGGGGAUCCUUACUUUCAAUAAAUUUUAGUUUCCAUAUUUUAAAAUCAAAAUUUUCAGGGUGUUACAGUAAUAUCCUAGUUGCCACUUUCAUGAAGGCGUCACAUCGGAGGUUCCCUAUUAGUGGGGCGUCCUUGUGGCGGUGUUCCUACCAGUUGGGUUCGAUUGCAAUGGUGGUGGCAUGGACUAGACGAAUGAUUGAUUAUAGCUUAGUUACUCUCUGAUGUUAUGUCAUGCUUUGGUUUGAGGUUAGCACUGGUAGUGCCUGGAGCGAAAUUUGAUCGACAAGGAUCAGCCGCUGAUUUCAAAGGUUUUUUCUUUUCUUAUUUGAGGAAGAUAAGGACUACAUUUAACUUGUAAACCGUUGGUAGAAACAAUGACUAUACAUACUCUUGCCAACCAUAGAUGGAAAUAUUUGUCUUUAAAGUGGUAUACUAUGUAGUUUUCUUAUUUUUAAUCGAGCUGUAAUUUUGUAAUUUGCACUCAUUUGUCCUGCAACCUCCGUAAUAACUGGUUGUAGUUUUUCUUUAAGCAAAAGCCGGAAUGAAUUUCAUUAUAAAAAAAAACUACUUCAAGGGUCACUGAUCUUGCCGAUGCAAAAAAAAAAAUGUUCCUAUGAUCAAUCGAUGAGUAAAUAAGUAAAUAAGAACAACAUAAAAACAAUCUGAAUUAGAAAUACGAAAAAACACAUACGAUAAGUUAGGUUCCAAAGAUGGGAAAACAACUAUCUAACUGUUCACAGCUUCAUACAUUAAAUUAGCAAUAAUAAUGAUUUAAAAACCCAAGACACCCUGAAGUAAUACAUAGCUAUUGGAAGAGGUGGGAUGAUAUCCAAGACGUCCCUGCUACCUAGGAACAUCCUCCAUCAGAACAUGGUCUCACUUUGGCCAUGGUCACAGAUGAAGUUGCAAGACCAAACAACCAUUAAGGUCACGUGGCAUCUUGUUUGUUAAAUUGCUGACACCUCGAUCUAAAUAUUAAUACAAAGUCGAAUCCGUUGGAAAGUGGACAACACACCUACCGCACUGUAACCAUACCAUGUCAGUGUUUAUAAACAAUUGGACAAAAUUUUACCUCUGCAUUGCACUGACCAUUACAGAUAAAAGGUUAUCUAUUAACUUUUUUUUUUGAGUAGUGAAUACACCACAGUUAUUCACCAUUUACAAAUUAUUAGGAGCAAACUUUUGUUACCAGGAAAGAUUCAGGAUAAGUAAUUCCAUUGUUUGCAAUAACUCACAUCGACACAAAAUUACAAAAUUAUGUAAAAAAAAGGAGUUACAAUAUCGUCAUUUCAAACCAAUAUAGAUGGCCCAUAGAUUUUCUACAUUAAAUUCACCUCACCUGGAGAGAAACUUCAGUGAUCUCUUUUUGCCUACUCAACUCAGGGUUGCUAGACCAUGCGUAGCUGCUAGUGGUGUUGCUGCUGUACCCACCACCCCUAAGCUGCCACUCAGUGAUGUAGCUUGGCUUGGUGACCACCUUAGCCACAUCGACAUCUCCAGUCAACAUUGUCACGACCUUCGACAUUGGCGGUCGCUGGUGCGGAGAGCCCUGAGUGCAGACAAGUGCAACAUAUAUGACUCUAAAAGCUUCAUCCUUGUCAAAUUCCUUGAGACUUGGGUCAACAAUUCCAAGUGCUUGAUCCAUUUCAUACAGGCCCCAUGCCUUUUGAUAAACAUAGUUUGAGUAAGCAAAAGGCAAUUUACAAUGAAUUGAAGUUUUCUAGUAUGGGAAGAACAUAGACCAGCAUACCCAUUCAAGGAGACAGAUCUUGCUUUCCUCGAGGGAGUUGUCGGUGUUUGGUCUCCCAGCGACAGUCUCCAACAUGACCACUCCGAAUGCAAAAAUAUCAGCCUUUUCUGACAAAUGGCCUCUCAUUGCAUACUCAGGAGCUAGAUAGCCCCUUAAAAAUGAUAAGACAAGUUAAUAGUAGCAUUCAUAUUGAUGUUAUAAUCAUAAGAAGAUAAGUGGUAAAACAUUCUUACAAUGUGCCUGCAAUUCUAGUGCUCACAUGAGUUUGAUUCUCAUCGUAGAGUUUGGCAAGUCCAAAGUCCGAGAUCUUUGGGAUGAGAUUAGUGUCAAGUAGAACAUUACUAGCUUUGAUGUCCCUAUGCACAAUGCGUACACUUGACUCCUCAUGAAGAUAAGUUAGCCCUCUUGCUAUUCCUAAAAUGAUCUCGAAGCGCAUUACCCAGUCUAGGUUUAAGUUACUGUCACCUUUACAAGCAGAAAUAGCUCAGUUAUCAUCAGGAAUGCCAAUUAUAACAAAGAUGCAGAAAAGAAAAAUCCUUAAUUAUUAGUCACGAAGCAAUGAGUUUUAUUUGUGUAGAAAGAAAAUACAAUUCUAUAAGUGCCGAGGGCGGCAAUUUUACAGAAGUGAACUCACCAAAGAUUGCUCGAUCUAAGCUUCCAUUUUCAAGGUACUCAUAAACCAACAAGGGUGUUUUACUAUCAAUGCAGCAUCCAUGCAAUAUCACAAGAUUUCGAUGUUGCACAGCGGAAAUUGUCGCAACCUCUGUCACAAACUGGCUUGUUCCCUGAUGAGAUGAUUGUGAAAGUUGCUUCACAGCUAUAACUCUUUCAUCAGGUAGCUUACCCUGCCAAGGUUUUUACAUGUGUAUUUUGAGCAUAGACAAAUGUUGCUAAAACACAGCACUUCAAUGCCAAAUCAGAUAAAUUUAUAACCAGCUGCAGUUGUACAUAAUUAAUUAUGGAAAUAAAGAACCUUAUACACUGGCCCGAAUCCACCUUCGCCUAGAAUAUUUUGAGAACUGAAAUUGUCUGUGGCUAGCUUUAGCUCAGCAUAACUAAAAACGUCAGGUCGUCCAACCAGGUUGUAUAGUUCUGCAUGUUAUUUUUAGCACAGAUGAGAAGAGUAAACCAGAUAAUUUUGAUGUUUGAAUUAUAUAUGUCCUGAUAUAUAAUACCUUCUUUCUGUUGUGCCAAUGCUCUCCGCUUCUUUACUAGUGUAAACACUCCAAAUAAUGCUGCUAAUACUAAAACUAUUGCACCAAUCAAUAUUCCGGAAAUUGCACCUGCUUUACUUUUCCUUUUUGGUAUGCCGUUUCGAACGGUAGGAGUAAAAUCUGCAAAGGAAAAAUAUUAUUUAUCGGCAGCGAAUAUAACACUUCCUGCUGUUGUUUUAGUGUGGUGCUUACUUGGAGUGACGCUCAAUGCUGAGAUCAUUGGCCCAUAGUAAUUAUCUUUAGUAGGUAUGUCAACAGUGCCCUUGCCAGCCCAGAAUAGAUGGAUCUCAAGGAAGUUUUUAGACACAGUUACCAUGAAACUCCUAUUAACUACGGUAAAAGAUUUUCCACCUGCUGUUUUCCUUAUAUCGAAAUCCUUUUGUUUUAGAGCACCCUAUGUAAAUAUCAGUAAUACUUUUAGAUAAAUAUUGGUAAGAUUCAGUAGAAAAACAUUAUAUAAAAUGCACAAAAUUUCUACCUGGAUAUAUAUGUCAAAAACUCUUCUCCCUAAGCUUAGCCAAGUCUGUGAGUCUGGAAAAGCUAAUUCUGCGAAUUGGAGCAAAACAGUGUAAUUUCCAUUCUCAAGUCCAAGUCCAUAGUACCUCAGAGAUGAUGAUGACAUCCUUGCAGUUUCAAACAACUCUGAAUCAACUACAUUUUGAAAAGGUUGGGAGCUAUAUAUAAUAUUCUUUGCAUCUAUGGCGUUCCCUACACUACUGACACCCCAUCUUGUUUGACCGGUAACAUAAUAUGUUGCAGCUCCAAGAUUUGUAGGAUCUGCUUCAUAAAUAGUGUCAUCUGAGCCUCUUAUGGAUGCAUUACUGCCACAGUCAACUGCGAAGGAAUAAUCUGCAAUUAAGAUUAAAAAAAUUGUAGCCAUCAUUCAAAUUCGUAAGUUCAUGUUACUGUUUAGUUUUAUGAAGAAUGAGAAAUAUACAUUCUGGAGAUCCACGGAAACAAGGGGUGUCUUGUUGGAGGCAGUUUAUUCCCCAAGGUAGCGUACUGUGCACAAUUUGAAUUGAAAAUUUAAAGUUACCAGCAAGAUUUUCAUAUAGUUCACUCGCCAAAUUAGAACUAAAUGUCACAAGUACCUUUCACUGGUGGUAUCGAGUAAGAAGUUGUUUGCCACCAAAUUCCUUUCAAAAAACAGAAUAUUAGUAUUUAUAUUUUUUCUCAGCGACACAAAUAUCACACUUUUACACUUACAACUGUAAAUUGUUUUGUCUAGCCCAAGAAGGAAUGCUCCCAGUGAGUUGGUUGUACGAAAAAUCUCUGUCAACAUUCCAGAAUUAUGUUAUACAAAAUUAGUGCGUACUAUUAUGAAUGUAGUUUGUGCUAUACUGCCAUGUCAAUUGUAUUUGACAUACAUCACUUUUAAUGAAGAGCUUAUACCAUCCGGCAACUUUCCUGUAAGGCUAUUGUUCCCAAGAAACCUGAAUUGGGCACAGUUCAAGAUUAUAAAAUAUACUCAUCUGCUUAAUACAGGCUCGUAUGAACAAAUUGAUGUAAAGAAAGAAUUUCUUACAAAGAAUUGAGAUUUCCCAAAUUCAAGAUGGAUUGAGGAACUUCUCCUGUGAUAUUGUUAAAACUCAAGUCCCUGUGCCACAUGACUAUCAUAUUACUUGAACAUAUGGUACACAACAUGAGGAAAUGAGUAAUAACGUCAUCAGUUGGCACCAUGGCCUGUAAUUGAAAACUUACAGCAAUUUUAACUGUUUAAACAUGGAAAAUUCUACUGCUCCGAGAUCACUAGAUAUCUUGCAGUUCCUCAAUAUUCUGUAACGAGGAAAUACAACCUUGGUAACUUGCAACUAGACAAUACUGUAAGCUUUAUAGCUAAAAGCAUCACAUACAGUGUGCUCAGGGAUGCCAUAUUACUGAUAAAUGCCAACGGAGAGACCCCAUUUAUAAUAUCUCCAAUCCAUCUGCUCAUUUGAGUUUUUCAUAAAUUAGUUAUCAGCCUUGACAUUGUCAACCUUCAAGAGUUCAUGCCACAAAAAGAGUAUACUUACAAUCUUGUUAAUUUGGUCAGAUUAGACAGACUUUCUGGGACUGGUCCUUCAAAGGAGUUUCCGUGGAAAGCACUACAAGCUCAUUAUUUUAGAAAAAAAGUUAGGGACAUUCAACCUUUAUAAAGUAAGAAAAAAAAUCUCUGUGUGAGCAUUCUUAAUAAGAUCUCUAGGUAUGAACAUGCCAUGUGGACCGCUUACUGUGAUGCAGAUAUCUGCAUUUAUAUUGAGUGAGGACUGAAAUGUGAAAAAAUGCUUUUGUUUAAGUCUGAAUGGAGAUAAUGUGAUAUACAGACAGUAAUUUAUCUUGCACAGAUUCAUCUAUCUCUGAACAGUAAGAACGAAUGAUAUCUUAACAAGCUUACAUGUCUUCCAAAUUAGUCAUUGUGCCCAAAUAAGCAGGUAUUUUCCCUUUGAAUACAUUAUCUGAUGCACUCCUGCAAGCAGACCAAAAUAUCAUUUAGCAUGAAAACAUGACGAAUAUAAUAAUUGAGGCUAUGUUUUUGACUAUACAAGAACUUCAGGUUCUGAAGUUUUGAGAACGAUGAAGGGAACGGACCACUGAAUCCAGAACUAUCAAAGUACCUGUUAUUGAAAGUUUGAAAUAUUAUCAUGUUUGACAAUAGAUAUGACCAUUCCAAAUUUAGUUCUUUUACAAGUAGAAAUAAGAAGUUAGAAAUCAAUGGGGUAUCUUACAAUUGCUGAAGUUUGGUCAAGUUACCCAGUUCUUCUGGAAGACUUCCUGUAAAAUUGUCUGAGCUAAUGCCCCUAAAUGAAAAAUGAAAUAUUUCAGGACUGACAAAAAAUUUUUGUCAUCAACUAAUAGCAAAAGGGGCAUAGUUUUCCUGAUGUGCCAUUGGACCCACAAUAUUCAUCAUUACAAUAUGUUCAAGUAUUUGCUGUUCAAUCUUACUUGAUCAUAUGAAGCACCACAUGAGCAGGAGUUACACUGACAUGCCUAUUACAUCCUAUUUAGUAGUAGUUUUGAUCUUUUUUAUCACUCCCUCCGUCCCAUUAUAAGUGCAACCAUAAGUGUUUCUGUAUCAAACGUUUGACCGUUCGUCUUAUUUGAAAAAAUUAUGAUUGUUUUUAAAAAAAUAAGUCAUGCAUAAACUACUAUUCAUAUUUUAUCAUCUAAUAACAAUUAGAAUACUAUUUAUAAAAAUAUUUCAAAUAAAACGGACGGUCAAAUGUUGAGCACUAAAACCCACAACUGCACUUAUUAUGGGACGGGGGAAGUAGAACUUAUGCGAUUGCUAUUUCAUGUAUUAUUAUAUUAGUUCGUGCAGUCCAAAUAUAUACUCCACUCAUUUCAUAUUAUCUGUCAUUCUACUUUUGUUGUAAGUCAAACAUUAUAUUUCUAACCAUCCAUUUUUACAUAUUUAUAUAGUUUAACAUUUAGAUUCAACAUGAGAAAUAAUUUCAUAAUUUAUAGUUCGUACUCCCUCCGUAAAAAAAAAUACAACUUCUAGCUAACAAUUUACACAUAAGCUAUGCUCAGAUUCGUAGUCAUAAGUUCAACUCUCUCUCUAUAUAUAUGUGCGCGCACGCGCGUGAAAACUGCUAGGAAUUGACAGUUAAAGCUGAAAGGAUGAGUGGUUUGUAGCAGAGGGAGCAGUGGAAGAUUAAUCCACAUGUGAGAAAAGAUUUCUUACAAUGAAAGAAGAUUGGUGAGGUUUCCUAGUUCCUUUGGAAGUAGUCCAGAUAGUGGAUUGAAAGAUAAUGACCUUGAGAUGAUUAGCAAUAAUUAAAAAAAAACAACGACCAAUAGAUGGAACAUGAUCUAGAACAAACAUGUAACUCAUACAAGUAUUGCAUUGAAGUAAAUUUUCCGAUGAACGACGGAAUGGGACCAGUCAAGUAAUUACGGAAUAAGUUCCUGAAAAGAUCACAAAAAUAAACUAGAACAAUUAGCCAACACAAAAAUAAUGAUGAAUACCUGACAAGCAUUUGUUGGUGUUCACAGAAAGAACCAUGGGAUUGAAUUUAUAUUUUGUGCAAACCCUUGAUCUAUAAAUUAUUAGUACAAGACUCUUUAGUAGUGCCACACCCUGAUUUUGUUUCAGGAAUUUAUAAAUUAUUUAAUAAAAUACUUCUAGAAUUUAUAUUAAAGUGUACAUUAAUUAAGAAAAUGAAUUAAAGUGGGAAAUAAAGUUUCCUAAAUAAAACAUUGCUGGAUUUAAUUUUUAUUAUAUUCUCCAUGAUUAGUUUACACUCUCUAGAAUUUUUUCGGAUUUUUCAGAGCUCAAUUACUAAUUUUAACAAUACAAACAUCAAUUCAAUGGUUAUUUAAAUAUAAAAUAAAUUAGAAACCCCUCCAAAGUUCUGGGUCGAAUUGAGCCCAUGUCUCUCUCUCCGCGCUCAGCGCAGCUAGCGCUAGGCCGCUAGCCUAAGUCACCAGCCCACCGCCUCCCUCCUCUCACUCCUGCCAACAUGUGGGAUCUGGUCCCACAUGUUAGUGUUGUCCCCAGCAUCCAGCCAGAAUCACACUGUCUGCGUUCCUCUCCAAAUCCAGCCGCCUCUCUAGAUCUUUUCCAAAAUUAGUUGAGGCCGUUUGUUCCCUAUCUCCUCUUUCCUUUCCCCAUGAAAUCCCCAAAAAUAUCUAAGUAAAUCGUGUGGAAUCGAGCUCGAACUCGGACACUCUCUAUCCGGUAGAACCCUAGUUUUUCCCAGCGCUGCCAUAGCCGUCUUAGGCCCGGAUACAUUAUCUCGUGGCUACAAACAGGAUCCCCCUCCCUCUCCUCUUUCCGCUGCCACCCUCGCCUGCACAAAUCGGAGCCUGUAGCCCUAGCUUCGCCGCUAGCCCAUAGCAUCAGCACUGCUGCCACCUUCCAGUCGGAUCACGUCGUUGCUCUACUCGUCGCCGCUCUACUUGUCGCCUUCGCCCACUGUCACCUUCGCCGGGUGCGCAAGGAGGAGGCGCAUUUCAUCUGCCGGUCCUCCAUCACCCUAUACUGCCAGAACACCGCUAUUGACGAUGACCCGAGCUACACCGUCAUUUCCACCUCGUCGCCUUCACCGUCCGUCGUCGCAACGCCUCUCGAUGAGUUCGGCUCGUCACACUCAACCUCUCGGUACCCUCCGUUCAUGCUGCCGUGCCUGAUUCGCCGGCGAUCUUUGGGUUCCGAGCAGGUCGUCGCCGGUGAGGUGACAUCAUCACCACGCCAUUGCUAUUGUGUUAUCACCAAAAGUUGGUAAGGUUCCUUAGUGGAUUUGGUUGAAGGACAAAUUUGAUCAACCAAUGGAAGUCUAUCCAGAAGAUACCGAAUUCAAAAAGGAUUGUGAAGACCAUGGCAUGGCAUAUUAAUUCUAUCUGUUGAUUUAGUAACUUUCCUUUAAUCUUUAGGAAGUUUUAUCUAAUGUCUGAUUAAGACUUGUAUUUUUUCCUUUUAUGUUUAGCAAACCUAUGUCUUGUCUGAUUAGGACUUGCAUCAACCUGAGGAGAUAAAUAUGUACCACAGGGUCUUUGUAAACUUUCUCCACAUAUUAAUACAAUUACUUUCGGCGCAUUGCAACCUUUUGUUCUAGCAAGUUCUUACUUUGAGUUGGGCUGCAUUGGUUUUGAUCUCCAAUGAGGAAGUAAUUUCUAUCAACUUUUCAUGUAUCGCCGUGGCAAGAACUUUCUCGAUUAAGUCAGGUAUUCUUUUUGGGUUGACGCAAGCAUUACAUAUCCGAUAUAUUGAUUCUAUCUUUAACUGCAUUGCCGUUUAGAGUUGCAUCGACUUAGUUAGGACUUUCUUGGUUAGGUCCGAUAUUCUGAUUUAGUUGAUAUUUCUCUAAUUAUACUAUUGUUUUAGAUAGAUUUGUUAUAUCCAUCACGUCUGUGUAGAUUUAUCGGAUAAAUAGGUUUUUUAGGGGCAAUUGCUUAUUUGACCAUGUUUAAAAGCAUAACUACUAAUUUGACCCUACAAUUUUCAGUUUGCUUAUUUGACCCUGUUCAUCAAAAUCAAAUGAACCGUCUGACCCUGUUCCGUUAAGGCGGGUUAACACUGUUAAAUAAGAGGCAAAUAGUCCCUUUUGCCCUUGCUUAUUUGGCCCUCUUGUAUCCAAACAUUCAUACAAAUGGAUCUUUUAACAAAUCAGAAUCAAUUUGACAAAUUUAAUACACAGUAGCUGGAGGUUGAUGCUGGGUGCCGCCGCCGACCACCCUUUGCACGCCACUGCUCCCCGCGACAGCGCCGCUGCGGACAAACCGAUGCCUCCACAAGCGAAUUAAACGGCCCAUCGAAUGAACUCGCGAGGGAAUUCUUAUACUCUUGCAUGCCCCCUUCACUUGUAGAGAAACGUCUAGGCGCAGCAAAUUAAUCAAGUGCUCUGAUAAUCAAUAUCUCAUCAAGGUUAUCCAAGUAGUAGCCAGAUCAAUAUCUCGAUAAUAAUCCGGAACACGUUCACCAUGGUCGUCGGCGCACCCACCGUGGCGUUCUUCUUGAGAGACCUGAGUAGGUCGUCAACGAAACGCUCCAUCCUCCUCCACUUCUGCCGCGGUCGGCCGCUGAUGCGACACGGGAAUUCCGAGAUACCUACACGCAUCGCGUGAUGCCGCGGCCGCUCCGUCGCGCAAUGGCGUUUGCGCCGACCUCCCUAUCCGUGCGGCAGCCGCCGCUUCCCCAUGCGCUGCCGACGCUGCUGCUCCCUACCUCCACGCAUCGGCGGUGCUGCUAGCCACUCCCUCGACGCACCGCCGCCACCGCAGAUCCAUUUCUCCAUGUGCCGCUUGUAAGAGAUGAGAGAGACAAGGUGGGAUGGAUAGGGUUGAAGUGCCUUGAUGGUAUUUUGGUCAGUUUAAAUAGUAAAUAGAUUUUUUUUCUUUUUCUAGAAGAAACCCUAAUGAUGUAGUGGAAAGAGGGUCAGACGGAGUGUUCAAUUUAAAAAAGUCAAAUAAGCAAACUAAGAAAAACAUAGUCAGAUUAGAAGUUAGGCUUCAAAACAGGGUCAAAUAAGCAAUUAUCCCAUUUUUUAUCAUCUUCAAUCUUAUACUGUCUCGUUUAGGUUUGAUUUAUUAGAUUGUUGCUAAUAUGUAAUUAUAUUCUACUAAGCCGAUAAGUUUUUAUGCAACAUUUUAUUAGAGUUCUAGCCAAUUAGUUAUCUUGUUACUACUUCUAAGUGUUGUAUCGUCUUAUACUCAAACUUGUAUAAUCAAUAGUUAAAUAUCUCUUUAUCAACUUCAAUAUCAUACCGUCUCGAUUAAUUAGGUCUGAUCUAUCAAGAUUAUCUUUGAUUAGGAAUGGUUUAUUGACGAUUGAUGAAAACCUUAUAUACAUCGGCUAGCCUUGCUACAUCACAUCAGCCUAUUGGCUGAUCGGCUCUUUGAUCUUAUACAAUCCAUCUAUCUAUCUUCUUAAUUGUACGAUCAAACUAACCGCCACGCCCUACACCCGAUUGAUACGACGAGCUAUGUGGAUCUCUCAGGCCUUCGUGUGCGACAAAUUUCACGUCAACAUGUUGCCACGUGGUUCCAUCUAAACCCUAGAUUGAAUCGGUUUGAGCCGUCAGAUCUUGGUUAACUCUUGGUUAACUCUUGGUCAAGAUCAAUCUCGGUUGUCCAUCUCAGUGAACAUGUGGUCAAUCUCUGUGGACCUACUCUACGGUGGACUGAUUGCUGAUGACAUCAUAAUUUAUCUUUUUCUUCUUUAAAAUAAUUAUAAAUUAUGUAAUAAAUCUAUUUAAUCCUUUUAAAUAGGCUUUAGUUGAAUUAAAUCUUGUAAAAUUCAUUACUAAUUCAUAUGAAGUCGAAAUGAGGCAGUUCAUAAUUCAUCUAAAAUAAAGCUCUAAAUGUUUGUUUACUUUUUAUGUAUUGUUUAUUUGGUUUUUAUUAGUCUUUUUUCUCGUUUUGCAUGUUAGCUUGUAGUUUCCAUCCUUUUUAUAUAUUGUUUAAUUGAUUAUUGUAAGGCAUGUCACACAUGUCCCAAACAAUCCCUUUGAGCAUGUUGAUAAAAUAUUUAAAUUCUUCUUUUAUUUUAAAUGUGCAUUUAAUUUCGAAUGUCAUUAGGUGGUGGGAACCUUUCCUUUGAAUAGCUAGUUUGUAUUGAUAAUCCUGUUCCUUGAUAUCUUGGGAUAUAAUUUGACUAGCUUGAGCCAUAUAUAUUGGUUCGACUAGAUAUUAGUGUAAUUGCUUAGCCAUGCUAAGAAACAUUAGUAUCAUUUUACAUGCAAUAACUAAUGAUUCACUCAUGAUUAAUGAUGGUUAAUUAAUGGUAUGUUGUGAUGUUUGGUCAUGGUUGAUUAAUAAUAUGCUAACUAAAACUUGACUAAUGGUAGGUUUUGAGCACAUGGAUGUGAUGAUCAUGCUCAUCACAAUUAAGGACCGGUUUUGUAUAGCAUGAUUCAUCAUGGAGCACCACACUAAGAAGUGGUAGAGAUAGGCCCAUGUGGGUCACUGCGGAGUCUAUUCCGGGCUAUGGAAAGACGAUGAUCCGGGAACGGUGAACUACUUUGAGUUGAGCUAUGCGAAGAGUCACAAUUUUGCACGUGGUGACAUAUUAAGCGUGGGCACACGAUAACAUGGUGACAUGUUGUGGAAUUGUCUUGUGGGUAUAUUGGUACACAUCUGACUAGAGUAAAACUUUUCAAAUAGCCAUACAUGCGGUUAUUGGCAAGCCUAGCAAUGUUUUUUUGGUGAUUAGUCACACACUACUCAUUAAUCAUAAAUAAAUUGGUCAUAACAAUUUGUUUGCAUUUUGUAUGGACUUUAGAUCUGUGUAGUCGGGUUUGGUUGUUUAGAGAUGGUUGGGCCUACGCAGCAUAGGUAUGCUAUUCAGAGUUGAUUUUAAAUUGAUUAAUUACUCUCAACUAUUUACUGAAUGUUGCUUUUGCAAAUGAACCCUACUAUACCUUCCUUUGUAUCCCCAUGCACCUGCAUUUUUUCUAUGUGGCUUACGGAGUAUUCUAUUUACUCACCUUGCAAUAAUCAUCAAAUCUCAGUUGAAGAAAGUUUUCGAAGGAGAAGACAUGUGGCUUAUACCUCAGUUGAACUGUCUGUGAGAGUGGAGCUGAAGCUAAUGUUAGAUUGUUUGUUACCUGUUGUUUUCUUUUCAUUUAUAAGUAAUAUCUAACGUAAUUAUAAUAUUGGAUCUGUAUAUUCAAUUGUCAAUUUUAGUAUCUCAGCUAAUUAGUAGAUGAGUGUAUUAUAUGCACAACUUAGUUCGGAAAUUACUAGUGAAUUUCCGAAUGUGACAGGUAGCAAGAUAAAUUAAGAAGAGAAGUCUUCGAUACCGUACAGGUCCACUAGAUGGGUGAGAUUCUGUAGCUCCGCAGGUAUUUGACCAACUACAUCCAAAUAAGUUACCCUCCUACAUAACAAACAAGUAAUAAUUCUGAUAAGAGAACUAUGUUCAGGAUACAUAUAUACAGCCGGAGGACCAAAUGAAUACCUCCGUUUGGGUCCAGCAGAUAUGUACAAUUUUUCUUUAGGGAAGAUCUGUACCAAAUUUAGGAUAGACUUUUCUGAUUCCUCUAUAUGCAGCCUUGGAGAUACUAAUUAAUAUCAAUAAUCUGGUGUGUGUCUAUAUAUAUAUACACAUAUAUAUGUAUGUAUGUGUGUGUGUGUCUAUAUAUAUAUAUAUAUAUAUAUAUAUAUAUAUAUAUAUAUAUAUAUAUAUAUAUAUAUAUAUAUAUAUAUAUAUAUAUAUAUAUAUAUAUAUAUAUAUAUAUAUAUAUAUAUAUCUUAAUUUGCAUACUUGCAUAUACGUGUAUAUGGGCUAGCACACACGAUGAAACCACGAUAAAGAUAAAGAGAGUGUGCGUACAGUCUCGUAAUGUGGCAGAGGGUGUUGUUGUUGAAUGUGCAAUCGCACUUGAUGAACGGGUUGAUGUCGCGGUAGUUAUCCCAAUCGGUUUUAUCAGCUGCGAAACCGCUGCAGAGCUCACCGCUGAUGUUCCACUCCGGUGAUGCCUUCUUGCCCCAUCUCCCUAGUAUCGUGUUCAGAGCAGCCGCUGCAUGGUUAAUUUAUUAACUCACCAUUAGUAAUCAUGCGGAUGAAAGCUACGCAAUAGUGAAAUCAGACUUCAUGAAACUCACGGGUUGCUGCGUAAGUUUUAUACAGUAAUAAUAGAAAUAACAUAUAAUCAGUAGGCAUAACAUUAUAUAAUUUCAUCUUUAUCGACUGCAGAAAAAAAACUAUAUACAAUUAGGAUGUUAUUUAUAAUAAUUUAAACUAGAUUGGCCAUUUAAAAUCACAACAAUAGUGAUGUGGCUAAGUACAUCAUCUUAAAUAUAAAACAAAGGUGAUACGGCUUAAUAACAAAAGAAAACGUGAGAGAUAAUUUGAACAAUAUACCUAUCUCAACUAUCAUAGGGAUAAAGAAACAAUUUAGAUGAUGUGGCUUAAUAAGAAAAGAUAUAAAUAGCAUUAAUAACCACUGUAGAAAUGAACUUUAUAUAAAUAUAUAGGAUUUCUCUAACUCUUUGGUUUCAACGCGGCAAGAGCGGACACACUAUCAAAGUUAUUAUCAACCACAAAUUAGUACUCCUGCGAUCAAAGUACAUGGAGGGAAACCAAACAAGAGAGACAUGCAUGCGUGGAAGCCUGCCAAUGGUUUGAAAUCCAAUCCACAACCAGCCCAAACCAAAGCAGUAAGCUACACAAGUCCAAACCACUCUAAUUCAUUUGUCUUCUCUUAGAAUCCAAACCAAUCCAACCCAUAUCAUAUUUCAACCCAAAUCAACCCAACCCAUUUCAUCUAUAUGGAUUCAGUUCACUUUUCCAGUCCAUUUCACCCCAUUCCAAAUCGACACCAACCACAUGUCGGCGACGAGGUGGGCGAGGAGCAUCGGCGGCGAGCCGAGGAAGUCGCAGCGCGACUCCGAGCAGGAGCAGGGCGCGUGCGGGCAGGCGCGCUGGUGGCCGGCGACGUCGUAAUAGGCGACGUAGCUCCAGCAGCCGAACAGGUCGUUGGGGCACAGGAUCUUGGCGGCGCCGCCGCACGCGUGGCACUGCUUGCCGGGACGUCGCCAUGGCAGCUGCUGCACGCCAAGUGCCCCGCCGCGGACUGCACGCCAAGAAAUUGCCACUAGCCGAGCCCUCACGAAUCGAAUGAAAGAACAACAACAAGAAGAAGAAUGUCAGAUGGAUUGGAUGAACAGCUAGGAAGGAGGCAGAUAGGGCAACGGAGCACGGCCAAGUCGAUCCGCUUUUCUUCUUCUUCUCCGGCUCCGGCUGCAGCUCCCUCGCCGCGCGCCGCUUCCACCGCCUUUUCUCGCUUCACUUGGCCGUUGGGCGACACCACCCACGCCGCCUUCUUGGCGCCGCUCUGCUCGUCGUGCUGCCUGUACGCCGCACUGUUCGCGCUCAACUUGGCCACGUGGUUCGGCGACGGCGUGGACGGCGAGCUCGUCGGCGCCAUGCGCGCCGUGCAGCAGGAGUUCCCUCCGCUUCCUCCCCCGCGCCCGCGUCUUCUCCACCUUCCAGAAGGCGGCGGGCGGCGGCGGCGGAAGCUCUCCGACGGCGAACCUAGUGCGGCGGCCGGACAUCCAAACGCGGCUGCGCGGCGAGGUCGAGGCGGCCGAGGGCGGUGGUGAUGGAGUGCCUCUGUGUCUGAGACGACAUCAUCUGCUAUUUGGGGAUGAAUCCAAUUGAAAUCCAUGGACUCCAUCCAUUUUAGACCCAAAAAUUAUGACUAAAAACCAAUCCAAUCCAACCCAACCAUCCCUCAUCCAAGCUGCUCCAAUCCAUUAGUUAUCUCAACCCGUUUACACCCAUACCAAGUGAAUCCAAAUUGAAAACCAAUCCAUUAGACCCAUUCCAAUCCAACCCAUUGGCAGGCUACAUAUACGUACGCGUGCAUUCUUAAUUACCUUCGACUGGAUCAGUUUUUGGUGCUUGUUGAUCCUGAGCAGCUGCAACCCGCCAUGAGCACAAAAUUAGCACCAGCCACGCCAGAUGGUGGCGAAUGACACCUCUGAUGCUGCAAGAACGCAUAUCUCUCCCUCUCUCUCUCUCUAUCUAAACAACACUGUGUGCAUGCCAAAGAGAUGUAUAUCUGUAGGUAUAUAUGUACGUGCCACUAAACAUUAAAAAAUUUGGUCAAAUGUGUACUCAGCUUCAACAACGACCCUCGUGCUUUGGUUAAUCUUAUCCGUCAUGGUUGAUAACGAUAUGGAUUACUCUAUCCGUCCCAAAAAACUCAACUUAUAGAGUUUAAAUUUAUCCAAAAAAAAAAUCAACUUCUACCACUUUACCUACCUCCUCUAGCAUAUAAAAUGAGAAGUUUUAUCUCUUAAAUAUCAUUUACCUACUUAUCACCAUUACUACCUUUACUACUAUUGAUGAGGGUUAUUUUUGUCAUUUUUACUCCUCACUAAAUUUGUUUUGGGAUGCUAGGAAUCUCACUAAAUUUAUUUUGGGAUGCUAGGAAUCCUCUUUUAGCAAGCAAGUGUUUUGGUCAAAUUAAAGAUGACAUUAACAAGAGCAUGAGGAUGACCAACUAGUGUAUGCCCGGUGAGUUCUUAAUUAAAGAUUAGUUAUUUUUCAUAUAUAUCUAAAUUCAAGAAAACAGCUUGAAAAAUUCUUUUUAGUUUUUGCACUUUGCGUCCUUUUAUUCAGUUUUACUUCGUUAAAGUUUUGUCCCAUAUGAGUACUUGUUUAAUGCUAUCUUAGGUUACGUUCAGCGACAAUACACAGAGAGAAAAAUUACCUUCUCUUUCAAAAGCAUACGCUUACCGAAAUACUAGACAAUAUUUUUUUACAAAAGAAAUUACAAAAAGUUGUAUUUUUAAUUUUUAAGUUUAAAAUAAUUAAUAUUAAUUAUCUUAUUUUGUGAGUAUGUUUUAAUUUUUUUUUCUUUCGUCAACUCUCAAUCAUAAUGUUAAAAAAAACUCUCAACUAGUAUGUUUUAAAGUUUUAUGGUGUUAGUCGUGUCAAAAACAUUGACUUGUCCACCCGCCGUUGUUUUGACUGCCUGCCGCGGGAAGGGAAAAACUUGCCGUGGAAAUCUGAUGCUGCCACGGCAUCCUUUGCGUCAGGACGGCGUUCCCCGUUCUUCAAUUUUUUGUCGAUCAGCUCUGUUGAAUCGUAUGAUUCAUAUGCUAGCUGUGUCUAUAGGAUUUGGUGCUUGCAGAAUGUAUUCUUUUCACCAAAGUGCAUAUACACACACCUAGUUGCAUACAUGCAAUCUAGAUAGCUAUAUAAAAUUUUUAAAAUUUUCACAAAACGAGUCCUCCUGGUAGAUAUGUGAGCGUUUGCACGAUUGUGUUGUGUGUGCGUUAGACUUGUACUGACAAAAAAAAAGAAAUAUUAAAUUGAUAAGAUAGAUCAUGAAGAUGUAAAUUACUAAACAAAUAGAUCUAAACUUAGUCUAUACUCACUACUGCAGAAAAACCCAUAGAGGUGCACCCUUUUUUAUUUUUAUAGGUGCUAAAAAAACAUGAAAAAAUAUUUGGUAUUUUUAUUACUUCCCUAUAACGUCACACUUCGCUUCCCACAUAUCACAUGAUUUUUGCAACCCAUAUUCAUAGACAUGCUUCUAAAGAUUCUUACCAUGCUAUUGUUUUGUGAUUAUUGUUAUCCAAAUUUAUAAUGCUCAACUGAAAAUUUUAGCGACUACAAAAUUGUAGACGUCAUCUAUACCUACAACGUUCAUAUAUGUUUUGUCUCCAUCCGAGAUCAUUUAGAAAUUUUAAAUAUUCACUUAUGUAAAUAGAUCUGAAACAUUAUAACACAUUUUCGGACAUCAGAAAAACAUUAAAUAAAAAAUUCAUCACCUACAAAGUUAUAUGUCUCGUCAACUACAAAUUUGAUAUAAAGUUUAUCUUCAUCCAACUUUAUAUGAAAAUGUUAGAUAGAAAAUAUUGUGUCAUUAUUGGUGCCGAUUUUAGUUGUAAACCAACAUCUAUGAGCUCAUAAGUACUAGUUUUUAUUAAGAAUCAACACAUAUAUGAUGCCUAUAAGUAUAGUUUUUAUUAAGAACCAACACAUAUAUGAUGCCUAUAAGUAACGGUUCAUGAUAAAAACCAGUACAUAUGCUUAUAGAGGUGCCAUUUUAUUAUAAGAAUCAUCGACACCUAUGUGUUGUUUAUAGGUAUGUACCAGUUUGUUAUAGCCUGAUAGAAACCGACACCUAUGAUUUGAUAGAUUAUUGGUGCUGACUUUUGUUACAAACCAAUACCAAUAAGUGAUUAUAAGUACCGGUUCUUAAUUUUAUACUGGAAAAAGGUGGAGAAAGCUUCAUAGGCGCCAGUUUUAGGCAAACCGUCAUAUGUAAGUCCAGUCUUUAUGUGCUGUUUUAUAAUAGUGGCUGGAUAAAUAUAAAUAGCUAGCAAACUGUAUUGAUGUGCACUUAUUCAUAGUUGUAGCAUUUUAUUAUUUUAGAAUGUUCAGGCAUAUGGCUGUGUUCGUUGGGUAGGUUGGGAACUCAUUCCCUCCACACGGAAAACGGAGCGGUCCACUAGCGUGUGAUUAAUUAAGUAUUAGCUAUUUUUUUAAAAUAAAUAGAUCAAUAUGAUUUUUUAAACAACAUUCAUAUAGAAGCUUUUUUCAAAAAAAACACACCGUUUAGCAGUUUGAAAAAUGUGCACGUGGAACACAAGGAAGAGGGGUUAGGAACCCUGAGGAAAUAACACAGCCUAUAGAAUACAUGAGAAAGUCCAGAGCAAGUAACCAGCUAAACUAUUAAAAACAAUUAACUUUACUCCCUAAUGGCAUUUGUAUGUUUUUUUCUCCUUAGGCACUAAAAUUUAGGACUAUCAUAUAUGUAUUACAACUUAUAUCUUAAUAUUCUCAAUAUUUUUUUAGAUUUUUUUAUAGUUAUUUACAUAGGUUAGAAGCAUUUAAGACUGAAUCAAAUAUCAAGAUCUCAAAGUUAAGCAAACACUUCUGAAAAUAUUGAAAAUAUUUUCGAACUUUGAUAAUGGUGUAUCUAUGGCUAUAAAAAGUGCAACUUAAAAUAUAGAGCUUAUAUAAAGAAGAAAAAAAAGGUGAAAUGUCACCCGAGUACCAUUUUCAAUAUGCUUUAUGGAGUCAAAUGAGUAAAGAAAAGGUUUAGGGGUUGAUCUAAUGAAAUAGUUUGAGAGAUUAAAAAUUUAGUCUUGAAUGUUUCUAUAUAUAAUUAAUCUAAACUUAUUAUUAUACCACAAUCAGUAUUACUAUUUUGCAAACUUUACGCAACUUAUUUGUUAGGUGCACGCCUGGGUGGAGCACCUAUGCUGUGAUGUCACGCCCAUAAAUUCACAAGUAAUUUCCAAACUAAUUUGUGCAUUAAAACCCUCGUCCAGGAAUCAGCCGAGGUACACAAACUGACAAUUUAAUAUACAAAUUCAUCAAAAUAACUAAAACGAUAAAUACUUACAUAAGAGGCACUUAGUCCUCACCAUGAAGAAAACUGCAGCGGAAAGUAAAAUCUAGCGAAGCUUCAGCUCCACUCCCACAGGCAGCUCAACUGGGAUCUAAGCCAAAGGUCUUCUCAUUCUGGAUCCUUUUCUUCAACUGAGGUUUGAUGAUUAUUGCAAGAAUGAGCAUAUGACAUACUCAACAAGCCACACAGCAAAUAUGCAAGUGCACAAGGAUACCAAAGGAUGGCAUAAUAUAGGGUUCAUUUACGAAAGCAGCAUUUAGCAAAGAGUUGAGAAUUUGUAAAACAGUAGAGUAAUUAAUCAUCAAUAUUAAUCAACACUGAAUAGCACACCCAUACUGCUCAGGCCCAACCAAACCUGAACAACCAACCCCGGUCGUACAGAUCAAACCUCCAAACCAGGAAUUAUCCAUUCCAAACCAUAAGUCAAAUUAAUUAUCACAUUAUUAUCAUUAAUGAGUAGUGUGGGACUAAUCACGAAAAACAUUGUUAGACCCGCCCAUAACCACGGGCACGGCUAUUCGAAUAGUUUUACUCUGGCCAGAGAUGUACCACUGUACCCACAAGACACGAUUCCACACAUGCUGCCAUGCCCCGAAGUACCACCACGGCACUGCUAAGGGGGAAAUCGUGACAGUACCCUUCACACAACACAACUCACCACAGUGUACUAUUUCUGGAUCAUAAUCACCCCCUCAAUAACCAGAGGCAUGGACUCCCCAGCGACCCCCCACGGACUUCUCGCCGCUUCACAGUCUGGCACACCAUAAUGAAUCAUGCUAUACAAAAGAUAAAGUCGUUGCCCACGCUGGCUUGUGGUUGGCAUGAUUAAUGUCUCACAACAGUAGCUCGCGAACCGGUCCUUAAUUGUCAUGAGCACGACCUUCAAAACCAUGUGCUCACAACCCACCAUUAAUCAUAUUUUAAUUAUCAAUUAAUUAUCAUAACACGUUUGACCAUCGUGAGCUACCAUUAACUAUAACCAUAAAUAAUAAUGUAGUAUAUAUGAUUCAUCCCAUUAAUGAGCUAAUGUUUCUAAGCAUGGCUAAGCAAUUAUAUAUAUAUAUAGCAUUUAGCUGAACCAAACCAAUAUAUAAGGUUCAAGCUAAUCAAUUUAUUAUCCAUAGGAAAUUAAAGUCAUCUUUGGCCAUAAUCAAAUGGGAAGGCUCGCCACCCAAUGACAUUCUAAAGUAAUGCAUAAGUUGAAAUAAAACAAUAGCUUUAAAUGGGUUCAACAUGCUCAAAGGAUUGUUUGGGAUCUGUGUGACUUGCCUUGCAAACAAGCGUCUUCAAUUCGUCUUCAGGAAUUUCUCCAACGAACGAACGAUCCUCCGAAACAACGGAAAACUAAACCUAGAACGCAAAACAAGGAAAGAAACUAAUAAAAACCAAAUAAACAGUACAAUUAAAGUUCAUAAAUAGGUAGAGCUUGAAUUUAGAUGAAUUAUGAGACUUGAACGACCUCAUUCCGAGUUCGUAUGAAUUAGAUAUGAAUUUUACAAGAUUUAAUUCCAAUUAAACCUAUUAAAGAAAAGACUAUUCCAAAUUGAUUAAACAAUUUACAAAUGACUUAUAGCUGAGACAAAAGAUUAAAACAUCCUCCGGAAAUAGAUUAGAUCAUAUUUGGUAGAUGACAUAUAUUAAAAAGGAAUAAUAUGCCAUUGAAAAGAAAGAACGGAUUUAUAUCGAUUUUGGACGGCUGAGAUUAAUCUCGACCGAGUCGACCAAGAUCGGAUGGCUUGGAUUGACACACGGCAGCGGCACAACAGCGGUUGCGGUGGCACACAUACAGCAGCAGCGCGACGGCGACGUACAGCGGCUAAACAGCGACACGGCGGCAACAAGGCAGCUAGCGCAGCGGCGACGCUAGGGCAGCAGCUAGUGACACAGCAACGGCUACGCUAGGGUUAGAGCAACAGCGGCGGUGACACGACCGAGGGAUUGAAACCUAACCCGAGGGGACACGGAUAGAAGUCUCACCGAACCAAAGCGACCGGAGAGGGAGGGUCGACGAUGACGAUCCGGCGACACACACGGAAACGAUGACGACGCUAGGGCCAAACAACAGAUUAGAUUAGAUUAGAUUAGAUUAAAUCCCUAGGGAUAAACUACACCGGUAAAUGACAUGGGAGAGAGGAGAGCUCACCGGAGAAGACGACGGCGACGACCAAGACGACGACGGCGACGACCAAGAUGACGACGGCGACGGGUGACGGCUAGCGGCAGCGGCGAGCUAGGGCAGCGGCGGCUAGGGUAUUGGAGAAGGCGGCUAAACAGGAGGAGGAGGAGGCUAGGGGCGGCUGAAAAAAAACAGGAAAAAGAUGGGGAGGGGUUGGUUUAAAUAGGGGAAGAUUGAAUAGGAUUAGGUGGGGCCAAAGGAGGCACGGCAGAGGGGGAGAGGGAGGGACUCGGAGGGGAGAGGGCAGGGGAGGCGUGCGCGGCUGGGAGAGAGGAGAGGCGCACGGCUGGGAGGAGGCCGAGAGGGGGAGGGGAAAAAGAUACGGGAGGAGGGGUUGCCUAGAAAGGAAAGGAGGGGGAAACAGAUGCGGUGCCGUUUUGGGAAAAGAAGAGGAAACGGAACCAGAAAGAGAAUAGGACUCGGCUCGUCAUACAAAAUGAAACCGCGGUGGCAAAAGAGGUCGGUGGAUACAACGAACCGCAGACAGGGAGAGUGAACCGGGAAUGAUUCACAACCAAAGGAGGAAAAAGAAAGAAUUAUUAAUUACUUUUCUAAUUAAAUUAAUCACUGAAUGAUCUUUCAUUUAUUAAAAAUACUUCCUAUCCUGAAAUAAUUCUGGGAAAAAUCCAGAAAAUACUUGGACAUUAAAAAUAUUUAAUACAAUUUUAUCUAUAUCAACUUAAUGUUCAAAAUUUUCAUAGAUUUUAUUCACACACUUACUUUAAUUAUUAAGUAAUUUCUAAAAAUUCCUUUUUCACAACGAUUUAUAAUUUAGCGAUUUUCAGGGUGUGACAUGUGAUAUCUCGCAGCACCUAUCAUAAACAGUUGAGCAAAUCGGUCGAUCUGCAUUAUCCUUUAGUUUGUGCCACAGCCAACAGGGAAAGCGGUGGUAAACCAUUUGCAUGACAAGUGGAACUGUGGACCAGUCUAUUUUUUUCUUACCCAAAAUUUUUACUUCAAAAAUAAAAAGUUUGACCCAAGCCCGUACACUUGUGAAAAAUGGACAUGUGAAGUGACAGAUCGCUUCGCUUAUCCUAACACUACUGGAGAAACCCUCAAACCGGGAGAGAAUCCGAGACUAAAUAUGUGUGUGUAUGUAUGUACGUACAUACGUACGUACGUAUGCAUGCAUGUAUGUGUGUGUUUAAAUACAUAUUAUAUGGAUGUAUCUACACAGCUAGUGGUAGCUGGUUUGUCUAAAACAGCUACCACUCUAUCUAUAAUAGGGACCAUCCACCUAUACUUCAAAUACAAUUUUCUCUUAAACUACUCAUCCGAUUUUCGAUCCGAUUACACCGUUGUGUUCACAACAAUUAAAUCUUUACAACAAGAUCUCACAUGAUUAUAUUUUGAUGAAAAAUCACAAAUUACUUUUAUGAUAUGUCUAAAUUACUUUUAGAUUUCACUAAGUUACUUCUUAAAUAUAAAAAAGUAAUUUACAUAUAUUAUAGAAGUAACUUAGAACAAAACGAAGGUAACUUUAGCAUGUCAUUUGAAGUAAAUCCGUUUUAGAGAUAAAAACAUGACUCUAUCUAGAAAUUAAAUUAAUCAGCACAAAUUAUGGAAUUAACUAAAAAAAUAAUAAAAGUAAUCACCUCAGAGCAUUAUGAAUGUAUAGGAAGUAUUUUAAUAAAAUCUGAAAGUAAAUUAUAUAUAUAUAUAUAUAUAUAUAUAUAUAUAUUGAAUCUAUUCUACACCCUCUCCCAUGGGUCAAACCCACCACCCCACCCUCCCUUGGGCCCAAAACCCCUCUCCCACCUCGGUCAAAGCGUCCUCCCGCCGGUCAAACCCGCUCACCACUCCUUCCCCCACCCACCACUUUGCUGCUCUCGUCUUGCAGGAAUUGUGCAAUAACAGAACGGUCAUCGUGCAGUAACAAGACAAUAUUAUCGCAGUAACAACGUCAAAAAGUAGUCAUGAUGGAUCUAGUUUCGUUAAGCGUUUUUUUAUGAACUUCAUGUUGCAAACGGAUUGGAAAUACAAGAUAUGAUGUGAGAGAUAUUGCUCUCUAAUGAUUGAGAUUUAUCUCUUUUUUAGUCCUUGUCUCACAGGAACAGCGUAGUAACACGAUGGGCAAUAUGCAGUAACAUGUCUGCUUUUCGUAGUAACAACGUUAAAAAAUAGUUAUGAUGGUUCUAGUUUCGUUAAGCACUUUUUUUUUACGAACGCCAUGAUGCAAAUGGGUUAGAAAAAUAAGACAUGACAUGCACGUUAUUACUCUCUAAAGAUUGAGAUUUAAAAUACUCUAGAUCUAAAAAACAUUACUAUAGGGCCACUGUUACUAUGCAUGUUCUCUUUUACUGUAAAUUUCGUCAUAUUGUUAUUGCAAAAAGUGCAGUAACAACCUAUAAAGUUUGCAGUAACAACCUAUACAUUUUUGCAGUAACAUCAUACCCUUCUGAGAUAAUGUUACUACCGAAUCAUAGUAACAAGGUAUGAUUGUCACAGGUACAUAAUUGAUUUGUUCACAAAUCAUCAUAUGGUUAUUUGGUUAGAAGUGCUCGCCAUGAACCAUGAGAUCAUAGGUUCAAGUCUUGAAUCCACUAAUUUAUUUUUAUUUUUUCUAAAAAAGACAGAAGAAGGAGGGAGAGAAGAAAAAAAGAAGAAAAGGAGAGAUUGGGGGGGGGUGGGGGGGAUGAGAGAUCGAGACUUCGGGAGGAGGGGGAGGAGCGACAGGAGGGAGAGAGGAAGGGGCGCGACGGGAGGGAGAGAGGAAGGGGCGCGGGAGGGAGGGAGGGAGGUGGGGACGGAUGGAAGGUGGGAGGGGGGUGUAGAAUAGUUAUUCUAAGGGAGGGGUGUAUAAUAGAGCUACUCGUAUAUGUAUGUAUGUAUGUACAUAUAUGUAUACAUAUAUAUACAUACAUGUAUACAUAUAUACAUACAUACAUAUAUACAUACACACACACACACACACACACACACACACACACACAUAUAUAUAUAUAUAUAUAUAUAUAUAUAUAUAUAUAUAUAUAUAUAGAGAGAGAGAGAGAGAGAAAAACUAUUCUACACCUGGGUAUAGAUUAGCUAUUCUAUACCCCCUCCUCUCCCAAGGGCCAAACCCACCUCCCACCUCAGUCAAAGGUCGGUUAAAAGCAUCCCACGUUAGUCAAACCACGGUCAAACCACCUGCUAACUCCUCCCACCACCCACCUCUUCUCAGCUUUGUCUCGCGGAACGAUGCAGUAACGCGACGGUCAACGUGCAGUAACACUACGUCUUAUGCAUAGUAACAGCGCUCAAAUAUUGUUAAAAUAUAGUCAUGAUGGAUCUAGUUUUGAUAAGCGUUUUUUUCUAGCAUCAUGGUGCAAACGAUUUUAAAAAAUAGUACAUCAUGUGAGAGAUAAUGUUCUUCAAAUGUUGGCUUUUCUAGAAUUUGACUCUCCACAAGUAGUAAUGCUAUAACAUUACUUGUUACUAUUGUCAGUUGCACGUUACUACAAUCCCAUCGCAUCGUUACUUUAAGAGUGCAGUAAAAAUUAUAAGUUUUUGCAGUAACUGUGUUUUACUACAUUUUUUCGAUAGUGUUACUGCAUAAACAUAUGGUAACGUGUACCUGCCUUUGUAGUAACAUUCCACUUUUGUGUAGUAACAAAUAUAUUUAGCAUGUGAGACAUUAACCCAUAUAUCCUUCACAUGCAGUAACACUAUAGCAUCCCUGUGAAAACGGUUUUAAAAAUAAUACAUAUCUUGUGAGAUAUUGCUUUUUAAAUAUUGGUAUUUUGAACUUUAACACUCCAUAUGCAGUAAUAGAAUAUGUAAUUUGCAGUAACAUGGGUAUAUACAUGCAGUAACAUGGUUUUACCAAAUGUAUAAAAUUGUUCAAAACACUUGUACAUCAAUCAGACCUCACUCAAAGCCACCUACAAACUUUACCUAUAGCCCACCUAUUCGAUCUUCAUCUCGUAAAACUGACGUAGUAAAAUUACGAUUAUCGUGCAGUAACAUAACUACUUGGAAGUGGUAACAUGCACCUAUUAUGUAGUAACACUUCUACUUUUGUGCAGUAACAAAUAUAUGGCUAGCAUGUGAGGCUUUAACCCAUAUAUUUUUGUUUUGAUUCCUGGUCUACUACAAUUUUACUACGACGUUACUACCAAAAGUGCAGUAACGUCCUAUGUGUUCUACAGUAACGUCACGUGUUACUAUACUUUUACAACAAUGUUACUACUGGAGCAUAGUAACAUGUUAUGAGUUUCGGUAGUGAAAGAUAUUAGAAUUAAUAAUCAUAUUACUUUCUCAUAAAAUUCUUAAAACAAAUAGCAUCAUUAGAUGAAUUGGUUAGAAGAAUGUGCUUUGAACUACGAGGUCAUGGGUUCAAGUCUUGAAUUUAGCAAUUUAUUUUUAAUUUUUCUAGAAAAGAGAAAAAAUAUUUCAGGGAGAAAAAAACGGAAAAGAAAAAGAAAGAGAGAGAGAUGGGAGGAGGGAGGGGGAGCGACGGGAGGGGGAGGGGAAGCGAAAAACAGGAAAAGAAAGAGAGAGAGAUGGGAGGAGGGAGGGGAAGCGAAAAACAGAAAAAAUUUUCUAGAAAAGAGAAAAAAUAUUUCAGGGAGAAAAAAAACGGAAAAGAAAAAGAAAGAGAGAGAGAUGGGAGGAGGGUGGGGGAAGGGAAGCGAAAAACAGGAAAAGAAAAAGAAAGAGAGAGAGAUGGGAGGAGGGAGGGGGAGGGGAAGCGAAAAACAGGAAAAGAAAAAGAAAGAGAGAGAGAUGGGAGGAGGGAGGGGAAGCGAAAAACAGAAAAAAUUUUCUAGAAAAGAGAAAAAAUAUUUCAGGGAGAAAAAAAAGGAAAAGAAAAAGAAAGAGAGAGAGAUGGGAGGAGGGAGGGGGAGGGGAAGCGAAAAACAGAAAAAAGAAAGAUCAGGAGGGAGGGGGAGCGAUGGGAUGGGGAGGAGAGGGGGGAACAGGAGGGAGGGGGUGUAGAAUAGUCUUAUACAUAUAUAUAUAUAUAUAUAUACACGUAUAUAUAUAUACAUGUAUAAAUGUAUACGUAUACAUAUAAAUGUAUUUGGGGGUGUAGAAUAGUCUUAUACAUAUAUAUAUAUAUAUAUAUAUAUAUAUAUGUAUAUAUAUAUAUAUGCAUGUAUACAAAUACAUUUAUAUGUAUACGUAUACAUUUAUACAUGUAUAUAUAUAUAUACGUAUAUAUGUAUAUAUAUAUAUAUAUAUAUAUAUAUAUAUAUAUAUAUAUGUAUAUAUAUAUAUAUAUAUAUAUAUAUAUAUAUAUAUAUGAGUUGGAUAAUAUGAACCAAGGUUCAUAUGCACCUCAAUCCCCGGAGUGACACGUGUACACAACCCCCCAUGCAUCCGCAGUCCCCAUGCUUGCUGAUCAGCAUGGAAGUUGUACCUGCCUUGUUUGAGCUGCUAUAUAGGCCAUGCAUUCAGCUGUUGGCUAGGUACAUGUUACUAUGUUAGGUUGUCCGUUUUACCCCUCUCAUGUACGUGUGAUUCAGUAAGAAAAAAAUGAAUGCACAUACUAGUAGCAAUCUUUGUCCGCGCAUGGUGGCCAACUAGCCAUAGCUCAGUUGGUUCAACAGGCCUUCAUACCAAAAAUAUAUUCCUAAUCUCCACUUUGCAAGUGUACUUUCUCAUUAUUCAAUCUCGUUUUUAUUUACCAAUAAUCCCCAAUAAGAUUGGACUUUGGGUGCAGCUAGCAGAUUGAAUUUAGAACAUAAAAUUAUUGUUAUUUUACAAAAUAAAAUUAUUAUUUUUAUCCCAAAAUAUAAGAGAUUUUACCUAUAUAGUUACAUAUGAAAAAAAAUAUAAAACAUAUUUCCGUGUAGUAAUAUGGAUCAAAUCCUUAUAUUUGGAUAUGGAGGUAGCUCAUAUAGUUACAUGAGUAAAAUUCUUUACAUUUUGGUGGUAUGUACUUUUAAUUUAUAAUUUACUCUCGCCAUUCUAAAACAUAAGACACAAUAACUGCUUAAAGAGAAAAAUAAAAUUAUUAUCACAUUCUAGUUUAGAUCAUCGUAAUAAAUACAAUGUAUAUACCCAAUAAGAUUAUGGAUUUUGAGAGUGGAGGAUUUAAGAAAACAAAUUUUAAAAAAAAAUGUACGAAAAGCCAAAUUGUGGUCCUUAUUGUUUGACUAGGCAUGACACUAAAAAUAUUAUUUCCAAAAUAUAACAACAUUUAUCUCUUAGAAUUUAUUUUAAAAUAUAAUAAUUUCUCCACCUACAUUAUUUUCCCAACCAAUCACAACCCUUUACCAUUUACUUUUUUCACCAAUCAUAUCCUCUCCACAUUUAAUCCUACCUACUUUCUUAAUAAUUAUGUCCAACUUUAAAAAUUUUUAUAUACUUACGAACAUCAUUUGUAACUUUUUACUCAUUUGUAAAAAUGUGCUCUCAUUUGUUGCGUAUGGUUGCAGUGAACUCAUCAGAGGGGGGAAUAAAUGGCUGAAAAAAUGUGUUGUCACAUCGCUUUAAAAGAGAUGAGCAGCUGCAAGGGGCGUCUCGGGCGAAGGGUGCAAGGCGAAGACUAUCUGCCGAAGGAAGACGACUUCGCCAUAGCAAGUUCGCCCCCGCAAGGGCCAAGGAAGCCUUUCCAGCCCAUCAAGCCUAAGGGCCGGCGAUCGCUAGACGGCCCAUUAGGGGCCCAUGAGACCCUAUAACAUUAUGUACCCCUGUAAAUGUCCCUUUCAUAAGGGUAAUUAUAUAAAUUCCCCUGUACAACCUAGAUCCUAGUAGAAAGAGCCUGCAAUAGGGCUAUAAAUAGCCCCCUAGGGCUAUGUAACGGGGGAUCCCAAGUGAAAUUAAAAAUUUAGUACACUUCAUUUUCCCAACCACUGUUGAGUAACCACGUCCUUCGACGUAUACAGUUGUUGUUUCGACAACAGCUGGCGCCGACCGUGGGGACUCCGAGCGAAACCACUGAGAGCGAAUGCCACGAAGAGGGUCGUGAAGGAGAAGGUUGUCAGGCGGAAGGAGAGCGACGCCGGACCGGACAUGGCCGCCGAGGAAGGAGCAGAGCCUUCGGCGUCUGUGGCCGAAGAUGGAGAAGGACAAGCGCCAUCACAGCCGCCUUCGGCCCCCGCGCCAUCACAACCGUCUUCGGCCUCCGCAACCUCAGUGCAAGUGCCGAACAAGGCCGACGUGGCGAAGGCGGCUGCGGCGGCAAGGGCACUCCAGACCAGGGCAGAGAUCCUUUCGACAAACCAACUGGUGGUGCCUCAAGCCGCCCCAUCACAGCCGGCGGCACCAACUGCGCUCGCCGUUGUAUAGGCCCAAAUCAGCCUGGACCCCGAAGCGCAAGCCGAAGCCGACAUGGAAGCCAUGCGGCAGAAUAUGACACGGCUCCAAGACAUGCUUCGCCAAAUGCAAGAACAACAACAAGCAUACGAGGCGACAAGGCCGACCAAGGCCACGUCGGCUCCAAUCCUUCAGUAUUCGGCAGGCUAUGCCCCACCUCAAGUCCGGCCGCAAGUGGUGACCUAGCCCUCUCCGCCACUAGCCGCACAGCCGCCGGUGUACUUCGCCGGGCAGCAUCAACCACCUGGCCAAGCGCCACAACCAGUGGUGGAAUGGGCUUCGGCUCUGCAGGCGCAACUCCAAGCUUUCCUUUAGCAACUCAACCAACCCCACUACAUUUCAAGCACAACCCCAUCGGCUCACCCGGUAGGGAAUACAAGUCAAGGAGCGCCCAAUGGGUUGCCACCAAUUCAGCCAGGCUCGGGACCUUCGCCGUGGAGUCAAUGACAGCAGUUCGACUUCGGCAACACUGCUCAGGUGCCAACCGUUCGGCAGCAAGUGCCAACCCCAGGCUUCGGAACAAACCAAGUACCAAUCUGUCACGCCCGGAAUUUCUAUCCAAAAUUCCAAACGCUUACAUGUGUGUUAAACCCUCGUCCAGGAAUCAACCGAGGCACACAAUAACAAAUUGAUAAUAGAGUACAAAUGAACAACUAUAGAAUAUUCGCAAAUAAUAAAAUAUUACAGAGGUAGAUAGUUCCUCUCAAAGAAUAUCCUUCUACGCAGCGAAAAAAAAUAAAUCUAUAACAAACUACGGAACAGCUAUGGCGACUCCACUCCACAGGCAACUUAACCAGAACAAGCCUAAUCCUCCAGAUCAUCACCUUCACUGAGAUACUCCUCUUCUGAUGAUUGAAUAUUGCAAGAAUGAGCAUAUGACAUACUCAACAAGUCACACAGCAAAUAUGCAAGUGCACAGGAUAACAAAGGAUGGCAUAAUAUAGCUCAUUUGCAGAAACAGCAUUAAAUAAAUAUUUAAGAGAAUAGUAAAACAGUUGUAUAAUUAAUCAAUAUUAAAUAACACCAUACAACACACCCGUGUUGCAUAGGCCCAACCUCAUAUGAACAACCAACCCCGGUUGUACAAAUCUAACCUCCAUACCAGGAACGUACCAUUCCAACCAGGAGUCAAAUUGAUUAUCACAAUUACCAUUAAUGAAUAACAUGGGACUAAUCACGAAAAACAUUGCUCAACUCACCCAUAACCGCGGGUACGGCUAUUCGAAUAGAUUAAACUCUGAUCAGAGGUGUACCACUGUACCCACAAGACACAAUCCCACAACAUGUUACCAUGCGCCUUAGUACCACCACGAUACCUCGGAAAGGAACUGUGACAAUACCCCUUGCAUAACACAACUCACCACAGUGCACCGUACCUGGAUCAUAAUCACCCCCUCUACAACCAGAGGCAUGGACUCCCCAGCGACCCCCACGGACUUCUCGCCGCUUCUCAGUCUGGCACCCCAUAAUGAAUCAUGCUAUACAAAAGGUAAAGCCGUUGCCCACGCUGGCUUGUGGUUGGCACGGUAAAAGUUUCACAACAGUAGCUCGCGAACCGGUCCUUAAUUGUCAUGAGCACAACCAUCAAUACCAUAUGCUCACAACCCACCUUAACCAGGUUUUAAUUAUCAAUUAAUUAACCUCACACGAUCAACCAUCGUGAGCUACCAUUAAUGUAACCAUAAUUAAAAUAAUAAUGUAACAUAGUUUAUAAUUAAUCCCUUUAGUUAGCUAUUGUUUCUAAGCACGGCUAAGCAAACUUACAUAUAGCAUUUAGCUGAACCAAUCCAACAUAUAAGGUUCAUGCUAAUCAAAUUAUAACCCAUAGGAAAAUAAGAUCAUCUUCGGCCGUUAAUUAAUUGGGAAGGUUCACCACCCGAUGACAUUCGAAAACAAUGCAUAGUUGAAAUAAAAUAAUAGCUUUAAACGGGUUCAACAUGCUCAAAGAGUUGUUUGGGAUCUGUGUGACUUGCCUUGGGCUUCCGCAAACGCUUCGGAGCCUUCCUCAACGGAAACGCUCUCCUCCGGAACGUCGGAAACUAAAGCAAUUAAACAAAAAUCAACAAAACAGUACAAAAACAAGCAUAAACAGUACAUGUGGAUAUUUUUAACAUGUAGACCUUGAUUUUAGAAAAAUUUAGCAACUUGAACCACCUGAAACGGAUCUACGGUUAUUUAGUUAUGAUUUUCCGAAGAUUUAAUCUAUUAAAAGAAAUUGGAAAAAAGGAGAUGACGACGUCAGCAUGAUGUCAUCAAUGGCGGCCGGCUCGAGUUGGUGACCUCGCCGGAGCUAGAGUAGUCGGCCGGGAUUUUGGAGGGCAUCCACACGUAGAGAACGACGAGACGAACGCAACGGUACUCACCAAUGCGUCCAACGACGACCGAUGGUGGCCGGCGACGAGAGGAGGCGGCGCGGCGGCUCGGUCGACGGCGGCGACGGGUCUCCGGCGACCGGCGACAGCGGGGAGAGGGCGGCCGAGGUUCCUCACCUCCGUGCGCACCUAACGGCGGCGAGAGGAAGCGGCGGCGACGGCGAAAUCGAAGGCGCGGCGCGGCUGGAGAUCACCGGUGGCGACGGCGAGACAAGGCGGCGUCGGCGGUGAGCUACGGGGCACGGGAGAGGACGGGAAAAGGGGCAAACGAAAGAGGGGAACUAGGGGGUCCUAUUUAUAGCCUUGGAUUGAAGAGAUCGGACUCCAAACGAGAGGAAUCGAAACCGGAAAAUCUUCGGGUUAGUUUGGAGAGAUAAAAUCAAAACGAGGUUGAUUCGGACAAGAUACUCAACGAUUUGCUCCGAUUUUUGCGGGUAAAGAUAGAGGAGGAUACGGGGAUUAAAACCCCUCUAAUAUCCGGACUCGGGGUGGCCGGAUUGGGGCGGAUUUGAGGGCGCAAGGUGGCGGCUCGGGCUCGUCAUGCACGGCUCGGCCGGCUGCUAGAGGAAGGGGAAGGAUCCGACAUGUGGGGCCCACAUGUCGGUCUCCCGAGAGGAGGGGGCGGCGGCGACGGGUUGGACCGGUUUUGGGCCGGCUCAGCCGCGGGAGAGGGGAAGGAUGUUGGGCCAAAAACGGCCCAACGGCUUUAGGGAGGGGUUUCAGAACUUUUUAAUUAAAUAUAAUUUGUGAAAUGUUGUUUCAUUUAUUAAAAAUACUUCCCUUGCUCAAAUAAUUCCCAGAAAAUUCUAGAAAAUAGAGGAACAAUCAAAGUAUUUAAUAAAAUUUUAUCUAGCUCAAUUUUACGUUGAAAAUUUUCCUAGACAAUUAGGGUUUAGCUUGUAGGCUUUUAAUUUUAAUUUCUAAAAAUGAUUUAAACAAUGUAUUUUUAAUUUAGGCGAUUUUUAGGGCGUGACAAACCUACCCCCCUUAAACGGAAUCUCGUCCUCGAGAUUCAGAAGAACUGGCGAAGAGAUGAGGAUGAGCUGACUUCAAUUCAUCUUCUCGCUCCCAAGUGGCUUCUUCUUCUGAAUGAUUGCUCCACUGAACCUUGCAGAACCGUAUAACACGAUUCCUGGUAUUCCUCUCGCUUACUUCCAAGAUUCUGACUGGCUUCUCAACAUAAGUUAAAUCUUCUUGAAGCUCUAUACGAUCAGGAUCUGCUUCCUCCGUAGGUACACGUAAACAUUUCUUCAACUGAGACACGUGGAACACGUCAUGUAUUCCCGCCAUUGACGGAGGCAAUUCCAACUGAUAAGCUACCUCACCUCUUCGACUCACAAUCUUAAAAGGUCCCACGAAACGCGGUGCCAAUUUCUCUUUGGUCUGGAAACGAUGAACACCUCGUAACGGCGUAACCCGAAGGUAUACAUAAUCUCCUUCUUCGAAAGCCAAAUCUCUGCGACGAUUGUCGGCAUAGCUCUUCUGACGUGACUGAGCAACGCGCAACCUUUCUUGGAUAAUCUUCACUUUUUCUUCUGCCUCUCGCAAUAUGUCCGUCCCAAAAACUUGACGUUCACCGGUUUGAUCCCAAAGGAGCGGCGUACGGCACUUUCGGCCAUAUAAUGCUUCAUACGGAGCCAUUUGCAUACUAGCUUGAUAACUGUUGUUAUAUGAGAAUUCCGCGUACGGCAAAUUCUUAUCCCAACUUCCACCAAAAUCUAGAACACAGGCUCUCAACAUAUCUUCUAAAAUUUGGUUUACUCUUUCCGUCUGACCAUCUGUUUGCGGGUGAUAAGCGGUACUGAAAUUCAAACGGGUACCCAUCUCUACUUGUAAUUUCUGCCAAAACUUCGAAGUAAACUAGCUACCUCUAUCUGACACUAUCUUCUUAGGAACGCCAUGCAAACAUACCACUCUGGCCAUGUAUAACUCUGCAAGCUUAUUCCCCGUGUAGGUUGUUUUGACCGGUAUGAAGUGAGCGACUUUUGUCAACCUAUCAACCACUACCCAAAUAGAAUCAUGUCCUGCCGACGUUCUGGGUAGGCCGGUUAUAAAAUCCAUUCCUAUUUCUUCCCACUUCCACUCUGGAAUCUUCAACGGUUGUAACAGACCGGCUGGCUUCUGAUGUUCUGCCUUGACCCGCUGACAUACAUCACAUAGAGCCACAUAUUCUGCUAUCUCACGUCGCAUACUGGCCCACCAGAAUUGUUGCUUUAGGUCUUGGUACAUCUUAGUGCUUCCAGGGUGAAUGGAAUACAAAGUUUCAUGAGCUUCUUUCAUGAUGGUAUCCUUCAACUCCUUAUUUUCUGGGACGCAAAUUCUUUCUCCCAACCACACAGUACCUUGCUCAUCUUCUACAUAACCGAUGGCUUUUCCUCUUCUCAUGUUCUUCUUUAUUUCUUGGAUAUCAGGAUCAUUCACUUGAGCCUCUCUAACUUGAUCAAACAGAGUAGGUUUAGCUUCCAAAGCGGCCACAAAACCAUUGCUGACUAUUCCCAAGUUCAACUUUUCAAAUUCUUGGCAUAACUCCCAAGGUAAACGUCGACCUUCUGACAUAUUACAGUAGCUUUUCCUGCUAAGAGCAUCGGCUACAACAUUUGCUUUCCCCGGGUGAUAGUAGAUUUCCAUAUCAUAAUCUUUAAUCAACUCUAACCAUCUUCGCUGACGCAUGUUCAAAUCAGGUUGAGUGAAAAUGUACUUCAAACUUUUAUGAUCCGUAUACACCUCUGUACGGUUACCGAAAAGAUAAUGACGCCAAAUCUUCAAUGCAUGCACCACAGCUGCCAACUCUAGGUCAUGCGUUGGGUAGUUAUUCUCAUGAGGACGUAAUUGCCUAGAUGCAUAGGCAACCACCUUUCCUUCUUGCAUCAACACACAACCCAAACCGAGUCGAGAUGCAUCACAAUACACUUGGAAACCUUUCCUCGAAUCAGGCAAAAUUAACACCAGCGCAGUCGCUAGCCUUUUCUUCAGUUCUUGGAAACUUUGUUCACAAUCCUCUGUCCACUUGUACUUCACUUCCUUCUGAAGCAGACGAGUCAUUGGUCUGGCGAUCUUUGAAAAGUUCUCAAUAAACCUGCGGUAAUACCCCGCAAGUCCAAGGAAACUACGAAUUUCUGAAACCGUCUUGGGUUGCUUCCAACUUAACACUGACUCCACAUUGCUUGGAUCUACUGCCACUCCUCCAGACGAGAUGACAUGACCAAGAAACUUCACUUCGGACAACCAAAAUUCACAUUUACUGAACUUGGCAUAAAGCUGAUGUUCACGUAGUUUCUCUAAAGCUAGACGAAGAUGCUCUUCAUGUUCUUCCUUCGUCUUGGAGUAAAUAAGAAUGUCAUCAAUAAACACCACGACUAACUUAUCCAGAUAUUCCAUAAACACCUUGUUCAUCAGAUUCAUGAAAAAGGCUGGGGCAUUAGUGAGUCCAAAUGACAUAACGGUACAUUCGAACAAACCAUACCGAGUUGUGAAGGCGGUCUUUGGUAUAUCUUCCUCACGGAUUCGAAGUUGAUGAUAUCCAGAACGGAGAUCUAUCUUGGAGAAAACUGUAGCACCUUCCAAUUGAUCAAAUAGGUCAUCAAUUCUGGGUAGAGGAUACUUAUUCUUGAUAGUAACCUCAUUCAACGCUCGAUAAUCCACGCACAUUCUCUGAGUAUGAUCUUUCUUCUCCACAAAGAUGACUGGUGCUCCCCAUGGCGAAGUACUGGGUCUGAUGUAUCCUUUCUGAAGCAAAUCUUCCACCUGUCUCUUCACCUCAACUAACUCAUUAGCUGCCAUUCUGUAUGGUCUCUUAUGGAUAGGGUUGGUUCCAGGUACCAAGUCUAUCCGAAACUCUAUCUCUCUCUUAGGUGGCAUGCCUGGCAAAUCCUCGGGAAACACGUCUGGGUAGUCUUGUACUAUGGGGAUCUCUUGUAGAGCAACUUGGUUUAAGAUCACACCAUGAGAUUUAGGAGAGGACAUAAAGAAAGAAACUGUUUCCCCAUUGCUACUGGUUAAAGUCACCUUACGGUUGGCACAAUCUAUAACUCCUCUGUGACAAGAUAACCAAUCCAUCCCUAAGAUAACAUCUAGAUCUUUGGAUUCUAGCAAGAUAAGCGAGGAUGGGAAAGGAACUUCUUCUAUUUCUAUAGUAGCGGAAGGACAAUACUGUGUCGAAAAUACUUGAUUGCCUGGGGUAUUAACUAGUAAAGGUCUCUCGAGACUAAUAACUUCCAUCCCAUGAUUGCUCGUAAAACUUUUAGACAAAAAGGAAUGUGUAGCACCGGAAUCAAAAAGCACAGUUGCGGGUAUAGAGUUAACAGGGAACGUACCCAAAACCACAUCUGGUGCAUUCUGAGCUUCUGCUGCUGCAACAUGAUUAACACGUGCCUUUGGUGCUGGAACAUUGGAGUUGUUCGGGGCUGGAGCGUUCUUCACGCGCCGAGGCUUAGGACACUUAUCAGCAUAAUGUCCUGGAUCACCGCAAUUGAAGCAUAUCACUGGCUUGCUUCCCUGUUCCUUCCUGACAGGCUGGUUCUGAGCUGAAGUUGCUGCAGGACGAGCAACCACGUUGCGGUUGUCAUUGCCACGAUUACUAGUAUUGUUGUUGUAGAACUGGCGUUGGGGACGGACAACUGAUGAAGAUCCUCCUUGAGGGUACGAUGGAACUUGAGGUCCAGUAACGAGACGCGGCCUCUGGUUACUGCCCUGUUGUGCCUUGAAUUGGGCAGCCCUGCGCUUCUUCUGCUCCAUCCGGUUAUACUUGUCUUCCUGACGAAUCGCCUUGUCCACCAACUGCUGGAAAUCCCGGAAAUCCGUAGACAUCAAAGCAUAAGACAACUCAUCAUUCAGUCCCUCCAAGAAUUUCUCCUGACGCUCUUCAUCGGUGCGAACAUCUUCCGGAGCAUAACGAGCUAAACGGUUGAAAUCAUGGAGGUACUCGGUGACCGAUCGAGAUCCCUGGUUGAGUGCCCUAAAUUCUCUCUUCUUUAGAGCUACAACACCCGACGGUAUGUGUGUCUUCCUGAAAGCGGCCGUGAAUUCCUGCCACGUAAUAGGCUCUCCUUCAGCCCUGCCUUGGCGAAAAUGAUCCCACCAUUCAGCAGCAGGACCAUGCAGUUGAUGCGAAGCAAAAGAAACUUUCUCCUGCUCAGUACACUGGAUCAAAUCCAACUUCUUCUCCACCGCAUGCAGCCAAUCUCCUGCUUCUACUGGAUUGGUGGUGCUGGAAAAGGUAGGGGGUCUCACGCGUAAGAAAUCUGCCAGCUUGUUUUGGGGAGGUGGGGGUGGAUUCUGGUUCUGAUUGUUUGCCUGCUGAUUCUGUGCCUGCUGCACUAACAGAUUGAUCAGUUGUGUUUGUUGGGCCAGAAUCUGAGCUAGCGUGGGAUCUCCUCCAUUGUUAGUAGCUCCACUUCCACUUCCACUUCCACUUCCGGUGCGCGUGUUCACCAUCUGACGAUAAGCAGAGACUCAUGCUGUUACAUCCCACCAAUGAUGUAAGCAACAACUAAAACCCACACACUCACAAGCAAACUUAAACAAGCAAUCUAACACAGCGAUCUACGGCAACGAUCUAACUAAGCGACUAAACCCGCCUUGUGUCGGAACGAAGCGAUGGAUCUUCUUCCUCUGGAGUAGCUGGCUCUCUUUCUUCAGGGUCUUCCUCCUCUUCCUCAUCACUUAUGAUGUCGAUGACAGGUUCAGCACGAUCGGGCACAGCUUCACCCAUCACGCGAAUCUUCGAAGCUAACUGGAGACGAGGUGGCGGACAGGUUCUUUUUCUUUGAGUGAGGCGAUGCUUGGGUGUUGGCGGCGGCGUUUCUCCUUUAAGUUCAGCUAAUUCCUUUUGUAGACGGUACACCUUGCUCUCCAACUUGCAAAUCUUGCCUCGAUUCCAGUUUUCCCUGUCAUGAGCUGCUUUGUCUCGCUCCACACUUACUGCAUCCAUAGCACUAAGCAUAUGCACCGCAUGCAUCAGAGUGGCACUCUCUUCACCGUCAGGACAGGUAUAGGUUCCAUAGUCUUGACCAUGAGGCUUGUGAGGAUGAUACUGGAAAGCUGAUGAAUCCAACUCUUCUUCAAAGCGUUGACGCAACUCUCCAAUGGCCACCAAAGCUGCCUCUUGACAAGCAUGGCUGUACGAUCUUCCUCCAGCUUCGAACUUAAAAGACGGAAGGUCAUCACUAUCACUAGCCAACGUCACACGAACACGACACUUCUCCUCGUCGGGGUCAUGGGAAAUUUGGCGAUACUCGGGAGCAACUUCAUAGCCUACCUCAAAAGCCAUCAACCUCAGCUCCCUGACGAACCCUAACACCUUGAUCAAAUUUCUCGGUGAAUGGGGUGGCAUCUAAAGAAACAUAGAAGGGAAGAAUUAAUGCAUAUUUUUAAGUUAGCUGCACCAACUAGACUUAACUGAUUUAGACCAAAAAGGAAGAAAAUAAAAGAAAAGACACAUACAAAGCUACUUUAUAUAUUUUUCUUUUUGAAUUUAACUUUUGAACAGAGACAAAUCAGUUUGAACAAGUGAAUAAAAUAAAACCAAAAUACUUAAGACCUACUAUAAGCACGGUACAAUGUCACCAUUAAAAGGGAUGAGUAGUACUAGUGCCAACAUGAUUAAAUCGAUACCAUAAUAGAUGUACAGUGCCGACCAAUCCAUAAGAUUUAGUAAAGAGAAAAAGAAACAUUUUGAGAAGAACAACUUUUUGCUUUUUAAAAGAAAAGAAAUUGAAUUAAAUGAAUUUUGUGCAUAACCUUGCAUGUGCUGCCAACUUAUUUAAUUUGUAAGAGAAUAGAGAAGAGCAGUUCUAUUUUUUUUUCAAAAAUAUUUUGAAGGCUACUUAAGGUUUACCAUUUGGCUUAUCCUAAGGUCAAGGUGGCUCUGAUACCAACUUGUCACGCCCGGAAUUUCUAUCCAAAAUUCCAAACGCUUACAUGUGUGUUAAACCCUCGUCCAGGAAUCAACCGAGGCACACAAUGACAAUUUGAUAAUAGAGUACAAAUAAAUAACUAUUUAAUACUCGCAAAUAACAAAAGAUUACAGAGGUAGAUAGUUCCUCUCAAAAAAUAACAUUCUACGCAGCGGAAAAAAAACUAUAACAAACUACGGAACAGCUAUGGCGACUCCACUCCACAGGCAUCUUAACCAAGAACAAGCUCAAUCCUCCAGAUCAUCACCUUCACUGAGAUACUCCUCUUCUGAUGAAUGAAUAUUGCAAGAAUGAGCAUAUGACAUACUCAACAAGUCACACAGCAAAUAUGCAAGUGCACAGGAUAACGAAGGAUGGCAUAAUAUAGCUCAUUUGCAGAAACAGCAUUUAAUAAAUAUUUAAGAGAAUGAUAAAAACAGUUGAAUAAUUAAUCAGUAUUAAAUAAACACCAUACAACACACCCAUGUUGCAUAGGCCCAACCACAUUUGAACAACCAACCCCAGUUGAACAAAUUAAACCUCCAAACCAGGAAUUAUCCAUUCCAAACCAGGAGUCAAAUUAAUUACCACAUUAUAACCAUUAAUGAGUAGUGUGAGACUAAUCACGAAAAACAUUGCUCAACUCACCCAUAACCGCGGGUACGGCUAUUCGAAUAGUUUAAACUCUGAUCAGAGGUGUACCACUGUACCCACAAGACACAACCCCACAUCAUGUCACCAUGUGCCUCAAUACCACCACGGUACCUCGGAAAGGAGUUGUGAUAAUACCCCUUGCACAACAUAACCCAUUACAGCGCACCUUUCCUGGAUCAUAAUCACCCCCUUAUAAACAAGGCAUGGACUCCCCAGCGACCCCCGUGGACUUCUCGCCACUUCUCAGUCUGGCGCACUAUAAUGAAUCACGCUAUACAAAAGAUAAAGCCGUUGCCCACGCUGGCUUGUGGCUGGCACGAUAAAUGUUUCACAACAGUAGCUCGCGAACCGGUCCUUAAUUGUCAUGAGCACAACCAUCAAAACCAUAUGCUCACAACCCACCUUAACCAGGUUUUAAUUAUCAAUUAAUUAACAUCACACGAUUUACCAUCGUGAGCUACCAUUUAAUAUAAUCAUCAUUAUUAAUAAUAAUAUAACAUAGUUUAUAAUUAAUCCCUUUAGUUAGCUAAUGUUUCUAAGCAUGGCUAAGCAAACCUAUAUAUAGCAUUUAGCUGAACCAAACCAAUAUAUAAGGUUCAUGCUAGUCAAAUUAUAACCCCUAGGAAAAUAAAGUCAUCUUCGGCCAAUAAUUAACUGGGAAAGGUUCACCACCCGAUGACAUUCGAAAACAAUGCAUAGUUGAAAUAAAAUAAUAGCUUUAAACGGGUUCAACAUGCUCAAAGGGUUGUUUGGGAUCUGUGUGACUUGCCUUGAGCUUCCGCAAACGCUUCGGAACCUUCCUCAACGGAAACGCUCUCCUCCGGAACGUCGGAAACUAAAGCAAUUAAACAAAAAUCAACAAAACAGUACAAAAACAAGCAUAAACAGUACAUGUGGAUAUUUUUAACAUGUAGAUCUUGAUUUUAGAAAAAUUUAGCAACUUGAACCACCUGAAACGGAUCUACGGUUAUUUAGUUAUGAUUUUCCAAAGUUUUAAUCUAUUAGAAAAUUGGAAAAAAAGAAAAAAGAAGGAGAUGAUGACGUCAGCAUGACGUCACCCCACGGCAGCCGGCUAGGGUUUGCGAGCUCGCCGGAGAUAGAGACCUUGGCCGGGGAUUUGGAGGGCAUGUACACGUAGAGGACGACGAGGCGAACCCAACGGUACUCACCACAACGACAAACGACGAACGAUGAUGGCCGGCGACGAAGAGGACGGCGGCGGCGGCUCGGCUUGACGGCGACGGCGGAGCUCCGGUGGUCGGCGGCGAAGGGGGACGGGCGGCCGAGGUUCCCCUCACCACGGCGCACCUAACGGCGGCGACGGCAAGCGGCGGCGACGGCGGAGGCGGCGCGGCGGCGCGGCUGGAGAAGGCCGACGGCGGCGGCGAGCUAAAGCAACGCGGCGGCGGCGCUACGGUGCACGGGAGAGGACGAGAGAGGGGCAAACGAAAGAGGGCGACGAUGUGGUCCUAUAUAUAGCAUUGGAUUGAAGAGAUCGAACUCCAAACGAGAGGAAUCGACUCGGGAAAAAUCCAAACUCGGUUUUAGGGAUAAACUCGAAAACGAGUUUGAUUCGAACAAGAUACUCAACGGAUUGCUCCGUUUCUUGAGGGGAAAGAUAGAGGAGAACGAGAGGAACAAAACCCCUCAAAAACCCGGAAGAAUCGGGGUCGGAUUGGAGCGGAAUCGGAGGCGGAAAAGGGCGGCUCGGGCUCGGCUUCGGCCGGCUGGAGGUAGGAGAUGGAUCCGACAUGUGGGCCCCACAUGUCGGUCUCCCGAGAGGAGGGCACGGGCGGCUCGGCUGGGCCGGCUUGGGCCGCGCGGGAGAGAGAGAGUGUUGGGCCGAAUUCGGCCCAACGGCUUAAAGGAGGGGAUUUUUGAACUUUUUAAAAUAAAAACAAUUUGUGAAAUGUUGUUUCAAUUAUUAAAAAUACUUCCCUUGCUCAAAUAAUUCCCAGAAAAAUCUAGAAAAUAGAGGAGCAAGCAUAGUAUUUAAUAAAAUUUUAUCUAGCUCAUUUUUAUGUUGAAAAUUUUCCUAGAAAAUUAGGGUUUAGUUUGUAGGCUUUUAAAAAUAAUUUCUAAAAAUUCCAAUUAAACAUCAGUUUAUAUAUUUAGGAUUUUUAGGGCGUGACAUCACGCCCGGAAUUUCUAUCCAAAAUUCCAAACGCUUACAUGUGUGUUAAACCCUCGUCCAGGAAUCAACCGAGGCACACAAUAACAAAUUGAUAAUAGAGUACAAAUGAACAACUAUAGAAUAUUCGCAAAUAAUAAAAUAUUACAGAGGUAGAUAGUUCCUCUCAAAGAAUAUCCUUCUACGCAGCGAAAAAAAAUAAAUCUAUAACAAACUACGGAACAGCUAUGGCGACUCCACUCCACAGGCAACUUAACCAGAACAAGCCUAAUCCUCCAGAUCAUCACCUUCACUGAGAUACUCCUCUUCUGAUGAUUGAAUAUUGCAAGAAUGAGCAUAUGACAUACUCAACAAGUCACACAGCAAAUAUGCAAGUGCACAGGAUAACAAAGGAUGACAUAAUAUAGCUCAUUUGCAGAAACAGCAUUAAAUAAAUAUUUAAGAGAAUAGUAAAACAGUUGUAUAAUUAAUCAAUAUUAAAUAACACCAUACAACACACCCGUGUUGCAUAGGCCCAACCUCAUAUGAACAACCAACCCCGGUUGUACAAAUCUAACCUCCAUACCAGGAACGUACCAUUCCAACCAGGAGUCAAAUUGAUUAUCACAAUUACCAUUAAUGAAUAACAUGGGACUAAUCACGAAAAACAUUGCUCAACUCACCCAUUACCGCGGGUACGGCUAUUCGAAUAGAUUAAACUCUGAUCAGAGGUGUACCACUGUACCCACAAGACACAAUCCCACAACAUGUUACCAUGCGCCUUAGUACCACCACGAUACCUCGGAAAGGAACUGUGACAAUACCCCUUGCAUAACACAACUCACCACAGUGCACCGUACCUGGAUCAUAAUCACCCCCUCUACAACCAGAGGCAUGGACUCCCCAGCGACCCCCACGGACUUCUCGCCGCUUCUCAGUCUGGCACCCCAUAAUGAAUCAUGCUAUACAAAAGGUAAAGCCGUUGCCCACGCUGGCUUGUGGUUGGCACGGUAAAAGUUUCACAACAGUAGCUCGCGAACCGGUCCUUAAUUGUCAUGAGCACAACCAUCAAUACCAUAUGCUCACAACCCACCUUAACCAGGUUUUAAUUAUCAAUUAAUUAACCUCACACGAUCAACCAUCGUGAGCUACCAUUAAUGUAACCAUAAUUAAAAUAAUAAUGUAACAUAGUUUAUAAUUAAUCCCUUUAGUUAGCUAUUGUUUCUAAGCACGGCUAAGCAAACUUACAUAUAGCAUUUAGCUGAACCAAUCCAACAUAUAAGGUUCAUGCUAAUCAAAUUAUAACCCAUAGGAAAAUAAGAUCAUCUUCGGCCGUUAAUUAAUUGGGAAGGUUCACCACCCGAUGACAUUCGAAAACAAUGCAUAGUUAAAAUAAAAUAAUAGCUUUAAACGGGUUCAACAUGCUCAAAGAGUUGUUUGGGAUCUGUGUGACUUGCCUUGGGCUUCCGCAAACGCUUCGGAGCCUUCCUUAACGGAAACGCUCUCCUCCGGAACGUCGGAAACUAAAGCAAUUAAACAAAAAUCAACAAAACAGUACAAAAACAAGCAUAAACAGUACAUGUGGAUAUUUUUAACAUGUAGACCUUGAUUUUAGAAAAAUUUAGCAACUUGAACCACCUGAAACGGAUCUACGGUUAUUUAGUUAUGAUUUUCCGAAGAUUUAAUCUAUUAAAAGAAAUUGGAAAAAAGGAGAUGAUGACGUCAGCAUGAUGUCAUCAAUGGCGGCCGGCUCGAGUUGGUGACCUCGCCGGAGCUAGAGUGGUCGGCCGGGAUUUUGGAGGGCAUCUACACGUAGAGAACGACGAGACGAACGCAACGGUACUCACCAAUGCGUCCAACGACGACCGAUGGUGGCCGGCGACGAGAGGAGGCGGCGCGGCGGCUCGGUCGACGGCGGCGACGGGUCUCCGGCGACCGGCGACAGCGGGGAGAGGGCGGCCGAGGUUCCUCACCUCCGUGCGCACCUAACGGCGGCGAAAGGAAGCGGCGGCGACGGCGAAAUCGAAGGCGCGGCGCGGCUGGAGAUCACCGGUGGCGACGGCGAGACAAGGCGGCGUCGGCGGCGAGCUACGGGGCACGGGAGAGGACGGGAAAAGGGGCAAACGAAAGAGGGGAACUAGGGGGUCCUAUUUAUAGCCUUGGAUUGAAGAGAUCGGACUCCAAACGAGAGGAAUCGAAACCGGAAAAUCUUCGGGUUAGUUUGGAGAGAUAAAAUCAAAACGAGUUUGAUUCGGACAAGAUACUCAACGAUUUGCUCCGAUUUUUGCGGGUAAAGAUAGAGGAGGAUAUGGGGAUUAAAACCCCUCUAAUAUCCGGACUCGGGGUGGCCGGAUUGGGGCGGAUUUGAGGGCGCAAGGUGGCGGCUCGGGCUCGGCAUGCACGGCUCGGCCGGCUGCUAGAGGAAGGGGAAGGAUCCGACAUGUGGGGCCCACAUGUCGGUCUCCCGAGAGGAGGGGGCGGUGGCGACGGGUUGGGCCGGUUUUGGGCCGGCUCGGCCGCGGGAGAGGGGAAGGAUGUUGGGCCAAAAACGGCCCAAUGGCUUUAGGGAGGGGUUUCAGAACUUUUUAAUUAAAUAUAAUUUGUGAAAUGUUGUUUCAUUUAUUAAAAAUACUUCCCUUGCUCAAAUAAUUCCCAGAAAAUUCUAGAAAAUAGAGGAACAAGCAAAGUAUUUAAUAAAAUUUUAUCUAGCUCAAUUUUACGUUGAAAAUUUUCCUAGACAAUUAGGGUUUAGCUUGUAGGCUUUUAAUUUUAAUUUCUAAAAAUGAUUUAAACAAUGUAUUUUUAAUUUAGGCGAUUUUUAGGGCGUGACACAAUCCAAGCUGCCAUGAUGUGGUCGCAGCCAAUCUUUGACCCAUCCAUAGCGGCCCAGCAAGUACCACCAGUUGGAGCCGGGCAAUCGAAUGCCGUGGCCCAACUCCACGCACAAGCCGCGAUUUCGCCCUUCGCCACACCGUACCCGCAGCAAGGUGCGGUAAACAGGGCGGGAGGCGAAAAGGGGCUGCCGCUGAGUGGGGGAAUCAAGACUCGUCCAAUCCCACCCCAGUUGAAGUUCCCACCUGUCCCGCGUUAUUCGGGCGAAACUGACCCGAAGGAGUUCCUCUCCAUCUACGAGUCAACGAUCGAAGCGACUCAUGGUGAUGAAAAUACCAAGGCGAAGGUAAUACAUCUCGCUCUAGACGGUAUCGCCCGUUCUUGGUAUUUCAAUUUACCAGCCAAUAGCAUUUACUCAUGGGAGCAAUUGCGCGAUGUUUUUGUCCUUAACUUUCGAGGCACCUAUGAGGAGCCGAAGACGCAACAACACCUUCUUGGCAUUCGCCAAAGGCCGGGGGAGUCGAUAAGGGAGUACAUGCGUCGCUUCUCGCAAGCCUGGUGCCAAGUUCAAGACAUAACCGAGGCGUCGGUUAUAAACGCCACUUCGGCCGGUCUGCUUGAGGGCGAACUAACAAGAAAAAUCGCCAACAAGGAGCCGCAGACGCUCGAGCACCACUUCGCAUCAUUGACGGGUUCGCAAGGGGCGAGGAGGAUUCUAAGCGACGACAAGCUAUACAAGUUGAGUACGAUAAAGCCUCCGUCGCCGCUGCUCAAGCUCAAGCACAAGUUCAAAUUGCCGAACCACCUCCCCUCUCUGUUCGCCAGUCUCAGCCGGCGAUCCAGGGACAGCCGCCAAGGCAAAGCCAAGCCCCCAUGACUUGGAGAAAGUUCAGAACAGAUCGGGCGGGCAAGGCUGUGAUGGCUGUCGAAGAAGUGCAAGCCCUCCGCAAGGAGUUCGACGCCCAGCAAGCAAGCAACCAUCAGCAGCCAGCCCGCAGAAGGUCCGAAAAGACCUCUACUGCGCCUUUCACGGACGCUCUUCGCACACCACGGAACAAUGCCGAAACAUUAGGCAACGUGGCAACGCGCAAGACCCAAGGCCGCAGCAAGGAACAACUGUCGAAACACCCCGUGAAGCAGUUCAGGAGCAAAUACCCCCAGCCGAACAACGCCAAUAUACACAACAAAGGAUAAUCCAAGUGAUUACAAGAGCUGACCCGCCAAGCCAGUUGUCGAAACGGCAGAGGAAGAUGCAGAUCCGUACGGUCCACAUCAUCACUUCGGCAGGUGAGGGGGCGCCACAGUACGUGAACCAGCUGAUCCCUUUCGGGCCAGAAGACGCCGAAGGAGUCCUGUUCCCGCAUCAAGAUCCACUAGUAAUCUCAGCUGAGAUAGCCGGUUUUGAAGUCCGACGAAUCCUGGUCGAUGGAGGGAGUUCGGCUGACGUGAUCUUCGCCGAAGCAUAUGCUAAGAUGGGCUUGCCAACCCAAGCUCUUGCACCGGCACCAACGUCGCUCCGGGGGUUCGGCGGAGAGGCAGUGCAAGUUCUUGGCCAAGCACUUUUGCUGAUAGCUUUCGGCUCGGGAGAAAACAGGCGCGAAGAGCAAAUACCGUUCGACGUCGUCGACAUCCCAUACAACUACAACGCUAUCUUCGGCCGUGCAACCCUGAACAAGUUCGAAGCCAUUUCCCACCACAAUUAUCUCAAGCUCAAGAUGCCUGGCCCAACAGGAGUGAUAGUAGUCAAGGGGCUUCAGCCUUCGGCCGCUUCAAAACGCGAUCUAGCCAUAAUCAACAGAGCAGUGCACAAUGUUGAGGCCGAACCGCAUGAGCGGCCCAAGCACACGCCGAAGCCCACCCCUCACGGCAAGAUAACAAUAGUGCAGAUUGAUGAUGCCGACCCCACAAAGCUCGUAUCACUGGGGGGCGACAUGGGCGAAGAAGAAGUUGAGAGCAUCCUAGAGGUACUCAAAAAGAACAUCGAUAUCUUCGCCUGGAGCCCUGAUGAGGUGGGGGGCGUCCCGGCGGAUCUCAUCAUGCAUCACUUAGCAGUCAAGCCGAAUAUUAAGCCAAGAAAGCAAAAGUUGCGCAAGAUGUCUGUCGAUCGCCAAGAAGCGGCGAAGACCGAAGUACAAAAAUUACUCCGAGCGGGGGUUAUUCAAGAGAUUGACCAUCCGGAGUGGUUGGCUAAUCCAGUGCUGGUGCGGAAGUCAAAUGGCAAAUGGCGCAUGUGUGUCGAUUUCACAGACCUGAACAAGGCAUGUCCGAAAGACGAUUUCCCCUUGCCGCGAAUCGACCAGCUCGUGGAUGCGAGCUCAUGAGUUUCCUGGAUGCAUAUUCCAGUUACCACCAGAUCCACAUGAACCCGCUCGACAUCCCCAAAACAUCCUUCAUCACUCCAUUCGGCACAUUUUGUCACCUUAGGAUGCCUUUCGGCUUAAGGAACGCAGGAGCAACCUUCGCCAGGCUGGUGUACAAGGUCCUUGGCAAGCAGUUGGGGCGAAACGUGGAAGCUUACGUCGACGACAUCGUCGUAAAAAGCCGCAAGGCUUUCGACCAUGUGUUCGACCUGCAAGAGACGUUCGACAGCUUGCGCGCGGCAGGCAUAAAGCUGAAUCCGGAGAAGUGCGUAUUCGGCGUCCGCGCAGGCAAGUUGUUGGGUUUCCUUGUUUCCGAAAGGGGCAUCGAGGCGAAUCCCGAGAAAAUCGAUGCCAUCCAGCAAAUGAAGCCUCCGUCAAGCGUACAUGAAGUACAAAAGCUUACAGGCCGAAUUGCAGCACUCAGUUGAUUCCUCUCAAAGGCGGCCGAAAGAGGUUUGCCCUUCUUCAAGACCCUCCGGGGCGCGGGAAAGUUUAAUUGGACACCAGAGUGCCAAGCAGCAUUCGACGAGCUAAAGCAAUACCUACAAAGCCCACCAGCUCUGAUAUGCAAUGGUUCGCCACAUCUAGCGAACACCAAAAGAAAACUAUGAAAAUUUAAGAGAAGGGCGGAGAGCCUCACACCUCUGGGUGGUCCCGGGCAUCGCCUCCACCCCCUCCGGCCGCCAUGCCUUCAUCUUCACAAAGGUCCGCCGCCUCUGCUUUCGCCAGCUGCGCCAAAAGGCGCGCCUUAGCGGCGGAGCGGCCGUCCUUCUGCCAAAAUUGUUUUCGCCAUGCACGAAGCGCGGGCGAAAUGUCUUGCGCACUGAUUUCCCAAUCCCCCUUCGCGUACUUGGGGAACUCGGCGAUGUGCUCGCAGCCGAACUGCUGCAGGAGGCCCAUGGUAAAGGCCGCUCAUACGCGUGCACAGCAAUCGCCGUAUGCGGUGGCGCAGUCGGAAACCGAACCACCAGCCUGUUGGGUCCAUUCGGAGAAGUCGAAGGCUGAUGCAUCUUCGGAGGGGACACCCCGCACUUUCGUGCCCAUGUCAGUAAGGGUGAGGCGAAGCGUUUGGCACGCUGUCCGCGAGGACUCGGUGGUUUUCCCCAUCUCCCGUGAAAACCGCCGCGACUCCUCUGCAGCACUUGCUUCAGCCUUGUGAACCUCCUGCCGAAGAGCCUCCAUCUUCGGCUCGGUGAGGUUGUAAUAAUCUAUGAGCACGGCGGUGUGGGCUUUCUCCUUCUCCAGUUCGGCCUUCAAGCGAUCAACUUCGGCCCUGGCUUCUUUCCCUUUCUCCAGUUCCGAUUGGAGCCGCUUGUUUUCAGCCUUCGCCUCCUUAAGGGAGUUGGCAAGGGCCUCCGUCUCCAAAUUUUUGUGGCCCAGUUCGUCAUCCUUUGGCCCGAAGACGGCUUUUGAACCCAUCAAGUCGAGCUCGCACGGUUCGCUCCGUUGAGCAGUGAGCCGCGAGGAUCUGGGCGCAGAAUACGAGCGGCGAAGAGAACAAGUGUCAAAUGUAAAAACAAGAUAGAGGAAGAAUAAAGAUAAAAAAAGGGGGGGAAAAAAACGUACCCGAACAGCCAGGCGAGCACCCCUCGUCGAACUCAUUCAGUUCGGUGAACAUGCUUGGGGCACUGGCGGGCAGUACAAGAUUGCUUACCCCCUCCACAAAAGGAAGGAGGUCCGCUCGCGUCUCGAAGUCGCCAGGGGCGAAGCGGGGUACCGAGAGCGAAUAUUCCAAAGCGGACGUCUCAGCGACCGCUCUCUUUCCCUUCGCCUCCAUCAGCGGCGAUGCAACCGGCUGAUGCGGAGGAUUGCCGAAUACUUUCGCCGCGGCCGUCACAAUCCUUUACGCAGAAGCCGAAGCCCCAGCGGCGGUACUACCAUCCACUCCAGCGGCGCCAAUUGGCGGAAUGGGGGCGGCCGAAAGAUCCAGGCUGCGACCAGUGGGCGAAGUCGGAGUCCCGUCGGAGGACUCGUUGUCGCUAAAAACGCGAGCGACAUCGACGAGUCCUUUCGUUUUAGCCACCUUUUUGAUAGGACCUCCCUUCGCCGCCGCGCCCGAAGAGAACGCAACUAGGGCCUUCGCCCCUUCCAAAUCCUUCCGACGAAGGGGGGAGCUGUUCGACUCCACCCCGGUUUCGUUGUUACCAGGACUUGGGGUAGGAGUGUACCCUGGGGUGUCGGCGCGGUUUCGACCGCCUCACCCGCGGCCUUAUCAGCCACAGCCUCCACCUCCUCCUCUUCCUCUCCUUCCUCCUCGCCAUCACAUUCUUCGGCAUCAUCCUCGUCGUCGGCGUCGGAGUCAGACGAAGCAGGAACCCUUCGCUUCUUGGGGGCAAGCUUCACUUGUCCACGCAUCCGCUUUCGCGAAGGCCCUGCCUCGUCAUUGGCCUUUUGGGGAUUCGCCCGGGGAGGCAGUUCGCCAUUGUAAACCCGGUUCGCCCGCCCAGCCGCUUGACGCGUUAACAGCUGACUAUACUCGACAACCGAAACAUCGCCGAUCAUCCUGCGGGCUUCGGCUUCGGCCUGAUCGAGGGUCAACACUGUAAAAGUAAAGCGUGAAGCUACGUCAAAAGUCAAAUAAGGCGAAAUAACAAAGCACAGCAGUAUAUAGCAAAAGAACAGUCUUACUGUUCACCCCCUCAGGAAGUAUCAGGUUCGGCAAACCGUCGACUUCUUUGCCUUGUUCAACCGCGACUUGCCAUGACUGGGAGAGGGGAAAAAUGCGAAGCAUACAAAAUUCCUCCACCAAGUCACGACAGCUAAGGCGGGAGCAAACCUUCCGCAGUAGAACGAACCGCGCCUCCAUGGCGCCGUUCACAGCAAUAUUGGGUCUCCGAUUCGGCGUAAUCGCCCUACGCCGACACCGGAGGGAUUUCGCUGAUUCAGAACCAGCCUUGAAGGGGAUGGUGUGGUAGAACCACCUCGCCAUCCAAUGGCGGUCCCACUUCGACAUAGCAGCGUUCACCAGCCAGAGAUCGGACCGCUCGGGGCGAACAUUGAAGUUCACGCUCCCGAACACGGUUUUUUUCGUUCCAGCCGGGGUAAUCACCGUCUUCGAGUUCACGGUGGCGAAAAAUAUGGCGCCAAAGAGCUCGGCGUUGGGCUCAAACCCAAAAGUCCGGCACGCCCAGUCGAAGAUAGCGAUCCGAACAAGCGCCGAUGGGCUCAGCUGCGGAAGUUCCACCUGGAAGAGGCGAAGGAUCUCCGGCAACAACACGUUGUAGGGAAACCGUAGCCCUGCCUCAAAAAAUACGGCGAACACCACCGUCCGGUUGUCGACAGGUUUCGUGUCACGUCCCAAAAUGACUCUAAAAUACAUCCUCUAAAUUAUGCCUAGAAUAAUUAAAAUCCAUGUGAAAGCCUCCAAAAAUUAAAAUGUGCAAAGUUAAAAGUCAAAUAAGGCUUGGAGGAUUUUUGUAUAUUUCCUAAAAGCCUAAAAUGUGUAAAUAAAUUUUAGUGGAAUUUUCAGAGCACAAAUAAUAAUUAUGAAGAAAUAAACAAAGUUAAAAUAAUUUUAUAAAAAGAAAAACCCUAAAAAGUCCCCCUUCCCUCCCUUGGGCCGGCCCGGCCCAUCUCUCCAUCUCCCUCCCCCUCUCUCUCCUCUCCCCGUGGCCCAUUCGGCCUCCCUCCCCGCGCGCGCGCCGCUGACGGGCGGGCCCGCCCGCCACCCUCGCUGACGCGUGGGGCCCACCCGUCAUCCCCGACCUCCCACCGCUCCCGCCGCCUCCCCCGAGCCCUAGCGCCGCCGCCGCCGCGAAUCCCGCCGCCUCCCGCCGUCCCCGCGUGCAAUAAAGUGGGGGGAAUCACUCCCCGUGAUCCCCUCUCCCUUUCCCCCCAUUUUUCCCUCCCUCUCUCCCUUGGAUUCGUUUGGAAACCCCUCCCCUAAUCCCGCCAGCGCCAUUGAUGGAGCCCGAGAACGCCGCGCCGGUUUCCUUCCUUCUCCGACCGCCCUCUCUCGCCCCGGCCCUAUUUAAACCCUCCCCGCGCCUCCCUCGCCCGUUUCCGCCCCUUGCCGCACCGUCUCUCCGCCGGAAUCGAGCUCGCGACGUCGCUCUCUCUCUCCGCCGUCGCCGCCGAGCUCCGGUCCGCCGCCGUCGUCGCCCCGGACAGCCUCCCACCUCGGCGCCGCCUCCUCCGGCAUCGCCGCACCGCCGUCGACCCCGUCCACCCCCUCGCCGGGUCCGCCGACCGCCGGAACGCCGUCGACCCCGUCGACCCGAGCCGCGCCGCCGCCUUCCUCCGCUCCGGCUGCCUAGGGUGAGCCGUCGCUCCGCCGUGCCUAUGGCCGCUCUCUCUCGGCCUCCCGUGCCUAUUUCCCCCUUCCCUUCCCCUCUCUCGGCCGCCGCUCCGCCGUGCCUAUGGCCGUCGCCGGAGACCAUAGGGGCGCGGGCACCGCCUCCCGCCGGCCGCGCCGAGUGGCCGCCUUCGUGCGCACCGAGUGGCCGCCGCGUGGGGCCCGGCCGUCAGCCGCCCGCGCCCUCGGGUGCGGCUGACGCGUGGGGCCCACGGCGCCGGCCGGUGCGAGCCCGGGUGCGCCCGGUCCACCGUGGACCGUGAGGCUGCCGUGUGGGCCCCACUCCCGUGGACCCGGUACGCGCGCCCCCUCCCCUCGGCUGACGCAAUAAACCCUUUUUAAAUUAAAUUUUAAAUGAAGAAAUUCGCAAAUAUUCAUUUAAAGAGCAUAUAAACUUCAAAUGGCCAUAACUUGGCCAUUUGAACUCAGAAUUGGACCGUUCAAGUCUCUAAUUUUUCCUUAAGAAGUCAAGAACCCAAUUUUGUGCUUUGUUCCUACUUGUUAUAUGGAGUUUAUUAGAGUAAAAGCCUUUUCUUUUCCGUUGGUCGUGUAGACGCUGCAGCUUCGGAAGAUCCGCUCUUCGUGGAGGUUGAAGCCGACGUUUGGGAAAGCGAGCAAGACAAGUCACAUCAUCCUUGAACAUAUUGAAUCCCAGUUUAUAAAAUUAUUUUGAUUUAAAUUAUUGCAUUAUCGCUUUGUUUAAAUUCCCACGUUAUCACUGUUUUAUCUAGCCAUGCCUAUUUACCUUUGUUAUGACCUUAUUAAUGUUAUUGUUAUUAUUACCUUGUUCACCCUAGAAUAAACAAAACCCCAACUAGUGGACAACUCUAGACUUUGGGAAUAUUCUCAUCACCUGGACACUAUGGAAUGGAUGGAUUAUUGUGGAAUUGGAUUCACACCUCCCCCUCUAUUCAAAACCCUCAAAAUGGUUUUAGGCUGGGCUCGGGGUGUAUGGUUUUGAUAGUAGCACCUCGGCCAUAUAAGGACCGGUCUUCGGGCCUCUGUUGCAAAGCACUACCGUACUUCCACAUGUCUAGUGGGUAAGGCUUAGUUUGUGGCUCAGUCUGGUUAUAAACAAAAGUACACGGAUGGAGAUGGACGAAGUCGGGGGUCGAUGGACAUCUCUAGGGCAAAUGAAGGCUACACGAGCUGCGUCUCGGUAGUCGAAAUGUCAUGGCACAGGACCGGUGUCCUGCUGCUAGGGGCUCAGUCCUGCCUACCUGUCCCGGGGGUUCCGGCCGUAGGUGGGGUUGGGUCGGUACUCUUGUCUAUGGCUAGGAUGGGUUGGAAACUAUGUCACGUCUUCCGUCCGUAUACCAUGGUGGUAUGUGGCAUGUGGUUACACGUGAGGAAGAUGUGUCUUGUGGGUAAAGAUGUACACCUCUGAUCAGAGUAUAACCUAUUCGAAUAGCUGCGCCCUCGGUUAUGGGCAAGCCGAGCAAUGUACCCAAGUUAGUGUUUUUAAUUCUUAAAACCUGCUUAACAACUAAAAUGUGGAAUGGUUGGCCUGGGUUGGCUUGGGACGAGCUGGGACCCAGGGUCGGGUUGCCAGUUCGGUCUGAAUCAUCGUAGGCCUUGGGUUAAGGCAGGUUCGUGUGGGUUCACGGCCUUGAUUAAUAAUAUUGUAUAGCUCUAGGACCGUGUUUACAAAAUAGCUUUGAGCAACUAAGUGUCUUUUAAUGCUGUUUACUGCAAACCCUAACCCCCUAAUUUAUGGCUCCCUUGUACUCCCUUGCAUUUAUUCUGCACUUGUGGGUGUGUCUUGUUGAGUACGGUGGUUGUACUCAGUCUUGCUCAAUUUUUCCCAAACCCAGAAGAGGAGUUCCUGGAAGAUGAAGGCUUUGGUGUCUAGCUCGUGCCUGCCAUCAAGCGCCUGUGGUCGUCGCCCUAGUCUUCCGCUGUUUUUCGUUUGUCUUCUUGUGUGCUGGGUCUUCGCCGCCCAUGUAAUUAAUUAAUUAGGCUUCCGCUUGUUAAACUCUGAAUUGUAUCAACUUUUGGUGUACCUUGCCUCCUGGGACAAGGAAUAAUGCACGCACUUAAGGAACGCCCGUUGGGUUAUUUCCGGUCGUGACAUUUCGGCACCACGGUUUUCCCUGGGGCGAAAGCCUGCCCCUCAACCAACGCUCCGGAGCUGACCAGCUUCGCCAGCUCGACGUCAUCCACAAGAGAGACCCCCAGAAAGGCGGUGCUGUCAUCAUCGACUCGGCUAGGAUCUGGCCCUUUCGCCGAAGUAGGGUUUGGCUAACGUGGGGCCAUGGCGAACGGUGCGUUUGCGGUGGCGAAAAGAGAGAUUCGGCGAAACGCCUGAAGGGUCGAAAGAUGCUGUGAAAGGAAGAGACGGAGAAAGAGAGCGCGCACGGUAAAAUGGCAAGUGUGGCGGUGAAAAGGAAAGAGCAACGGGAAUAUAUAGCCCGCCCAAGCGACCGUUUGCCUACCCACCAGUAAUAAAGCGCCACGUGUCGCAAGGGUAGGCGAAACGGUAAAUUCCCGUCGACCGAGCGGCACAGUAAAAAGCCCAAGAAAGGAAGGCCCAAUACUGUUCCGUUCGGCCCAGGAAAAAAGAAUAUAUAUAACCAUCAAUCGCACGAGGCGAAGCGCGGCAAAAUAAUACUAGCCGCACAAGUAACAAACUUCAUUUGCAGGAAUAAUGUAGGUUUCGCCAGGAGCAUCGGUCGAAAGGGGGCGCCACAUACCAUACCACAUAUUUUACACGGUCUCGGCCGAAGCUCCAAUCUCACCCGUGCCCGUGAGGGGCUUGUUGGCGGAUGGCAUGAGGCUCUUCGACCAGAUCUGCCGAAACCUGUGGCGAAGGCUAUGGAGCAAGAACGGCGUGAGGCGAAGAGUCGCGCGAGGGCCUUGUCAGGCCAGGGGCAUCUCGGGCGAAGGGUGCAAGGCGAAGACUAUCUGCCGAAGGAAGACGACUUCGCCAUGGCAAGUUCGCCCUCGCAAGGGCCAAGGAAGCCUUUCCGGCCCAUCAAGCCUAAGGGCCGGCGAUCGCUAGACGGCCCAUCAGGGGCCCAUGAGACCCUAUAACAUUAUGUACCCCUGUAAAUGUCCCUUUCAUAAGGGUAAUCAUGUAAAUUCCCCUGUACAACCUAGAUCCUAGUACUAAGAGCCUGCAACAGGGCUAUAAAUAGCCCCCUAGGGCCAUGUAACGGGGGAUCCCAAGUGAAAUUAAAAAUUUAGUACACUUCAUUUUCCCAACCACUGUUGAGUAACCACGUCCUUCGACGUAUGCAGUUGUCGUUUCGACAACAGGAAUGGACGGCUAGGAAUCAAGGAGAAAAUGUACCUUGGUUCAUUAUAUAUAUAUAUAUAUAUAUAUAUAUAUAUAUAUAUGAUAAUUUGUUCAAUGAAAAAAGGGUUACUUUAUUUUGUUAUAAGUUACUUCUAUAAUAUAUGUAAAUUACUUUUAGGCUUUACUGAAUUUACUUUUAUAUGUCUAAGAAGUAACUUCGUGAAAUCUAAAAGUAAUUUAGACAUAUCAUAAAAGUAAUUUGUGAUUUUUCAUCAAAAUAUAAUCAUGUGAGAUUUUGUUGUAAAGAUUUAAUUAUUACGAACACAAUGGUAUAAUCGGAUUGUAAAUCGGAUGAGUAAUUUAAGAGAAAAUUUUAUUUGAAGCAUAGAUGAUAGGAAUAUUUCCCCUACUUGCUCAAUGGAUUAAUAGCAACCAAAACUCCUAAAGUUCUAGCACGUGGGUGUCUCUGGUUAAGACUAAUUGGAGAGGCCUCUCCAAUUAGAUUUACCGAUAUUAUAUGCAUAUGCAUAUAUUACAAUUCUUUCGGACUUUAUAUUUAUUGUUUCUGUCGUAUACUGCUUCAUCUCAGAAGAAGAAGGACCGGCUUGAAGAAGAGACUUUCCGUCGUAAUAGAAUUCUCCCGCGGGAUCAAUAAGCUGCACAUUGAUGAAUCUCAUCAGUUGUUCUUGAACAGCCAUUAUGAAAUCUGCGUGAGUGAGGUCUUCCCUCAUGUAAAUCACCUAUCAUUUGAAAAAAUAAGAUAUAAAUAUAUGAAAUCAAUAAGCUAAUGGAGACAUAAUUAAUGUAUGAAUAAUUUUACAUACUUCCAGGUCCCUGUCAGUGCUGAUUUGGUGUGCUAGGCAGUGGAUAUACUUGCAGACGUAGUUGCCGCAUAAGUUAGUCCUCUGAUCCUGCUUUGCACACUAAAAAAGAAAUGACAAGAGAUUUAAUAUACAUUUCUAUUUUAGAACAAAUUAAUGAUUCAAUAUAAUAUUGGAGCAUUUACUCACUAGAAAAGUAAACCUUUCAUGGAAGAACCCAUUCCCCCAAGAAACAACACCACGUGGCUUGUUAAUUAAACAUAUGACGUGUACGUGUACAAGUAAACGUUAAAAAUUAUGGUCAACUAACUUUGCGCACACAACUUCAGUAACCCCUCGUGCGAACAUGAUAACGAUAUGUAAACAAUUUAAUCAGUUGCUAGACGACCUUUCAAAUUAAUACGUGCUUUUAUAAAUCGUUUUGUAUCUAACUUACAAAAAAUGAGGUAUAAUGCCAUGAAGUAUUUGGCUAAUGCUUCUAUACCGACGGUACCGUCACAACUCACUACCAGAACCCAAAAUUUAGUUUUGCUCCACAGUAACAAGGGUGCUAUGAUUUAAACUCUAAAAUAUGUAGGCGUUAAAUCUAUAAAUUUAUGAUAAAUUUAGUGUUAAAUAUAUGUAGUUUUCUAAUAGUUUGAUCAAAAUGCCUAUAGAUUAGGGAAAUUUAACGACAACACAAUGAUAUAAUUUUUUUGAGAGGAAUAUACAAUGAUAUAAUUGAUCAAAGAUUGGAUAAAAAAUUUAGGAAAAAGAACAAUUGAAGAGCUAGCAUUUUAGCUAUUUAAUGUUGUAUAUUUGUUUUCAUUGCUGUGUGGUUAUCUUGUUAUCCUACACCCAAACAUAUAUAUGAGUUAUACUAUUAGGUGAAGUAAUAUUACAAGCAAAGUGGAUUAAAGACCAAACCAUGCGGGCAAAACGGCAAUUAAAAAGCAAAUGUUUAAUAGUUUCCUCUUCGUGAUAGAAAGAACAAGUCUUUCUUCCUCUCUAAUUCAUUUUUAUCAUGAUAUCUUUUGUUAAAACUGCUACCGGACAUAAGUACCAUAAAAAGAUAUUAAUCUUUAGGGGCCUUUGAUCUUCUAAAUUCUUUUCCUUCUUUUGGGAACACUGGUCUGCACCAAUGCAAGAUCAAGAGAUUUAACCGAGAAUCUCCCAUCAUUGGUUAGAUUCCAUUUAAACUCGUUGGUCGUGAGAUAAUAUAAUAUUAGCGAUACAUGAGAGAAGAUGAUUCAAUGCUACUAACUUAGAGCGAGUAAGGUUCCUAUGCCAAGAAAAAAUUAGACGACUAGUAUGAAAAAAUUUUGUAAUAGACACAAGGGUAUUGUUCUCCUAUACAUGCAGUCUAUUUAGGGAGUUUUUAUGGUCCAUCAACUAGUACCUCCAGGUACUGGUACCGCUAGGUACCAAAUGAAAUCCAACCGUUAAAUCAAGAGGGGUAUGAUUGGGAAAAAAAAAGAAAGGAAGUAGUGGUGGGGAACAUUGUUAGUGAUAUGCCCUAGAGGCAAUCAUAGUGAUGAUUGUGUCACAUACUAUGUUUACAUAUUUAUCCGACAUUGUUUAGAUAACUCCUUAUUGGUUAAUGAAUAUGUGAUUCUUUCAUGAGACUCUUUAUGUUGUUUGUUACUAUUUCUAAAGGAUUCCUGAUCAAAUAUCAUAUGUGGAACAAAUAUGUUUAUAUGAUCAGCACAUCUAUUAAUUGAUGAUCAUGUCUCAUGGAUCAUGGUAUAGAGAUACCAAAUUAAUAAUGUGGACACAUGUUGGUGAACAUGUUGUUGGAUAGACCCAACAUAAGACACUACAAAAGCCAUAUGUGUUGUGUCAUCAUUGAUCUCAUUGAGUAUUGGUGUUGAAUCCUUAGACCUAAGAUUAUCAUGAUUCUCAACAUGUGUAGUAGCUUACUUAGGGACUGCUAAAAGCUACUCCGUAAUUGGGUAGUUCUAAAAGUAGUUUUCGGGUAUGCUAUGAAACAUGUAGUGGGAUAUGAAUAAUCAAGAUGGGAUUUGUCGCGUCCCAAAACAACUCUAAAAUACAUCCUCGAAAUUGUGCCGAGAAUAAUUAAAAUUCGUGUGAAAGCCUCCAACAAUUAAAAUGUGCAAAUUUAAAAGUCAAAUAAGGCUUGGAGGAUUUUUGUAUAUUUCCUAAAAGCCUAAAAUGCGUAAAUAAAUUUUAGUGGAAUUUUCAGAGCACAAAUAAUAAUUGAGAAGAAAUAAACAAAGUUAAAAAGGUUUAUAAAAAGAAAAACCCUAAAAGAAGUCCUUUUCCCCCCCCCUUUCCCUCUUGGGCCGGCUCGGCCCAAUUCCCUCCCUCUCUCUCCUCUCCCCCGCGGCCCAUCGGCUCUCUCCCCGCGCGCGCGCCGCUGACAGGCGGGCCCGCCCGCCACCCUCGCUGACGGGUGGGGCCCACCCGUCAUCCCCUACCUCGCGCCGCAGCCGCCGCCCCGUCCGUGCCCUAGCGCCGCCGCCGCCGCGGAUUCCGCCGCAUCCCGCCGUCCCCGCGCGCCAUAAAGAGGGGGAAAUCACUCCCCGUGAUUCCCUCCCUCUUUUCCCCCUCUUUCCCCUCUCUCUCUCCCUCGGAUUCGUCCGGAUUCAAUCCCGCAAUCGUCGCCGGCGUCAUCAAUGGCGGCCGAGAUCUCCGCGCCGGUUUCCUUCCUCCCCGGCCGCCCUCUCUCACUCCCGUCCCUUUAUAAUCGCUCCCCGAGCCUCUCUCCUCCGUUUCCGCCACUCGCCGCUCGCUCUUUCCGUCGGAUUCGUGCUCGCGCCGUCGCACCUUCUCUCCGCCGUCGCCGCCGAGCUCCGGUCAGCCGCCGUCGUCGCUCCGGACUUCCUCCCGACUCGGCGUCACCUCCAUCGGCUUCGCCGCGUCGUCGUCGACCUCGUCCGCUCCUCCGUUUCGCCCGCCGACCGCCGGAGCACCGUCGUCCUCGCCGUCCCGAACCGCGCCGCCGUCUUCCUCCGCUCCGAUCGUCGUUUCCGCCGCCCUCGUCGUUCCGGGGUGAGCCGUGGACCGCUCCGUUCGUUUCCCCCUCCCCUCCUCUCUCUCGGGUGCCGCUCCGCCGCGCCGUUGGUCGCCGGCGGCGCCCAUCGGGGUGCGGGUGCGCCGCCUCCCGUCGGCCGUGCCGGCGAGGCCGCCUUCGGGCGCGCCCCGCGGCUGCCAGGUGGGCCCGGCCGUCAGCCGCCCGCGCCCGCGGGUGCGGCUGACGCGUGGGACCCACGGCGCCGGUCGGCGUCCGCCGCGUGCGCCCGGUCCACCGUGGACCGAGAGGCUGACGCGUGGGCCCCACUCCCGUGGACCCGGUCCGCGCGCCCUCUCUCUCGGCUGACGCAAUAAAUCCGGUUUUUAAUUAAAAUUUAAAUGAAGAAAUUCGCAAAUAUCCAUUUAAAGAGCAUAUAAACUUCAAAUGGCCAUAACUUGGCCAUUUGAACUCGGAAUUGGACCGUUCAAGUCUCUAAUUUUUCCUUAAGAAGUCAAGAACCCAUUUUUAUGCUUUGUUUCUGCUGUUAUGUGGAGUUUAUUAGAGUAAAAGCCUUUUCUUUUCCGUUGGUCGUGUAGACGCUGCAGCUUCGGAAGACCCGCUCUUCGUGGAAGUUGAAGCCGACGUUUGGGAAAGCGAGCAAGGCAAGUCACAUCAUCUUUGAGCAUAUUGAAUCCCAGUUUAUAAAAUUAUGUUGAUUUAAAUUAUUGCAUUAUCGCUUUAUUUAAAUUCCCGCGUUAUCACUGUUUUAUUUAGCCAUGCCUAUUUACCUUUGUUAUGACCUUAUUAUUAUUGUUAUUGUUAUUAUUACCUUGUUCAACCUAGAAUAAACAAAACCUCAACUAGUGGACACUCUACUUAUGGUAUCCCUAGUAUGAUUUUAGGUAGAUGCUUCGCAAUUUAAUUAGGUAACAUUAGGUGGUUUUUCAACUAUAGACUUUGGGAAAUAUUCAUAUCACUUGGACACUAUGGAAUGGUUUGGUUACUGUGGAAUUGGCUUCACACCGCUCCUUCUAUUCAAAAUCCCCAAAAUGGUUUUAGGCUGGGCUCGGGGUGCAUGGUUUUGAUAGUAGCACCUCGGCCAUAUAAGGACCGGUCUUCGGGCCUCUGUUGCAAAGCAUUACCGUACUUCCACAUGUCUAGUGGGUAAGGCUUAGUUUGUGGCUCAGUCUGGUUAUAAACAAAAGUACACGGAUGGAGGUGGAUGAAGUCGGGGGUCGAUGGACAUUCUCCAGGGCAAAUGAAGGCUACACGAGCUGCGGCCCGGUAGUCGAGAUGUCAUGGCACAGGGCCGGUGUCCUGCUGCUAGGGGCUCAGUCCUGCCUGCCUGUCCCGGGGGUUCCGGCCGUAGGUGGGAUUGGGUCGGUACUCUUGUCUAUGGCUAGGAUGGGUUGGAAACUAUGUCACAGCUUCCGUCUGUAUACCGUGGUGGUAUGUGGCACGUGGUUGCACGUGAGGAAGAUGUGUCUUGUGGGUAAAGAUGUACACCUCUGAUCAGAGUAUAAUCUAUUCGAAUAGCCGCGCCCUCGGUUAUGGGCAAGCCGAGCAAUGUACCCAAGUUAGUGUUUCAAUUCUUAAAACCUGCUUAACAACUAAAAUGUGGAAUGGUUGGCCUGGGUUGGCUUGGGACGAGCUGGGACCCAGGGUCGGGUUGCCAGUUCGGUCUGAAUCAUCGUAGGCCUUGGGUUAAGGCAGGUUCGUGUGGGUUCACGGCCUUGUUUAAUAACAUUGUAUAGUUCCAGGAUUGUGUUUACAAAAUAGCUUUGAGCAACUAAAUGUCUUUAAAUGCUGUUUACUGCAACCCUAACCCUUUAUGGUAUAAUUCCCUUGUACUCCCUUGCAUUUAUUCUGCAUUUGUGGGUGUGUCUUGUUGAGUACGGUGGUUGUACUCAGUCUUGCUCAAUUUUUCCCAAGCCCAGAAGAGGAGCUCCUUGAAGAUGAAGGCUUUGGUGUCUAGCUCGUGCCUGCCGUCAAGCGCCUGUGGUCGUCGCCCUAGUCUUCCGCUGUUUCUCGUUUGUCUCUGUGUGUGCUGGGCCUUUGCUGCCCAUGUAAUAAGUUAACUAUUUACGCUUCCGCUUGUUAAACUCUGAAUUGUAUCAACUUUUGGUGUACCUUGCCUCCUGGGACAAGGAUUAAUGCACGCACGUCAGGAACGCCCGUUGGGUUAUUUCCGGUCGUGACAGGAUUUGCCUCUCCUAUGGAGAGAUAUCUUUGGGCCCCUCGAUGUUGUAGAUUAUGGAAGUGCAUGGCCAUGACAAAGGUGAUUGAGGAGUCAAUCACAAGUUAUAUAAUCUAUCAACAGGUUCGAGUGAAUGUUAGAGGAUGGCACAUAUCUAGCCUUGAGCUUAAUCGAUAUCGUGAGGCAAAGGGGUUUAUACAAGUAUACACAAGAAGUUCAGCCGAUAUGGUCUUUACGUAUGCCCGGUGGGUCAAUACGUUCUUCUAGGAGCCGCUGUUGAUGUGUGGACCGAAAUGGAGUUUUCGGGUUACAGCCUAGUAUAUAUGAACCUACAGGGUCGCACGCUUAAUGGGGCGGAAUAAGGGGAUUGGAUAGAGAUCCAAUAUGAGCUUAAUUCAGAUAGGGAUCCGAAUAGGAGUUCUACGGGCCUUGGAGGCCCGAGUGAUGGAUCUUAUAUAUUCGUGAGGGGUGUGACCGGUGGAGCUAUUGCAUCACGUGAGAAACCCUAGCCGUCACUUCCCUCCCCGAGCAAAACCAUAGCCGCGCGCAGGUGCUAACACAUCAGCGCGUGGCGUUCCGUCCCUGUACGUGUGGAUACCGGUAGAGGCACAGCUGGUUUGCGGUGCUGAUCGGUGUGGGAGUACGGCGAGGAGAAUGCACGAGGAGGAGAAGGUCGAGCCGGUGCGAUCAACUACUUCCUCUAUAUCGACGCGCGCUACUUCGCGAGAGUUCCUUCGACUUCUCAGCAUCUUCUUCCGCUGCGCAGCGCGUCGAGUGGUAACGAUCUAUGAUCUAAUAAAUGCAUGGUUCCUGGUUUACGCGAUAGAAAAUUUUGAUUAAUGCUAUCGUAGCCUGCGCGUAUCCCAACAGUGGUAUCAGAGCCGCCUUGUAUAGUUUAUGAUCUAGAUCAUUGCAUAUAAUUGAUAUGCGAAUGUAGUAGAUGAGAUCUAUUAUGUUGUAUAUGAGUUCUUAGGUGAUCGGAACAUGAGAUGAACCGAUAGCUGCAUGGGUUGAUGAGAUCAAUCGGUAUGUGUGUUGGUGACUUCACUGGAAUGUCUAGUACUCACCAAGGCCGAGCGCGAUUGUGUUCAUCGGAUAGUCCGAUGUCCACUGGAACCGCACGCCAAUGAGAAAAUCGAGCCAAUGAGAUUGACUCGGUUUCGGCAUAAUUUGAUUACGCCGUUAAGGUUUUCACAUGGCGAAUCGUAGAUGAGAUCUAUGUACCCCGUGUUCGUUGCCCCUUAGAUUUCGCUUGGGGUUUUUAUGUCUAUCUUACUAUAUUGCUGUUAUAUAUUUGAUAUGACAUGGUAGGAUAGAUUCCCUUAGAAAAAUUAAGUGUAAUUUAUGCUCUUCCAAUAAUUGCACCUCUUACGGUUGUGAUCAUAAGUGAUGGGUUUGCCAUAGCAAAGUGUCACUUUUUAUCAUGAUAAAAUAGGAUAGAUGUCGGACAUCUAUAUGCGGAGAUUAUUGGUUUACUUGACAAGGUUAUCAAAACAGUUUUGGACCUUGGGGUAUAGGUUGAGUUGGACAUGGAGAUGUCACCCCAACAGCACAAGAGUCACAUAUGAUGUGAUUAGUAAGGUGUUUCUUACCUAUUUUGAUAGUUUUCUAGCUGUGAUGCCAAAGCUCACUAGACACUAAUAAAAUGAGGAUCUUGACUCACUAUGUUACUAGAGGGAAUUUUGUUUCACAAUACAUAGUGGGAGUAUCUUUUGUUAAAUUGUUUAAUGAAAGGUUAAAUGUAAACAUGGUGCUGCUUUUGCAUACACAUAUUUCUAUUGUAGAUCAUGGCAGCUCCUGCACCAUCCAAUUUUAACUUGCGGUCUAUUCUUGAGAAAGAGAAGUUGACUGGAACAAACUUUCAUGUAUUGGUAUCGCAACCUGAGAAUUGUUCUCAGGCAAGAGCACAAAGAGUUUGUGCUUGCACAGCCUUUUCCAGCUGACUUGCCCAACAAUGCUCCUGCUACUCAACAUAGAGAGCAUGAAAGGCGAUGCAAUCAAUACCUUGAUAUAAGCUGUCUCAUGCUUGCUACUAUGUCCCCUGAGCUUCAAAGGCAAUAUGAGGCAUUGGAUGCUCAUACGAUAAUCAUGGGACUACGUAACAUGUUUGAGGACCAAGCAAGAGCUGAGAGGUUUAAUACCUCAAAGUCCUUGUUUGCAUGCAGGCUUGCAGAAGGUAAUCCAAUGAGCCCACAUGUGAUCAAAAUGAUUGGUUACACCGAGAGUCUAGAUAAGCUUGGCUUUCCCCUUAGCCGAGAGUUGGCUACUGAUUUGAUUCUCCAGUCGCUCCCUCCCAGCUUUGAGCCAUUCAUAAUGUAUUUCAGCAUGAACAAUCUGAAUAGGACCUUCGCAGAAUUGCAUGGGAUGAUAAAGACUUGUCACGUCCUGAUAAAUUCAUCCCGAAAUAAAAAUCAUUUUCUAAAAGGAAUAAUAGAAUUAAUUAAAAUUUGAAAAGAAAUUGGCAAACACUAAAAUACGUACAAGAAAAUUUCGAAUGUGGCCCGGAGAAUUUUUGUUAAAUUCUCCUUGGUCUAAAAUGAGCCCUCAAAUUUUACUUGAAUUUUCAGAGCACCGGAAAUAUUUAUUAAGCAACAACAACUAUGAUCAAAGUUUAUUAAAAAGAAAACUUAAAAAUAAUCCUCCUUCCUCCUUUGGGCCAAGCCCAGCCCAAAGUCUCCCUCUCCUCCCUCUCUUUCCCUCCUCUCCCGGGCCUCUCCUCCUCCUCCCGGCCCACCUCUUCCCUCCCCCUCCCGGCCCAGCUCCCUCCCCUCCCCUCUCUCUCCCAGGCCUGCCUCUCCCUCCUCUCCUCAUGGGCCGCCUCUGGGCCCAAGCUGAGCGGCGCCCUCCCGCCCAUGCCGCGCACGUGCGUGUGCUGACCGCGUGGGGCCCACGCGCCGGUCGUCUUCCUCCUCCCGCACAGCCUCUUCUCUCUCCCGUGCAAACCUAGCGCCGUUCCUCCUCCAAAUUCGCCCCAAUCAAGCCGGCUCUUUCCAAAUUAAUUGGGGGGUUUUAAUCCCCAUUGAUUCCUCUUCAAUUCCCCCCAAUUUCCCCCUUGAAUCGUGCCCCCAAUCGCCGGGAACGGACGCGCCAACCCCGGCCACCUUCCAUGGCCGCCGGGCGCCUAUUCCGCCGCCGUUCCCCGCCUCUCCCGUGGCCGGCUCCCUCUCCUCCCCUAUAAAAUGGAAUCCCCAUCCUCCGUUCUAUCGUUUUAGCCCCCUCCCGCAUAUUCCCGUGGCCUCACCACCCCUUCCCGCCGUCGCCCUUCUCUUUCCCCCGCGCCGGCCACCUCCAGCCGCCUCUCCCUCCUCGCCCUAGCGCCGUCCGGCCGUGCCGUCGCCUUCCCCGGCGUCGCAGCCGCGUCCUCUUCCCCGGCGCUGCCUCCGAUCCGUGGGGAAAUCACCGGAGACGCGCCCCCGCCGGCGUCCAGUGGCGUCGCCGCCACUACACCGUCUCCGGCCGGCUGCUGUUCAUCGCCGGUACGCCGACCGACGUCGCCGUCUCCUCCGUCGACGUCGCAGCAUCGUCCUCUCCUCCGGCUGCUCCUCGGUUUCGCCGGAACACCGCCGCCGCCGCGCCGGCCCCUCCUUUCUCCUCGUCGACGUCGCCUUCGGUAGCCCCUUCCGCCGUGCCCGUGCGCCGGCCGACGUUGCCAUCUCCACCUCCGGCAUCACAGCGGCAAGGUCGUCCUCGGCCUCGCCUCCCCUCCACCCGAACACCGCCGGUGUCCGUCGUCGUCUUCACCGUUCAUCCUCGCCGGCUCGUCGUCUCGCGGCGCCGCCUCCGUCGUCGGCAUCGCAGCGGCGUGUUCCACGCCGUCCUCGUCUCCGUGCAGCCGCUGCCGGCUGCCAUCGUCGUCUCCUCGCCAGCCCCGGUCAUCGUCGUCGUCAUCCUCUCGUCGUUCCCAGUUUCGCUCGUCGUGGCGUUGGUCCCUCCGUCAAGCCGAUCGCGUUCGCCGCCCGUGGUUCAUCAAGCGAGCCGCUGCAGCCCCGUCGUCUUCGUCCUCACCUCCGCGUCGCCAAGCGUUGCGCCGGCCGCGUCUCGCCUUCGUCCAAGGAUCGCCGCCGAAGUCGCUCCCUCGCCGUUCGCCUCCGUCGUCUCCGAGCCAUCUCCGCCGCGCCCGUUCACCGUCGUCGUUCCCACGCCUCGUCGCGUGGUGGUAAGGAUCCGUCCUCUCGCUGCCCCGUCCUAGUCCUUUCGGUGUCGCCCGUGCCCGUUGUGCGGUUGUCGACCCCGGUACCCGUGUACUGGUGUCGGUAGUCGUUCGCUUGUGCGUGUAGUGUCCGUGUUAGUGUGUGUCGCGACCGGGAGAAUUGCCUUUUCCCGAACGCUAGUGUAUUAAUCCCCGUCCCAGGAAAAGCCGGGGUACACCACACAAACAUGAUAUAAGAGACACAUCUUUAUUAUAUCGAUAAUAUUUACAUUAUAACAAAGGCGCUUCAGGCCUGGCGAUCAAAAAUAAACAGCAGCGGACUAGCGGGCCUACGGCUCCAUCUUCACAGGCGCUCAACUGGGGUAUAAGCCAAGACUCCACCUAAGACUUCUUCUCCAAAACUUCUCUUACUGAGGGGGGAGAAAGAUAGAGCAAGAAUGAGUACAACCACAGUACUCAGCAAGCCACAUCGGAGAUGCAUAAUUAAUGCAAGCGGGGGUACAAGGGGAUAAUAAUAUAGGGGUUAAGUUUUGCGGAAAACAGCAUUUAAAAGCCACUUAGUUGACCAAAGCCAUUUAUAAAGACGAUCCUAGCGCUACACAAUAUUAUUAAUCAAGGCCGUGAACCUUCACGAACCUGCCUUAACCCAAGGCCUACGAUGAUUCAGACCGAACUGGCAACCCGACCCUGGGUCCCAGCUCGUCCCAAGCCAACCCAGGCCAACCAUUCCACAUUUUAGUUGUUGAGCAAAUUUUAAGAAUUAAAACACUGACUUGGGUACAUUGCUCGGCUUGCCCAUAACCGAGGGCGCGGCUAUUCGAAUAGAUUAUACUCUGAUCAGAGGUGUACAUCUUUACCCACAAGACACAUCUUCCUCACGUGCAACCACGUGCCACAUACCACCACGGUAUACAGACGGAAGACGUGACAUAGUUUCCAACCCAUCCUAGCCAUAGACAAGAGUACCGACCCAACCCCACCUACGGCCGGAACCCCCGGGACAGGUAGGCAGGACUGAGCCGCUAGCAGCAGGACACCGGCCCUGUGCCAUGACAUCUCGACUACCGGGCCGCAGCUCGUGUAGCCUUCAUUUGCCCUGGAGAAUGUCCAUCGACCCCCGACUUCAUCCAUCUCCAAUCCGUGUACUUUUGUUUAUAACCAGACUGAGCCACAAACUAAGCCUUACCCACUAGACAUGUGGAAGUACGGUAGUGCUUUGCAACAGAGGCCCGAGCUUAAUCCUUAUAGUGGCCGGGGUGCUACUUCCCACAACUGGCAUGCACCCAAACCCCACCGGAAAACAGGUUUUAGGGGUUUUGAAAGAGGAAGAGAGGUGUAUGUCCAAUUCCACCAUAAUCCAACAAUUCCAUAGUGUCCAGGUGAUAUGAGUAUUCCCAAGGUCUAGAGUUAUAAAACCACCUAAUGUUGCCUAAUUAAUCCGCGAAGCAUCUACCUAAAUUCAUACUAGUGGAACCAUGAAUAGAGUACCCACUAGUUGGGGUUUUGCUUAAUCUAGGGUGAACAAGGUAAUAAUAUCAAUAACAAUAAUAUUAAGGUUAUAACAAAGGUAAAUAGGCAUGGCUAAAUAAAACAGUGAUCACGCGGGAAUUUAAAUAAAGCGAUAAUGCAAUAAUUUAAAUCAAAAUAAUUUUAUGAACUGGGAUUCAACAUGUUCAAGGAUGAUGUGACUUGCCUUGCUUAGAGAGAACGGCCUUCCGAACCUUCGGCGACGACCGCGAACCACGCUUCGGGAACCUCCAGAACGACGAAGCUACGCGAGGCACACAAGCAAAGCUACAAGCCUAUAAAGAAGCAAUAACAAUACAUAAAAAGGAAGCACACGGUUCUUUAGGUUAUAACAAACAUUAAGAGACUUGAACGGGUCGAUUCGGAGUUCGUAUGACCAAGAUAUGAUCAUCCGAAGUUUAAUGCUGUUAUAUGGGGAUUUGCGGAUUAUUAUAAUUAAGCUUUGCAACUAUAAAACAUGUGCAAGCGCUAGCCUGGAAAAGACAGGAAGGCUGCGCCGUUGACAUGCGGACCCCACAUGUCAACCUAAAGGACCGCGGUAGACCGGGUACACAGAGACGGUCCACGGGUCGACGGAAGCGGACCCCGUGUGUCAACCGAGGCGAGUGGCCGACAAACGGACUCCACUAGACACCACACGGCCUGCACACGUGGAAACCACGCGGCUACCGAGCGGGCACACUAACGCGGACACUACACGGUCACCACCCGCACGCGUGAACGACUACCGACACCGGUACACGGCUACCGGGGCCGACAACCGCACAACGAGCACGGGCGACACCGAAAGGACGAGGACGGGGCAGCGAGGGAGAGGGAUCCUUACCACCACGCGACGAGGCGUGGGGACGACAACGACGAACGGGCGCGGCGGAGACAGACGGGCGCAACGGAGACGAACAGCGAGGGGACGGCUUCGGCGGCGAUCCUUGGACGAAGGCGAGACGCGGCCGGCACGAGGCUUGACGACGCGGAGCCGAGGACGAAGACGAGGACGGGGCUGCAGCGGCUCGCUUGACGAACGCGGACGACGGACGAGAACGGCUCGACGGAGGGACGAACGCCACGACGACCGGGAACGACGAGAGGACGACGACGACGACGACGACCGGGACCGGCGAGGAGGCGACGAGGACAGCCGGCAGCGGCUGCACGGGGACGAGGACGGCGUGGAACACGCCGCAGCGAUGAUGAUGACGGAGGCGGCGCCGCGAGACGAUGAGCCGGGCGACCGACGGGACGUCGAUCGGCGAGGACGAACGGUGACGAGGAAACGAUGAUGGCAGGCAGCAGCGGCUGAGCGGAGGAGGGGACGGCGUGGAACGCGCUGCUGCGAUGUUGGAGAAGGUGGUGGUGCAGCGGGGCGACGAGCCGACGAGGAGGAAUGGGUGGUUGGCGCGGCGGCGGCGUUCCGGCGAACUUCGGGCGAGGAGGAGGUGAUGCCGGGGAUGAGGGCGGCGUCGCGGAGCCGAGGGAGGUGGUGGCGACGUCGGCCGGCGCACGGGAAACGCGACAGUGGCGGCCGGAGGUGGAACAGUGGCGGCAACGCCACUGUUUUGCCGGCGAGGACGCGUCUCCGGUGCUUCCCCCGCGAAACGGAGGGCUGACCGAGGGAGAGGAGGUGGCUGCGAGGCCGAGGGAGAAGACGGCGCGGCCGGACGGCGCUCCGGUGAGGAGGGAGAGGCGGCUGGAGGCGGCCGGCGCGGAGGAAAGAGAAGGGCGACGGCGGGAACGCGCCUCCGGCGGUCACCGCGCGAAACGGAGGGCAGGCCGGGGUGGAGGAGGUGGCGGCGACGCUGGAGGAGGCGACGGCGCGGCCGGCCGGCGCACGGUCGAGGCGGCACAGGCGGCUGGAGGCGGCCGGCGGCGUGGGAGAGAGAGGAGGGCGGCGGGGAGAGGGCUAGGGACCACGGGGAGGCUCGGGAUGGGGUUAAAACGAUAGAACGGAGUGAGGGGAUCCCAUUUUAUAGGGUGGGGGCGGGAGCCGGGCUCGGGAGAGGGCGGAACGGCGGCGGGAAUAACGGCCGACGGCCAUGGAAAGCGGCCGGACUUGGCGCGUCCGUUCCUGGGGAUUGAAGGAACGAAUCAAGGGGGAAUUUGGGGGCAAUUGAAGAGGAUUCAAUGGGGAUUAAAACCCCCCAAUUAAUUUUGGAAUUGGCCAAUUGAAUCAAGCGGAUUUGGAGGAGGGAGCGAGCUAGGGUUCGCACGGGAGAGAGAGAAGCCGGGCGGGAGGAAGACGACGCGCCUGGCGCGUGGGCCCCACGCGGUCGGGCGCGCGGUCAGCGCGCGGCAACGGCGCGCACGCGCGCGCACGUGCGCGGCACGGGCGGGAGGGCGCCGCUCGGGUUGGGCCGAGCGGCCGGCCCAGGAGGAGAGGAGGGGGAGGCGGCCUGGGCCGGGCAGGCCGGGAGGGGGGGGGACGGCCCGAGAGAGAGAGGGGAGGGGGAGGGAGCUGGGCCGAGGGGAAGGGGGGCCCAAGAGGAGGGAGAGAAGGAGAGGGAGAGAAAGAGAGGGAGGAAAGGGAGACUUCGGCCGCGGGCCGAGGGGAGAGAGGGAGGACUUUGGGCCAGACUUGGCCCAAAGGAGUGUCACGUCCUGAUAAAUUCUUCUCGAAAUAUAAAUCAUUUUCUAAAAGGAAUAAUAGAAUUAAUUAAAAUUCGAAAAGAAAUUGGCAAACACUAAAAUACGUGCAAGAAAAAUUCGAAUGUGGCCCGGAGAAUUUUUGUUAAAUUCUCCUUGGUCUAAAAAGAGCCCUCAAAUUUUACUUGAAUUUUCAAAGCACCGGAAAUAAUUAUUAAACAACAAAAACAAUUAUCAAAGUUUAAUAAAAAGAAAAAUCUAAAAAUAAUCCUCCUUUUCUUUUGGGCCAAUUUUGGCCCAAAGUCCUCCCUCUCUCCCCUCGGCCCGCGGCCGAAGUCUCCUUUUCCUCCCUCUCUUUCUCUCCCACUCCUUCUCUCCCUCCUCUUGGGCCCCCCUUCCCCUCGGCCCAGCUCCCUCCCCCCUCUCUCUCCCGGGCUGCCUCUUCCCCCCCCUCCCCUCCCGGCCUGCCCGGCCCAGGCCGCCUCCCCCUCCUCUCCUCCUGGGCCGGCCGCCCGGCCCAACCCGAGCGGCGCCCUCCCGCCCAUGCCGCGCACGUGCGCGCGCGUGCGCGCCGUUGCCGCGCGCUGAGCGCGCGCCCCGCGUGGGACCCGCCUGCCAGGCCGGUCAUCUUCCUCCUCCCGCACGGCCCUCUCUCUCCCGUGAAAACCCUACUUAGUUCCUCCCUCGAAUCCGCGCGAUUUAAGCGUUGGAUUCCAAAAUUAAUUGGGGGGUUUUAAUCCCCAUUGAAUCCUCUUCAAUUGCCCCCAAAUUCCCCCUUGAUUCGUGCCUUCAAUCGUCGGGAACGCCGCGCCUUCCUCGGCUGCCUCCCAUGGCCGCCGGCCGCCAUUCCCGUCGCCGUUCCGCCCCCUCCCGAGCCCGGCUCCCGCCCCCAUCCUAUAAAAUGGAACCCCCUCUUUGCGUUCUAUUGUUUUAGCCCUUUCUCGAGCUCCCCCGCGGCCACAGCACCCCUCCCCGCCGUCGCCCUCUCUCUCCCGUGCCGCUGGACGCCUCCAGCCGCCCCUACCGCCUUGCCUGAGCGCCGCCCGGCCGUGCCGUCGCCUUCCUCGGCCUCGCAGCCACCUCCUCUCCCUCGGUCAGCCCUCUGUUUCGCGGGGAAAGCACCGGAGACGCGUCCUCGCCGGCAAAACAGUGGCGUUGCCGCCACUGUUCCACCUCCGGCCGCCACUGUCGCGUUUCCCGUGCGCCGGCCGACGUCGCCACCACCUCCCUCGGCUCCGCGACGCCGCCCUCAUCCCCGGCAUCACCUCCUCCUCGCCCGAAGCUCGCCGGAGUGGCCUCCUCGUCGGCGUCCAGUACCUCCCCGCCUCCGGCCGGCUCCUGUACGUCGCCGGUACGCCGAUCGACGUCGCCGCGUUGUCCUCUCCUCCAGCUGCUCCUCUGUUUCGCCGGAACACCGUCGCCCGUGCUGGCCUCUCCAUCCUCAUCGUCGCCGACGUCCCUUCGGCCGCCCGUUCAUCCUCGCCGGCUCGUCGUCUCGCGGUGCCGCCUCCGUCGUCGGAUUCGCAGCGGCGCGUUCCACGUCGUCCCCGUCUCCGUGCAGCUGCCGCCGGCUGCCCUCGUCGUCUCCUCGCUGGCCCCGGUCGUCGUCGUCGUCGUCCUCCCGUCGUUCCCGGUCGUCGUGGCGUUCGUCCCUCCGUCAAGCCGUUCUCGUCCGUCGUCCGCGUUUGUCAAGUGUGCCGCUGCAGCCCCGUCGUCGUCUUCGUCCUCGACUCCGCGUCGUCACGCCUCGUGCCGGCCGCGUCUCGCCUUCGUCCAAGGAUCGCCGCCGAAGUCGUCCCCUCGCCGUUCGUCCCCGUAGUUCCCGGCCGCCUCCGCCGCGCCCGUUCGUCGUUGUCGUUCCCACGCCUCGUCGCGUGGUGGUAAGGAUCCCUCCCCCUCGCUGCCCUGUCCUCGUCCUUUCGGUGUCGCCCGUGCCCGUUGUGCGGUUGUCGGCCCCGGUACCCGUGUAUCGGUGUCGGCAGUCGUUCGCUUGUGCGCGUGGUGACCGUGUUAGUGUGUCCGCUCGGUAGCCGCGUGGUUUCCACGUGUGCAACCCGUGUGGUGUUUAGUGGAGUCCGUUUGUCAGCCACUCGCCUCAGUUGACACACGGGAUCCGCUUCCGUCGACCCGUGGACCGUCUCUGUGCACUCGGUCUACCGCGGUCCUUUAGGUUGACAUGUGGGGUCCGCAUGUCAACAGCGCAGCCUUCCUGUCUUUUCUAGGCUAGCGCUUACACAUGUUUUAUAGUUGCAAAGCUUAAUUAUAAUAAUCCGCAAAUCUCCAUGUAACAGCAUUAAACUUCGGAUGAUCAUAUCUUGGUCAUACGAACUCUGAAUCGACCCGUUCAAGUCUCCUAAUGUUUGUUAUAACCUAAAGAACCCUGUGUUUUCUUUUUAUGUAUUGUUAUUGCUUCUUUAUAGGCUUGUAGCUUUGCUUGUGUGCUUCGCGUAGCUUCUGUCGUUCCGGAGGUUCCCGAAGCGUGGUUCGUGGUCGUCGCCAAAGGUUCGGAAGGCCGUUCUCUCUGAGCAAGGCAAGUCACAUCAUCCUUGAGCAUAUUGAAUCCCAGUUUAUAAAAUUAUUUUAAUUUAAAUUAAUGCAUUAUCGCUUUAUUUAAAUUCCCGCGUUAUCACUGUUUUAUUUAGCCAUGCCUAUUUACCUUUGUUAUGACCUUAUUAUUAUUGCUAUUGUUAUUAUUACCUUGUUCACCCUAGGAUAAACAAAACCCCAACUAGUGGGUACUCUAUUCAUGGUUCCACUAGUAUGAAUUUAGGUAGAUGCUUCGCUGAUUAAUUAGGCAACAUUAGGUGGUUUUAUAACUUUAGACUUUGGGAAUUCUCAUAUCAUUUGGACACUAUGGAAUUGUUGGUUUAUGGUGGAAUUGGACAUACACCUCUCUUCCUCUUUCAAAACCCCUAAAACCUGUUUUCGGUGGGGUUUGGGUGCAUGCCAGUUGUGGGAAGUAGCACCCCGACCACUAUAAGGAUUAAGCUCGGGCCUCUGUUGCAAAGCACUACCGUACUUCCACAUGUCUAGUGGGUAAGGCUUAGUUUGUGGCUCAGUCUGGUCAUAAACAAAAGUACACGGAUGGAGAUGGAUGAAGUCGGGGGUCGAUGGACAUUCUCUAGGACAAAUGAAGGCUACACGAGCUGCGGCCCGGUAGUCGAGAUGUCAUGGCACAGGGUUGGUGCCCUGCUGCUAGGGGCUCAGUCCUGCCUGCCUGUCCCGGAGGUUCCGGCCGUAGGUGGGAUUGGGUCGGUACUCUUGUUUAUGGCUAGGAUGGGUUGGGAACUAUGUCACGUCUUCCGUCCGUAUACCGUGGUGGUAUGUGGCACGUGGUUACACGUGAGGAAGAUGUGUCUUGUGGGUAAAGAUGUACACCUCUGAUUAGAGUAUAAUCUAUUCGAAUAGCCGCGCCCUCGGUUAUGGGCAAGCCGAGCAAUGUACCCAAGUCAGUGUUUUAAUUCUUAAAAUUUGCUCAACAACUAAAAUGUGGAAUGGUUGGCCUGGGUUGGCUUGGGACGAGCUGGGACCCAGGGUCGGGUUGCCAGUUCGGUCUGAAUCAUCGUAGGCCUUGGGUCAAGGCAGGUUCGUGUGGGUUCACGGCCUUGGUUAAUAAUACUGUGUAGCUCUAGGAUCGUCUUUAUAAAAUGGCUUUGGGCAACUAAGUGACUUUUAAAUGCUGUUUACUGCAAAACUUAACCCCUAUAUUAUUACCCCUUGUACUCCCUUGCAUUAAUUAUGCAUCUCCGGUGUGGCUUGCUGAGUACUGUGGUUGUACUCAUUCUUGCUCAAUCUUUCCCCUCUUCAGUAAGAGAAUGUUUGGAGAAGAUGUCUUGGGUGGAGUCCUGGCUUAUACCCCAGUUGAGCGCCUGUGAAGAUGGAGCCGUAGGCCCGCUAGUCCGCUGCUGUUUAUUUUUGAUUGUCAGGCCUUAAGUGCCUUUGUAAUAAUGUAAAUAUUAUCGAUAUAAUAAAGAUGUGUCUUUUAUAUCAUGUUUGUGUGGUGUACCCCGGCUUUUCCUGGGACGGGGAUUAAUACACUAGCGUUCGGGAAAAUGAAAUUUUCCCGGUCGCGACAAGAUGGUAUCAGAGCCAUCUCGACUGUAGGAUAAGCCAAGUGGAUAAAACCUAAGGACAUAUUUUAUAAAUAAAACUAUUUGUGAAAGUCCCUUUUUCCUCCUUUCCCCUGUGCUAUUUGCAAAAUGUUUAUUCUCUUUUCUUCCUCCUUCGGAUUUUCAACUAGUACUAGAUGGUCAGGUCAGUGAAGAAGAAGACAUCGUCAGUUGUCUGCCGAAGCUCCAGAAGACUGCAGGAUCCGCUAGCGAAGUGGAGGAAGCAGUGAAGCCAGCUAUGAAGCAGGAGUGAAGAUCUUGGGAACCCGUCGCAGAACCUAAGCCACCCUAUAGGGUAGUGUUGUUAGUCGCGUGUUCCUUGCUUGUGUGUGUAGCGCGUGGUUUGCAUCGGGGGGUUGUGAUGUAACCAUGCUAGGUUGUUUGCUUAAUCAACUUGCAGAAUAAGUGAAACAAACAGCACAUCAACAAGAAGAGUUAGUUCCUUUAAGGUCCUAUCCCUAGUUCUGGUCUAUUCUUUCCUGGCUUGUUUCCUCUCUCACCUGAAUCCCUGUAACAGAUGUUUAACAGAGAAAAAGGAAAGAAUGUCAGCGGGUAUACCUCAAGUAACUCAAGUUUUCAACUCAAUCCACCACUGGCCCCCAGAGAGUUAACAAGGGCACACCCUUGGUCCAUUCCGAGCAUGCUGUUUAGUUCACAGCUACCAUUGGUUGGAAGUCAAGACCAAAAUCAGUAUGUGUUUGAUCGAGCCUUUGCCACCCAAGUCAAUGAGCUUCCAAUGCCAGAAGAGCAGGUCCCCUUUUGUCAUGAUUGUAGAGAGCAAGGACACUAUGCCCUGAAUUGUCCAUGGGUAUAUGUCAAAGAAGCCCCUUCCCUUGGUUUAGCAGGGCAGACAUCGCUAAACCAGCCUCCUCACACCAAGUCAAGCUUGCAGCCUAGUGUGCAAAGUAGAGAGCUCAACGGAGAGAAUCCAUUGAAUCCCGGGAAAUGCUUUCCUCCUAGCCUCUCGUACCACGUGGGGUCACAUACUAAGCAAGCCAAAGGCAAGAAGAGUAAGAAUCAGAAGAGAAAAGCACCGAUGCGAACUGAAGAAGAAGUACGUAAGAUGACUAUUACCAGCACCGAAUGGCCUCCAGCAGGGAUAACUAUUCCUAGACGUCAAAGAGGAAAUACUUUCCGAGGUGCACGACAGUUGACCCAGCACCUCUUAAGCCAUGGUGGCAGAGUAUCUGAUAGUGAAGGGUCAGAUCAAGUCUCCUCGGAUGAUGAAGAUGAGUCUCCCCGACAUCUCGGCGAGGAAGAGAUGGAAUCAAAGGCAUGCACCCGUUGCGGGGAAAUUGAACACGUUGCUAGCGUGUGUCUCACACUCUGCACUCAUUGUGAAGAAGACCAUCCACCAGGGGAGUGUCCCACCCGCAAGGUCACAUGUUUUCUGUGCGAAGGUACAAACCAUGUGCCCAAGGAUUGCCAACUCAGUGUGUUGUUGACCAAGACCGCAGAAAUCCAACGAACAACCCUACGAUUGUCUCAUCAGCUAGUCAGCUCCAACAGCAACAUCGACGAUAUCAUCCACAGCACCAAUGCUCCUCUCGCUGCACCUGACUCUGCAGUAAGUCAUAGCGAUAAUACCUUCAGCACCAACCAUUCUCUGCACCGACCGCCUCAGCAAAGAAUUGUCAUCGAUGGAAGAAGUUGUGUCUCUCCCCGACCUACUCCAGGCCGAGCCAAGGACAAUCAACCUCCGGAGGGCGAUACCAAGCAGAAGACCGUUAUUCGCCUCAACCAGCAAUCAGAAGGAAACUUCUCCUGUGAAUGAUAGCAAUAUGCAGUCCUAUCACAUCAUCACAGAACCAAUCAAGGAUGCAGUCACUAGAACAAUGCUAGCUAUGUAUCCAUGUUUGUGAUUUUCAGUUCGCUACUUAUCACUGUAAUCGGGAGUUUGCGGCAAUCAUGUAAUAAAUAAAUAUAUUCAUGAUUAUAAACAAUGAGUUUGUUAUGUUUAUGGAAGAUUCAUGUUGAGGAUGCAAUGUACCAAUGCUAAGCACCUUUCCUUUUAGGCAAUGCUUAGUAUUCAUGUAAUGAGGGAGAAAUGUGUAAUACAGACAAGUUCUAUGAGGAUUCUUUUGGAAGAUGCGGAUAUGUGAUUAUGUGUAUAAUUGCUUACUGAUAAAGGAGACCUAGGGUCUCAUUCCAGAGGAACUAUGUUCUAACCUCGAGUUAAUAACCAACCUGAUGAUGGAAAUGAAAAUCAAGCGAUUAACCAAAGAGACAUUUGUUUGGACAAGAGUUUCAGAUGUGUCUUUUUCGGAUGUCAGGGUUGAAUGUGUAAAGGAAUACUUUGAAUGCUAAAUAAUGACAACAUGAAGGGAAUAGUGGGAAGUAAACUGAAUGUAAAGAAAGUGAAUCCGAGUUGCCUGUUCGUGGGAACUAUUCCCAGUUAUGAACCAAGUGAAAUGUUCGAAGAUAGUCUAUAGAGGUCAGAUUAAAAUUGCAUCUAACAACAAAGCUUCAGAUUUGGCAGGAAAACGAUCAGACAAUAACAAGUUCAGCAGUAAAGUCAUUUAGGAAGACGUCAAAGCAUGUCAAGUGGGAUAAGUUGGUUCUGUUGAGAAACAUAAUUCAAAGGCAAAGUUAUCGACCCUCGCAUCGAAUAGCAGAAGUAGCUAGCACCCGGAGACCAGGAAAACUAAUAUGAGGCAGUUUGUGGCAAGAUAGAAGUAAAUGACAAGCAUGAUAUUCUUAUGAUGACGAACAUGGUAUCCUAGUAAUGACCAGCUAGUGUUGACGCAUGACAUGAAGUGGUAACUUGUAUGAGGUUGACGCCAAAGAUAUGAACUAUGAGAAGUUCUGGAUCUGAAGCCCCAUCAUCAAGUGCCACAACCCAGUCGAAGUCAGCUAAAGGUUCAACCAGGGACAAGUCGGGUGAAGAGAAGAUUCUAUCCGCAACAGGAGAUCGAGACAAGCAGUACAGAGUGGAGAAGUUUUGCUAGGCAAGUUUGUUAUAAAAGACGCGAUGGAAGAAGUCAGACAAGAAGAGAAGACCGCCCAACCUAUCUUCAUGCUAGCCUCCUCGAAUCUCGGGGACGAGAUUCUUGUAAGGGGGGUGGAUUUGUCACGUCCUGAUAAAUUCAUCCCGAAAUAAAAAUCAUUUUCUAAAAGGAAUAAUAGAAUUAAUUAAAAUUCGAAAAGAAAUUGGCAAACACUAAAAUACGUGCAAGAAAAAUUCGAAUGUGGCCCGGAGAAUUUUUGUUAAAUUCUCCUUGGUCUAAAAAGAGCCCUCAAAUUUUACUUGAAUUUUCAGAGCACCGGAAAUAAUUAUUAAACAACAAAAACAAUUAUCAAAGUUUAAUAAAAAGAAAAAUCUAAAAAUAAUCCUCCUUUUCUUUUGGGCCAAUUUUGGCCCAAAGUCCUUCCUCUCUCCCCUCGGCCCGCGGCCGAAGUCUCCCUUUCCUCCCUCUCUUUCUCUCCCUCUCCUUCUCUCCCUCCUCUUGGGCCCCCCUUCCCCUCGGCCCAGCUCCCUCCCCCCUCUCUCUCCCGGGCUGCCUCUUCCCCCCCCCUCCCCUCCCGGCCUGCCCGGCCCAGGCCGCCUCCCCCUCCUCUCCUCCUGGGCCGGCCGCCCGGCCCAACCCGAGCGGCGCCCUCCCGCCCGUGCCGCGCACGUGCGCGCGCCUGCGCGCCGUUGCCGCGCGCUGAGCGCGCGCCCCGCGUGGGACCCGCCUGCCAGGCCGGUCAUCUUCCUCCUCCCGCACGGCCCUCUCUCUCUCCCGUGAAAACCCUACUUAGUUCCUCCCUCGAAUCCGCGCGAUUUAAGCGUUGGAUUCCAAAAUUAAUUGGGGGGUUUUAAUCCCCAUUGAAUCCUCUUCAAUUGCCCCCAAAUUCCCCCUUGAUUCGUGCCUUCAAUCGUCGGGAACGCCGCGCCUUCCUCGGCUGCCUCCCAUGGCCGCCGGCCGCCAUUCCCGUCGCCGUUCCGCCCCCUCCCGAGCCCGGCUCCCGCCCCCAUCCUAUAAAAUGGAACCCCCUCUUUGCGUUCUAUUGUUUUAGCCCUUUCUCGAGCUCCCCCGCGGCCGCAGCACCCCUCCCCGCCGUCGCCCUCUCUCUCCCGUGCCGCUGGACGCCUCCAGCCGCCCCUACCGCCUUGCCUGAGCGCCGCCCGGCCGUGCCGUCGCCUUCCUCGGCCUCGCAGCCACCUCCUCUCCCUCGGUCAGCCCUCUGUUUCGCGGGGAAAGCACCGGAGACGCGUCCUCGCCGGCAAAACAGUGGCGUUGCCGCCACUGUUCCACCUCCGGCCGCCACUGUCGCGUUUCCCGUGCGCCGGCCGACGUCGCCACCACCUCCCUCGGCUCCGCGACGCCGCCUUCAUCCCCGGCAUCACCUCCUCCUCGCCCGAAGCUCGCCGGAGUGGCCUCCUCGUCGGCGUCCAGUACCUCCCCGCCUCCGGCCGGCUCCUGUACGUCGCCGGUACGCCGAUCGACGUCGCCGCGUUGUCCUCUCCUCCAGCUGCUCCUCUGUUUCGCCGGAACACCGUCGCCCGUGCUGGCCUCUCCAUCCUCAUCGUCGCCGACGUCCCUUCGGCCGCCCGUUCAUCCUCGCCGGCUCGUCGUCUCGCGGUGCCGCCUCCGUCGUCGGAUUCGCAGCGGCGCGUUCCACGUCGUCCCCGUCUCCGUGCAGCUGCCGCCGGCUGCCCUCGUCGUCUCCUCGCCGGCCCCGGUCGUCGUCGUCGUCGUCCUCCCGUCGUUCCCGGUCGUCGUGGCGUUCGUCCCUCCGUCAAGCCGUUCUCGUCCGUCGUCCGCGUUCGUCAAGUGUGCCGCUGCAGCCCCGUCGUCGUCUUCGUCCUCGACUCCGCGUCGUCACGCCUCGUGCCGGCCGCGUCUCGCCUUCGUCCAAGGAUCGCCGCCGAAGUCGUCCCCUCGCCGUUCGUCCCCGUAGUUCCCGGCCGCCUCCGCCGCGCCCGUUCGUCGUUGUCGUUCCCACGCCUCGUCGCGUGGUGGUAAGGAUCCCUCCCCCUCGCUGCCCUGUCCUCGUCCUUUCGGUGUCGCCCGUGCCCGUUGUGCGGUUGUCGGCCCCGGUACCCGUGUAUCGGUGUCGGCAGUCGUUCGCUUGUGCGCGUGGUGACCGUGUUAGUGUGUCCGCUCGGUAGCCGCGUGGUUUCCACGUGUGCAACCCGUGUGGUGUUUAGUGGAGUCCGUUUGUCAGCCACUCGCCUCAGUUGACACACGGGAUCCGCUUCCGUCGACCCGUGGACCGUCUCUGUGCACUCGGUCUACCGCGGUCCUUUAGGUUGACAUGUGGGGUCCGCAUGUCAACAGCGCAGCCUUCCUGUCUUUUCUAGGCUAGCGCUUACACAUGUUUUAUAGUUGCAAAGCUUAAUUAUAAUAAUCCGCAAAUCUCCAUGUAACAGCAUUAAACUUCGGAUGAUCAUAUCUUGGUCAUACGAACUCUGAAUCGACCCGUUCAAGUCUCCUAAUGUUUGUUAUAACCUAAAGAACCCUGUGUUUUCUUUUUAUGUAUUGUUAUUGCUUCUUUAUAGGCUUGUAGCUUUGCUUGUGUGCUUCGCGUAGCUUCUGUCGUUCCGGAGGUUCCCGAAGCGUGGUUCGUGGUCGUCGCCAAAGGUUCGGAAGGCCGUUCUCUCUGAGCAAGGCAAGUCACAUCAUCCUUGAGCAUAUUGAAUCCCAGUUUAUAAAAUUAUUUUAAUUUAAAUUAAUGCAUUAUCGCUUUAUUUAAAUUCCCGCGUUAUCACUGUUUUAUUUAGCCAUGCCUAUUUACCUUUGUUAUGACCUUAUUAUUAUUGCUAUUGUUAUUAUUACCUUGUUCACCCUAGGAUAAACAAAACCCCAACUAGUGGGUACUCUAUUCAUGGUUCCACUAGUAUGAAUUUAGGUAGAUGCUUCGCUGAUUAAUUAGGCAACAUUAGGUGGUUUUAUAACUUUAGACUUUGGGAAUUCUCAUAUCAUUUGGACACUAUGGAAUUGUUGGUUUAUGGUGGAAUUGGACAUACACCUCUCUUCCUCUUUCAAAACCCCUAAAACCUGUUUUCGGUGGGGUUUGGGUGCAUGCCAGUUGUGGGAAGUAGCACCCCGACCACUAUAAGGAUUAAGCUCGGGCCUCUGUUGCAAAGCACUACCGUACUUCCACAUGUCUAGUGGGUAAGGCUUAGUUUGUGGCUUAGUCUGGUCAUAAACAAAAGUACACGGAUGGAGAUGGAUGAAGUCGGGGGUCGAUGGACAUUCUCUAGGACAAAUGAAGGCUACACGAGCUGCGGCCCGGUAGUCGAGAUGUCAUGGCACAGGGUUGGUGCCCUGCUGCUAGGGGCUCAGUCCUGCCUGCCUGUCCCGGAGGUUCCGGCCGUAGGUGGGAUUGGGUCGGUACUCUUGUUUAUGGCUAGGAUGGGUUGGGAACUAUGUCACGUCUUCCGUCCGUAUACCGUGGUGGUAUGUGGCACGUGGUUACACGUGAGGAAGAUGUGUCUUGUGGGUAAAGAUGUACACCUCUGAUCAGAGUAUAAUCUAUUCGAAUAGCCGCGCCCUCGGUUAUGGGCAAGCCGAGCAAUGUACCCAAGUCAGUGUUUUAAUUCUUAAAAUUUGCUCAACAACUAAAAUGUGGAAUGGUUGGCCUGGGUUGGCUUGGGACGAGCUGGGACCCAGGGUCGGGUUGCCAGUUCGGUCUGAAUCAUCGUAGGCCUUGGGUCAAGGCAGGUUCGUGUGGGUUCACGGCCUUGGUUAAUAAUACUGUGUAGCUCUAGGAUCGUCUUUAUAAAAUGGCUUUGGGCAACUAAGUGACUUUUAAAUGCUGUUUACUGCAAAACUUAACCCCUAUAUUAUUACCCCUUGUACUCCCUUGCAUUAAUUAUGCAUCUCCGGUGUGGCUUGCUGAGUACUGUGGUUGUACUCAUUCUUGCUCAAUCUUUCCCCUCUUCAGUAAGAGAAUGUUUGGAGAAGAUGUCUUGGGUGGAGUCCUGACUUAUACCCCAGUUGAGCGCCUGUGAAGAUGGAGCCGUAGGCCCGCUAGUCCGCUGCUGUUUAUUUUUGAUUGUCAGGCCUUAAGUGCCUUUGUAAUAAUGUAAAUAUUAUCGAUAUAAUAAAGAUGUGUCUUUUAUAUCAUGUUUGUGUGGUGUACCCCGGCUUUUCCUGGGACGGGGAUUAAUACACUAGCGUUCGGGAAAAUGAAAUUUUCCCGGUCGCGACAAGGAGGAAGGAGGGUUAUUUUUAGGUUUUUUCUUUUUAAUAAACUUUGAUAAUUGUUUUUGUCGCUUAAUAAUUAUUUCCGGUGCUCUGAAAAUUCAAGUAAAAUUUGAGGGCUCCUUUUAGGCCAAGGAGAAUUUAACAAAAAUUCUCCGGGCCACAUUCGAAUUUUUCUUGUACGUAUUUUUAGUGUUUGCCAAUUUCUUUUCGAAUUUUAAUUAAUUCUAUUAUUCCUUUUAGAGAAUGAUUUUUAAUUCGGGAUGAAUUUAUCAGGACGUGACAAAUCCACCCCCCUUACAAGAAUCUCGUCCCCGAGAUUUGAGGAGGCUAGCAAGAAGAUAGGUUGGGCGGUCCUCUCUUCUUGUCUGACUUCUCCCGCUCCGUCUUUUAUAACAAACUUGCCUAGCACAACUUCUCCACUCUGGACUGCUCGGCUCGAUCUCCUGUUGCAGAUGGAAUCUUCUCUUCACCUGACUUGUCCCUGGUUGAACCUUUAGCUGACUUCGACUGGGUUGCGGCACUUGAAGAUGGGGCCUCAGUUCUAGAACUUCGCAUAGUUCAUAUCUUUGGAGUCAACCUCAUACAAGUUACCCACUUCAUGUCAUGCGUCGAGAUCAGCUCGUCAUUACUAGGAUACCAUGUUUGUCAUCAUAAGAAUAUCAUGCUUGUCAUUUGCUUCUAACUUGCUACCAACUGCCUCAUAUUAACUUUCCUGGUCUCCGGGUGCUAGCUACUUCUGUUAUUUGACGCCAGGGUCGAUAACUUUGCCUUUAAAUUAUGUUUCUCAACAGAACCAACUUAUCCCACUUGACAUGCUUUGACGUCUUCCCAAAUGGCUUUACUGCUGGACUUCUUAUUGUUUGAUCGUUAUCCUGCCAAAUCUGAAGCUUCGUUGUUAGGUGUGAUUUUAAUCUGACCUCUAUAGACUAUCUUCGAACAUAUCACUUGGUUCAUAACUGGGAAUAGCUCCCACGAACAGACAACUCGGAUUCACCUUCUUUUCAUUCGGUUUACUUCCCACUAUUCUCUUCAUGUUGUCAUCAUUUAGCAUUCAAAGUAUUCCUUUACACAUUCAACCCUGACGUAUUCUUUUCAGAUUUCUCUUAUCAAUCACCUUUCGACCUACUUCUUUGCCUGAUAGUAAACACCUUUGCUGGUAUCUUCUAUCAAUAACCUCUUGAACUUUGUCAACCAAGUAAUCUUCACUCCGAGAGUUGUGGAUGCUUCUGGUGACGAUGUGGUCCUUUGGUCUGCUGCCUUUCAGUGAAACCUUGAAGUGUUUUGCCAAAAGCUGUACUGACUGUCUUUGUCUUUGAUCCGAAAAAGACACAUCUGAAACUCUUAGUCCAAACAAAUGUCUCUUUGGUUAAACGCUUGAUUUUCUUUUCCAUCAUCAGGUUGGUUAUUAACUCGAGGUUAGAACAUAGUCCCUCUGAAAUGAGACCCUAGGUUUCCUUCGACAGUAAACAAUUAUACACCUAAUCCCAUAUCGGCAUCUUCUGAAAGAGUCCUCAUAGAACUUGUUUUUAUUACACAUUUCUCCCAUAUUACAUGAAUACGAGGCACUGCCUUAAACAAAAAGGGAAGGUGCUUAACAUCGGUACAUUGCAUCCUCAACAUGAAUCUUCCAUAAACAUAACAAACUCAUUGUUUAUAAUCAUGAAUAUAUUUAUUUAUUACAUGAUUGCUGCAAACUCCCGAUUACAGUGAUAAGUAGCGAACUGAAAAUCACAAACAUGGAUACAUAGCUGGCAUUGUUCUAGUGACUGCAUCCUUGAUUGGUUCUGUGAUGAUGUGAUAGGACUGCAUAUUGCUAUCAUUCACAGGAGAAGCUUCCUUCUGAUUGCUGGUUGAAGCGAAUAACGGUCUUCUGCUUGGUAUCGCCCUCCUGAGGUUGAUUGCCCUUCGCUCGGCCUGGAGUAGGUCGGGGAGAGACACAACUUCUUCCAUCGACGACAAUUCUUUGCUGAGGCUGUCGGUGCAGAGAAUGGUUGGUGCUGAAGGUAUUAUUGCUAUGAUUCAUUGCAGAGUCAGGUGCAGCAGGAGGAGCAUUGGUGCUGGGGAUGAUAUCGUCGAUGUUGCUGUUGGAGCUGACUAGCUGAUGAGACAAUCGUAGGGUUGUUCGUUGGAUUUCUGCGGUCUUGGUCAACAACACACUGAGUUGGCAAUCCUUGGGUACAUGGUUUGUACCUUCGCACAGAAAACAUGUGACCUUGCGGGUGGGACACUCCCCUGGUGGAUGGUCUUCUUCACAAUGAGUGCAGAGUGUGAGACACAUGCUAGCAACGUGUCCAAUUUCCCCGCAACGGGUGCAUGCCUUUGAUUCCAUCUCUUCCUCGCCGAGAUGUCGGGGAGACUCAUCUUCAUCAUCCGAGGAGACUUGAUCUGACCCUUCACUAUCAGAUACUCUGCCACCAUGACUUAGGAGGUGCUGGGUCAACUGUCGUGCACCUCGGAAAGUAUUUCCUCUUUGACGUCUAGGAAUAGUUAUCCCUGCUGGAGGCCAUUCGGUGCUGGUAAUAGUCAUCUUACGUACUUCUUCUUCAGUUCGCAUCGGUGCUUUUCUCUUCUGAUUCUUACUCUUCUUGCCUUUGGCUUGCUUAGUAUGUGACCCCACGUGGUACGAGAGGCUAGGAGGAAAGCAUUUCCCGGGAUUCAAUGGAUUCUCUCCGUUGAGCUCUCUACUUUGCACACUAGGCUGCAAGCUUGACUUGGUGUGAGGAGGCUGGUUUAGCGAUGUCUGCCCUGCUAAACCAAGGGAAGGGGCUUCUUUGACAUAUACCCAUGGACAAUUCAGGGCAUAGUGUCCUUGCUCUCUACAAUCAUGACAAAAGGGGACCUGCUCUUCUGGCAUUGGAAGCUCAUUGACCUGGGUGGCAAAGGCUCGAUCAAACACAUACUGAUUUUGGUCUUGACUUCCAACCAAUGGUAGCUGUGAACUAAGCAGCAUGCUUGGAAUGGACCAAGGGUGUGCCCUGGUUAACUCUCUUGAGGCCAGUGGUGGAUUGAGUUGGAAACUUAAGUUACUUGAGGCAUACCCGCUGACAUUCUUUCCUUUUUCUCUGUUAUACAUCUGUUACAGGGAUUGAGGUGAGAGAGGAAACAAGCCAGGAAAGAAUAGACCAGAACUAGGGACCAGACCUUAAAAGAACUAACUCUUCUUAUUGAUGUAUUGUUUGUUUCACUUAUUCUGCAAGUUGAUUAAGCAAACAACCUAACAUGGUUACAUCACAACCCACCGAUGCAAACCACGCGCUACACACACAAGCAAGGAACACACGACUAACAACACUACCCUACAGGGUGGCUUAGGUUCUGCGACGGGUUCUCCAAGAUCUUCACUGCUUCCUCCACUUCGCUAGCAGACCCUGCGGUCUUCCGGAGCUUCGGCAGACAAUUGACGACAUCUUCUUCUCCGCAAAGCUGACCAUCUAGUACUAGUUGAAAUUUGAAGAAGGAAGAAAGAGUAAAUAUUUUGCAAAUAGCACAGGGGAAAGGAGGAAAAAGGGACUUUCGGAAAUAGUUUCAUUUAUAAAAUAUGUCCUUAGGUUUUAUCCACUUGGCUUAUCCUACAGUCGAGAUGGCUCUGAUACCAGCUUGUCGCGACCGGGAGAAUUGCCUUUUCCCGAACGCUAGUGUAUUAAUCCCCGUCCCAGGAAAAGCCGGGGUACACCACACAAACAUGAUAUAAAAGACACAUCUUUAUUAUAUCGAUAAUAUUUACAUUAUUACAAAGGCGCUUCAGGCCUGGCGAUCAAAAAUAAACAGCAGCGGACUAGCGGGCCUACGGCUCCAUCUUCACAGGCGCUCAACUGGGGUAUAAGCCAAGACUCCACCUAAGACUUCUUCUCCAAAACUUCUCUUACUGAGGGGGGAGAAAGAUAGAGCAAGAAUGAGUACAACCACAGUACUCAGCAAGCCACACCGGAGAAGCAUAAUUAAUGCAAGGGGGGGGUACAAGGGGAUAAUAAUAUAGGGGUUAAGUUUUGCAGAAAACAGCAUUUAAAAGCCACUUAGUUGCCCAAAGCCAUUUAUAAAGACGAUCCUAGCGCUACACAAUAUUAUUAAUCAAGGCCGUGAACCUUCACGAACCUGCCUUAACCCAAGGCCUACGAUUAUUCAGACCGAACUGGCAACCCGACCCUGGGUCCCAGCUCGUCCCAAGCCAACCCAGGCCAACCAUUCCACAUUUUAGUUGUUGAGCAAAUUUUAAGAAUUAAAACACUGACUUGGGUACAUUGCUCGGCUUGCCCAUAACCGAGGGCGCGGCUAUUCGAAUAGAUUAUACUCUGAUCAGAGGUGUACAUCUUUACCCACAAGACACAUCUUCCUCACGUGCAACCACGUGCCACAUACCACCACGGUAUACAGACGGAAGACGUGACAUAGUUUCCAACCCAUCCUAGCCAUAGACAAGAGUACCGACCCAACCCCACCUACGGCCGGAACCCCCGGGACAGGUAGGCAGGACUGAGCCCCUAGCAGCAGGACACCGGCCCUGUGCCAUGACAUCUCGACUACCGGGCCGCAGCUCGUGUAGCCUUCAUUUGCCCUGGAGAAUGUCCAUCGACCCCCGACUUCAUCCAUCUCCAAUCCGUGUACUUUUGUUUAUAACCAGACUGAGCCACAAACUAAGCCUUACCCACUAGACAUGUGGAAGUACGGUAGUGCUUUGCAACAGAGGCCCGAGCUUAAUCCUUAUAGUGGCCGGGGUGCUACUUCCCACAACUGGCAUGCACCCAAACCCCACCGGAAAACAGGUUUUAGGGGUUUUGAAAGAGGAAGAGAGGUGUAUGUCCAAUUCCACCAUAAUCCAACAAUUCCAUAGUGUCCAGGUGAUAUGAAUAUUCCCAAGGUCUAGAGUUAUAAAACCACCUAAUGUUGCCUAAUUAAUCCGCGAAGCAUCUACCUAAAUUCAUACUAGUGGAACCAUGAAUAGAGUACCCACUAGUUGGGGUUUUGCUUAAUCUAGGGUGAACAAGGUAAUAAUAUCAAUAACAAUAAUAUUAAGGUUAUAACAAAGGUAAAUAGUCAUGGCUAAAUAAAAUAGUGAUCAUGCGGGAAUUUAAAUAAAGCGAUAAUGCAAUAAUUUAAAUCAAAAUAAUUUUAUGAACUGGGAUUCAACAUGUUCAAGGAUGAUGUGACUUGCCUUGCUUAGAGAGAACGGCCUUCCGAACCUUCGGCGACGACCGCGAACCACGCUUCGGGAACCUCCAGAACGACGAAGCUACGCGAGGCACACAAGCAAAGCUACAAGCCUAUAAAGAAGCAAUAACAAUACAUAAAAAGGAAGCACACGGUUCUUUAGGUUAUAACAAACAUUAAGAGACUUGAACGGGUCGAUUCGGAGUUCGUAUGACCAAGAUAUGAUCAUCCGAAGUUUAAUGCUGUUAUAUGGGGAUUUGCGGAUUAUUAUAAUUAAGCUUUGCAACUAUAAAACAUGUGCAAGCGCUAGCCUGGAAAAGACAGGAAGGCUGCGCCGUUGACAUGCGGACCCCACAUGUCAACCUAAAGGACCGCGGUAGACCGGGUACACAGAGACGGUCCACGGGUCGACGGAAGCGGACCCCGUGUGUCAACCGAGGCGAGUGGCCGACAAACGGACUCCACUAGACACCACACGGCCUGCACACGUGGAAACCACGCGGCUACCGAGCGGGCACACUAACGCGGACACUACACGGUCACCACCCGCACGCGUGAACGACUACCGACACCGGUACACGGGUACCGGGGCCGACAACCGCACAACGAGCACGGGCGACACCGAAAGGACGAGGACGGGGCAGCGAGGGAGAGGGAUCCUUACCACCACGCGACGAGGCGUGGGGACGACAACGACGAACGGGCGCGGCGGAGACAGACGGGCGCAACGGAGACGAACAGCGAGGGGACGGCUUCGGCGGCGAUCCUUGGACGAAGGCGAGACGCGGCCGGCACGAGGCUUGACGACGCGGAGCCGAGGACGAAGACGAGGACGGGGCUGCAGCGGCUCGCUUGACGAACGCGGACGACGGACGAGAACGGCUCGACGGAGGGACGAACGCCACGACGACCGGGAACGACGAGAGGACGACGACGACGACGACGACCGGGACCGGCGAGGAGGCGACGAGGACAGCUGGCAGCGGCUGCACGGGGACGAGGACGGCGUGGAACACGCCGCAGCGAUGAUGAUGACGGAGGCGGCGCCGCGAGACGACGAGCCGGGCGACCGACGGGACGUCGAUCGGCGAGGACGAACGGUGAUGAGGAAACGAUGAUGGCAGGCAGCAGCGGCUGAGCGGAGGAGGGGACGGCGUGGAACGCGCUGCUGCGAUGUUGGAGAAGGUGGUGGUGCAGCGGGGCGACGAGCCGACGAGGAGGAAUGGGUGGUUGGCGCGGCGGCGGCGUUCCGGCGAACUUCGGGCGAGGAGGAGGUGAUGCCGGGGAUGAGGGCGGCGUCGCGGAGCCGAGGGAGGUGGUGGCGACGUCGGCCGGCGCACGGGAAACGCGACAGUGGCGGCCGGAGGUGGAACAGUGGCGGCAACGCCACUGUUUUGCCGGCGAGGACGCGUCUCCGGUGCUUCCCCCGCGAAACGGAGGGCUGACCGAGGGAGAGGAGGUGGCUGCGAGGCCGAGGGAGAAGACGGCGCGGCCGGACGGCGCUCCGGUGAGGAGGGAGAGGCGGCUGGAGGCGGCCGGCGCGGAGGAAAGAGAAGGGCGACGGCGGGAACGCGCCUCCGGUGGUCACCGCGCGAAACGGAGGGCAGGCCGGGGUGGAGGAGGUGGCGGCGACGCUGGAGGAGGCGACGGCGCACGGUCGAGGCGGCACAGGCGGCUGGAGGCGGCCGGCGGCGUGGGAGAGAGAGGAGGGCGGCGGGGAGAGGGCUAGGGACCACGGGGAGGCUCGGGAUGGGGUUAAAACGAUAGAACGGAGUGAGGGGAUCCCAUUUUAUAGGGUGGGGGCGGGAGCCGGGCUCGGGAGAGGGCGGAACGGCGACGGGAAUAACGGCCGACGGCCAUGGAAAGCGGCCGGACUUGGCGCGUCCGUUCCCGGGGAUUGAAGGCACGAAUCAAGGGGGAAUUUGGGGGCAAUUGAAGAGGAUUCAAUGGGGAUUAAAACCCCCCAAUUAAUUUUGGAAUUGGCCAAUUGAAUCAAGCGGAUUUGGAGGAGGGAGCGAGCUAGGGUUCGCACGGGAGAGAGAGAAGCCGGGCGGGAGGAAGACGACGCGCCUGGCGCGUGGGCCCCACGCGGUCGGGCGCGCGGUCAGCGCGCGGCAACGGCGCGCACGCGCGCGCACGUGCGCGGCACGGGCGGGAGGGCGCCGCUCGGGUUGGGCCGGGCGGCCGGCCCAGGAGGAGAGGAGGGGGAGGCGGCCUGGGCCGGGCAGGCCGGGAGGGGGGGGACGGCCCGAGAGAGAGAGGGGAGGGGGAGGGAGCUGGGCCGAGGGGAAGGGGGGCCCAAGAGGAGGGAGAGAAGGAGAGGGAGAGAAAGAGAGGGAGGAAAGGGAGACUUCGGCCGCGGGCCGAGGGGAGAGAGGGAGGACUUUGUGCCAGACUUGGCCCAAAGGAGGAAGGAGGGUUAUUUUUAGGUUUUUUCUUUUUAAUAAACUUUGAUAAUUGUUUUUGUCGCUUAAUAAUUAUUUCCGGUGCUCUGAAAAUUCAAGUAAAAUUUAAGGGCUCCUUUUAGGCCAAGGAGAAUUUAACAAAAAUUCUCCGGGCCACAUUCGAAUUUUUCUUGUACGUAUUUUUAGUGUUUGCCAAUUUCUUUUCGAAUUUUAAUUAAUUCUAUUAUUCCUUUUAGAGAAUGAUUUUUAAUUCGGGAUGAAUUUAUCAGGACGUGACAGUGUGCCCGCUCGGUAGCCGUGUGGUUUCCACGUGUGUAGCCCGUGUGGUGUCUAGUGGAGUCCGUUUGUCGACCGCUUGCCUCGGUUGACACACGGGAUCCGCUUCCGUCGACCCGUGGACCGUCUCUGUGUACUCGGUCUACUGUGGUCCUUUAGGUUGACAUGUGGAGUCUGCAUGUCAACAGCGCAGCCUUCCUGUCUUUUCCAGGCUAGCGCUUACACAUGUUUUAUAAUUGCAAAACCUAAUCACAAUAAUCCGUAAAUCUCCAUGUAACAGCAUUAAACUUCGGAUGAUCAUAUCUUGGUCAUACGAACCCCGAAUCGACCUGUUCAAGUCUCCUAAUGUUUGUCAUAACCUAAAGAACCGUGUGCUUUCUUUUUAUGUAUUGUUAUUGCUUCUUUAUAGGCUUGUAGCUUUGCUUGUGUGCUUCGCGUAGCUUCUGUCGUUCCGAAGGUUCUCGAAGCGUGGUUUGUGGUCGUCGCCAAAGGUUCGGAAGGCCGUUCUCUCUGAGCAAGGCAAGUCACAUCACCCUUGAGCAUAUUGAAUCCCAGUUUAUAAAAUUAUUUUGAUUUAAAUUAUUGCAUUACCGCUUUAUUUAAAUUCCCGCGUAAUCACUGUUUUAUUUAGCACUUCCUAUUAAUCCUUGUUAUAGCCUUAUCAUUGCUAUUGUUUACUAUUACCUUGUUCACCAUAGGAUAAACAAAACCCCAACUAGUGGGUACUCUAUGUCACGUCCUGAUAAAUUCAUCCCGAAAUUAAAAAUCAUUUUCUAAAAGGAAUAAUAGAAUUAAUUAAAAUUUGAAAAGAAAUUGGCAAACACUAAAAUACGUACAAGAAAAAUUCGAAUGUGGUCCGGAGAAUUUUUGUUAAAUUCUCCUUGGUCUAAAAGGAGCCCUCAAAUUUUACUUGAAUUUUCAGAGCGCCGGGAAUAUUUAUUAAGCAACAAAAACAAUUAUCAAAGUUUAUUAAAAAGAAAAAUCUAAAAAUAAUCCUCCUUUUUCUUUUGGGCCAAAUUUGGCUCAAAGUCCUCCCUCUCUCUCUCCCGGCCCACGGCCAAAGUCUCCCUCUCCUCCCUCUCUUUCCCUCCUCUCCCGGGCCUCCUCUCCCCCUCCCGGCCCACUCCCUCCUCCUCCCUCUUUCUCCCAGGCCGCCUCCCCCUCCUCUUCUCCUGGGCCGGCCGCCCGGCCCAAGCUGCGCCCAAGCCAGGCCGAGCCGAGCCGGCCGUGCACACGCGCGCCGCGCAUGCGCUGACCGCGCGUCCGACCGCGUGGGGCCCACGCGCCAGGCCGGUCGUCUCCUUCCUCCCGCCCGGCCUCCUCUCUCCCUCUCCCGUGAACCCUAGCUUCGUUCCUCCCUCGAAUCCGCGCGAUUUAAGUGUUGGAUUCCAAAAUUAAUUGGGGGGAAUUAAUCCCCUUUCCCUCCUCUCUCUUUCCCCCUUAAUUUCCCCUUGAAUGGCGCCCCCAAUCGCCGGGAACGGCCGCGCCAUUCCCGGCCGCCUUCCACUGCCGCCGGCCGUGUCUCCCACCGCCGUUCCCCGCUCCUCCCGUGGCCGGCUCCCUCCCCCAUCCCAUAAAAUGGGAUCCUCAUCCUCCGUUCUAUCGUUUUAACCCCAUCCCGAGCCUCCCCGUGGUCCCUAGCCAUCUCCCCGCCGUCCUCCUCUCUCUCCCGUGCCGCCGGCCGCCUCCAGCCGCCUCUCCCUCCUCGCCGGAGCGCCGUCCGGUCGCGCCGUCGCCUCCUCCAGCAUCGCAGCCGCCUCCUCUUCGCCGGCCUACCCUCUGUUUCCCGCGGAGACCUCCGGAAGUGCCUCCCCGCCGGCAACUGUGGUGUUGCCGCCACGAUUCCGCCUCCGGCCGCCUCUGCCGCGUCCCCUGCGCGCCGGCCGACGUCGCCACCACCUCUCCCGGCACCGGAGUGCCGUCCUCUUUCCCGGCCAGGCCACGGCGUCGCCCGAAUUUCGCCGGAACGCCGUCGCCCGCGCCGGCCUCUCCUUCCUCCUCGUCGACGUCUCCUCCGGCAGCCCCUUUCGCCAUGCCCGUGCGUCAGCCGGCGCUGCCAUCCCCUCCCUUGGCACGGUGACGUAGCCCUCCACCUCGUCCACCCCUCGGUUUCGCCCGGAAGCCGCCGCACGUCGCCGCGAACCUCUCCAUCCGCCUCACCGGAGUUGUUCGGCCGCCCGUCCCUCCUCGCCCGUGCACCGGUCGGCCGCACCUCCACCACCUUCGGCAUCGCAGCCGCGACGUCGUCCUCGGCAUCGCUUCCCCUUCGGCCGAACACCGCCGGUGUCCGUCGCCGUCUUCACCGUUCAUCCUCGCCGGCUCGUCAUCUCGCGGCAACGCCUCCGUCGUCGACAUCGCAGCGGCGUGUUCCACGCCAUCCUCGCCUCCGUGCAGCCGCUGCCGGCUGCCCUCGUCGUCUCCUCGCCGGCCCCGGUCGUCGUCGUCGUCGUCCUUCCGUCGUUCCAGGUCGUCGUGGCGUUCGUCCCUCCGUCGAGCCGUUCUCGUCCGUCCUCGGUGUUUCAUCAAGGUCGCUGUAGCCGUCGUCGUCUUCGUCCUCGGCUCCGCGUCGUCAAGCCUCGUGCCGGCCGCAUCUCGCCUUCGUCCAAGGAUCGCCGCCGAAGCCGUCCCCUCGCCGUUCGUCUCCGUAGUUCCCGGCCGCCUCCGCCGCGCCCGUUCGUCGUUGUCGUUCCCACGCCUCGUCGCGUGGUUGUAAGGAUCUCUCUUCUCUCGCUGCCCCGUCCUCGUCCUUUCGGUGUCGCCCGUGCCCGUUGUGCGGUUGUCGACCCCGGUACCCGUGUACCGGUGUCGGUAGUCGUUCGCUUGUGCGUGUGGUGACCGUGUUAGUGUGCCCGCUCGGUAGCCACGUGGUUUCCACGUGUGCAGCCCGUGUGGUGUCUAGUGGAGUCCGUUUGUCGGCCACUCGCCUCGGUUGACACACGGGAUCCGCUUCCGUCGACCCGUGGACCGUCUCUGUGUACUCGGUCUACCGCGGUCCUUUUUGUUGACAUGUGAGGUCCGCAUGUCAACAGCGCAGCCUUCCUGUCUUUUCCAGGCUAGCGCUUACACAUGUUUUAUAGUUGCAAAGCUUAAUUAUAAUAAUCCGCAAAUCUCCAUAUAACAGCAUUAAACUUCGGAUGAUCAUAUCUUGGUCAUACGAGCUCCGAAUCGACCCGUUCAAGUCUCUUAAUGUUUGUUAUAACCUAAAGUACCGUAUGCUUUCUUUUUAUGUAUUGUUAUUGUUUCUUUAUAAGCUUGUAGCUUUGCUUGUGUGCUUCGCGUAGCUUCUGUCGUUCCGGAGGUUCCAGAAGCGUGGUUCGCGGUCGUCGCCAAAGGUUCGGAAGGCCGUUCUCUCUGAGCAAGGCAAGUCACAUCAUCCUUGAGCAUAUUGAAUCCCAGUUUAUAAAAUUAUUUUGAUUUAAAUUAAUGCAUUAUCGCUUUAUUUAAAUUCCCGCGUUAUCACUGUUUUAUUUAGCCAUGCCUAUUUACCUUUGUUAAGACAUUAUUAUUGCUAUUGUUAUUAUUACCUUGUUCACCCUAGAAUAAACAAAACCCCAACUACUGGACACUCUAUUCAUGGUUCCACUAGUAUGAAUUUAGGUAGAUGCUUCGCUGUUUAAUUAGGCAACAUUAGGUGGUUUUAUAACUUUAGACUUUGGGAAUUCUCAUAUCAUUUGGACACUAUGGAAUGGUUGGCUUAUGGUGGAAUUGGACAUACACCUCUCUUCCUCUUUCAAAACCCCUAAAACCUGUUUUCCGGUGGGGUUUGGGUGCAUGCCAGUUGUGGGAAGUAGCACCCCGGCCACUAUAAGGAUUAAGCUCGGGCCUCUGUUGCAAAGCACUACCGUACUUCCACAUGUCUAGUGGGUAAGGCUUAGUUUGUGGCCCAGUCUGGUUAUAAACAGAAGUACACGGAUGGAGAUGGACGAAGUCGGGGGUCGAUGGACAUCUCUAGGACAAAUGAAGGCUACACGAGCUGCGGCCCGGUAGUCGAGAUGUCAUGGCACAGGGCUGGUGUCCUGCUGCUAGGGGCUCAAUCCUGCCUACCUGUCCCGGAGGUUCCGGCCGUAGGUUGGGAUUGGGUCGGUACUCUUGUCUAUGGCUAGGAUGGGUUGGAAACUAUGUCACGUCUUUCGUCUGUAUACCGUGGUGGUAUGUGGCACGUGGUUGCACGUGAGAAAGAUGUGUCUUGUGGGUAAAGAUGUACACCUCUGAUCAGAGUAAAACCUAUUCGAAUAGCCGCGCCCUCGGUUAUGGGCAAGCCUAGCAAUGUACCCAAGUUAGUGUUUUAAUUCUUAAAAUUUGCUCAACAACUAAAAUGUGGAAUGGUUGGCCUGGGUUGGCUUGGGACGAGCUGGGACCCAGGGUCGGGUUGCCAGUUCGGUCUGAAUCAUCGUAGGCCUUGGGUUAAGGCAGGUUCGUGAGGGUUCACGGCCUUGAUUAAUAAUAUUGUAUAGCUCUAGGAUCGUGUUUACAAAAUAGCUUUGGGCAACUAAGUGACUUUUAAAUGCUGUUUACUGCAAAACUUAACCCCUAUAUUAUUAUCCCCUUGUACCCCCUUGCAUUAAUUAUGCAUCUCCGGUGUGACUUGCUGAGUACUGUGGUUGUACUCAUUCUUGCUCUAUCUUUCUCCCCCCUUCAGUAAGAGAAGCUUUGGAGAAGAAGUCUUAGGUGGAGUCCUGGCUUAUACCCCAGUUGAGCGCCUGUGAAGAUGGAGCCGUAGGCCCGCUAGUCCGCUGCUGUUUAUUUUUGUUUGUCAGGCCUGAAGCGCCUUUGUAAUAAUGUAAAUAUUAUCGAUAUAAUAAAGAUGUGUCUUUUAUAUCAUGUUUGUGUGGUGUACCCCGGCUUUUCCUGGGACGGGGAUUAAUACACUAGCGUUCGGGAAAAGGCAAUUUUCUCGGUCGCGACACUCUAUUAACAGUUCCACUAGUAUGAAUCUAGGUAGAUGCUUCGCUGACUAAUUAGGCAACAUUAGGUGGUUUUAUAACUUUAGACUUUGGGAAUUCUCAUAUCAUUUGGACACUGUGGAAUGGUUGGCUUGUGAUGGAAUUGAACACACACCUCCCCCCUCUAUUCAAAACCCCAAAAUGGUUUUAGGCUGGGCUCGAGGUGCAGGGUUUUGCUAGUAGCACCUCGGCCACUAUAAGGACCGGUCUUCGGGCCUCUGUUGCAAAGCACUAUCGUACUAACCACAUGUCUAAUGGGUAAGGCUUAACUCGGUGCUCAGUCUAGUCCUGAACAAAAGGACACGGAUAGAGAUGGAUGAAGUCGUUGCGACGAUGGAUAUCUCUGAGGCAAAUGAAGGCUACACGAGCUGCGGCUCGGUAAUCGAGAUGUCUAGGCAAAUGAAGACUACACGGGUCGGUGCCCGUUAGUCGAGAUGCCAUGGCACUGGACUAGUACACGGGUGGUCUCACCCCUAUGCGUGUGGCGCACCCGGUCUAGAUCCUGUUGCUAGGGGCUCAAUCCUGGCCUGCCUGUCCCGGGAUACCGGCCGUAGGCAGGGUUGGGUCGGUACUUUUGUUCACGGCUAGGAUGGGUGAAGGGUUAUGUCACAUGUUUACGAUGGGUUCCAAGGCCAUGGAAUGCGGAGUAAAGAUGUGUCUUGUGGGUAAAGAUGUACACCUCUGAUCAGAGUAAAUCUAUUCGAAUAGCCGUGCCCUCGGAUAUGGGCAAGCCUAGCAAUGUACCCAAGUUAGUGGUUUAAUUCUUAAAAAUUGCUUAACAACUAAAAGGUGGAAAGGUUGGCCUGGGUUGGCUUGGGACGAGCUGGGACCCAGGUCGGGUUGCCAGUUCGGUCUGAAUCAUCGUAGGCCUUGGGUUAAGGCAGGUUCGUGUGGGUCCACGGCCUUGAUUAAUAAUGCUGUGUAGCUCUAGGAUCGUCUUUAUAAAAUAGCUUUGGGCAACUAAGUGUCUUUUAAAUGCUGUUUACUGCAAAACCUAAUCCCCUAUAUUAUUACCCCUUGUUUCCCUUGCAUUAAUCAUGCAUCUCCCGGUGUGACUUGCUGAGUAUUGUGGUUGUACUCAUUCUUGCUCUAUCUUCCCUCCCCUAGUAAGAGAAGCUUUGGAGAAGAAGUCUUAGGUGGAGCCCUGGCUUAUACCCCAGUUGAGCGCCUGUGAAGAUGGAGCCGUAGGCCCGCUAGUCCACUGCUGUUUAUUUUUGAUUGUCAGGCUUGAAGUGCCUUUGUAAUAAUGUAAAUAUUAUCGAUAUAAUAAAGAUGUGCCAUUUGUAUCAUGUUUGUGUGGUGUACGCCGGCUUUUUCUGGGACGGGGAUUAAUACACUAGCGUUCGGGAAAAUGCAAAUUUUCUCGGUCGCGACAAGACUGCCGAGGAAAGCAUUAAGAAAAACUCCAACCAUAUGAUGGUUAUGCAUAAGCGCAAGCCCAACAACAAGAAGAGUGGUCAAAAGAGAAAGCUAAACUCUGAUGAGAUCACGAGUACUAGCAACUCUAAGACCAAGGUUCAAAAGACAGGGCCCGCUAAGGAUGCAGAGUGCUUCUUUUGCAACGAGACAGGUCAUUGGAAGAGAAACUGUAAGAAAUACCUAGAGCAGCUCAAGUAGAAGCAGCAGGAUGGAAAGAGUUCCAUCUCAGGUAUUAAUGUUAUAGAAAUUAAUCUUGCUACUUCCUCUACUGAUUCUUGGGUAUUUGAUACCGGUUCAGUUGCUCACAUAUGCAAAUCGUUGCAGGGGCUGAAAAGAAGUAGGAGCUUAGCAAGAGGCGAAGUGGACAUUCGCGUGGGCAAUAGAGCAAGAGUUGCUGCUGUUGCGGUCGGCACUAUGCCAUUAUCUUUACCGUCAGGAUUAGUUUUGGAGUUAAAUAAUUGUUAUUGCAUUCCAGCUUUGUGUAAGAACGUUAUCUCUGCUUCUUGUUUGCAAGCAGAGGGUUAUGGUUUUAGAUUUGUGGACAAUGGUUGUUCAGUCUAUUAUAAUGACAUUUUCUAUUUCCAUGCACCCAUGAUGAAUGGCUUAUACAUUGUGAAUCUUGAUGGAUGUUCAGUCUAUAACAUUAAUGCAAAAAGGCAACGUCCUAAUGAUUUGAAUCCCACUUUUAUUUGGCAUUGUCGGUUGGGUCAUAUAAAUGAGAAAUGCAUGGAGAAGCUUCAUAGAGAUGGACUUCUACACUCUUUUGAUUUUGAAUCAUUUGAGACAUGCGAAUCUUGUUUACUUGGCAAAAUGACAAAGGCACCUUUCACGGGUCAAAGUGAAAGGGCAAGUGAACUAUUGGGACUAGUACAUACUGAUGUAUGUGGACCAAUGAGCUCAACUGCCAGAUGUGGUUUUGGGUACUUUAUUACCUUUACCGAUGACUUUAGUAGAUAUGGUUAUAUCUACUUAAUGAGGCAUAAGUCUGAGUCCUUUGAAAAGUUCAAGGAAUUUCAGAAUGAGGUACAAAAUCAUUUGGGCAAGACAAUCAAGUAUCUACGAUCUGAUCUUAGUGGAGAGUACUUGAGCCUUGAAUUCUGCAAUCAUCUAAAGGAGUGUGAAAUUGUUCCACAACUCACUCCACCAGGAACGCCUCAGUGGAAUGGGGUGUCUGAACGGAGGAAUCGUACAUUGUUGGACAUGGUGCGAUCAAUGAUGAGCCAAACUGAUCUGCCGCUAAGCUUUUGGGAUUACGCUCUAGGGACAGCUGCGUUCACACUAAAUAGGGUUCCAUCAAAAUCAGUGGAUAAGACACUAUAUGAGAUAUGGACUGGGAAGCGUCCCAGUUUGUCUUUCCUAAAGAUUUGGGGUUGUGAGGUCUAUGUAAAACGUUUGCAAUCGGACAAACUCACACCUAAAUCAGAUAAAUAAUUCUUUGUGGGGUAUCCUAUGGAAACGAAAGGAUAUUAUUUUUAUAAUUGGGAAGAGGGCAAAGUGUUUGUCGCCCGACACAGUGUUUUCUUGGAAAAAGAGUUUAUUUCACGAAAGGAUAGUGGGAGCAUGGUGCGAUUUGAAGAAAUUCAGAUAACACCGGAAAACGCUUCAACGUCCACACAACCACAAGCUAAGCAAGAUGUUGUUCAAUAGGUUGAACAAGUUGUUGUUGAACCAGUUGUGGAAGCACCGGCUUCACGAAGGUCCGUAAGGAUACGGCGUACACUUGCGAGGUAUGCGUUGUUAACUACAGGUAACGUGAUAUAUUGUUGUUAGACAACGAUGAACCUACUACCUAUGAGGAAGCAAUGGUGGGACCAGACUCUGAGAAAUGGCUUGGAGCCAUAAAAUCUGAAAUAGAAUCUAUGCAUGUCAAUUAAGUUUGGAACUUGGUUGAUCCACUUGAUGGUGUAAAAGCCAUUGAGUGCAAAUGGGUCUUUAAGAAAAAGACAGAUGAAGAUGGAAAUGUUCACAUCUACAAGGAACGAUUGGUGGCGGAAGGUUUCAGACAAAUUCAAGGUGUUGAUUAUGAUAAAACUUUCUCGCCAGUCGCCAUGCUAGAAUCUAUUCGGAUUGUUUUAGCGAUUCCUGCCUAUUUCGAUUAUGAGAUAUUUCAAAUGGAUGUCAAAACAGCUUUCCUCAAUGGAAAUCUCGAUGAGGAUGUGUACAUGGCACAACCCAAGGGAUUUGUUGAUCCACAAUCAGCUAAAAAUAUAUGCAAAUUGCAGAAAUCCAUUUAUGGGUUGAAGCAAGCAUCUCGGAGUUGGAAUAUUCGUUUUGACGAAGUAGUCAAGACGUUGGGCUUUGUCAAAAAUGAAGAAGAGCCUUGUGUAUACAAGAAGAUUAGUGGGAGUGCACUGGUGUUUCUAAUCCUAUAUGUAGAUGACAUAUUAUUGAUUGGGAAUGAUAUUCCUAUGCUUGAAUCCGUUAAGACAUCGUUGAAAAAUAGUUUUUCAAUGAAAGACUUAGGGGAAGCAGCAUAUAUUCUGGGCAUAAGGAUCUAUUGAGAUAGAUCAAAGAGGCUAAUUGGAUUAAGCCAGAGUACAUACAUUGACAAAGUGUUGAAGAGGUUCAACAUGCAAGAUUCUAAGAAAGGUUUCUUACCGAUGUCACAUGGCAUUAAUCUUGGCAAGAAUCAGUGUCCUCAAACGACUGAUGAGCGAAACAAGAUGAGUGUGAUUCCAUAUGCCUCGGCAAUCGGAUCCAUUAUGUAUGCUAUGCUAUGUACACGUCCAGAUGUUUCAUAUGCACUUAGUGCAACAAGCUGAUACCAAUUAGAUCCAGGUGAGAGUCACUGGAUAGCUGUAAAGAAUAUCCUGAAGUACUUGAGAAGAACUAAGGAUUUGUUCCUAGUCUAUGGAGGACAGGAAGAGCUCGUUCUAAAUGGUUACACUGACGCAAGCUUCCAAACCGACAAAGAUGCGUGCGCACGUCUUCUGAAUUGGUAAGCAAUGCGUUUUUUUUUCAGAAAAAAAACAUUCUACAAGAAAGUUGCUUUAAAAAUUAUAUUAAUUUAUUUUUCAAGUUUUUUAGCUAAUAUUGAGGGCAUGGUAGAGCUCCAACUCCUUAAUUUAGCUCCAGGAGAUGGGAUUGGAGUUGUGUUGUGGAGAAGUUUAAACCUAGCUCCACCUCUCUAGUUCAUUUUAUGAGAACGCUCUACCCAGCUCCGUUCCUAUUUUAGGUGAAGUUGAAACUGUUUGGCUAGACUCUAGCUCUAAGAGAGGUAGAGUUGGAGCUGUGCCAAACAGAUCUUGAUUUAAUCAUGAGCUAAUGAAUUGCUCCGUUUCAUGUGCAAGGGGGAGAAGUACCCAACCGGAACAUUCAAGCUUAGCCUAAGGCUGAGUUUAGGAGGUGGACUUAGAAACUCCACAUCCCCGCACAGAAAAUGGUAUUGCCCAUUAACGCUUAAUUAAUUAAGUAUGAGUCUAAAAUACUUCAAACAUAGAUUAAUAUGAUUUUUAAAGUAACUUUCUAUAGAAAACUUAAAAGAAACGUAUCGUUUAACAGUUUGUAAAGCGUGCACGUGGAGAAAAAGAGAUACGAGUUUGGGAAAGAAGGGGAAAGAACACAGCCGAAGCAGGGUUCGUGCAACCUCCUCAACCAUAGUACUAAAUUUACAAUUUUGCAUUAUCUGUGCGAAACAAUAGCACGAUUUUCUUAAAAAAAAGAAAAGCGUAACAUCAUGCUUACAUUCUAUUACACCACCUACCUUGGAAUAAAAUUCCUUUUGCAACCAUGCCAGGACAAAAUUUCUGUGACAAAAACAGCACAAGCCACUCGCGAGGCCGUCGGCAAAGCUCCACGUAUACAUGCAUGCGGUGGCUUGAUGGCGAAGUGAUGGAGCCAAGUCCAGCAUCAUGUCGAUCCAACGUGUCAACUCCAAAAAAACUUUAAAAAACCGGUCCAGCGGGAACGCGCAGCGCAAACGAACGAGGCUGCCGCGUGGGCCCCACUCCCGUGGACCCGGUCCGCGCGCCCCUCCCCCUCGGCUGAUGUAAUAAAUCCUUUUUAAAUUAAAAUUUAAAUGAAGAAAUUCGUAAAUAUUCAUUUAAAGAGCAUAUAAACUUCAAAUGGCCAUAACUUGGCCAUUUGAACUCGGAAUUGGACCGUUCAAGUCUCUAAUUUUUCCUUAAGAAGUCAAGAACCCAUUUUUGUGCUUUGUUCCUGCUUGUUAUAUGGAGUUUAUUAGAGUAAAAGCUCUUUUCUUUUACGUUGGUCGUGUAGACGCUGCAGCUUCUGAAGAUCCGCUCUUCGUGGAGGUUGAAGCCGACGUUUGGGAAAGUGAGCAAGGCAAGUCACAUCAUCCUUGAACAUAUUGGAUCCCAUUUUAUAAAAUUAUUUUGAUUUAAAUUAUUGCAUUAUCGCUUUACUUAAAUUCCCGCGUUAUCAUUGUUUUAUUUAGCGAUGCCUAUUUACCUUUGUUAUGACCUUAUUAUUAUUGUUAUUGAUAUUAUUACCUUGUUCACCCUAGAUUAAACAAAACCCCAACUAGUGGACACUCUACUCAUGGUACCACUAGUAUGAAUUUAGGUAGAUGCUUCGCUGGUUAAUUAGGCAACAUUAGGUGGUUUUACAACUCUAGACUUUGGGAAUAUUCUCAUCAUCUGGACACUAUGGAAUGGAUGGAUUAUUGUGGAAUUGGAUUCACACCUCCCCCUCUAUUCAAAAUCCUCAAAAUGGUUUUAGGCUAGGCUUGGGGUGCAUGGUUUUGAUAGUAGCACCUCGGCCAUAUAAGGACCGGUCUUCGGGCCUCUGUUGCAAAGCACUACCGUACUUCCACAUGUCUAGUGGGUAAGGCUUAGUUUGUGGCUCAGUCUGGUUAUAAACAAAAGUACACGGAUGGAGAUGGACGAAGUCGGGGGUCGAUGGACAUCUCUAGGGCAAACGAAGGCUACACGAGCUGCGGCCCGGUAGUCGAGAUGUCAUGGCACAGGGCCGGUGUCCUGCUGCUAGGGGCUCAGUCCUGCCUACCUGUCCCGGAGGUUCCGGCCGUAGGUGGGGUUGGGUCGGUACUCUUGUCUAUGGCUAGGAUGGGUUGGAAACUAUGUCACGUCUUCCGUCCGUAUACCGUGGUGGUAUGUGGCACGUGGUUACACGUGAGGAAGAUGUGUCUUGUGGGUAAAGAUGUACACCUCUGAUCAGAGUAUAAUCUAUUCGAAUAGCCGCGCCCUCGGUUAUGGGCAAGCCGAACAAUGUACCCAAGUUAGUGUUUUAAUUCUUAAAACCAGCAUAACAACUAAAAUAUGGAACGGUUGGCCUGGGUUGGCUUGGGACGAGCUGAGACCCAGGGUCGGGUUGCCAGUUCGGUCUGAAUCAUCGUAGGCCUUGGGUUAAGGCAGGUUCGUGUGGGUUCACGGCCUUGAUUAAUAAUCUUGUAUAGCUCUAGGAUCGUCUUUAUAAAAUAUCUUUGGACAACUAAGUGUCCUUUAAAUCCUGUUUACUACAAACCCUAACCCCUUAUAUUAUAACCCCCUUGUACUCCCUUGCAUUUAUUCUGCACUUGUGGGUGUGUCUUGUUGAGUACGGUGGUUGUACUCAGUCUUGCUCAAUUUUUCCCAAACCCAGAAGAGGAGUUCCUGGAAGAUGAAGGCUUUGGUGUCUAGCUCGUGCCUGCCAUCAAGCGCCUGUGGUCGUCGCCCUAGUCUUCCGCUGUUUUUCGUUUGUCUUCUUGUGUGCUGGGCCUUCGCCGCCCAUGUAAUAAAUUAAUUAUUUACGCUUCCGCUUGUUAAACUCUGAAUUGUAUCAACUUUUGGUGUACCUUGCCUCCUGGGACAAGGAAUAAUACACGCACGUAAGGAACAGCCGUUGGGUUAUUUCCGGUCGUGACAAUUGGUAUCAGAGCCUCCUUGACCCUAGGACGAGAUUUAGAUCCCAAGCCUUAGCAAUAUUUUCGAAAUAAAAAUCCAUUCUUAUUUGUGAAAAUCCUCUAGUCUCUCUCCGUCUUGCUGCUUCAUUUAUCAUCAAAAGCUGAUCCCUAAAAUGUUUAUUUCUUUUUCUCUUUUGUCUUUGUUUGUAGAUGGCCGGCAGCAUCAACCGUCGUGGCCUGGACCUGACUGGCUUCAUUUUGGAGCUGCGGGGCAUGUGCGUUGUCCUGGGGUAUCCGCAUGGAGUGGACUACCAGGGCAAGCAGCUCCCGGAGCAGGAGGGUGACGAUGCAGAGCCCCACGCUGCUUGGGAGGUCACUGCAGUGAUCCUCACUGGCUCACCCGAGAGGACUUCGUUGGCAGUCACCGCGGGUGGAGAUUCUUUCUCCGCCGCUUGCUAGAGCGCCGUGCUCCUCGCCAUCGGCACUCUUCACCAGCGCUACCUGGACGAGUUGCAGCACUCGCCCUACCGCUACCACCCUCGUCGAGGAGGAGCCCGCGACUACGUGUCACGUCCUGAUAAAUUCAUCCCGAAAUAAAAAUCAUUCUCUAAAAGGAAUAAUAGAAUUAAUUAAAAUUCGAAAAGAAAUUGGCAAACACUAAAAUACGUACAAGAAAAAUUCAAAUGUGGCCUGGAGAAUUUUUGUUAAAUUCUCCUUGGUCUAAAAGGAGCCCUCAAAUUUUAGUGGAAUUUUCAGAGCACAAAUAAUAAUUAAGAAGAAAUAAACAAAGUUAAAAUGAUUUUAUAAAAAGAAAAACCCUAAAAAGUCUUCUUUCCCCCCCUUCCCUUCUUGGGCCGGCUCGGCCCACUUCCCUCCCUCUCUCUCUCCUCUCCCCCGCGGCCCAAUCGGCCCCCUCCCGCGCAUGCGCCGCUGACGGGCGGGCCCGCCCGCCACCCUCGCUGACGGGUGGGGCCCACCUGUCAUCGCCUACCUCGCGCCGCGCCCGCCGCCGCCCGUGCCCUAGCGCCGCCGCCGCCGCCGAAUCCGCCGCAUCCCGCCGUCCCCGCGCGCCAUAAAGAGGGGGAAAUCACUCCCCGUGAUUCCCUCCCUCUUUCCCCCCACUUUCCCCUCUCUCUCUCCCUCGGAUUCGCUCGGAUUUAUUCCCGAAAUCCUCGCCGGCGUCAUCAAUGGCGGCCGAGAUUUCCGCGGCCGAUUCCUUCCCCUCCGGCCGCUCUCUCCCCCUCCCGGCGCUAUAUAAUUGUUCCCCGUGCCUCACUCCUCCGUUUCUGCCACUCGCCGCUCGCUCUUUCCGUCGGAUUCGUGCCCGCGCCGUCGUCCUUUCUCUCCGCCGUCGCCGCCGAGCUCCGGUUCGCCGCCGUCGUCGCCCCGGACCUCCUCCCGCUUCGGCAUCGCCUCCUUCGGCUUCGCCGCGUCCUCGCCGACCUCGUCCGCUCCUCCGUUUCGCCCGCCGACCGUCGGAGCGCCGCCGUCCUCGUCGAUCCGAACCGCGCCGCCGCCUUCCUCCGCUCCGGUCGUCGUUUCCGCCGUCUUCGUCGUCCCGGGGUGAGCCGAGGACCGCCGCUUCGCUUCCCUCUUCUCUCCUCUCUCUCGGGCGCCGCUCCGCCGCGCCGGUGGUCGCCGGCGGUGACCAUCGGGGCGCGGGCGCGCCGCCUCCCAUCGGCCGUGCCGGCGAGGCCGCCUUCGGGCGCGCCCCGCGGCUGCCAGGUGGGGCCCGGCCGUCAGCCGCCCGCGCCCGCGGGUGCGGCUGACGCGUGGGACCCACGGCGCCGGUCGGCGCCAGCAGCGUGCACCAGGUCCACCGUGGACCGUGAGGCUGCCGCGUGGGCCCCACUCCCGUGGACCCGGUCCGCGCACCCCUCCCCUCGGCUGACGCAAUAAAUCCGAUUUUUAAUUAAAAUUUAAAUGAAGAAAUUCGCAAAUAUCCAUUUAAAGAGCAUAUAAACUUCAAAUGGCUAUAACUUGGCCAUUUGAACUCGGAAUUGGACCGUUCAAGUCUCUAAUUUUUCCUUAAGAAGUCAAGAACCCAUUUUUGUGCUUUGUUCCUGCUUGUUGUAUGGAGUUUAUUAGAGUAAAAGCCUUUUCUUUUCCGUUGGUCGUGUAGACGCUGCAGCUUCGGAAGAUCCGCUCUUCGUGGAAGUUGAAGCCGGCGUUUGGGAAAGCGAGCAAGGCAAGUCACAUCAUCCUUGAACAUAUUGAAUCCCAGUUUAUAAAAUUAUUUUAAUUUAAAUUAAUGCAUUAUCGCUUUAUUUAAAUUCCCGCGUUAUCACUGUUUUAUUUAGCCAUGCCUAUUUACCUUUGUUAUGACCUUAUUAUUAUUGCUAUUGUUAUUAUUACCUUGUUCACCCUAGGAUAAACAAAACCCCAACUAGUGGGUAUUCUAUUCAUGGUUCCACUAGUAUGAAUUUAGGUAGAUGCUUCGCUGAUUAAUUAGGCAAUAUUAGGUGGUUUUAUAACUUUAGACUUUGGGAAUUCUCAUAUCAUUUGGACACUAUGGAAUUGUUGGAUUAUGGUGGAAUUGGACAUACACCUCUCUUCCUCUUUCAAAACCCCUAAAACCUGUUUUCGGUGGGGUUUGGGUGCAUGCCAGUUGUGGGAAGUAGCACCUCGGCCACUAUAAGGAUUAAGCUCGGGCCUCUGUUGCAAAGCACUACCGUACUUCCACAUGUCUAGUGGGUAAGGCUUAGUUUGUGGCUCAGUCUGGUUAUAAACAAAAGUACACGGAUGGAGAUGGAUGAAGUCGGGGGUCGAUGGACAUUCUCCAGGGCAAAUGAAGGCUACACGAGCUGCGGCCCGGUAGUCGAGAUGUCAUGGCACAGGGCCGGUGUCCUGCUGCUAGGGGCUCAGUCCUGCCUACCUGUCCCGGGGGUUCCGGCCGUAGGUGGGAUUGGGUCGGUACUCUUGUCUAUGGCUAGGAUGGGUUGGAAACUAUGUCACGUCUUCCGUCGGUAUACCGUGGUGGUAUGUGGCACGUGGUUGCACGUGAGGAAGAUGUGUCUUGUGGGUAAAGAUGUACACCUCUGAUCAGAGUAUAAUCUAUUCGAAUAGCCGCGCCCUCGGUUAUGGGCAAGCCGAGCAAUGUACCCAAGUCAGUGUUUCAAUUCUUAAAAUUUGCUCAACAACUAAAAUGUGGAAUGGUUGGCCUGGGUUGGCUUGGGACGAGCUGGGACCCAGGGUCGGGUUGCCAGUUCGGUCUGAAUCAUCGUAGGCCUUGGGUUAAGGCAGGUUCGUGAGGGUUCACGGCCUUGUUUAAUAAUACUGUGUAGCUCUAGGAUCGUCUUUAUAAAAUGGCUUUGGGCAACUAAGUGACUUUUAAAUGCUGCUUUCUGCAAAACUUAACCCCUAUAUUAUUACCCCUUGUACCCCCUUGCAUUAAUCAUGCAUCCCCGGUGUGGCUUGCUGAGUACUGUGGUUGUACUCAUUCUUGCUCAAUCUUUCCCCUCUUCAGUAAGAGAAGCUUUGGAGAAGAUGUCUUAGGUGGAGUCCUGGCUUAUACCCCAGUUGAGCGCCUGUGAAGAUGGAGCCGUAGGCCCGCUAGUCCGCUGCUGUUUAUUUUUGUUUGUCAGGCCUGAAGCGCCUUUGUAAUAAUGUAAAUAUUAUCGAUAUAAUAAAGAUGUGUCUUUUAUAUCAUGUUUGUAUGGUGUACCCCGGCUUUUCCUGGGACGGGGAUUAAUACACUAGCGUUCGGGAAAAGGCAAUUUUCCCGGUCGCGACACUACGCCACCUUCAGGGAUGCUAGCUUGGAGGAUGACGCUACCAUCAUGCACCUGGCGCGCAUGGUGGAGGCGUACGACGCGGCCCGUAUCGACUUCCAUCAUAUGGUGUGCCAUGGGUUGGUCGAGAACAACAUGAAGAUCCUGGAGCUGCGUCAGGAGAAUCUGCAGCUGAAGAAGGACCUGGACGCAGUGGAGGCGCAGCUGUGUCAGCUCAAGAUCGCCCAUGGAGAGGUCUGUCGCCCCAAGCUCCGCCGCGUCUACCGCAGCCUGAAGAUCACCUGUCACGACCGGAAAUAACCCACCGGGCGUUCCUUACGUGCGUGCAUUAAUCCUUGUCCCAGGAGGCAAGGUACACCAACAGUUGAUACAAUUCAGAGUUUAACAAGCGGAAGCGUAAAUAGUUAAUUUAUUACAUGGGCAGCGAAGGCCCAGCACACACAAAGACAAACGAGAAGCAGCGGAAGACUAGGGCGACGACCACAGGCGCUUGACGGCAGGCACGAGCUAGACACCAAAACCUUCAUCUUCAAGGAACUCCUCUUCUGGGUUCGGGAAAAAUUGAGCAAGACUGAGUACAACCACCGUACUCAACAAGACACACCCACAAGUGCAGAAUAAAUGCAAGGGAGUACAAAGGAGUUAUACUAUAAAGGGUUAGGGUUUGCAGUAAACAGCAUUUAAAGGUACUUAGUUGCUCAAAGCUAUUUUGUAAAUACGAUUCUAGAACUAUACCAUAUUAUUUAUCAAGGCCGUGAACCCACACGAACCUGCCUUAACCCAAGGCCUACGAUGAUUCAGACCGAACUGGCAACCCGACCCUGGGUUCCAGCUCGUCCCAAGCCAACCCAGGCCAACCAUUCCACAUUUUAGUUGUUAAGCCGGUUUUAAGAAUUAAAACACUAACUUGGGUACAUUGCUCGGCUUGCCCAUAACCGAGGGCGCGGCUAUUCGAAUAGAUUAUACUCUGAUCAGAGGUGUACAUCUUUACCCACAAGACACAUCUUUCUCACGUGCAACCACGUGCCACAUACCACCACGGUAUACAGACGAAAGACGUGACAUAGUUUCCAACCCAUCCUAGCUAUAGACAAGAGUACCGACCCAAUCCCACCUACGGCCGGAACCUCCGGGACAGGUAAGCAGGACUGAGCCCCUAGCAGCAGGACACCGGCCCUGUGCCAUGACAUCUCGACUACCGAACCGCAGCCCGUGUAGCCUUCAUUUGUCCUAGAGAUGUCCAUCGACCCCCGACUUCGUCCAUCUCUAAUCCGUGUACUUUUUUUUACAACCAGACUGAGCCACAAACUAAGCCUUACCCACUAGACAUGUGGAAGUACGGUAAUGCUUUGCAACAGAGGCCCGAAGACCGGUCCUUAUAUGGCCGAGGUGCUACCAUCAAAACCAUGCACCCCGAGCCCAGCCUAAAACCAUUUUGGGGAUUUUGAAUAGAGGGGGAGGUGUGAAUCCAAUUCCACAAUGAUCCAACAAUUCCAUAGUGUCCAGGUGAUGAGAAUAUUCCCAAAGUCUAGAGUUGUAAAAUCACCUAAUGUUACCUAAUUAAAAGCGAAGCAUCUACCUAAAAUCAUACUAGUGGUACCAUGAGUAGAGUGUCCACUAGUUGGGGUUUUGUUUAUUCCAGGGUGAACGAGGUAAUAAUAACAAUAACAAUAAUAAUAAGGUCAUAACAAAGGUAAAUAGGCAUGGCUAGAUAAAACAGUGAUAACGCGGGAAUUUAAAUAAAGCGAUAAUGCAAUAAUUUAAAUCAACAUAAUUUUAUAAACUGGGAUUCAAUAUGUUCAAGGAUGAUGUGACUUGCCUUGCUCGCUUUCCCAAACGUCGGCUUCAACCUCCACGAAGAGCGGAUCUUCCGAAGCUGCAGCGUCUACACGACCAACGGAAAAGAAAAGGCUUUUACUCUAAUAAACUCCAUAUAACAAGCAGAAACAAAGCACAAAAAUGGGUUCUUGACUUCUUAAGGAAAAAUUAGAGACUUGAACGGUCCAAUUCCGAGUUCAAAUGGCCAAGUUAUGGCCAUUUGAAGGUUAUAUGCUCUUUAAAUGGAUAUUUGCGAAUUUCUUCAUUUAAAUUUUAAUUUUAAAUCGGAUUUAUUGCGUCAGCCGAGGGGAGGGGCGCGCGGACCGGGUCCACGGGAGUGGGGCCCACGCGGCAGCCUCACGGUCCACGGUGGACCGGGUGUACACGGCUUACGCCGGCCGGCGCCGUGGGUCCCACGCGUCAGCCGCACCUGAGGGCGCGGGCGGCUGACGGCCGGGCCCCACAUGGCAGCCGCGGGGCGCGCCCGAAGGCGGCCUCGCCGGCACAGCCGACUGGAGGCGGCGCGCCCGCGCCCCUAUGGUCGCCGGCGGCGGCCAUAGGCACGGCGGAGCGGCGGCCGGGAGAGGGGAGGGAAGGGGGAAACGAAAUGGGCGGUCCACGGUUCACCCCGGGUCGACGGCGACGACGGGAACGGCGACCGGAGCGGAGGAAGGCGGCGGCGCGGCUCGGGUCGACGAGGACGGCGGUGUUCCGGCGGUCGGCGGGCGAAACGGAGGGGUGGACGAGGUCGGCGAGGACGCGGCGAAGCCGAAGAAGGCGACGCCGAAGCAGGAGAAGGUCCGGGGCGACGACGGCGGCGGACCGGAGCUCGGCGGUGACGGCGGAGAGAGGGAGCGACGGCGCGAGCUCGAUUCCGGCGGAGAGAGAGAGCGGCGAGAGGCGGAAACGGCGGAGGGAGGCACGGGGAGUGUUUAUAUAGGGUUGGGAGGGGGAGAGAGCGGCCGGAUGAGGGGGAAUCGGCCGCGGAAGAUCCGGCCGCCAUUGAUGCGCUGGCGAGGUUUAGGGGGAAAUGAUUCCGAGCGAAUCCGAGGGAGAGAGAGAGGGAGAAAUGGGGGGAAAGGGGGAGGGAAUCACGGGGAGUGAUUUCCCCCUCUUUAUUGCGCGCGUGGACGGCGGGAGGCGGCGGGAUUCGUGGCGACGGCGGCGCUAGGGCACGGGCGAGGCGGCGGGAGCGGCGCGAGGUAGGGGAUGACGGGUGGGCCCCACCCGUCAGCGAGGGUGGCGGGCGGGCCCGCCCGUCAGCGGCGCGCGCGCGGGGAGGAGGCUGAUUGGGCCGCGGGGGAGAGGAGAGAGAGGGAGAGGGAGGUGGGCCGAGCCGGCCCAAGAAGGGAAGGGGGGAAAAAAAGACUUUUUAGGGUUUUUCUUUUUAUAAACUCAUUUUAACUUUGUUUAUUUCUUUUUAAUUAUUAUUUGUGCUCUGAAAAUUCCACUAAAAUUUAUUUACGCAUUUUAGGCUUUUAGGAAAUAUACAAAAAUCCUCCAAGCCUUAUUUGACUUUUAACUUAGCACAUUUUAAUUGUUGGAGGCUUUCACAAGGAUUUUACUUAUUCUAUGCAUAAUUUCGAGGAUGUAUUUUAGAGUCGUUUUGGGACGCGACAUCACCGCCCGCAAGAGUACCUCCAGGCCCGAGCUUGUUCGUCAGUCCCUGGCGUGGACAUGCUUCAUGGAGACCCCUCGCGCCGAGCCCACGCCCUUGGUUCCUCAGGAGGAGGGAGCCUCUGGCGUUGGUAGCACGGAGGAUGCGCUGCUGCUCACCUUCCGCCCUGGCCCGUCGCAGAAGUAGACGAGCAGUUAGUAGGCUUGCGCGUGUAUUCUUCUCGUUUGUUUUUCUGGUUGAGUCAUGUGGGGCAUGGUUAUACCGGUGUGUGGUAUAACUGUGUCGAAGCCUGUCUUUAUUUUAUUUGCUUAAGCAACUUGAACCUUAAUGAACCAAUUUAAUAGCAGAAAUAAAUUCAAGAAUUAUGGUAGUCGUGGGUGGUUAGUUUUAAUAGUCAGCUCUCUCUGUUUGCUGGUUCUGUGUGGUAUUUUCAGAUGGUGACAACCAGGAGAAGUUCUGCUACCGGUGAAGGCAGUCACCCCGAAGGCAGCAACCACAACAACCAAGGCAGCCCACCUCCACCUCCUCCCCCGCCUCCACCACCACCACCAGACACCAACUCUAUCCUCACCCAAAUCCUCGCCCAACAGGCCAACAUGAUGGCUGCUUUCCUCCAUCACAUCCAAAAUCCGCCACAGCAUAAUGCUCCACCUCCACCACCACCCCCGCAACAUUCUAAACUCGCCGAGUUCCUCCGCAUCCGUCCGCCUACCUUCUCUAGCUCCAAUAACCCCGUGGAUGCCUUGGAUUGGUUGCAUGCCGUGGGGAAAAAGUUGGAUACCAUGCAGUGCAACGAUGAGGAGAAAGUCAUCUUCGCCGCCCAUCAACUGCAGGGGCCCGCAUCUCUAUGGUGGGACCACUUCCAGGCUACGCAGCCAGAAGGACAGCCUAUUACUUGGGCCCGCUUCACCGCCGCUUUCCGGAGGACCCAUGUGCCCGCCGGAGUCAUGGCCCUUAAGAAAAGGGAAUUCCGGGAGUUGAAGCAAGGCAACCUCUCCGUGAUGGAGUAUUUGCAUGAGUUUAACAACUUGGCCCGAUAUGCCCCGGAGGAUGUUCGGGAAGAUGAGGAGAAGCAGGAGAAGUUCUUGGCAGGAAUGGACCCUGAGCUGUCCGUGCGUCUGGUCUCCGGGGAUUAUCCGGAUUUCCAGCGUCUGGUGGAGAAGAGCAUCCGCCUGGAAGCCAAGCACAAGGAACUGGAGUAGCACAAGCGUCGCCUGGCGAAUUUCCGCAACCAACAGGGGGCUAACCAAAGGGUCCGCUAUACCAAUCCCUACCCAGGGGGAUCCUCCUCGCAGCAGCAGCAGCAACCAUGCUCCGUGCCCCGACCUCAAUUCGUGGUGCGCGUCCCACAGCUGCAGCAGCAGCAGAAUCAGCAAGGGACCCGUGCGCCCCGUCCUCCUGCGCCCGUUGUGCAGCCUGGUCAAGGCCGCAGAGACGCUCAAGGUUAGAAACGUUUGUGCUUCAAUUGCUUCGAGCCCGGGCACUUUGCGGUUAAAUGCCCAAAGCUGAGGCGCCAGCAAGGCCAACCGCCUCCCCGCCCCAACAACGGUGGUAAGGAUGUCAUUCGGGGUCGUGUGAACCACGUGACUGCCGAGGAUGUGCUGACAACUCCAGAUGUCAUCGUGGGUACGUUCCUCAUUCAUUCUAUUCCUGCUACCAUUUUGUUCGACUCUGGAGCUUCCCACUCGUUUAUAUCUGUGCCAUUCGUGGGGAGAAAUCAGUUGGGGGUAGAAAGGCUUAGGAACCCUCUGCUCAUCACCACCCUUGGCGGGUUAUGACAGCAAAGUACUAUAGCCCUGCCGUUCCUAUAGAAAUCCAGAGAAUCCCUUUUCCCUCGGAUUUGAUUCUUCUGGACACCAAGAACUUGGAUGUGAUCCUUGGGAUGAAUUGGUUGGCUCAAUUCCAAGGAGUAGUGGAUUGCGCAAGACGCACUAUCACUCUGUACCGAGGGCCGGAACAACUGGUGGUUUUCUUUGCACCCCCAACCUCUGUCGGCAGUUCAGAACUUCAUCAGAUAGGACUGUCGGAAAUCCCCAUCGUCAGAGAGUUCGGAGAUGUGUUUCCGGAAGAACUACCCAGUAUGCCACCCAAGCGAGAGAUUGAGUUCCGGAUAGAUCUCGCUCCACGAACCACUCCUCUGUACAAGCGACCCUACCGUAUGACAGCAAAUGAACUGGCCGAAGUCAAGAGACAGUUGGAAGAGUUGAAAGAGAAGGGAUAUAUAUGGCCGAGCACUUCCCCCUGGGGUGCUCCUGUGAUUUUUGUGGAGAAGAAAGACAAGACAAAGAGGAUGUGCGUUGACUACAGAGCUCUUAAUGAAGUUACUAUCAAAAACAAAUACCCUCUUCUCCAAAUCGAUGAUCUGUUCAAUCAGCUUAAAGGUGCCACUGUCUUUUCUAAAAUCGAUCUUCGUUCCGGAUAUCACCAAUUGCGUAUUCGUGAAGAAGAUAUCCCGAAGACCGCAUUCACCACGCGUUACGGACUGUAUGAAUUCACGAUGAUGUCGUUCGGUCUGACCAAUGCUCCUGCCUUCUUCAUGAACUUAAUGAACAAAGUGUUCAUGGAAUACUUGGAUAAGUUUGUUGUGGUUUUCAUUGACGACAUUCUGGUGUACUCACAAUCAGAGGAAGACCAUCAGCAGCAUCUCCGUCUGGUGUUGGGAAAGUUGCGGGAACACCAAUUGUAUGCCAAGUUUAGCAAGUGUGAGUUCUAGUUGUCCGAAGUCAAGUUCUUAGGGCACGUGAUAUCUGCUAAAGGAGUUGCUGUGGACCCCGAAACAGUGACCGCCGUCACUGAUUGGAAGCCACCCAAGACAAUCACUCGAGUCCGCAGCUUUUUGGGUUUGGCCGGGUACUACCGAAGAUUCAUCGAGAAUUUCUCCAAAAUUGCCAGACCCAUGACGCAGUUGCUGAAGAAGGAAGAAAAAUUUGUGUGGAGCCCGCAAUGCGAGAAGGCGUUCCAAACUCUCAAGGAAAAACUAGGGUCCUCGCCAGUUUUAAUCUUACCGGAUACUCGCAAGGACUUCCUGGUGUACUGUGACGCUUCGCGCCAAGGAUUGGGGUACGUAUUAAUGCAAGAAAGUCAUGUGGUAGCCUAUGCCUCACGCCAGCUACGGCCCCAUGAAGGCAACUACCCUACCCAUGAUUUGGAGUUGGCCGCUGUGGUUCAUGCUCUAAAGAUCUGGCGGCACUAUCUCAUUGGGAAUCGCUGUGAAAUAUAUACUGAUCAUAAGAGUUUGAAAUACAUCUUCACUCAGUCGGAUCUGAAUCUUCGGCAGAGGAGAUGGUUAGAACUCAUUAAGGAUUAUGAUGUGGGAAUCCACUAUCACCCUGGUAAGGCCAACGUGGUCGCCAACGCUUUAAGUCGGAAAAGCCGUUGCAACACUCUUGGCGUCCGUGGCAUUCCACCGGAACUUAAUCAACAGAUGGAAGCCCUGAACCUAAGCAUAGUUGGUCGUGGAUUCUUGGCUACGCUGGAAGCCAAGCCUACCUUGCUCGAUCAAAUCCGUGAGGCUCAGAAGAAUGAUCCAGAUAUGCAUGGACUCCUCAAGAAUAUGAAACAGGGUAAAGCCGCUGGUUUCACAGAGGAUGAACACGAAACCCUAUGGAACGGAAAUCGGGUAUGCGUUCCAGACGAUAGAGAACUUAAACAGUUGAUACUUCAGGAAGCUCACGAAAGUCCUUAUUCCAUCCACCCUGGCAGUACGAAGAUGUACUUGGACUUGAAAGAGAAAUACUGGUGGGUUAGUAUGAAGCGGGAAAUUGCAGAGUUCGUGGCCCUUUGUGAUGUGUGCCAGUGUGUCAAGGCAGAGCACCAACGACCAGCCGGACUUCUUGUCACACCCAGAAAUUCUCGAACCAGAAUUUCUAAGCUGAAUGUGCAUUAAAUCCCUGUCCAGGACCAGCCAGGGUACACAAACGACAAUUGUUGACAUACAGACCCACGUCUUACAAAAAUAUAAAAGAUUACAAAUGCAGCGGGAAAGAUAAAAGCGAGCUAAACCGGGAAGCUUGACUUCAGCAGCGGGCGACUCCACUCCACAGGCAAACCUUGACGACAGCGACGAAACCAACCUCUCUGAGAUGGCUCCAACUGAGAAGAACUUCAACUUUGGUGUGGGGGAAAAGAGAGCAAGACUGAGUACUACCCCCUGUACUCAGCAAGUCAUACCGGAAGAGGAGGUAUGAUGCAGGAUAUAACCAAAGGAAGCUAUGGGUUCUUUUGCAUAAAGCAGGCAUUUCAAAGCAGUAGUUGAAAGCAAUAAAACAGCUAUAGUAAUUAAUCAAUAUUAACCAAUCACUGUCCAACGCUACACCACGUUGCAACAGGCCCAACCAACCACCUGAACUACACAAGUUCAUUAAGUUAAACUAGGGGUGAGACUAAUCACGGUGAAUCUGGUUGAUCGCCCAUAACCGCGGGCACGGCUAUUCGAAUAGUUUUACUCUGGCCAGAGGUGUACAACUGUACCCACAAGACACGAUUCCACACAUGUCGCCAUGCCCCGAAGUAUCACCAUGAUACUGCAAAGGGGGAAAUCGUGACAAGACCCUUCACAUAACCCUCCCCUAACCAUCCACACCACGCUAAGGUUUCACCCCCACCCCUCAAAAGGCAGUGGGCGGUCCCCUCUUGCGCCGCGGUGAAUCCGGCAGCUGGACAACCGAACACCUCGGCCGACCCAACUCCAUCACGCCCACCCUCGCCACCGGUGCCUAGGAAAGGGUCGAGCUAUACUUCAGAUCAAGCAGUUACCCACUCCCGCUUGUGGUAAGCACGGUAAGUCUCCCAGGUUUCCCGUGAACCGGUCCUUAACUGCCAUGGGUGCGACCAGCAAAACCAUGCACUCACAGCCCGCCAUUCAGAAUAUUUUAAUUAACUGACACCCUUGCGGUGGCACCAAUCUAAAGCUAUGCCAAUAGUCAGAGUCUAUGUAAUAAUGUGAUCCCCAUUUGUGUACUAGUUGAACUAAGCAUGGCUAAGCAUUUCCUAAGCCAACAUCUAGUCAUUUUGAUACCCAAGUUAUCAAUGGCAUAAGAUAACCAAUAUGUGGCUGAGGAAUAGGACCCAUCCCACAUUACAUUGUAAAAGAAUGCAACAUUUAAUAGAAAUGCGGGAUAUUGGUAAAUUGGGUACAAUAUGAUCAAACGUAUUGCAUGACUUGCCUUGCUCUCAAACUGAUGAGACCUCAGCAACGUCUUCGAGAAACUGCGGAUCAACGAAACGGCCGAAACCUACGCGACAAACAAAGCACACAAGCAAAACAUGCUAUAAGACUACUGAAACAGGAAACAAAACCAUUUUUAAUGGAUUCUUUGCAUUUUUCUUGAUUUACUGAGACUUGAAUGGACUUAAACGGAGCUCGGAUGAAUUACUUAUGAAUUUUAGAAGAUAAACUGUGUUUUUACUAAUAAAGAAAAAGUCCUUAAUUAAUUAUUGCGCAAUAAUACCCGGGGCUGACGUCAGCGAGGGGGGCGGCGUCGACAGGCGGAGCCCGCAUGUCAGCGGCACAAGGGGAGAGGGAGGGGGCGCCGGCAUGUGGACCCCACGGGCAAUGGCUCAAGGGGGAAGACGGGGUGGCGCCCGGUUGGCUCGGCUCGGCUUCAAAGCCGACCGGCGACCAUGGCGACCGGCGGCGGCGCGCGAGCGCCGGUAACGGCAAGCGACGGCGCGGGAGGCGGCGGUGGACGGCGCACAGGCCGGCGGCGGCGGCCGAAGGCGAUGGCGAGCGCAGGGAGCGGCAGCGCGUGUGGGACAGAGGGAAGGAGGGAGGAGAGGAGCUCCUCACCGUGAGCACGGCGGCCGGCGCGAAGGAUGAAGACGACGGCGAUGACCGGUGAUGCGGAGGCAUGGACGGGCGGCGGUGACACCCUAGGAGAAGAUGGAGAGGCGUUAGGAUAGGAGACGACGACCACGGCGGCUUGAAUUGCCGGCCGGAGAUGGAGGGGAGGGAAAAACUCACCGGCUCGCGAGGGGAGAGGCGCUCCGGUGGGAUUCCGGCAACGCGAGGCGGUGGCUGGGAAAGCUCUUGCGGCGGCGAAGCUAACGGCGGUGGCGGGUUGGCGCGGCGGCGACUCUAGCAGCGACGGCGCUAGCAGCGAGCGGCACGAGCACGAUAGGAGGCACGGGAGAGUGCAGUGAAUGAGGGAAAUGGGAGAGGAGGUUUGGGGGAGCGUUUUUACGGGCGAGGGAGGGGCGGAAACAGCCGGGGAUGGCCCCUAUUUGGCUGGCGAUGUGGGGAGUGGAGGGAGAGAGAGAGGUGGAUUCGAAUGCGAAUCCCUCCCAUUUUUGGGCGGGCGCGAGAGCGGGAAGAGGUGGGGGAGGGGCGGCGACAUGGGCGCAGGGCGCGGGAGAGGCGCAGGAGGCGGGGAAGGUGGGCAGCGUGGGGAGCGGUGGUUUCGGCGGUGGUUGGCGCCGGGGCGUGGGCGGCUAGAGGUAGGGGACGACCCCGACAGGUGGGCCCCACCUGUCGGUGCCCGAAAGAGAAAGGGAGGGAGGGAGGACUUCAGGGAGGGGAAAUGUCACGCCCGGAAUUUCUAUCCAAAAUUCCAAACGCUUACAUGUGUGUGAACCCUCGUCCAGGAAUCAGCCGAGGCACACAAUAACAAAUUGAUAAUAGAGUACAAUUAUUACUCUAAUUAAUAAGCGAAUAAAAUGUCAUUACAGAGGUAGAUAGUUCCUCUCAAUCAAUAAAGAUCUAAGCAGCGGAAAAAUAAGAUAAACGGCGCGGACGGCUCCACUCCACAGGCAGCUUGACCAAGGCUACACCUAAACCUCCACACCAUCAGCAUCAUUGUAGAACUCUUCCUCUGAUGAAUGAUUGCAAGGUGAGUAUAUGACAUACUCAGCAAGCCACGCAGCAAAUAUGCAAGUGCACAGGAUAACAAAGGAUGGCAUAAUAGGGUUUCAUUUGCAAAAACAGCAUUUAACAAACUUUUCAGAAUUUAAUAAAACAGUUGAGUAUUAAUUAAACAAUAUUAAUCCAACGCUAUACAACAUACCCUGUUGUAUAGGCCCAACCAUUAUGUACAACCAUCCCAGCUGCACAGUUCUAUCUCCAAACCAGGAAUAUACCAUUCCAAACCAGGAGCUAAUCAAAUUAUUACCAAUUAUAGCAUCAUUUACUAUGGUGAGAAGGGUGAGACUAAUCACGAAAGACAUUGUUAGACCCGCCCAUAACCGCGGGCACGGCUAUUCGAAUAGUUUUACUCUGAUCAGAGGUGUACCACUGUACCCACAAGACACAACCCCACAUCAUGUCGCCAUGUGCCUCAAUACCACCACGGUACCUCGGAAAGGAGUUGUGACAAUACCCCUUGCAUAACACAAUCCACCGCAGCGCACCUUCCUGGAUCAUAAUCACCCCCUUAUAAACAAGGCAUGGACUCCCCAGCGACCCCCGUGGGCUUAUCUCCGCCACUUCUCAGUCUGGUGCUCCGCAAUGAACCAUGUUAUACAAAAGAUAAAGCCGUUGCCCACGCUGGCUUGUGGUUGGCACGGUUAAUGUUUCACAACCGAAACUCGUGAACCGGUCCUUAAUUGUCAUGAGCACGACCAUCAAAACCAUGUGCUCACAACCCACCAUUACCAGGUUUUAGUUGGCACAUUAAUUAAUUAACCAAUCACGAUUGACCAUCGUGAAAUCAUUAAAUAAUAGUGAGUCAUAAGUUAUCCCAAUAGUGUGCUAAUGUUUCUAAGCAGGGCUAAGCAAUUAUAUCUAAUAUCUAGUUGAACCAAUAUAUAAAGCUCAACUAGUCAAAUUAUAAUAACCCAAGGUAUCAAGGAAUAAAGUAAUCAAGAACAAAAGGGCUAUAACAAACAAUAGGUUAUUUCCACCCAAUGACAUUCGAAAAUAAAUGCAAUAGUUGAAUAGAAAUAAUAGCUUUAAAUAGGAUCAACAUGCUCAAAGGGUUGUUUGGGAUCUGUGUGACUUGCCUUGCUGGCCUUGGAACUCUUCAAAUUCUUCUCCUGCGAAAACGGACUCUCCGGAAACAACGGAAUCUAAGCAGAAAAGAGCAAAAUCACCAAAACAGCACAUAAACAAGCAUGAACAGUACAUGUGGAUAUUUUUAACCUGUAGAUCUCAAUUUUAGAAAAAUUUAGAGACUUGAACCAACUAAAUCGGAGCUAAGAUGAAUUAGUUAUGAAUUUUUGAAGAUUAAAUCGGAUUAAAACACUUAUAUUGAUUUUAAUUGAAUUAUGACGCAAUAAUGAAUUAUUUUUGAAAAGGAAAAAAGGGUUUAUUGCGUUAGCAGCUAGGGUUUCGCGGUGGACCGGGUGCACGGCGGCGGUUCACGCGAACGGACGGCCGAGAUCGACUUGAUCCAAAACGGACGACCGAGAUCGAUCGGUCCACGACCGGCUCACGGGAGAGGGCGACGAUGACGUCGACGAUGACGUCACCACCGGCGGCGGCGGCUCGGCGGCUCGGACGGCGCACGCUCACCGGCGAACGGCGGCGCUUUGGCACGAACUGAGGACACCAACGGGUAGCGGACGGCACGGCGAACUCACCGGCGACCAAAGCGACGGCGGAAGACCAACGGACGGCGACGGCGACGAGGUUGAAACGGCGGCGCUCUUCGGCAUGACGACGGCGACGAUGCUCCGGCGGUCUCCGACGGUGGCGAAGCGGCGGACGAGGACGGCGACGACUUGGCGAGCACGACGGCGGUCUUCCCGAGCGACGACGAUGACUGGAACGGCGGCGGCGCACGGCUGGAGCGACGGCGGCGACGGCGGCGCUAGGGCACACGGCGCUAGAGCGCUACGGGCGACGAGAGGCGAAGGCGAGGGUGGCGGCCGGUAGAGGAGACACCGGGGGUCCUUUUAAAGGGGCUAGGAGGCGACGGCGAAGGCCCACGGCGACCGGCGACGCGAAGGAAACUUCGGGUUCGGGAGAGAGGAAAGUCGAUCCGAUUUGACUUCAAAUCUAUCGAUUUCCAAACCGAUUUAGCCGAUGAUUCCAAAAGAGAAAAGGUUGAGGAGAUCUCGAGGAUCAUUUGCCCUCUUUUGAUUCGGCCGGAGAAGGAAAGGGGCGGCCGGAUUUGGAAAGGAACGGCGGCGGCGCGAAACUAGGGUUUCGGGCGGCGGCGGCCGGAGGUUGACGACGACCCUGACAGGUGGGGCCCACCUGUCAGCGGGAGAGAGAGAGGAGAGCGGCGGCUUGGACUGGGCCGGCUGGGCUGAAGAGAGAGAGAGAGCGGUUUUGGGCCGACUUUCGGCCCAAAGCCAAAAGAGACUUUUUAAAACCUUUUUCAAUUUAAAUUAUUUAUGAAAUGCAAUUCCAUUUAUUAAAAAUACUUCCUUAGCUCAAAUAAAUCCCAGAAAAAUCUAGGAAUUAUAGAAUUAAGCAAAGUAUUUAAUGAAAUUUUAUCUGGCCCCAUUUUAUAUUGGAAUUUAUUAAUUAAAAUUAGAUCUUCUCUUCUAGGCUCUUAAAAUAAAUUCUAAAAAUUCCAUUUAAACAACAAUUUAUAUAUUUUGAAUUUUCAGGGUGUGACAGGAAAGGAGGAGCGGGCCGGCCCAGGAAGGGGCGCCGAGCGCGGGGAGAGAGACGGGCCGACGGCCCAUCUAGAGAAAAAAGAAGGAAAAGAAAAAGAAAAAGAAAAAGAAGAAAGGAUUUUUCCUGGGAUUUAAAAUUGCACUUUGGUGAUUUUUAAUUGAUUAAAAUUAUUUCCAAGGCUCUGAAAAUUCCACUAAAAAUCUUGUUAAUGCAUUGGAAAAUGGGGAACUCAAGAAAAAUUCCACCACGCUAUUUCCGAUUAUUAAUUGCAUUUAUUAACUAGGGAUUUAGCUCUAGGUUAAUUAAGAUAAUUUCUUCGGGCAAUUUAUUUAACCAAUUUUUAAAGCAAGAAAAAGGGGGGGAUACUUCAGGGUGUGACACUUCUCCAACCUCUCCAACUACCAGAAUGGAAAUGGGAUGAAAUUGGGAUGGAUUUCAUCACCGGACUUCCAAAAACCUAGGGCGGUUAUGAUUCUAUAUGGGUAGUCGUGGAUCGACUAACCAAGGUAGCUCGGUUUAUUCCUGUGAAGACCACCUAUGGAGGAAACAAACUAGCCGAACUCUACUUCGCUAGGAUCGUGAGUCUCCAUGGCGUUCCUAAGAAAAUUGUAUCUGAUAGGGGAAGCCAAUUCACCUCUCACUUCUGGAAGAAGCUCCAAGAAGAGUUGGUACCCGAUUAAAUUUCAGCACCGCGUAUCACCCGCAGACAGAUGGACAGACCGAGCGUCUAAAUCAGAUCCUAGAAGAUAUGCUCCAUGCCUGUGUUCUAGAUUUUGGGAAGACCUGGGAUAAGAGUCUCCUCUAUGCCGAGUUCUCCUACAAUAACAGCUACCAAGCCAGCAUACAAAUGGCACCCUAUGAAGCGUUGUAUGGACGCAAAUGCCGGACACCGCUAUUGUGGGACCAAGUUGGGGAAAGCCAAGUGUUCGGGACCGAUAUCCUGAGAGAAGCUGAAGCUAAAGUCAGAACCAUUCGGCAUAAUCUAAAGGUGGCACAGUCUCGGUCGAAAAGCUAUGCAGAUAACCGACGCCGUAACCUGGAAUUUGCAGUGGAUGACUUUGUGUACCUUAGGGUCACGCCAUUGUGGGGUGUACACAGGUUCCAAACGAAAGGGAAGCUAGCACCUCGGUUCGUGGGUCCUUUCCGUAUCAUCGCUCGACGCGGAGAAGUCGCUUACCAGUUGGAGCUGCCCGCAUCCUUGGGUAACGUGCAUGAUGUGUUCCAUGUGUCGCAACUCAAGAAAUGUCUUCGAGUGCCAUCCGAGCAGGCCGAUUCAGAGCAAAUUGAAGUUCGCGAAGACUUGACCUACGUGGAAAGGCCAGUGAAAAUCCUGGACACCAUGGAGCGCAGGACCAGGAACCGGGUAAUCCGUUUUUGCAAGGUCGAAUGGAGCAACCACGCUGAGGAAGAGGCUACUUGGGAACGUGAAGACGAGCUGAAGGCAGCCCAUCCCGAUCUCUUCGCCAGUUCUUCCGAAUCUCGGGGUCGAGAUUCCGUUUAAGGGGGGUAGGAUUGUCACGUCCCAAAACGACUCUAAAAUAUAUCUUUUAAAUUAUGCCUAGAAUAAUUAAAAUCCUUGUGAAAGCCUCCAGCAAUUAAAAUGUGCAAAGUUAAAAGUCAAAUCAGGCUUAGAGGAUUUUUGUAUAUUUCCUAAAAGCCUAAAAUGUGUAAAUAAAUUUUAGUGGAAUUUUCAGAGCACAAAUAAUAAUUAUUAAGAAAUAAACAAAGUUGAAAAAUUUUUAUAAAAAGAAAAACCCUAAAAGUCCCCCUUUCCUCCCUUGGGCCGGCCCAGCCCAUCUCUCCUCCCCCCUCUCUAUCUCCUCUCCCCGCGGCCCACUCGGCCUCUCCCCGCGCGCGCGCCGCUGACGGGCGGGCCCGCCCGCCACCCUCGCUGACGGGUGGGGCCCACCCGUCAUCCCCGACCUCCCGCCGCCUCGCCCGCGCCCUAGCGCUGCCGCCGCCGCGAAUCCCGCCGCCUCCCGCCGUCCCGCGUGCAGUGAAGUAGGGGGAAAUACUCCUCAUGAUUCCCUCUCCCUUUCCCCCCAUUUUUCCCUCCCUCUCUCGCGUUCAAACAGGCGGAUUUGCCCCCGCAAAUCUUGCCGGCGCCAUUGAUGGCGGCCGACCUCCCGCGCCGGUUUCCUUCCCCUCCGGCCGCUCUCUCCCCCUUCCAACCCUAUUUAAACCCUCCCCGCACCUCCUCCGUCCAUUUCCGCCUCUCGCCGCCCUUCCACCUCGCCGGAUUCGAGCUCGCGACGUCGCUCUCUCUCUCCACCAUCGCCGCCGAGCUCCGGUCCGCCGCCGUCGUCGCCCUGGACCGCCUCCCACCUCGGCGCCGCCUCCUUCGGCUUCGCCGCAUCCUCGCCGACCUCGUCCACCUCUCCGUUUCGGUCGCCGACCGCCGGAGCGCUGCCGACCCCGUCGACCCGAGCCGCACUGCCGCCUCCCUCCGCUUCGGCCGCCUCCUCCGUCGCCGCCGUCGCCCCGGGGUGAGCCGUGGACCGUCGCCUCCUUUCCCCCUUCCCUCCCCUCUCUCGGCCGCCGCUCCGCGGCGCCGGUGGUCGCCGGCGGCAACCAUCGAGGCGCGGGGGCGCCGCCUCCCGCCGACCGCGCCGGCUUGGCCGCCCUCGGGUGCGCCAAGUGGCUGCCGCGUGGGGCCCAGCCGUCAGCCGCCCGCGCCCUCGGGUGCGGCUGACGCGUGGGGCCCACGGCGCCGGCCGGUGCGAGCCCGGGUGCGCCCGGUCCACCGUGGACCAUGAGGCUGCCGCGUGGGCCCCACUCCCGUGGACCCGGUCCGCGCGCCCCUCCCCCUCGGCUGACGCAAUAAACCCUUUUUAAAUUAAAAUUUAAAUGAAGAAAUUCGCAAAUAUUCAUUUAAAGAGCAUGUAAACUUCAAAUGGCCAUAACUUGGCCAUUUGAACUCGGAAUUGGACCGUUCAAGUCUCUAAUUUUUCCUUAAGAAGUCAAGAACCCAUUUUUGUGCUUUGUUCCUGCUUGUUAUAUGGAGUUUAUUAAAGUAAAAGCCCUUUUCUUUUCCGUUGGUCGUGCAGACGCUGCAGCUUCGGAAGAUCCGCUCUUCGUGGAGGUUGAAGCCAACGUUUGGGAAAGUGAGCAAGGCAAGUCAUAUCAUCCUUGAACAUAUUGGAUCCCAUUUUAUAAAAUUAUUUUGAUUUAAAUUAUUGCAUUAUCGCUUUACUUAAAUUCCCGCGUUAUCAUUGUUUUAUUUAGCCAUGCCUAUUUACCUUUGUUAUGAACUUAUUAUUAUUGUUAUUGAUAUUAUUACCUUAUUCACCCUAGAUUAAACAAAACCCCAACUAGUGGACACUCUACUCAUGGUACCCCUAGUAUGAAUUUAGGUAGAUGCUUCGCUGGUUAAUUAGGCAACAUUAGGUGGUUUUACAACUCUAGACUUUGGGAAUAUUCUCAUCACCUGGACACUAUGGAAUGGAUGGAUUAUUGUGGAAUUGGAUUCACACCUCCCCCUCUAUUCAAAAUCCUCAAAAUGGUUUUAGGCUGGGGUCGGGGUGCAUGGUUUUGACAGUAGCACCUCGGCCAUAUAAGGACUGGUCUUCGGGCCUCUGUUGCAAAGCACUACCGUACUUCCACAUGUCUAGUGGGUAAGGCUUAGUUUGUGGCUCAGUCUGGUUAUAAACAAAAGUACACGGAUGGAGAUGGACGAAGUCGGGGGUCGAUGGACAUCUCUAGGGCAAAUGAAGGCUACACGAGCUGCGGCCCGGUAGUCGAGAUGUCAUGGCACAGGGCCGGUGUCCUGCUGCUAGGGACUCAGUCCUGCCUACCUGUCCCAGAGGUUCCGGCCGUAGGUGGGGUUGGGUCGGUACUCUUGUCUAUGGCUAGGAUGGGUUGGAAACUAUGUCACGUCUUCCGUCCGUAUACCGUGGUGGUAUGUGGCACGUGGUUACACGUGAGGAAGAUGUGUCUUGUGGGUAAAGAUGUACACCUCUGAUCAGAGUAUAAUCUAUUCGAAUAGCCGCGCCCUCGGUUAUGGGCAAGCCGAGCAAUGUACCCAAGUUAGUGUUUUAAUUCUUAAAACCAGCAUAACAACUAAAAUAUGGAACGGUUGGCCUGGGUUGGCUUGGGACGAGCUAGGACCCAGGGUCGGGUUGCCAGUUCGGUCUGAAUCAUCGUAGACCUUGGGUUAAGGCAGGUUCGUGUGGGUUCACGGCCUUGAUUAAUAAUCUUGUAUAGCUCUAGGAUCGUCUUUAUAAAAUAUCUUUGGGCAACUAAGUGUCUUUUAAAUCCUGUUACUGCAAACCCUAACCCCUUAUAUUAUAACCCCCUUGUACUCCCUUGCAUUUAUUCUGCACUUGUGGGUGUGUCUUGUUGAGUACGGUGGUUGUACUCAGUCUUGCUCAAUUUUUCCCAAACCCAGAAGAGGAGUUCCUGGAAGAUGAAGGCUUUGGUGUCUAGCUCGUGCCUGCCGUCAAGCGCCUGUGGUCGUCGCCCUAGUCUUCCGCUGUUUUUCGUUUGUCUUCUUGUGUGCUGGGCCUUCGCCGCCCAUGUAAUAAAUUAAUUAUUUACGCUUCCGCUUGUUAAACUCUGAAUUGUAUCAACUUUCGGUGUACCUUGCCUCCUAGGACAAGGAAUAAUACACGCACGUAAGGAACGCCCGUUGGGUUAUUUCCAGGCAUGACAUGUGUCCACACUAUUAAUUUGGUAUCUCUAUACCAUGAUCCAUAAGACAUUAUCAUCAAUUAAUACAUGUGUUGAUCAUAUAAACGUAUUUGUUCCACAUAUGAUAUUUGAUCAGGGAUCCUUUAGAAAUAGCAACACAUAACAUAAAGAGUCUGAUGAAAGAAUCACAUAUUCAUUAACCAAUAAUGAGUUUAUCUAUUUUAAGAAACAAAGUCGGAUAAAUAUGUAAACAUAGUGUGUGACACGAUCAUCUCUAUGAUUGCCUCUAGGGCAUAUCACUAACACUGAAAACCUUUCGUUUUGCCCACGAGACGGUUAGUUAUCUAGAAUCGGCUCCGCUAACCGGUUUAGUUAACAAACCCAUCUUGCUUUAGCUUUUGCUAGAUCGAGGUGGUUGGCGACUCUAGGAUCACCACAAGGCGUUUAGAUGCUGCGAUCGUGUGCUUGUCAACUUGUCACAAAAAGUUGCCAACAGUGAUGUUAACGGUUUAUUAGUGAAAAACAUAAUUUAUAAAUACAAGUUUUAUAUUUGUAUUCUAAGCAAUUUAAACGUUAAUGCUGAAUAAAAAACUCCAUUAAAAGUACUCUAAAAUCAAGUCUAAAAUAUUGAAAUACAAAUAUAUAGAUGGUUAAAUAGAAAAUUUCAGCAACUCAAAUGCGAAAGCAAAACAAAAGAUGAAAGUACUAAAAUAGAAACAUAAGAACCGAACAAAUUGAAUGCCGCGCGUGGAUAAUCUUUGCAACUAUGCAACUUGCCAUGACAAAGAGUGAAAAACGCAGAGAUUAUAUCAGCACGGAAACGAGAGGAGACUUCAGAAAACGGCGAAGGAUGCUGCCCGGAAAAAAUAAACUCCCUUAAAUUCCUAUGCAUAUCUUGUGCUCCGCAGACCAAGUAAAAACUUAAUUAAGCACAUGCAUUUGACGCCUUUUCAGUUUCCACCAUAUCCAAAUGUUCGUUCUCCACAAGUCGUACGUGCACGGCUCAAACUCACCUUUUUUUUAUUUCAGGUCAAAUGUCCUGGUAAGUUAAAUAGACUGCAUGUUUAGGAGAACAAUACCCUUGUGUCUUUUACGAAAACUUUUCAGACUAGACCUCUAUAUUUUCCUUGGCACAGGAACCAUACUCGCUCUAAGUUAGUAGCGCGGAAUCAUCUUCUCUCACGCAUCGCUAAUAUUAUAUUAUCUCACGACCAAUGAGUUUAAAUGGAAUAUUCUAACCAGUGAUGGGAGGUUCUCGGUUAAAUCUCUUUAUCUUGCAUUGGUGUAGACCGGAGUUUCCAAUAGACAAAAAGAAUUUAGAAGAUCAAAGCCCUCCUAAAGAUUAAGAUAUUCUUAUGGUACUUACGUCGGGCAGUAGUUUUAACAAGAGAUAAUCUGAUUAAAAAGAAUAGGAGGAAACAAGACUUGUUCUUAAUAUCACGAAGAGAAAACUGUUAAACAUUUGUUCUUUGAUUGCCGUUUUGCCCACGUGGUUUGGUCCUUAAUCCACUUUGCUUGUAAUAUUACUUUACAUAAUAGUAUAACUCGUAUAUAUGUUUGGGUGUAGGAUAAGAAGAAAACCACACAAUUUGUGGCAACGAAAACAAAUGUUCUUUUUCCUAAAUUUUUUGUCCAAUCUUUGAUCAAUUAUAUCAUUGUAUAUUCCUCUCAAAAAAAUUAUAUCAUUGUGUUGUAUUCGUUAAAUUUCACUAAUCUAUAGGUAUUUUAAUCAAAUUAUCACAAAACUAUAUAUUUAACACCAAAUUUAUCUUAAACCUAUAGAUUUAAGGCCUACAUAUUUUAGAGUUUAAAUCCUAGCACCAUUAUUACUUUGGAGCUAUAAACAUUGUAGUUUUGAACUAAAUUUUGGGUUCUGGUAGUGAGUAGUGACUGUAUCGUCGGUGUAGAAGCAUUAGCCAAAUACUUCAUGGCAUUAUAACUCAUUUUUAUAAGUUAGAUACAUAACGAUUUAUGAAAGCACGGUAUCAAUUUGAAAAGGUCGUCUAUCAAAUGAUUAAAUUGGUUCCGGAUUCCAAAUUAAAAUACUUGCUACGUAUGCAGUAUGUCGUUAUCAAACGUGAUGGAUCUGGUUAUCCUUAUUAGCACGAGGGGUUACUUCAGCUUUGUGGGCGAAGUUAAUUAGUUGACCAUAAGUUUUAACGUUUACUUGUACACAUACCGUGCUUUCAUAUCUUUAUAUGGUACGCGUACACACAUACCGUCUAGAUGACCUCUUUUACGUAUAUAUAUAAGUUAGAGGUCAUAUCUUUAAUUAACAAGCCACGCAGUGUUGUUUCAGGGGAGAGAGAGAGAGAGAUGCGUUCUUGCGGCAUCAGAGGUGUCAUUCGCCACCAUCUGGCGUGGCUGGUGCUAAUUUUGUGCUCAUGGCAGGUUGCAGCUGCUCAGGCUCAGCAAGCACCAAAAACCGAUCCAGUCGAAGGUAGGCGUAUAGAUGGCCAAAUGGGCCGCCCGGCCCGGCCCGGCCCAAGCAUGGCCGUGCCUAGGCCAAGGCUUAUUGGGCCGGCACGGCCCGACCAACACACCGGGCCGUCCCGUGCCAGCCCACGGGCGGCAUCCACGGCCCAGGCACGGCCCAAUACUACUCGGGCCGUGCCGGGCCGGCCCGAAGGCACGAUGGUCCAUCGUGCUUCCUCAUAGAAAAAGUCUAUUUUUGGUCGCUCAACUUUGUGGGCUGUGUUUAAAUGGCUGGAAAAUAAGUCUAUUUUGUAUACCUCUUAUCUUGGGCCUUGCCUUAUAUGAUUAUUUAAGUCUAUUUUAAAUCCCUAUAUUUUUUUUAUUUGACCGGGCCGUGCCGUGCCGGCCCAGCGUGCCGAAGGUGCGGCCCAAGCACGGCCCGGCUGUCGGGCUGGGCUGGCACGGGCACAACCCCAGUCAGGCCAUGCCGUCCUUGGCCAAACAGCCGUGCUUUGGGCCGGGCCGUGGGCCACGGGCCAUAUGGCCAUCUAUAGGUAAGCGAGCAAUUAAUCAUGCACGCGUACGUAUAUACGUAUCACGCAUGCAUAUGCAUGUCUCUCUAGUUUGGUUUUCCUCCAUGUAGCUAGAUCGCAGGAGUUGUAAUUUGUGGUUGAUAACAUUGAUAUGGUGUCCCCCUCUUGCCGCCUUGAAACGAAAGAGUUAGAGAAAUCUUAUAUAUUUAUAUAAAGUUCUAUCCUAUAUAUUUUUAUAAAGUCCAUUCCUAACCGUAGUAAUUAUUACUAUUUAUAUCUUUUCUUAUUAAGCCACAUCAUCCGAAUUGUUUUUUUAUUCCUUCGAUAGUUGGUAGUAUAUUGUGCAAAUUAUCUCUCAUAUUUUCCUAUCUUAUUAAGUCAUAUCACCUUAGUUUUAUAUUUAAGAUGAUGUACUUGGCCACAUCACUAUUGUUGUGAUUUUAAAUGACCAAUCUAGUUUAAAUUAUUAUAAAUAACAUCUUAAUUGUACGUAGUAUUUUUCUACAGUAGAUAAAGAUGGUUAAUUCAUUAAUCGCCUAGCUAGCUUCCAUCCGCAUGAUUAAUAAUGGAGAGUUUAAUUAACCAUGCAGCGGCUGCUCUGAACACGAUACUGGGGAGAUGGGGCAAGAAGGCAUCGCCGGAGUGGAACAUCAGCGGCGAGCUCUGCAGCGGUUUUGCCACUGAUAAAACUGACUGGGAUUACUACCCCAACAUCAACCCGUUCAUCAAGUGCGAUUGCACGGACAGCAACAACACCCUCUGCCACAUUACCAGACUGUACGCACACUCUCUUUAUCUUUAUCGUGGUUUCAUCAUAUGUGCUCCACGCAGUGCCUGAAAGAGCCCAUGCAUACACACGUAUAUGCUGCAAGUAUACAAAUUAAAAAACAUAUAUAUAUAAACACCAGAUUAUUAAUAUUAAUUAGUAUCUCCAAGGAAUGCGUAGAGGAAUCAGAAAAGUCUAUCCUAAAUUCGGUACAUAUCUUCCUUAAAAAAAUUGUACAUAUCUGCUGGACCCAAAUGGAGGUAUUAAUUUGGUCCUCCGGCUGUAUAUAUGUAUCCCAAACACAGUUCUCUUAUCAGUAUUUUUACUUGUUUUUUAUGCAGGAGGGUAACUAAUUUGAAUGUAGUUGGUCAAAUACCUACGGAGCUACAGAAUCUCACACAUCUAGUGGAUCUGUACGGUAUCCAAGACUUCUCUUCUUAAUUAAUCUUGCUACUAGUCGCAUCGGGAAAUUCACUAGCUUGUAAUUAGCGAAUUAAUUUGUGCAUUCUCGUCUAGUAAUUAGCCGAUAUACUAGAAACGACAAUUCAAUAAUCCAAUAUAAUAAUAACAUUAGAUAUUACUUACAAAUAAAAAGAAAACAAUAGCUUACAAACGAUAUAGCAUUAGCUUCAGCUCUAGUUCCACGCACAGCUCAACUGAGAUAUAAGCCAGAUGUCUUCUUCCUCAAAAAUUUUCUUCAACUGAGAUUUGAUGAUUAUUGUAUGGCGAGUACAUGGAAUACUCCAUAAGCCACACAGAAAAAAUACAGGUGCAUGGUGAUACAAAGGAAGGUAUGAUAGGGUUCAUUUGCAAAAGCAACAUUCAGCAAAACAAUAUAAAAUCAACACUGUACAACAUACCUAUGCUCCAUAGGCCCAACCAUCUCUAAACAACCAAACCCGACUACACUGACUAAAGUCCAUACAAAGAGCUAACAAAUUAUCAUUACCAAUUUAUUUAUCAUUAAUAAGUAGUGUGUGACUAAUCACAAAAAAAACACUGUUAGGCUUGCCCAUAACCGCGUGCACAACUAUUCGAACAGUUUUACUCUGGCCAGAUAUGUACUAAUGUACCCACAAGACAAUUCCACAACCUGUCACCAUGUCAUCAUGUGCCCACGCUUAACAUGUCACCAUGUGUGAAAUUCUAACAAGACCAUUCGCAUAGCACAACUCAAAGUAGUUCACCAUUCUCAGAUCGUCGUCUUUCCAUAACUCAGAAUAGACGCGUUGUGACCCACGUGGGCUUAUUAGUCUGGUUCUCUACAACGAAUCAUGCUAUACAAAAAGUCCAGUCAUUGCUCAUGCUGGCUUGUGGUUAGUACGGUUAAUGCUUCACCACAGUAGCUCGUGAACCGUUCCUUAAUUGCCAUGAGCACGACCAUCGUAUCCAUGUGCUCAAAGCUUACCAUUAAUCAAGUUUUAGUUGGCAUAUUAUUAAUCAACCAUGACAAAACAUCACAAUAUACCAUUAAUUAACCAUCAUUAAUCAUGAGUGAAUCAUUAGUUAUCGCAUGUAAAAGGAAUAUGUUCAUCUGAAGUCCCUUAACGUGUCAACGUAUCCGAUUUUCGUCCUUCAAUCGGAAAACCAGAUACCACGGGUCCGUCAACUAUCAAAACCGGUAAAGAUGAGGUCCCUCGGCGGUUUAGAUGGCGGUUUAGGCUGACAUGGCGCCUACUUGGCUAAUUUGACUCGGUCUUCAUCUGACGUGGCAUUGUCAUGGCGAUUACGUGGCAAUUUGUUCCGGAAAAAUAAUAAAACACAUGGGACCCACAAGUCAGUUUCACACACAAAAUAAUUAAAAAUGGUGGGACCCACGUGGGCCCUGUCUCACCCCUCCUUUCUUCCUCCUCCCUCCCCAUCUCUUUCUCUUCAUUUCUAUCCCCUUAAUUUCCUCUCUCUUCUCUCUCCAACGCCACCACCACCGACUCCACCGAGGAUAGAGAUAAGAGAGGAGAAAGAGGAUGACAUGUGGGGCCCACGUGGGUCCCACCAUUUUUUAUUAUUUUGUGUGAAACUAACAUGUGGGUCCCACGGGUUUAUUAUUUUUCCGGAUCAAAUUGCCACAUAAGCACCACGUUAAUGCCACGUCAGAUGAAGACCGAGUCAAAUUAGCCACAUAGGUGCCACGUCAGCCAAAACCACCAUCUAAACCAUCAAGUGACCUCAUCUGCACUGGUUUUGAUAGUUGAGGGACCCUAAGUAUCUGGUUUUCCGAUUGAAGGACGAAAAUCGCAUUCGUUGACAAGUUAAGGGACAUCAAAUGAACUUAUUACCAUGUAAAAUGAUACUGAUGUUUCUGAGCAUGGCAAAAAAAAUUACACUAAUAUCUAGCCGAACCAAUAUAUGCAGCUCAAGCUAGACAAGUAAUAUCCCAAGAUAUCAAGGAAUGGGAUCAUCAAUAUAAACUGGCUAUUCAAAGUAAAAAGGUUCACACCAUCCAAUGACAUUCAAAAAUAAAUACACAUUUGAAAUAAAAGAAGAAUUUAAAUAUUGUAUCAACAUGCUCAAAGGAAUUGUUUGGGAUAUGUGUAACUUGCUUGCAAUAAUCGAAAAUGAUGGAAACUACAAGCUAACAUGCAAAAUGAGGAAAAAGACUAAUAAAAACCAAAUAAACAAUACAUAAAAGUAAACAAACACUUAGAGCUUGAUUUUAGAUAAAUUAUGAGACUUGAACAGCCUCAUUCCAACUUCAUAAGAAUUAGUUAUGAAUUUUACAAGAUUUAAUCCAAUUAAAGCCUAUUUAAAAGGAUUAAAUAGAUUUAUUACAUAAAUUAUAACUACUUUAAAGAAGACAAAGAUAAAUUAUGAUGUCAUCGGCAAUCAGUCCACCGUAGACUAGGUCCACAGAGGUAGUCCACGGGUUCACUGAGAUGGAAAACCUAGAUUAAAUCAUAACCAAGAGUUGACCAAAAUCCGACGGCCCAGACCGAUUCAAUCCAGGGUUUAGAUGGAACCACAUGACAACAUGUUGACAUGGAAUUCGUCGUACAUGAAGUCAUGAGAGAUCUGCAUAGCUCGUCCUAUCAUUCGUGUACGUGGCGUUUUAGUUAGUUUGAUCCUACAACCAACAAAAUAGAUAAAUGGAUUGUAUAAGAUCAUAGGGCCAAUGUGAUCCUACAACUAACAAGAUCAAAGGGCAUUUUAGUUCAUUUGAUCCUACAACUAACAAGAUACAUCUAACCAAUAGGCCAAUGUGAUGUAGCGAGGCUUGCCGAUGUCAAUAGGGUUUUGAUCAAUCGGCUAUAUGCUCGAUGUAGAUUCAGAUAAUCGGAUAAACAAUGAGAUAUAUGCUAUCAUCGGCUAGAACUAAACAUAUGCAUAAUCAUCAAUAAACCACUCCUUAUUAAAACAAUCUUGAUAGAUUAGACCUAAUCGAGACAAUAUAAGAUCGAAGAUGAUAAAGAGAAAUUUAACUAUUGAUUAUACAAGUUUGAGUAUAAGACAAUACAACACUGAGAAUUAGUAACAAGAUAACACAUCGGCUAGAACUCUGAUAAAAACACAGCAUAAAACCUAUUGGCUUAGUAGAAUUACUUAUUAGCAGCCAUCUAUUAGAUUAAACCUAACCGAGACAGUAUAAGAUUGAAGAAAAUAAUCAAAAAAACUAUUUAGCCGAUAAAUAUGCACAAACAUGAUGGAUAUAACAAAUUUAUCUAAAACAACGGUAUGAUUAGAGAAAUAUCAACUUAAUCAGAAUAUCGGACCUAACCGAGAAAGUCCUAACUAAGUCGAUUCAACUAUAAAUAGCUAUGCAGUUAAAGAUAAAAUCAAUGUAUUAGAUAGGUAAUGCUUGCGUCAACCCAAAAAAAAAAUAUGACUUAAUCGAGAAUGUUCUAGUCAUGCCGAUACAAGUGAAGUUGAUAGAACUUACUUCCUUGUUGGAGAUUGAAACCAAUGCAUCUCAACUUGAAACUAAGAACUUGCCAGAACAAAAGGUUGCAAUGCGCCGAAAGUAAUUGUAUUAAUCUGUGGAGACAAUUUGCAAACAUCCUAGGGGUACAUAUUUAUACCCUCAGGUUGAUACGAGUCCUGAUUGAACAAGACAUAUGUUUCCUAGAGAUAAAAGGAAAAAAAUACAAUUCUUGAUCGGACACUAGAUAAAACUUCAAAAAGAUAAAAGGAAAGUUAAUAAAUCCUAACUAAUCAAUAGAUAGAAUUAGUUUGCCAUGCCAUGGUCUUCACGAUUCCUUUUUGAAAUCAGUCUCUUUUGGAUAAACUUCCAUUGGUUGAUCGAAUUCGUUCUUCAACCGAAUGCACUAAAAAACCAUACCAAAUUUUGGUGUUAACACAAUAGCGCUGACGUGCCGAUGAUGUCACCUCACCAGUGACGGCCGGCUUGGGACCCUAAGGUCGCUGGUGAAUCAAGCACGGCGGCGUGAACAGAGGGCAUCGAGAGGUUGAGUGUGACAAGCCGAAGACAUCGAGAGGUGACACGACAAAGGACGGUGAUAGCGGUGAGUUUGAAACAAUGACGUAGCUCGGGUCAUCAUCAACGGUGGUGUUCUGGCAGUAGAUGGUGAUGGAGGACCGCUAGACGAAAUGCACCUCCUCCUUGCAUACUCGGCAGAGGUGACAACGGGCAAAGGCGACAAAUAGAGCAGCGACGUGCCCCGACUGGAAGGUAGCGGCGGUGUUGAUUUGCACAGGCGAGGGUGGCGGUGGAAAGAAGAUAGGGGGUGGAUCCUAUUUGUAGCCACGAGAGACCAUAUCCUUGCCCAAGACGGCUAUGGCAGUGCUGGGAAAAAACUAGAGUUCUACCGGAUAGAGAGAGUCCGAGUUCGAGCCCGAUUCCACACAAUUUACUUAGGUAUUUUUGGGGAUUUCUUGGGGAAAGGGUAGAGGAGGAGAUAAGGAACAAACGCCCUCAACUAAUUUUGGAAAAGAUCAAUAGAGGCGGUUGGAUUUCAAGGCGACAUAGACUCUGGCCAGAUGUAGGGGACAACACUAACAUGUGGGAUCUCGUCCCACAUGUUGGUAGGAGGGAGAUGAGGGAGGUGGGUCGGGCUAGUGCCUUGAGCUAGCUAAGCCGAGCGGGGAGAGAGAGGGAGAUGGGCUCGAUUUGACCCAAAAGUUUAGAGGCGGUUUUUAAUUUAUUUUAUAUUUAUAUAACCAUUGAAUUGAUGUUUGUAUUAUUAAAAUUAGUAAUUGAGCUCUGAAGAAUCUCAGAAAAUUCCAAAGUGUUUUUAAUCAUGGAGAAUUUAAUUAUGUAAUUAACCAUGUUUUAUUUAGGAAACUUUAUUUCCGACUUUAAUUCACUUGCUUAAUUAAUGUACAUUUUAAAAUAAACUCUAGAAGGAAUUUAAUAAAUAAUUUAUCUUUUUUUGAAAACGCAAGAGAGCUGCAUUUCAUUUCAUUAAGGGGAAGUAAAAACAACACAAAAAAAAACCAAAAAACAAAAAUAUUUACGAAGUAGGAGGACCCGAGCCCUCCUAUCGAGACCCACACACACUAAACCACCCGGAGAGCUUAGCUGCCUAGGCUUGCCGUCCCACAAACGAGCUUUUGAAGGCCAGAAGCUCCUGCAACACUCCAAGGAUGACUCUCAUUUUCUACCACUUGCAAGAUCGUCACAACUCUAGGAUUGGCGCCAUUGAAAACAUAGUCAUUGCGGUACUUCCAAAUCUUCCAAGCCACUAGGGUCACCAAAGAGUUAAUCCCCAUUCGCACCUUCUUCGGCCGAUUCUUGGUCGCUUGGCUCCACCACCUUAGAAAGCGGUCGGUAGAGGGCUAAGGCGCUACCUCGGCUAACCCCAGCCUCAAGAAGAUUGCCGUCCAAACUUGGCGAGAAAAGACACAUGAGAUCAAAAUGUGUUGGAUGGAUUCUUGACUUAGAUCACAAUGGGGACAGCUCACCGAGUGCUGCAGCCCACGCCUAGCCAAUUGAUCAGCUUUCCAACACCUAUCAUUGAUAGCCAACCAAAUGAAGAAUUUGCAUCGGAGGUGACCCCAACACUUCCAAAUACACUUCCAACACCUAUUAAAUAAUUUAUAAAUCCCUGAAACGAAAUCAGGCACUACACCAUGGCAUCAGAUUACCAACAGACAUCUGUUGGUAAAAAUAAACAAUCAUUGAUAGACUGUAUGUUAGUAAAAGCUUUUGGCAAACCAUAUGUCAGCAAUACUCAUAUGUCAGCAAUACUAUGUAACAAGAUAUGUUAUAUGUUGGCCUUUGCUGACAUAUCUGUAGCAGGCUACCUUGUGACAUGGUGUAGUGAGGGUGUGGCACUACUAAAGAGUCUUGCUACUAAAGUUACGCUAUUGAUCAAGGCUUUGCACAAAAUAUAACUUCCAUGGCUCUCUUUGUGAACACCAGCAAAUGCUUGUCAGCUAUUCAGCAUCAUUUUUGUGUUGGCUAAUUGUUCUAGUUUAUUUUUAUGUUCUUUUCAGGAACUUUCGGAAUAAUUACUUGACUGGUCCCAUUCCACCAUUCAUCGGGAAAUUUACUUCAAUGCAAUACUUGUAUGAGUUACUGCUCGUUCUAGAUCAUGUUCCAUCUAUUGGUCAUUAUUUUUUGUUAAUUAUUGUUAAUCAUCUCAAGGUCAUUAUCUUUGAAUCCACUAUCUGGACUACUUCCAAAGGAACUAGGAAACCUCACCAAUCUUGUUUCAUUGUAAGAAAUCUUUUCUCACACGUGGAUUAAUCUUCAACUGCUCCCUCUGCUACGAACUACUCAUGCUUGUAGCUUUAACCGUCAAUUCCUAGCACUUUUCGUAUAUAUAUAGUUGAACAUUUUCCACCCUCCUCCAUUUGAAAAACAACUUAUGAUUAUGAAUGCGCAUAGCUUAUGUCUAGAUUGUAAGCUAGAAGUGCUUUUUUUUAUGGAGGGAGUACGAAUUAUACAUUAUGAAAUUAUUUCUCAUGUUGAAUCUAAAUGUUAAACUAUACAAAUUUGUAAAAAUGGAUAUUUAGGAAUACAAAUGUUUGACUUACAACAAAAGCAGAAUGACAGAUAGUAUGAAACGAAUGGAGCAUAUAUUUGGACUGCAUGAACUGAUAUAAUAAUACAAGAAAUAGCAAUCACAUAAGUUCUAAUAAAAAAAUCAAAACUACUACUAAAUAGGAUGUAAUAGGCAUGUCAGUGUAACUCCUGUUCAUGUGGUUUUUCAGAUGAUCAAGUAAGAUUAAACAGCAAGGACUUGAACAUAUUGUAAUGAUGAAUAUUGUGGGUCCAAUAGCACAUCGGGAAAACUAUGCCCUUUUGCUAUUAGAUGAUGACAAACAUUUUAAAUCACUUCUGAAAUAUUUCAUUUUUCUUUUAGGGGCAUUGGCUCAAACAAUUUUACAGGAGGCCUUCCUGAAGAACUGGGUAACUUGACCAAACUUCAGCGAUUGUAAGAUACCCCCAUUGAUUUCUAGCUUCUUAUUUCUACUUGUAAAAGAACUAAAUUUGGAAUGGCCAUAUCUAUUGUCGAACAUGAUAAUAUUUCAAACUUUCAACAACAGGUACAUUGAUAGUUCUGGAUUCAGUGGUCCGUUCCCUUCAUCGUUCUCAAAACUUCAGAACCUGAAUACAUUGUAUUGUCAAAAACAUAGCCACAGCUAUUAUAUUUGUCAUGUUUUCAAGCUAAGUGAUAUUUUGGUCUGCUUGCAGGAAAGCAUCAGAUAAUGGAUUCAAUGGGAAAAUACCUGAAUAUUUGGGCACAAUAACUAAUUUGGUAGAAAUGUAAGCUUCUUAACAUAUCAUUUGUUCUUACUGUUCAGAGAUAGAUGAAUUUGUGCAAGAUAAAUUACUGUCUGUAUAUCACAUUGUCUCCAUUCAGACUUAAACAAUAGCAUUUUUUUCACAUUUCAGCCCUCACUCAAUAGAAAUGCGCAUAUAUGCAUCACAGUAAGCGGUCCACAUGGCAUAUUCAUACCUAGAGAUCUUGUUAAGAAUGCUCAAAUAGAUUUUUUUUCUUUUUUAAAAAAGGUUGAAUGUCCCUAACUUUGUUUCUAAAAUUAUGAGCUUGUAGUGCUUUGUACGGAAACUCCUUUGAAGGACCAAUUCCAGAAAGUCUGUCUAAUCUGGCCAAAUUAAAAACCUUGUAAGUAUAAUCUUUUUGUGGCAUGAACUCUUGAAGGUUGAUAAUGUAUUAAUGUCAAAGCCGAUAACUAAAUUAUGAAAAAUUCAAAUAUUGAGCAGACGGAUUGGAGAUAUUGUAAAUGGGAUCUCUCCACUGGCUUUUAUCAGUAAUAUGACAUCCCUGAGCACCAUGUAUGUGAUAUUUUUAGCUAUAACGCUUACAGUAUUGUGUAGUUGCAAGUUACCAAGGUUAUAUUUUGUCGUUACAGAAUAUUGAGGAACUGCAAGAUAUCUAGUGAUCUCGGAGCAAUAGAUUUUUCCAAGUUUGAACAUUUAGAAUUGCUGUAAGUUCUCAAUUAUAGGCCAUGGUGCCAAAUGGUGAUGUUAUUACGCAUUUCCUCAAGUUGUGUACCAUAUGAUCAAGUAAUAUGGUAGUCCUGUGGCACAGGGACCUGAGUUUUAACAAUAUCACCGGGGAAGUUCCUCAAUCCAUCUUGAAUUUGGGAAAUCUCAAGUUCUUGUAAGAAAUUCUUUCUUUACAUUAAUUUGUUCAACAAGCCUCUAUUAAGCAGAUGAGCAUGUUCUAUAAUCUUGAACUAUGCCCAAUUCAGGUUUCUUGGGAACAAUAGCCUUACAGGAAGGUUGCCAGAUGGUAUAAGCUCUUCAUUAAAAGCGAUGUAUGUCAAAUACAAUUUACAUGGCAGUAUAGCAAAAACUACAUUCAUAAUAGUAUCUAUUAAUUUUGUAUAAUAUAAUUCUGGAAUGUUGACAGAGAUUUUUCAUACAACCAACUCACUGGGAGCUUUCCUUCUUGGGCUAGCCAAAACAAUUUACAGUUGUAAGUGUAAAAAUGUGAUAUUUGUGUUACUGAGAAAAAAAUAUGUAUUCUAAUAUUCUGUUUUUUUGAAAGGAAUUUGGUGGCAAACAACUUCUUACUCGAGAGCACCAGUGACAGGUACUUGUGACAUUUAGUUCUAAUUUGGCGAGUGAACUAUACUAAAAUCAUCCCAAUAACUUUAAAUUUUCAAUUCAAAUUAUGCACAGUACGCUACCUUGGGGACUAAACUGCCUCCAGCAAGACACCCCUUGUUUCCGUGGGUCACCAAAAUGUAUGUUUCUCAAUCCUCAUAAAACUAAACUAUAACAUGAACUUAUGAAUUUAGUCGUUCAAAAAAACAUGAACUUACGAAUUUGAAUGAUUGUUACAUUUUUUUAAUCUUAAUUGCAGAUUAUUCCUUCGCAGUUGACUGUGGCAGUAAUGGAUCUACAAGAGGCUCAGAUGACACUAUUUAUGAAGCAGAUCCUACAAAUCUUGGAGCUGCAACAUAUUAUGUUACUGGUCAAACAAGAUGGGGUGUCAGUAGUGUAGGGAACUACUUCCAGAGAGAAGAUGCAAAGAAUAUUAUAUAUAGCUCCCAAAAUUUUCAAAAUGUAGUUCAUUCAGAAUUGUUUCAAACUGCAAGGAUGUCACCAUCAUCUCUAAGGUACUACGGCCUUGGACUUGAGAAUGGAAAUUACACUGUUUUGCUCCAAUUUGCAGAAUUUGCUUUUCCUGACUCACAGACUUGGCUAAGCUUAGGUAGAAGAGUUUUUGACAUAUAUAUCCAGGUACAAAUUGAGUGCAUUUUACAUAAUGUGUUUCUACUGAAUCUUGCCAUUACUCAUCUAAAAGUAUUACUGAUAUUUACAUAGGGUGCUCUAAAAGAAAAGGAUUUCGAUAUAAAGAAAACAGCAGGUGGAAAAUCUUUUCGCGUAGUUAAUAGGAGUUUCAUGGUAACUGUGUCUAAAAACUUCCUUGAGAUCCAUCUAUUCUGGGCUGGCAAGGGCACAGAUGCCAUACCUAUUAAAGGUUACUAUGGGCCAAUGAUCUCAGCAUUGAGGGUCACUCCAAGUAAGAACCACACUAAAACGACAACAGGAAGUGUUAUACUGGCUGCUAAUAAAUAAUAUUUUUCCUUUGCAGAUUUUACUCCUACCGUGCGAAAUGGCAUACCAAAAAGGGAAAGUAAGGCAGGUGCAAUUUCCGGAAUAUUGAUUGGUGCAAUAGUUUUAGUAUUAGCAGCAUUAUUUGGAGUAUUUACACUGAUAAAGAAGCGGAGAGCAUUGGCACAACAGAAAGAAGGUAUGAUUUAUCAGUACAUAAUUCAAACAUCAAAAUUGUCAACUGGUUUAUUCUUCUCAUCUAUACUAAAAAUAACAUGCAGAACUAUACAACCUGGUUGGACGACCUGAUGUUUUCAGUUACGCUGAGCUCAAGCUAGCCACAGACAAUUUCAAUUCUCAAAAUAUUCUAGGGGAAGGAGGAUUCGGGCCAGUGUAUAAGGUUCUUAAUUUAUUUCCAUAAUUAAUCAUGUACAACUGCAACUGGUUAUAAAUUUGUGUGAUUUUGGCAUUUAAGUGUUGUGUUUUAGCCACAUUUGUCUAUGCUCAAAAUAUACAUGUAAAAACUUUAUCAGGGUAAGCUACCUGAUGAAAGAGUUAUAGCUGUGAAGCAACUUUCUCAGUCAUCUCAUCAGGGGACAAGCCAAUUUGUGACAGAGGUUGCGACAAUUUCAGCUGUUCAACAUCGGAAUCUUGUGAUAUUGCAUGGAUGCUGCAUUGACAGUAAAACACCCUUGUUGGUUUAUGAGUACCUUGAGAAUGGAAGCCUGGAUCGAGCAAUCUUUGGUGAGUUCACUUCUGCAAAAUUGCCACCCUCGGCACUUAUAGAAUUGUAUUUUCUUAGUUCACAAAUAAAACUCACACUACAACAAAUAUACCUUGUAGAGACAUUUUCCUAACACUAUAGAGACAUUUUUAAAAUGCCUUUACAAUGUUAUAGAGACAUUUUGAAGAGUGUCUCAUAAGUGUCUUUUGGUGAAUUGUCUCUAUGAUCUAAGAGGCAUUUUAUAAGAUGUCUCUAUGCAAAUAGAGGCACUUUGUAGAGGCAUUAAUAUGUUGCGGCAACUAGCAAAUCAAUAUGAAAAAAAAAAAGAAAAAUAUUAUCCCUUAUCAAUCCUUGAACUCAUGACCUCUUGAGUUGAACAUUUUUAUCUUCAAUACACUAACCAUCUCAACCUCAUAUAAUUACAUGCAAAUAUGUUAAUUUUGUUACUUAUAUCUACUUACUUUAUAUAUGUUAAUAUUUGGAAAAAUGCCUUUACAUCAUUUUAAAUGCCUUAAGAAAAUGCCAUUACAUAUGAGGCAAAUUUUAAAGUGCCGAAAAGAUGUCUCUAUAAGAUAAAUUUAACAAAGUAUGCUAAAAAUAUCUCUAAAGUGUCUCUAGAAUAAAAAUAUUUUAAGCGAUUUUAAAAGUGACUCUAAAAAGUGUCUUUAGACUAUAGAGCUUCAAAACUUAGAGGCGUUUUGAAAAUUGUCUCUACAAAAGAGCCUCUACAUAAGGUUUGGUUUUUGUUGUAGUGUCAUUGCUUCAUGACUAAUAAUUAUGGAUUUUUCUUUUCUGCAUUUUUGUAAUAAUUUGCGUUCCUUAUGAUAACUGAGCUAUUUAUGCUUGUAAAGGUGACAGCAACUUAAACCUAGACUGGGUAAUGCGCUUCGAGAUCAUUUUAGGAAUAGCAAGAGGCCUAAUUUAUCUUCAUGAAGAGUCAAGUAUACGCAUUGUGCAUAGAGACAUCAAAGCUAGUAAUGUUCUACUUGACACUAAUCUCGUUCCAAAGAUCUCUGACUUUGGACUUGCCAAACUCUAUGAUGAAAAUCAAACUCAUGUGAGCACUAGAAUUGCGGGCACAUUGUAAGAAUAUUUUACCACUUAUCAUCUUAUGAUUAUAACAUCAAUAUGAAUGCUACUAUUAACCUGUCUUAUCUUUUUUAAGGGGUUAUCUAGCUCCUGAGUAUGCAAUGAGAGGCCAUUUGUCAGAAAAGGCUGAUAUUUUUGCAUUCGGAGUGGUCAUGCUGGAGACUGUCGCUGGGCGACCAAACACCGACAACUCCCUCGAGGAAAGCAAGAUCUGUCUCCUUGAAUGGGUAUGCUGGUCUAUGAUCUUCCCAUACAAGAAAACUUCAAUUCACUGUGUAUUGUCUUUUGCUUACUGAAACUAUAUACAAUAAAACUUCAAUUUAAGGCAUGGGGCCUGUAUGAAAAGGAUCAAGCACUUGGAAUUGUUGACCCAAGUCUCAAGGAAUUUGGCAAGGAUGAAGCUUUUAGAGCCAUAUGUGUUGCACUUGUCUGCACUCAGGGCUCACCGCACCAGCGACCGCCAAUGUCGAAGGUUGUGGCAAUGCUGACUGGAGAUGUCGAUGUGGCUAAGGUGGUCACCAAGCCGAGCUACAUCACUGAGUGGCAGCUUAGGGGUGGUGGGAACAGCAGCAACACCACUAGCAGCUAAGCAGAAGUUUGUCUCCAGGUUAAGUGAAUUUAAAGUAGAAAAUGCAUGGGUCAUCAAGAUUGGUUUGCGACAAUAUUGUAUGUCUUUUUCUAAAAAAUAAUUAUGUGUUGACUAAAUUACAGCAAAUAAUGGAAUUACUUAUCCUUAACUCGGUCCUGGUAAUAAAAGUUUGCUCCUAAUAAUUUGUAAAUGGUGAAUAACCGUGGUGUAUUCAAUACUCAAUAAAUGUUAAUAGAUAACCCUCAAUCUGUAAUGGCCAGUGCAAUGCAGAGGUAAAAUUCUGUCCCAUUGUUAAUUUCAUGAAGAGCUGUCUCUCCCAUACUUUUUUCAGAUUUUUAUUUAAUUUCUAAAAGUUGUAGUACAAACUAGUACCAAAACAUUUAUUAAUCAUUACAAACCAGUACUAACGUGUUUUGAAAGGUUUUAAAAUCCAUUUGCGAAAGGUUUUAAAAUCCAUUUGCGAACUCCUCCUACGUACUAGUACGAAUUUGUGAAAUUCCGGGUUAGAACCCGCUAACAUGUAUGUUUUGAAAAUGGGUUGAUAAAAUUUAAAAUUUGAUAGAUAUGAGAGGUUGAACACUUCAUCAUUAUAUUUCUGUACCAUAAAUAAUAUUGGUGGCGUUUUGAACUCCUCUAUCAUGAUAUUUCAAAAUUGUACCGAUAUGGUAUAGAACGGGUAGAUUUGGGACAGGUUAGUAAUUGUUGUGCGUAAACCCUGGAUUUAUUGCUUAGAUCAAUCAUAUAAAAUUCGUAUGGCCUCUGGAUCACUUUAACUUCACAACAUUAAAAGAUGAUGAAAGUAGGAAACUUAAAACGUACUCUAAGAUUUAUGUUGCGUUGGUUGUGGGGGACACAGAGAAACCAGGCUACAUCUCUUCUUCACCUGCCCGUUCAGUGUAAGAUGUUGGUAACAUCUGGGAAUCACAUGGAAUCAACACAUGAGUUCUUUCAAAUGAAUGUCUUAGUAAGGCUGAAUUUUGCCAGAAAGGGUUUCUUGGAAAUUUUCUUUAUUGCCUCUUGGCACAUCUGGAAGCAGAGAAAUGGGUUUAUUUUUCAGAAUAUUUCCCCUCCUUUUCAAUCAUGGAGAAACCAUUUCAAGAACAAAAUUCUUCAGUAUAUCUGCAGAAUGAAGGAUCCUUUAAAGCAAUUAGUUUUUGACUGGUUACAAACUUUGUAAUCUUUUGUGUUUCCCUGUAACUUUUGUACAUAUUUGCUCUAUGUAAUGAAAAUAUACUACUAGACAAUGCUCUGGUAGUUUUCCCAGUAAAAGAAAACAUUCCAAGUUACGAUGAUUUAGUUAUGAAUUUUGUAAGAUUAAUAUGCUUUUAACCUAAUACAGAAAACUAUUAUGAUUUACGACGCAAUAAAGAUUUAUUUUGAAGAAGGAAAAGGGCUUUUCUUACGUCAGCAUGACGUCAUCGUCGGCACUGCACGGGACCACGAGAUCACCGGUGCUACAGGGCUCGGCCGGGCUAUCCAAGGGCACCAUCGUGGAGAGGACGACGAGGUGAACUCACCGGUGCUCAGAACAACGACGGACGACGACGAACGGCGGCCGGCGGUGAGCUCCAACGGCGGCGCGGCUCUGGGCGGCGUCGACGGCGGGAUUCCGGCGGGUCUCGACGGCAACGGAGGAGCGGACGGGGUGCGGCUCCACUCGGCGAACCCGAUGGCGACAAUAGUGAGCGGCGGCGGCGACCACAACGGUGGCGUGGGGCGGCUAGGCUUGCGGCGACCACUAGGACGGACGCGGCGGCUGUGCUAUGGACCACGGCGGAGGACGUGGCUUCAGGGCAAUGGUAGAGGACGACAAGGGGAUCAUUUACAUAGGCACGGAAGCUCGAGAUCGAUCCCACACCGAGAGGAAUCAAAGCCGUAAAACUAUAGGGUUAGGUGGAGAGAUAAACUCGAAUUCGAAUUCGAUUUGGAUAAACUACACGAAAUUCGGCUCCGAUUCUUAGGGGAAAAGGAAGAGGACGAUGAGGGGAUAAAUUUCCCUCAUCCAAUCGAACUCGGGAGCGACGACCAGCGGCGGAUUUGGUGGGGAGGUGGUGGUGGUCGGGCUCGGCUUGACUGGCCGGAGGUAGGGGAUGGCCCCGACAUGUGGGCCCCAGAUGUCGGCGGCUUAGAGAGAGGGGGAGGGGCGGCUUGGCCUGGGCCGGCAGGGCCGCGUGGCUCGCGCGCGCGAGGGGAAGAGUUGGGCCGGAAAAGGGCCCAACAGAUUAGGAUAGGAUUUUAAAAAUUUUCCUAAUUAAAAUAAUUCGUGAAAUGCUAUUUCAUUUAAUAAAAAUACUUCCCUUGCUCAAAUAAUUCACAUAAAAAUCCAGGAAAUAGAUAAACAAGCAAAGUAUUUAAUAAAAUUGUAUCUAUCUCAAUUUUAUGUGCGAUUUUGCUAGUUUUUAUUAGGGUUUAUCUUGUAGGUUUUUAAAAUAAUUUCUAAAAAAUGCAUUAAAGAAUGAAUUAUUAAAUUAAGCGAUUCUGAGAGUGUGACAUGUAGGGAGAAUACUUCCAUAAAAGAUGCCCGUGGUGCCUUAGGCCCUCUUUUUGCAUGUGUAUAGUAUUAUGUACACAUUGGAUGACAUGGCGUUGGACCUGUUCGAAAUAGUGCUGGGACAGUAUGUCAACAUCUUCAUUCUGGUAGCCAUGCCCUACAAUUUACUCACCCAACAUUGCUGCGGAAUUCUAGAGGCACUCUUAAGUUUCAGUAGUCAGUAUGGACUGCAAAUCUCUGCCCCUAUACAGCCAAUAUCAAAUUGCCUUUUUCAGUACAAUGAGCUCCAUAUCUUGAGGUAUGUAUAGAGAUUAUGGAUACCCCAUACCCACACGGCAUAUAUAGUCUGACUGGGUAUGGGGUGCCAUCUGUAGAUAGAAUAUCUUUUAAAGGGACUCGGAUUAAAUUUCAAACUUGUAUGUCAAGGAAAUAUCCGGGAUCCUAGUCGGUUACGAUUGUAACUUAUCUGUAACUACCUAUUCCGUUAGGGAUAUGGAUUGUACUUUGUAAUACGGACCCCUCCCCUAUAUAAGGAGGGGUCCGGGUGCCUCUAAGGGCACGAUUUUCUCCCAGAUCAUACGGUCAAUAACAUACUCGGCGGAUCAAUCCCCGGACAGGAGUAGGGUAUUACUUCUUAUUAAGAAGGCAUGAACCUGUAUAAAAUUCCUUGUCUCUCAACCCAUCCACUUUUCCAGCUUGAUAGCCACCCCCUUUUAGUAUUGCCGAAAUCUCGUUUCGACAGUUGGCGUGCCAGGUAGGGGUAGCGUCAAGUUCUUCGCCGACUAGUGCGAUGGGUUUCAUCUCCGGCAUCGACGACUUCGUCUUCCCUCCCGGGCAGGCGUUCCGGUUUGGCAGCCUCGACUUUGUCACCAACGACUUCGGCAAGAUUUCUCUCCUCGGCUCAGAUCCGAAACAGUCGGGGAGAGGCCAGGUCUCCGCCCCGUUCGGUAUCCCGAAGUCGGCCGAGAUCUACUCCAGGAUCAUCACAACCGAGCCGGCCCCAAACCACUCGGACGAGAUCCAAUCUACUCCAACAUGACCCGAUCAAGACGAUGGCGCCUAUCCUCCAAUCCUGAUGAAACUCCCCGAUGACUUGGCUGCCAUCUUCACCAUAAGGGCGUCUUCUCCCCGUAGGCCUAGGCGGGACCCGACCUCGGCCCCGAUCCAGUCUAGCUCUAGGGAAGUCGGCAUCAUACUCCAGCCUCUCGGCACGGUUUCGACGGAACAAUUGGACGGCUACCUUAGCUCCCCCGGUGUCGACUCUCGACCGACAGAGAUCGUAGAGUACGACGACUUCGGCUACCGCUACGACCACCGCAACCUCGACGACUUCGAUGAAGGCUACGAAGAUAACUACACACCUCUCUACUUCGGCAUUUUCAUGGCCGACAACGAGACAGAAGAACAGCGCCAAGCCCAAGAAGCAGAAGAACAGCGCGUGCGACAAGAAGCCGAACGUCGCCGACUAGAGGAGGAACGCUAAGCACAAGAGCGAGAACGAUUGCAGCGUGAGCAACAGGAGCGCGAACGGGCUGCAAAGGAGGCUGAGGACCGGCGACAGCGUGCCUUGGAGGCCGAGCGACGAGCACGAGAGCUCAUCGGGCAACAAGACGUUGAGGGGACGGCGGUUUUUCGCACCCCCUAGCAGAACGCGGCUGCACCGAUCACUCUUCUCGACACCCUCCUCAAGGAAGACGCACUCAAUCAAGCCAAUCACGUCGUCAACAUCUUGAACCAGACCAAGACCAUGAUCACCGCUUCGGUUCCAGUAAACUGUCACAGCCUGAAUUUUGUUUCAGGAUUUAUAAGUUAUCUAAUAAAUUAUUAAUAGAAUUUAUAUUAAAUGUUCUUUAAUUAACAAGUGAAGUUAAAUGUGGGAAAUAAAAUUUCCUAAAUAUAAAUCAUGGUUGGAUUUAAUUUUUAUUAAAUUCUCCAUGAUUAAUUAUACUCUCUGAAAUUUUCUCGGAUUUUUCAGAGCUCAAUUCCUAAAUGAUACAAAGAACAGUUCAGUAAUUAUUUAAUCAUUAAUGAUCUAAUUAUAAUUAUGUUAAGUGCUUUUCUUGUUUAAAAAUCCUUAAUUUAUAAAUUGUUGUCUAAAAGGGAAUUAUUAGAAAUGAUCUUAAAAGCCUAGAAGAGAAGAUCUAAUUUUAAUUUGUUAAAUUCCAAUAUAAAAGUGGGCUAGAUAAAAUUUUAUUAAAUACUUUACUUGAUUCUAUAGUUCCUAGAUUUUUCUGGGGUUUAUUUGAGCCAAGGAAGUAUUUUUAAUAAAUGGAAUUGCAUUUCAUGAAUAAUUUAAAUGGAAAAAGGUUUUUAAAAGUCCCUUUUGGUUUUGGGCCGAAAGCCGGCCCAAACCGCUCUCUCUCUCUCUCUCCCUCGGCCCAAGUCAGCCCAAGCCGAGCCGCCCGCGCGCGUGCGUGCGACCGCCGCUGACAGGUGGGUCCCACCCGUCAGUCGUCGUCUUCCUCUCGCCGAAACCCUAGCCGAGCUGCGCCGCCGCCGCCAUUCCAAAUCCGGCCAUCCCUUUCCGUUUCCGGUGAAAUUGAUUGAGGGGAAAGGAUCCCCGUGAUCCACUCUACCUUUUCCCUUUUGGAAACAUCGUCUAAAUCGCUUUGGAAAUCGCCGGAUUUGAGUUCGAUUCGGAUCGAUUUGUCUCCUCCGAACCCUAAACCUUCCUUCCCGUCACCGGUCGCCGUGGGCCUUCGCCGCCGCUCCCUAGACCCUAUAAAUUGACCCCCCAAGCUCCCCUAUACCUGCCGCCACCCUCGCCUUAGCCUCUCGUCGCCGGUAGAGCUCUAGCGCCGUGCCGCCUCGCGCCGCCGUCGCCGCCGCCACUCCAGCAGUGCGCCGCCAUCGCUCCAGUCGUCGUCGUCGCUCGGGGAGGUCACCGCCGUGGUCGCCGUCGCGUCGCCGUCCUCGUCCGCCCUUUCGCCGUCGCUGUCAGCCGCCGGAGCACCGUCGCCGCCGUUGACCCGAUCGUCGCCGCCGCUCUUCCUCGUCGCUGUCGUCGUCCGUUGAUCUUCCGCCGUCGUUUUGGUCACCAGUGAGUUCGCCGUGCCGUCCGCUACGCGUAGGUGUCCUCCGUUUGCGCCGCCGCGCCGUCGUUCGCCGGCGAGCACGCGAGGCCGAGCCGUCGCCGGUGAUGACGUCAUCGCCGACGUCAUCGUUGCAGUCCGCCAUGGUCCGGUUGUGGACCGAUGGAUCUUGGCCGUCCGUUUUGGAUGGAUGAAUCUCGGCCGUCCGUUUUCGUGAACCGUCGCCAUGCACUCGGUCCUCCGUCAACUGAUGAGGUUGUUGUCCCGAUCUUCACGACGUAAGAUUGAUCUUGAUAACUAGCCGAAGAACGACCGAUAACUUGCUGCAAGCAGCGAUAAUUAGUGCAACCUGACGACACGCACAAGGAGCCAACCACCGUCUCUAUACGGCAGCCUGAACCAAGGAUUCGCCCAACCACACUCUCAAAGAACCAACCUACGCAACCUAAACUCGAGGAUCAGGAGCACGGAUUGGGUGCCGAUGACGCGGCCGCUUCUGUAAUCUCCGCGAAGGAAAACACAAGAGAAAAGGGGUAGAGAAUCUCUCUCUGGGGUUUGUUAGCACACAGCUGAACAAAGGGUUCCGAAUUGGAUUAUCAAAAGUCUGAGUUUGCAAUGGUCUUAGGGGUUAUUUACACUAGCAACAGCCCUGCUAGAUAGGUGUGAAUUCGAGAUGGAAAUGAAAAGACUAAAAAUGUGAAAGGGCCUCCACGAAAUGGCUUCUGAAGUGGGUUCGCGAGGCUGUUGGUCUUCUGGAGUGGUGUUCAGUAAUUUGGCAAUAACUCCAACUUGGGAAGUCCAAAUGAUGCACCGUCAGUUGCGUUGGAAAGUUAACUUCACUAUGUUUUGAACCAUGUAUACAUGCACCACGAAACAUUGUAGAUUGGUACAGUUUUGAACAUGAACUUGUACCAACGUGCUGACUCAGCAGACUCCUGGCCUUCAGAGCAGUCUUCACAAACGUACUUGGUUCUCAUUGGUGUGAAGUCCAAAGUACUUGGUAUUGGUGGCAUUGGAAAGCUGACUUGAUAAGCUUUCCAAAGAGUCCUCAUUUACUUCCAUAGCUUCUGUAAAUUGAGAGUUAUGAGCAGUUCUUUGAACUGGUCCGUUUUGCACUGCAGUUGGUCCGUUUUGCUUCACUGGUCCGUUCUGUACUCCAGUGAUAGAAUCCACCGAUCCACUUUCAUCCUCCUCAUGUUGUAUGUUCCUAAGCACAACUAAAGUAGAACACUUAGGUAGUAUAACAUUCUCAGAAGUACUGAAAUUAAAAUCAGUUAGGAAUGAAUUCACCUGAACUUGUAGUUUCUUGGCACGACUUCUUGUAAGUGGACCUUGAAUUGUAUCCUUUGUGUUUGAUGAUGGUUGCUUGGUACUUGAAGUAGCAUGCACGGUUGGGAUGUCCUCAUCAUCCUCCCCCUCUUGAAAAGGAGUCGACCUCGACGACUCUGAAUCUUCUAGUCCAAAGAAUGGUGUUAAGUCAGCAACAUUGAAGGUUGAACUAACACCAUAAUCUUCAGGUAGCUCAAUCUUGUAAGCAUUGUCAUUGAUCUUGGACAGCACUCUGAAUGGUCCAUCUCCUCGUGGCAUCAACUUGGAUUUGCGCUUCUGUGGGAAGCGGUCUUUGCGAAGAUGUACCCAAACCAAAUCUCCAGGCUCAAAUGUCACCUUCUUGCGAUUCUUGUUUGCCCAUGCAGCAUAGUACUUGGACCUCUUCUCAAUUGCUUCUUUGGUCUUCUCAUGAAUCUUCUUAACGUAAGUUGCACGCUUGGACGCUUCCAUGUCACUCCUUUCCUGCAAUGGUAGAGGCAACAAAUCGAUGGGAGAAAGUGGUUUGAAACCAUAUACAACUUCAAAUGGACACAUGUUAGUUGUAGAGUGUACUGCCCUGUUGUAAGCGAAUUCCACGUGUGGCAAGCACUCUUCCCAUUCCUUCAGGUUCUUCUUUAUCAAGGCUCGCAGCAGCAUAGAGAGUGUUCUAUUCACAACUUCAGUUUGCCCAUCCGUUUGAGGGUGGCAAGUGGUGGAAAACAGCAGCCUUGUUCCAAGCUUUGCCCAUAAGGUCUUCCAAAAAUAGCUCAAAAACUUGGUGUCACGAUCUGAAACAAUCGUCUUGGGCAUGCCAUGCAACCUCACAAUUUCACUGAAAAAUAGAGAAGCUAUGUGGGAAGCAUCAUCGCUUUUAUGACAAGGUAUAAAGUGUGCCAUUUUAGAGAAUCGAUCAACAACAACAAAAAUCGAAUCCCUCCCCCUCUUUGUCCUAGGUAAUCCCAAAACAAAAUCCAUGCUAAUAUCUUCCCAAGGAGCACUAGGAACAGGUAAGGGAGUAUAUAAUCCAUGAGGGUUCAGUUUUGACUUAGCUUUGUGACAGGUGACACAUCUUUGCACAAGUCGUUGAACAUCUCUUCUCAUCUUAGGCCAAUAGAAGUGAUCAGCUAGCAUGUCAUAAGUCUUUCUCCAUCCAAAGUGGCCCAUCAGUCCACCUGCAUGUGUUUCCUGUAAUAACAAGAGUCUAACAGAGCAAUGUGGAACACACAAUUUGUUAGCUCUAAACAAAAAUCCAUCAUGUAUAUGAUAUUUUUCCCAUCCUUUUCCAGCUGUACAUUUUGCAUAUGGUUCUGAAAAAUCAAGAUCAGCAGAGUAUAAUUCUUUUAUGCUUUCAAUUCCAGUCACUUUUACUUCAAGUUGAUUUAGCAAAACAUUUUUACGAGAUAAAGCAUCAGCAACAAUGUUUUCCUUACCUUUCUUGUAUUUUACAACAUAUGGAAAAGUUUCAAUGAAUUCAACCCAUUUGGCAUGUCUACGGUUCAGUUUUGCUUGGCCCUUUAAAUACUUCAAAGCCUCAUGAUCUGAAUGAAUAACAAAUUCUUUUGGCCACAAAUAAUGUUGCCAAGUUUCAAGUGCUCUUACCAAAGCAUACAACUCUUUGUCAUACACCGAGUAGUUCAGUUGUGCUCCUCCCAACUUCUCACUGAAAUAUGCAACGGGCUGUCCAUUUUGCAUGAGAACGCCUCCAAUACCAAUCCCACUUGCAUCACAUUCAACCUCGAAGGUUUUAGUGAAAUCCGGCAACACAAGCAAGGGGCCUUCGGACAAUCUUUUCUUCAAUUCUUGGAAAGCUUUCUCUUGCGGUUCUCCCCAUUGGAAGGCAACACCUUUCUUUGUCAACUCGUUCAAUGGUGCAGCUAUGGUGCUGAAACCUCUGACAAAUCUCCUGUAAAAACCAGCAAGUCCACGAAAACUUUUCACCUGGCUUACAUUUUCAGGAGUUGGCCAAUCCUUUAUUGCUUUCACCUUUGAUUCAUCAACCUGAAUUCCUAAACCUGAAACAACAAAACCAAGAAACACAACCUGAUCUGUACAAAAUGUGCACUUCUCAAGGUUAGCAUAUAAUUGUUCUUUCCUGAGUACAUCCAAAACUUGCUGAAUAUGAGCAACAUGUUCCUCCAAUGUCUUGCUGUAAAUUAGGAUAUCAUCAAAGUACACAACAACAAAUUUUCCAAUAAAUGCUCUUAAGACAUGGUUCAUUAAUCUCAUGAAUGUACUAGGUGCAUUAGUCAAACCAAAAGGCAUAACUAACCAUUCAUACAACCCAAACUUUGUUUUAAAAGCAGUUUUCCAUUCGUCUCCAAUUUUCAUUCUAAUUUGAUGGAAACCACUUCUCAAAUCAAUUUUCGAAAAUAUCAUAGACCCACUCAAUUCAUCUAGCAUAUCAUCUAGCCUAGGAAUAGGAUGACGAUAGCGAACAGUGAUGUUAUUUAUGGCUCUACAAUCUACACACAUCCUCCAUGAACCAUCUUUCUUUGGCACCAAAAUCACAGGGACAGCACAAGGACUUAAACUUUCUCGAACAUAACCUUUAUCUAAAAGUGCUUGUACUUGCCUUUGAAUUUCCUUAGUUUCUUCAGGGUUGGUGCGGUAUGCUGGACGGUUUGGAAGUGUAGCUCCAGGGAUGAGAUCAAUUUGAUGUUCAAUGCCACGCAAUGGAGGAAGUCCAACAGGUGUUUCCUCUGGAAAGACAUCUUCAUAUUCCUGUAAAACACGUGCAACAACACUAGGAACAGAGGUUAAGUCGUUAGCUGAAAGUAAUGUGUCCUUGCACACAAGUAUGAAUAAUACUUGUUCUGGGUUUCUCCUCACAUCUCUCAUUUCAGAUUUGGUGGCUAUCAUCACUAAGUUCUCUCCCUCUCUUUUCUUGUUGUCUCUCAUGUUUGGCUUGUGGCUCUCACUCACCGAUUUGUGGGGGGCACUCAAAUUAUUUUUCUGUCCUUCUUUUGCACUCUCAUUCCUCACUUCAGAGCUCUUUUGCAAGUGCUCAGCUAGAAUUUGCUGCGGUGUCAUGGGUUUAAGAAUCAACUCCUUGCCCUUCCACUUGAUGGUGUAUUGAUUGGUUCUACCACAAUGUAGAGAUGACCGAUCAUAUUGCCAUGGUCUUCCCAACAGCAUGUGACACACUGUCAUAGGUGCCACAUCACACUCCAUGGUGUCAAUAUAUUCACCAAUCUUGAAAGGAACUUUUACUCUUUGUGCAAUCUUAAUAGAACCUGAAUUAUUAAGCCAUUGCACAUGAUAUGGAUGAGGAUGUUUUAGCAGCUUCAAACCAAGCUUUUCAACCAUUUCUUUGCUAGCAAGAUUGUGGCAACUUCCACCAUCAAUGAUCACCUUGACAACUUUAUCUUGCACUUUAGCUCUAGUUUGAAAAAGAUUGUGCCGCUGUCCAUUUUCAGCAUCACUCAUUUGUACACUCAAAAUUUGAGUUACAACAAGAGCAGCACCAGAUUCAAAUUCACAGAUAUCCUUCUCAAGAUUAUUCUCCUCUUCACUAUCUUCUUGUUCUUCCUCACUAGUAGAUUCAUACUCUCCUUGAUCAUUCACAACGAUGGUUCUAUUGUUUGGACACUCUCUAGCAACAUGACCACGACCACCACAUUUGAAGCAUUGAAUUCCACUACUCUUGGUGGAAGAACCCACUGAAGUAGAUGAUGUGUUUGCUGCAUUUUUCCUCUCAUUUGGAGCAGCCAAAUCUUUCCCACUGGAAGUACCAUAAUUGCUAGAUCGUGCACCACCACUUGAGCUAGAAAAUGCACCUCUAUUUCCACUACCUCUUGAUGUGAAUUUGCUUCCACUUGCUGCAUUCUUUGUGCUGAAAGACACUCCUCUAUUGGACUUCAUGUCUUGCUGCAAUUGACGUUCAGCUUUGCUAGCUUGAUGCACCAAUUCAAUAAGAUUGCGGUACUGCUGAAAUUCAACAAUACGCUGAAUGUUGCGGUGCAGUCCUGACAUAAAACGUGCAAUUGAUUGCUCUUCAUCUUCAUAAACAUUGGCUCUAAUCAUUGCCUUCUCCAUCUCUUUAUAAUAUUCAUCAACACUGAGGCUUCCUUGCUUCAAAUUCUGCAGCUUGUCAAAAAGAUCACGGCGAUAAUGUUUAGGGACAAAUCUUGCCCUCAUUUCUCUCUUCAUUUCAGCCCAUGAACGCACAUCGCCUUGGCCAGCUUCUUCUCUUUCAUUUAGCAUUUGCUCCCACCAGAUUAGAGCAUAGCCAUCAAACUCUAGAGCAGCCAUGGCAACUUUCUUCCGCUCAGAAUAAUUAUGCAAACGAAAGAUUUUAUCCACCUUCAACUCCCAUGUAAGAUAGACUUCAGGAUCAGAUCCUCCUUCAAACUUGGGCAUGGUGAAUUUUAAUUUGCCAAAUCUCUCUUCAUUGGGCUGAUUUCGCCCACGAUUUCCUCGGUGACGACGAUCAUCACGAUGAGGCUGUUCAACCUCUUCGUCAGUCCCACUUUCUUCUAGUCCAUGUUCUCUUCCACGAUCAGCACCUCUACCACCAUUUCCACGACCAGGAUGUGGAGGUCUUCUUGCAUUUGCAACAACACGAUCUCUCCGUCUUCUUCGUUGUUCUCUUGCAAGGCGAGCAGCAGCUUCUCCUUCGGAUUCUUCAUCUUCUUCUCCAUGGUGACUUGCAUUUGCAUCUUCAGGAGGAGGCUCUGGCAAUCGAUUCAUAAGUGCUUGAACAUUGGCUGUUAGUGCCUCCAUGCUUUGCUUCAUCUCAUUGAAUUGUGCCAUGGUGACACAAUCCUCAAUCUCAACAUUAGAACCCAUCUUCCUGUCAAGUUAGUGAUGGCUUGCAACAAAUAUUUGUGGAAUAUGUGGAAUAGGAAAAUAUAUGUGCAAUCACACAACCUCACCUCUCUACCGAAGCUCAAGUGAGUUCCCUGCAGAUUACAGAGGACCAAUGCGAGGUGGUAACUUGAGAAUGAUGGUUGGGAGAAUGCAAGAUCAGCGUUCCUAUGACGGUGGAUUACUUGUGGAGCUUGGUGGGGAUAUAUUUUACAAGGAAUGCAAUCUGAAUUCUCGCUAUUGUAAAGUUAAAUCACAGUCCAAAAUGCUUAGUGCUGACCACAAGAUAUGAAUAACGUAAAUAGAUCAAACACACACGCAAAGAUAAUUCAGUUUUGAUGCAAACAAGGAGUAUGCUUAGGAUGCAAGUGUUGCAAUCAGACCUAAGCAAAAUUUUGCACCAAAAGAUAGAUAACAAACUGAUUGUGCAACUUGAUAUAAAAUUCAGAACAUGUGCACAUAAACAAACUGAUCUUUCAACUUUUCUUUCUCAAACUUUCCUCAACUCUUUUUCUUCUCUCUUUUUUUUUGUAACUUUUCUUUCUUCUCUUUUUUUUUGAUAAACUUUUUUUUAUAUAUAUAACUAAGAACAAGAACAGAUAUGAAACUUAUACACUUUUCUUUUUGUAGAAACAAGACACGACCGUCAGCGUUCUAACUUGAUAGGAUCAAAGUUUACGCGAAGGAUGAUACCGGUUUCUGAAUUUUUUUUUAUAUAUAUGGAUUUGCAGAUGUAUGAAAGAAGCUCAAAGGACACGCAAAGGAGAAUAUGAUCAGCAACUAAAACAAGACUCUAAUGGACUGAAAAUUAACUAAACUCACAAGAAUAACAGAUUGAAACAAAGGGCUAUAGCAGAAUAUUUUUAUGGCUUUUUCAGUGGAUAGGACGAACACAAAUAUAUAUGUAGCUAAGGGUAAAAAUCCUACCGUUGCAACCGAGGCUCUGAUACCAGAUGAUGAGGUUGUUGUCCCGAUCUUCACGACGUAAGAUUGAUCUUGAUAACUAGCCGAAGAACGACCGAUAACUUGCUGCAAGCAGCGAUAAUUAGUGCAACCUGACGACACGCACAAGGAGCCAACCACCGUCUCUAUACGGCAGCCUGAACCAAGGAUUCGCCCAACCACACUCUCAAAGAACCAACCUACGCAACCUAAACUCGAGGAUCAGGAGCACGGAUUGGGUGCCGAUGACGCGGCCGCUUCUGUAAUCUCCGCGAAGGAAAACACAAGAGAAAAGGGGUAGAGAAUCUCUCUCUGGGGUUUGUUAGCACACAGCUGAACAAAGGGUUCCGAAUUGGAUUAUCAAAAGUCUGAGUUUGCAAUGGUCUUAGGGGUUAUUUACACUAGCAACAGCCCUGCUAGAUAGGUGUGAAUUCGAGAUGGAAAUGAAAAGACUAAAAAUGUGAAAGGGCCUCCACGAAAUGGCUUCUGAAGUGGGUUCGCGAGGCUGUUGGUCUUCUGGAGUGGUGUUCAGUAAUUUGGCAAUAACUCCAACUUGGGAAGUCCAAAUGAUGCACCGUCAGUUGCGUUGGAAAGUUAACUUCACUAUGUUUUGAACCAUGUAUACAUGCACCACGAAACAUUGUAGAUUGGUACAGUUUUGAACAUGAACUUGUACCAACGUGCUGACUCAGCAGACUCCUGGCCUUCAGAGCAGUCUUCACAAACGUACUUGGUUCUCAUUGGUGUGAAGUCCAAAGUACUUGGUAUUGGUGGCAUUGGAAAGCUGACUUGAUAAGCUUUCCAAAGAGUCCUCAUUUACUUCCAUAGCUUCUGUAAAUUGAGAGUUAUGAGCAGUUCUUUGAACUGGUCCGUUUUGCACUGCAGUUGGUCCGUUUUGCUUCACUGGUCCGUUCUGUACUCCAGUGAUAGAAUCCACCGAUCCACUUUCAUCCUCCUCAUGUUGUAUGUUCCUAAGCACAACUAAAGUAGAACACUUAGGUAGUAUAACAUUCUCAGAAGUACUGAAAUUAAAAUCAGUUAGGAAUGAAUUCACCUGAACUUGUAGUUUCUUGGCACGACUUCUUGUAAGUGGACCUUGAAUUGUAUCCUUUGUGUUUGAUGAUGGUUGCUUGGUACUUGAAGUAGCAUGCACGGUUGGGAUGUCCUCAUCAUCAACCCUAGAUGCUGAUGCAAUAAAUCCCUUUUCCUUUUCAAAAAUAAUUCAUUAUUGCGUCAUAAUUCAAUUAAAAUCCAUAUAAAUGCUUUAAUCCGGUUUAAUCUUUAAAAAUUCAUAUCUAAUUCAUUGUAACUCGGUUUAAUGUGGUUCAAGUUGCAAAAGUUGUAUAAAAUAAAGAUCUACAUAUUAAAAUUAUUCAUAAAUUGAAUUAAAUUUAUUUAAUUUUUUUUAAAUGGGCUUUAAUUAGAUUAAAUCUAGUAAAAUUCAUAAUAAAUUCAUAUGAAGUCAGAAUGAGGCCGUUCAAGUCUCAUAAUUCAUCUAAAAUUAUGAUCUACAUGUUUGUUUACUUUAUGUGUAUUGUUUAUUUGGAGUUUCUUAGUGUUUUCCUCGUUUUGCGUUUUAGCUUGUCGUUUCCGUCGUUGCGAAGGUUCGCGAGUGCGCCGGAAGUGUUCAAGAAGAUUAAUUGAAGACCGAAUAUUGCAAGGCAAGUCACACAGAUCCCAAACACAAUUCCUUUGAGCAUGUUGAUCCUAUAUUUAAAUUCUCUAUUUAUUUCAACUGUGCAUUUAUUUUCAAAUGUCACCGGGUGGUGUGAACCUAUUCCUUUGUUAUGGCCUGUUUGCAUUGAUUACCCUAUUUCUUGAUUACCUCGGGUUAUAAUUUGACUAGUUGGAUUUAUAUAUUGGUUCAACUAGAUGUAUUAGAUAUAAUUGCUUAGCCAUGCUUAGAAACAUUAGCACAUGAUUGGGAUAAUUAAUGUUUCACUAUUAUUUAAUGAUGGAUAUUUAAUAGCUCACGAUGGUCAAUCGUGAUUGGUUAAUUAAUUAAUGUGCCAACUAAAACUUGAUAAUGGUGGGUUGUGAGCACAUGGUUUUGAUGGUCGUGCUCAUGAAAAUUAAGGACCGGUUCACGAGUUUCGGUUGUGAAACAUUAAUCGUUCCAACCACAAGCCAGAGUGGGCAACGGCUGGACACUUUGUAUAACAAGGCUCAUUGCGGAGCACCAGACUGAGAAGUGGCGGAGAUAAGCCCACGGGGGUCGCUGGGGAGUCCAUGACUCUGGUUUUUGAGGGGGUGACUAUGAUCCGGGAACGGUGCACUGCUUUGGGUUGAGUUAUGCGAGGGGUCUUGUCACAACUACAGAAAUGGUGACAUGUUCAGCAUGGGCACAUGAUGAUAUGGUGACAUAUUGUGGAGUUUUGUCUUGUGGGUACAGUGGUACACCUCUAGCCAGAGUAAAACUAUUCGAAUAGCCGUGCCCGCGGUUAUGGGCGGGUCGAACAAUGUCUUUCGUGAUUAGUCCCACACUACUCAUUAAUAGUAAUGUGAUAAUUGAUGGUAAUUAAUUUAGCUCCUGGUUUGGAAUGGUAUAUUCCUGGUUUGGAGAUAGAUCUGUACAACUGGGUAUGGUUGUUCAGGAUGGUUGGGCCUGUGCAGCAUGGAUGUGCUGUUCAGUGAUUGAUUAAUAUUGAUAAUUAAUUACUCUAUUGUUUUACUACUCUUAAAUGUUUGCUAAAUGCUGCUUUUGCAAAUGAGCCCUAUAUUAUGCCAUCCUUUGGUAUCCUGUGCACUUGCAUAUUUGCUGUGUGGCUUGCUGAGUAUGUCAUAUGCUCACCUUGCAAUAAUCAAUCAAACCUCAGUUGAAGACAAGUUGCGAAGGAGAAGACGUUUGGCUUAUACCCCAGUUGAGCUACCUGUGGGAGUGGAGCCGGAGCUUCGCUAGAUUUUAUUUUCCGCUGCAGUUUUCUUCAUGGUGAGGACUAAGUGCCUCUUAAGUAAGUAUUUAUCGUUUUAGUUAAUUUGAUGAAUCUGUAUAUUAAAUUGUCAGUUUGUGUACCUCGGCUGAUUCCUGGACGAGGAUUUUAUGCACAAAUAAGUUCGGAAAUUACUAGUGAAUUUCUGGGCGUGACAUAAACUCCGCAAGCGUCCACACGCCGACUAGCAGCCGAGUUCCGCCUCUUCGAUCCCAAGAUUAUCACCAACCAAGCCUCAGCAUCGUCGCGGGAUCCAGUCGCAGGAGCAGGGACCAUGGCAAACGAUCUGUCUACUCGCCUCCUGACUGGCACAAGGAGCAUCAAGCCGAACAUCCCCGCUCCCCACGUCGCAGGCGUCCCGUCGAUCUUCGUGAAACUAUCAACCAGUGCUGCGCGGCAAGAGGCUACAUCCCCCGCCAUUCACCAGAUCGUUACGACGAAGACGUAGAUGGAGUUGCUGCCUUCACAAGCGACCUGCAUCGAGUAGAUUGGCCAGCCGGCUUCAAACCGACUGGAAUCGAGAAGUAUGACGGCACGACAAAUCGUGAGUCUUGGCUCACCGUCUACAGUCUCGCAAUCCGCGCAGCAGGAGGAGACAGCAAAGCCAUGGCAAACUAUAUGCCCGUGGCUCUAGCGGAUUCUGCCCGGUCCUGGCUUCACGGGCUACCCCGUGGCACAAUCGGAUCUUGGGCGGAGCUUUGUGACCACUUCAGCGCCAACUUCCAGGGCACCUUUGAAUGCUCUGGCACCCAAUUUGAUCUCUACAAUGUUGUCCAGAAGUCCGGAGAAUCCCUUCGAGAUUACAUCCGGCGUUUUACCGAGCAAAGCAACAAGAUUUCCGACAUCACCGACGACGUCAUCAUCGCCGCCGUCACCAAGGGCAUUCGCCAUGAUCUCUUAGUCGGUAAGUUUGGCCGCAAAACUCCCAGGACGGUCAAGCAGAUGUUUGAAAAAGCCAAUGAGUACGCAAAAGCCGAAGAUGCCGUCAUCGCAUCCAAGCAGUCAGGCACCACCUGGAAGCUGAAGAAAGAUACGCCGACUGCAGGGGGAGCGGUAGUACCAAUCACAAGGAUCGCAAGCGUAAGCCCGAGGAACUUGUGGCAACCACUACACCGUCCUCCCGACAGCGUUCGCGCAUCAACACUUUCCACAAGAUUAUGAACUCCCAAUGUCUGCAUCAUCCAAAUUCAAAUCACGCAGCCAAAGAUUGCUUCGUCUACAAAUAGUUUGCAGAGCAAUACGCCAAGAACGCACGCAAACCGACUGACGGAGAUCAAAGCAAGUCCAAGAAGAAGGAUGAUGAAGAUGCCAAGACCCUUGCAAGGAACUCAACCAUAUCUUCGGCGGACCCCUGGCUUAUGAAUCUAAGUGAAAGCAAAAGCUGACCGAACGGGAGAUCAAUGCUGUUCAACCCGACACGCCCCAAUAUCUUCGGUGGUCAGAGACAGCUAUCAAGUUUGACCGCUCGGAUCAUCCCGACCGAGUGGUCCACCCGGGGCGGUACCCCCUGGUACUAGACCCAGUGGUUCGCAACGUCAAGCUCUGACGAUCUCUCAUCGAUGGUCGCAGUGCACUCAACAUCCAUUUCACCAAGACUCUGGACGACAUGCAGAUCCCUCGCACAGAAUUGAAGCCGAGUAAUGCGCCCUUUCACGGAGUCAUCCCCGGGCUAUCUUCUACUCCACUCGGCCAGAUCACCUUGCCGGUUACUUUCGGCACUCGGGAGAACUUUCGCACGGAGAACAUUUGCUUCGAAGUUGCUGAUUUUGAGACAGCGAACCACGCUAUACUCGGACGCCCGGCGUUAGCAAAGUUCAUGGCUGUCCCGCAUUAUACCUACAUGAUGAUGAAAAUGCCAGGUCCUCAAGGAGUCAUAUCCCUACGAAGCGACAUCAAGCAAGCCGUCACUUGUGACAAGGAAAGCUGCGAGCUGUCCCAGACCCACGAGAUCACUCUGGCUCGAGAGGAAAUCCGACUGGCUGCGUCCACAGCAACCAAAGGAGAAGUGCUUGCAACCAAGAUGCCAAAGAACGGAGAAGGCGACGCCAAGACCAAGAAAAUUCCUCUAGAUCCCUCUGAUCCCACUAAAACUGCUGUAAUAGGCGCUGAGUUAGAUUGUAAAUAGGAAAGAGCGCACAUCACCUUUCUUCAAAUAUAAUAAAGAUAUCUUUGCGUGGAAACCAUCUGAUAUGCCUGGUAUUCCUAGAGAGGUGAUUGAGCACUCUUUACAUGUUAAGGAAGACGCUAAACGUAUUAAUCAACGACCGCCGUUUCGAACAGGAUAGAAAGGAUGCGAUCAAGGAGGAAUUGACCAAGCUGUUAGCAGCAGGCUUCAUCAAGGAAGUCCUACAUCCCGACUGGCUGGCCAACCCAGUCCUGGUUCAGAAGAAGACGGGGCAAUGGCGUAUGUGUGUUGAUUACACCGACCUCAACAAGUCUUGUCCCAAAAAUCCCUUCGGGUUACCUCGCAUUGACCAGGUAGUUGACUCAACGGCCGGCUGCGAGUUACUCAGUUUUUUGGAUUGUUACUCAGGAUAUCAUCAGAUCUGACUAAAGGAGUCCGACUGCUUGAAGACUUCAUUCAUCACACCCUUCGGGGCCUACUGCUACAUCACCAUGCCUUUUGGAUUAAAGAAUGCAGGAGCAACUUAUCAACGCAUGAUCCAGAGAUGCUUUUCAACUCAGAUUGGUUGCAACGUUGAAGCUUAUGUUGAUGAUGUAGUCGUCAAGACCAAGCAGAAGGAUGAUUUGAUUACGGAUCUACAAGAGACCUUUGCGAGCAUCCGCGCUUUCAAGAUGAAAUUAAACCCUGAAAAGUGCAUCUUCGGAGUACCGUCAAGGAAGCUGCUUGGCUUUAUGGUGUCCUAUAGAGGCAUACAAGCCAACCCGGAGAAAAUCCUCAACAUGAAACCGCUGAGCUCCUAGAAAGAUGUUCAAAAGUUAACUGGUUGCAUGGCGGCGCUCAGCCGGUUCGUCUCACGACUCGGCGAGCGGGGGAUGCCUUUUUUCAAGCUGCUAAAGAAAACUGAUAAUUUCCAGUGGGGACCUGAAGCACAAAAAGCCUUUGAAGACUUCAAGAAACUUCUCACUACUCCACCAGUCUUAGCUUCGCCACAUCCGCAAGAGCCGCUGUUGUUAUACGUGUCGGCAACUUCCCAGGUUGUAAGCACGGUCCUGGUUAUCGAGCGUGAGGAAGAAGGCCAUGUUCAAAAAGUCCAACAACCAAUCUAUUUCGUCAGCGAGGUUUUGGCCGACUCCAAGUCAAGAUAUCCUCAGGUUCAAAAGUUGCUAUGUGGUGUUUUAAUUACUGUUAGGAAAUUAUCUCACUAUUUUCAAGGUCACUCGGUUACGGUGGUUACAUCGUUUCCACUUGGGGAUAUACUUCACAAUCGCGAAGCAAAUGGGCGGAUUGCAAAGUGGGCCUUAGAGUUGAUGUCUUUGGAUCUAUCCUUCAAGCCGCGAACUUCGAUCAAGUUCCAAGCUUUAGCUGACUUCGUCGCCGAGUGGACCGUAUGCCAAGAAGACACGUCUACGGAGAAGAUGGAGUACUGGACAAUGCAUUUUGACGAGUCAAAGAGGCUAUCAGGCACUGUAGCGGGGGUUGUUCUAAUUUCCCCGACUGGAGAGAGACUAAGCUACGUAUUGUGGAUACAUUUUUCUGCGUCUCACAACGUGGCGGAAUAUGAGGCGCUUCUUCAUGGAUUAAGGAUUGCGAUUUCUGUAGGAAUUCGGCGUCUUAUAGUUCGUGGAGAUUCUCAGUUGGUUGUUAAUCAAGUCAUGAAAGAGUGGUCCUGCCUUGAUGAUAACAUGACCGCCUAUCGUCAGGAGGUAUGCAAGUUAGAAGAUAAAUUCAAUGGCCUUGAGCUAACCCACGUCCUUCGACAUAAUAAUGAGGCAGCCGACAGACUGGCUAAUUUUGGUACAAAACGAAAAGCAGCUUCUUCCGACGUGUUUGUUGAACAUCUUUAUGAGCCAACCGUACUAAGGAAAGAAAUAAUCGAGACCACGGACACUCAAGAAGUAAGCACGAUUGAAGCCGACUGGAGAGAGCCCCUCAUCAGAUUUUUGGCUAAACAAGAGCUCCACUACUGGAGAGGGAGAAGCUCCCUGGUGCUAAAAACACCCGGCAACAAUGGAAAAACACCCGGUAAUCACUGUUGCCGUGUACCUCACUCCGGAAUCAUUACCCGGGAGUGAAAAGAAACGGCGGCGAUUGCGUAGUGCGUCUAAAAACACGGGAAGCCUUAAUUUACGGAGCGUGCGUACGCCUGGAACACCCAGCAAACAAUUUUCUGUUACCGGGUGCAUAGCAUCUAACACACGAUAAGUCUCAGUAUUUGCGGAGUGCCUAUAAAACCAUACGUUCAUUUGAUACUCUGUAAUGUUCCCGACUCUGGCAUUAUUUACAGUAUUGAUAGUGCAAUAUUUGCUUAUUCAUUUAUUAUUUGCACCAGAACAGCAGCAUCCAAAUCACACAUCAACACAGAAGAAUGGAUUGAAAUGCAUUGACAUCCAUGUUCAGUUAAUCAAUUUGAUGACAAUCUAAUAUGGAACAAUUGAAAUACCAAUCUCAGAAACAGCUACAAUUGAGAUGAAUUUGAGCAUUACUUCCUCUACCAACAAGCUUGGGCAACCAGGAACUCUUGCAAACAGAAGAAAACAUCAUAUGAACGGCACCAUAGGCAGUUUGACCACUCCUCAUAACAUAGCAAAUAAGCCGAUUGACUAGGAAAACCUGAACCUGAGAUUGCAUAAAAGAGAGAUCAAUUUCACAUAAAAAAGUGGUGACACUUUCAUGUGUUGUACUAAAACAAAGUGAUGACACUUAUGUAGAAUAGCACUAGCAAAAUAAUAUGAAUGAUGUAUGCGCAUUGAAAACAAAGUAAUCUGAACUUGUACAUCUUUUAUUCAAGAUUAUGUAGGCUUGUUAAAAUUUAGGCAUAGUGUCAGUGGAAUUGUUGAUGGCGCAUGAUGAAGCAAUAUGCGCCCACGUGACUGAUUUGCCAAUUGCCCAGGCAUUACAACCAAAUCCAAAUAAAUGAUUAUGCAGCUUUUAUUUGACAGAACAUCCUGAUUACUAGUAUAUAAUGCUCAAUCAAGAUUCAGGAACAAAAUAGUGAUUUAUCAUCCCAGUUGAAACAAUUGCCAUUCAUCUAUCAAAAACUUAUCUUAGAAUCCACAAGGGGUUCAUAAAAAAAUUGGAUAUCAUGUAGCCAGAUCAAAAGAAUUAACUAGCAUAUGAAGUGGCAAAAUUUGGUAGUAUUUUACUUCACUGUUAUUCGGAUUCACUAUUGUUGGCAAAAUGGCAGCACCAUAUCAUAACUAAAAACUUGAACCACAAAUGCAGACAUAGUAAAAAUGGAUUAAUAUAGAUCCAUCUUCUUGCUGAGAAUCAGGUGUGAGAGCUUACAGCGCAGGUGAGUAUCUGAUGGAACUGGUGUACAUCAGAUCCCUCUAGCUGGUAGCAAAAAGAAUAUCUGCAGAAAUGAUGAGGUCUGAUUUAGGAACACAAAUCCUUUAUUUCAAAAGCUCCAGAGCUAGGAGAAUGCAAUCUUCAUGUACUAUUAUUUAUUGCAUGAUCCUUCUAAAAAUGAAGUAUGCAACAUCUUGGGAACAUCUAACCUAGUGGCAUUUGGCAUAGCAGGGGCAUAAACAAUGAUGGUCCACCUCAUCAUGUCUCCAAUUUUGAACUACAUAGUAGUACUUAUAUACAGAAAACAUGAAUUUAUAUUUUACAAAGAAGGAAACAAGAGCUUGCAUAUGGAGCUAACAAAAUGAGCUUUGUCAGACUAUAUUACCAAAUAAAAAAUGCCAAGUGGAGGAAAAAACUUGCAGGACUCAGAUACAACCCAAUGGAAUAAUUGACCUGGCCAAGAUCAUUAAUUAGAUUACUCAUCAGACCUGUGGCAAUGGGUCACUAGUUGAUAUAAUGCUCGACUAUUUGCGAUACACAUAUAUAAAUGCAUGAAAGAGGGGUAGUAAUUUAAUCUUUUGCACAAAACUAUACAAGGAUUUGUUAGUUACUCCUUACAAUGGUUGUUUGUUUCCAACAAGAAUAGUCCAGCAAUGUGAAGGAAGCUAGAUAAGUCCACAAGAAAAGUUAAAGACCUAUAUUAAAUGAUCAUACGUCUUUGGACUAGACUGAACAAAAUGAUGGUAGCUUACAUUCAUGGGACCUGCAUGGCCAUACCAUUGUCUGGUACAUUCAACACGGUUCUAUUGUUGAUUGCGCUCCUAUCAAGAAAAAGAAUACAGUGAAAAUAUUCAUAAGUGUAAAUCCAUUUUAUUGUUGGUCAAGCUAACAUGGAGUCAUACAUAUACCAGAAAAUGAAUAAAUAGUUACUUCUAUAAUCAUAGAACACUGCCUUUACAAAAACAGCUUCAGAUAUAAAGAGUGUGACAUAUGAACAGCUGGACAAAAUUAGGAAGUGGUAUAAGUUUGUUGCUCGAUGGCUUUAGAUAAGUUUAAUAUCACUUCUCACCUAGGAAAAAUAAUGCCAUGCAGUACACACAGAUCUGAAAGAUAAGUGCUGAAAGGAGAUUAUUACUCUACCAACCUAAUAAUAUUUAGUGCUGAAGAUUUGGCAAUGAGCACCCGUCGUCGGUAUAUUUAGGAAGAACUUACCGAGCACUCUAGCAGCAGUGGCAGGUAGGGAGGAUGAGAGGCCAGCACUGGCCAUGGGAAUGUGGUGGUGGUGGUACCAAAGUGGAGCAAGAGGCAGGUCGCAGACUCAGACGGAGAAGUAGCCAUCGCAGGGUGUCGGCGCCUCUUUUCAUGUCUUGGCGUCGCAGGACAGCAAUAGAGGCAACAGGCUCGUGUGGGGAACUGCAGGGACAGUGAGGAUAUGGUGCUGCACGGCUCCUUCGUACACUACCACCUCCACCAGGAUGGCCGUUGCGGUCGCCGUCCCUGUCUCCUCAGCUGGCGUGCCCUCCUCCCUCACGGUAGAGAUGCGCAUCUCUGGGCGUGGUGGAGGGGAGCAUUGACCGCCGAGGAGGUUUCGACCACCUCGCCGCCGGCAGCACCUUCAACUGCUAAAGUCAGAGGGCCGAGUAGCCGACAACGAUACGAGGAGCACCCCCCAACUCUGAUUAAUCCUACUCCACCCCGAGGCACCGACAGGCACGAGUACAAUUCCUCCCUCCCCAUUCUCCAUGCCUAGCCAACGAUGCCGAUGCGGAUCUGGUGCGGCGAGGAGAGGAGAGGGUGAGACGAUCGGAAUCAAAGCCGGCGUCGACGAGCUGCAGGUUGCAGCCUACCGCGCGGAGGAGCCAAGGCGGCGGCGGCGGCGGCGCGUGGGAGAGGCUGAGAGGGAUUAGGGUGCGAGUGCGACUGUGCGAGAGUGGGGACUGGAUUUGGGGAGGUGAUGGUGGCACGGACGGCUUUGGUUGUCUGUGACCGACGGAUCGGACGGCUCACGCGAGGGAUGGUUACUGCUGCCCUAGAAAGAUGGGGGAUUUGUAUUCCCGCCCACCACCGGAAAUUGGGAAUUUGGAGGGAAAUAUUUGGUUUCAUUAACCCUGAUUCGUUUUUUUUAUUUGUUUGUAACGUGCAGUUGAUUUAUUAUUAUAUCACUGAAACAUAUACUUCUCAUGGAUAAAAUAUAAUUUCACUCCAAUAAAAUUUAGAAUGAAAAUUUUUAAACUUCUAAUAGGAUAAUUAUAGAGUAAGAUUUUUAUACUUUAAUAAUUUUAGAGCAACAUAAUGGAUCUUAAUAGUUCAAUUCCUGACAUUGAGUGAACAAAGGACUUAAAACCCCUUAAAAAGUAUCUAAAUUUUAUAUUUAUUGCAAUUUAUAAACUAAAACCAAAACUAAAACAAACUCAUAGUAUCAACUAGCACAUAACAAAUUAAUGUAACUUAGUAUAUAUUUGUUCUUUUAAUUUCUACGUGUUUUUACAUAUAUGUUCCUACAUCUUUGUUUAUAAAUCAUGCAAUUCAUAUAGGUAAGUAUUGAUCAAAGUAUAAUUUGAUAUAAAUAUAAUUUAAAUUCCUUUCAUUUGAUUUAAAUGCUAUUUGCCCAUUCAUCUAAAUUAAUAUAAGUAUAAUUUAAAGCCAGCAUAUGGAAGUAGGGUGAUGUCAAGAGGAGAGAAGCAACGCCGAUGCCUCUGUCCAACUGAAACAAGACUAAGAAUGUGAGUAUAGCAAGGCGACAUGUCAACGCAGUUAUAGGAGCGAGGGCAACGGAUAGAGGAGGCCAAUAUGGCAUGCAACCUAUGGUUUUCUCCACAUUUCCUGAAUGAAUUUGGGUUGUCUUGCCGAUCCAAAGACGAAGGAAGGAUUAGUUGUCCUAGGCUAAGUGGCGGUCAAAUCGAGCCCACUAGCAAGAUCGAACAAUCCUCGUGAGUUAGCGGCUUCAUGCUAUUAACAGAAAGUCGUAGAACUUCUUUGCAGAAUCACUGACAUCAUGUCCCAUUGCCUCAGCUUCUCAUCGAGCCUACAUGGUUUAGAGAGAUUAAUAUGAUGGAUGAAAUUGAGUUCUAUGAUAACUAUGGAAGGCACAAACAAACGAAUUUAAUACUAGUAAGAUGAAAAGUUAAAUUUUAAAUAAACCUAAGAAAUAUCAAUGAAAAUAGUUAUCAAAGAAAUCAAACCAUCGAAUUGACUAAAUGCGUCGAAUUUCAAGUAUUUCAGAAAACCAUUGAAUUUUUGGAAAGUGGAAUUUGAAUACAAUUUUCUGGUUUCUGAGUAAAACAAGAACAAGUUUGAACCGAUAUCAAUCAAGAUCUGACAAUUUUUAUUAAAACCACGGAGAGAAGACGUGCACCAUUGGUUUUAGAAAGUGAAUUAGUUUUAUGGAAAUUAAAUUUCCAUGUCAUACUCCCCAAAUUUUAGGGCCCCUUUGAAUCGUAGGGUAGAAAAAACAGAGGAAUACGAAAAAUUACAGGAUUCUGACAGAAAUUGAAGUGUAAAACAUAGGAUUGCAAAACACAGGAGAAACACAGGAAUGGUCGUUUGAUUGGAGCGCAGGAAAAACGCUGGAAUCGGAUGAGAGAGAUAGACUCAAAGAAAAUUUUUCAAGAGGUUGGAGCUCUUGCUAAAUUUCCUACAAAAUCCACAUGCAAUGUGCCAAUCCAUAGGAAUUUAAUAGGAUUUGGAAAGCUUUAAUCCUUUGAAUCAAAGGGCCAAAUAGGAAAAUUUCCUAUAGGAUUUGAAUCCUAUGAAAUUCCUACAUAAAUCCUAUGAUUCAAAGGGUCCUUAAAAGGAAGAUAUGUAUAGAAUCCAACUAUUUAGAAACAUUAUACUUUAUUUUUGUUUUUUCAGUAUGUAAUUCAAUGAUUUCUGCCUCAAAAGAAAAUGCUACAAUCAGCAAUAAAUAAGUUAAUUAAUUAAUUAACAGUACAAAAAAUACUGCUCAUUAUAUGGCGUCUGUGUAUAUCGAUUGGUCUGGGUGAGUUUUGCUAUGAGUACUAUUUUUUAUAUUCUUCUGGUUUACUUUUCACCCGAGGAACUGUAGCAGUAACGGAAAGUUUUUCAGGCCGUUGAUUGACGUGUGGCCCUAAGUACCGGCUGGUCCGUUAGUUAGUUGGAAUUACCGGGUGUGUGUACCAGAACACACGAUAAACAUCAGAUUCCGUUAGAUUCGGCCAAAAAAAUAGCAUUCGCGCCACCGUGAAUAUUUUGGCGCUAACGCAUUUCUGUUCGCGCCAACGAAAAUAGCUUGGCUGAUGGAUGUGGGCCCCAAGAUCCCGGGUGUAAUUGGUAAAUCUCCUAAUGUUACGUAGUGUUUAAAAUGAACGCUCUGUAAUGACAUCAGUUACGGGGUGUUCCUACUAUACACUCCGUAGUUUACUCAGUGCUAGAUCAAACAUACGGUAACAUUCUGCUCCCACCCGGGAGAGUCUCUCAUCCUGGUAGCUCCCUCAAGAUAAAGACGAAGCCGAGCGGAUCUCCAGACGCAGCAAACUUUAUGUCAUACAUGAGACCGAGCUGUACAAGAAAAGUCCAUCAGGGAUUUUGCAACGCUGUGUGUCUUUGGAAGACGGAAGACAAUUGCUAAGAGAUAACCAUUCAGGCAUCUGUGGCAAUCACGCUGCCGCUCGAACUGUUGUUGGCAAGGCUUAUCAGCAGGGUUUUUUCUGGCCCACAGCUGUAUCCGAUACAGACAAAAUUGUGCGAACAUGUGAAGGUUGUCAAUUUUUCGCCCGACAGACUCAUCUACCGGCUCAGGAGUUGCAAACCAUCCUGUUAUUUUGGCCGUUCGCGGUUUGGGGGCUUGACAUGGUUGGCCCGUUCAAAAAGGCUAUCGGUGGUUAUACUCAUCUCUUUGUAGCUGUUGACAAAUUUUCCAAGUGGAUCGAAGCCAAACCAGUCAUCACAAUCACGGCAGACAAGGCUAGAGCUUUUUUCAUCAACAUUGUGCACCGGUUUGGGGUACCCAAUCGAAUCAUCACUGAUAACGGCACUCAAUUCACUAGCGGAGUAUUUCAAGAUUUUUGCGAGGACUUCGGCAUCAAAAUUUGUUAUGCCUCCGUAGCGCACCCCAUGAGCAAUGGACAAGUUGAACGUGCUAAUGGUAUGGUACUUCAAGGGAUAAAAGCACAAGUUUUUGACCGACUGCAUCCCUAUGCUGGCAAAUGGGUAGAACAGUUGCCAUAUGUCCUUUGGUCCCUGCGCACCACACCCAGUCGGGCUACGGACAGUCACCGUCCUUUCUAGUAUAUGGUGCGGAAGCAAUGUUGCCAAGUGAGGUAGAAUUCGAAUCUUUGCGAUUUCGUAAUUUCAGCGAGGAGCGCUAUGGAGAAGACCGAGUAGAUGAUCUCAACCGACUGGAAGAAGCCCGUGAAGCAGUGCUAAUUCAGUCGGCUCGGUAUUUACAGGGGAUGCGCCGUUAUCACAAUCGCAAUGUUUGAUCACGAGCUUUCUUAGUCGGCGACUUGGUUCUGAGGAAAAUUAAGACUGCACGAGAUCGGCACAAGUUAUCUCCUUUGUGGGAAGGACCGUUCAUAGUUUCUGAAGUUACUCGACCAGGUUCUUAUCGACUCAAGCGUGAAGACGGUACUCAUAUCGACAACUAUUGGAAUAUUGAACAUCUUCGUUGUUUUUAUGCUUAGGCAUUACUUUUUGUAUCUUUCUCUUUGACUGCUAACAUCAAGUUCUUCCUUGAGUUAUCAGUCGGGGGCUACUAUAAUAAUAAUGGAGUGUGAUUUUUAUCAAUUCAAUUUGCUUACUUGAUUUAUCAUUGCCUUGUUUGAUUUUUUGACUUAGUCAAUGAGGACUGAAAGUUUUUAACAGCUUUUGCGGGUUCUAGGCUCAAUAAGGUUUGACAAAAACUUUUAAGAAAUCAGGAGCUAAGUUUAAAUUAUCAAGCACAGCAUAAAUCCAUCAGUAUUGUACAAAUUGUGCCUCCAUCAUCAUCAUCAUUGUCAGAAAACAAUAUCAAUCAGUUUCAGUCUUUUCAUCGUCAGAGUUAUUAGAUCCAGUCGGCCUGAGGUCGUUGUCCUGGAAUCUCUCAACAACAUCAGCGGCUAUCUUGUCAGCAGCUUUCUACGCAUCAUUAAUGAGAUCAAGGGCAGCUUCUUCACUUGUCUCGUCUGCAAAGCCAUCGAUAGGAUCAAUGUUGAUCUUUGGGUACAAGGACUUGGUCAUCGCCAACGCCAGACUCGCUCCCAUGCUUCCAGCUUCCUUCAUGUUCUUAAAAUAUGUUUCUGGAGCAAUUAUCGGCUUGUCGAAUAUUUUGGCAGCAUCAAAUGAACAUGGCUUGGACGAGUGGUGCAGCAGCGUUGGCGACUUCAUCUCUAGCUCCCUCAAGCCUCUUGAUUUUGUUAACCAAGACGUCGAAUUGGGCUUGGGAUUUGAUUUUGUGAUCUGCACAAGUAGAUUCGCAUCAGCGAGUGGGCAUGAAGAUGAGAGUGGUUUCUUGAAGUUGCAGCUGUGAGUACCUUCGACAUCUUUCAGAGCCGAGUCCCUCUGCUUUGUCAGUUCGCCCUUAUCUUUUUCCAGAGCCUUGAUUCGCCUUUCCAGCUCGGAUAUCUUGGCAGUUUGCACUGUAUUGCUUCUCAUUGGUUAGUUGCACAUGGAUAGCAACACGAAACAAGUCAGACAAAGUUGGGAGUUACCUUUUGAUGAACCGCUCAGCUCGAAGUUGGAGUCUUGGAGCUCUGCGAUCCGGUCUCUCAGAUCAUGCUCAGUCUUCCUGGCAAGCUCCUUGGCUUCACGCAGCUGGUCUUUGGUGGCUUCCAGGGUUCCAAGAUGGGGAACCAAUUUUUCGAGGGUCGCGGUCUUCGCCUGAUUUCUAAGAUGGAUUCUCUGUGUUGCAAGUGCAUCUUUAUUCAGUAAAGUGGCCGACAGGAUGAUUGAAGCUACGUAUAAAGAGACUUACAUUUACAAGACGAGUAGCUUGGCCGAGUGUCUUUUUCAGAAGCUGAUCGUAUCCGAAGAACCUCUUCUUCAUCACCGAUCAUUGGCCCUUAUACAUUCAUGAAUAAUGGCAAAGCAAUUGAAGAAAGUUUGUCGGAUCAAGGAAAGAUUUGGAGGACAUGUUUACCUGUAAUAAUUUCCGGUCGAGGACGAGCAGGUCCUUGCACCCUAACAGGAGAGUUGGUUCCAGGGCCAGCACCAGCGUCCGUCUUGGGAGGGCUGUUGGCUUGAGCUUUUGCUUCUGGCAUAUCUCUAUUUUGUUCAGUACCCGACUGGUUUCCAGUCGGGGGCUCCUGAUCAGCACCGACUCCAGCUUCGGCCGACUAGUUUCUAGUCGGGGGCUCGUUGCUGGUAUCUACAUUGCCGGUUGCCGGUUGAUUAUUACCCGGGCGGUCCUCGGUAGUCGGCUCAGUUUCUGCUGAAGGACCAUUCUCCGUGCCAGUCGGCAUGGGGUCUUUUCUUGAUGGAUCUAUGUCAGAUGGUUUCCUACAAAUUUGAGACAUGCUAUCAGCUUUGCUUCAAUAGUGAGUGACUAGCGAAAUUGGGGGAAUUGCUAGACGACACAUACCUGGAUGACUUCCUGAUUUUCGGCAUGGGACGACUGGAUGUUUUCUUCUUUGGAUUGGCUUGCUUUGGCUAUUUUUCAGUCAUCCUUUUGUUGCCCGCGUCAUCACCUUCAUCGUCACUUGAAACCAACUUCCCCUUAUGAGAAUCUGGCUGGUUAGUGGACUUCGCGGUGUUGGGUUGGACGUUUGACUGGAUCUUCGGCCCUCCGCUGGCUUGGCUAGUUUGCCGGCGCGGUGAGCAGCGUUUAGCAAUUGGAGGAUCGGAUUUCAUCAAAGCGAAUUCCUGUGCGUGGUAUUCCAAGUUUUCAGUCGACCUUACAGAAGAUAAAAGCAUGCUUUGAGAAAGGCUGAGGUGUAUGAUACGUACCGGUGGAGGAGGGUUGAAGGCAUUGCAUGGCAUGACUGGCAAUAAGUGUGAAUAGCUGACCACGAUGGCAUUCGAGAAAAUUUUGUACAUUCUCUCCUGCAUAAUUUUGAAUUCAAGAGACUCUGUGUCUUCUCGGUUGGGGUCAUGCUUGCCGUCGAACUCGAAAGCUGUUCGGGAUCCUUCCUUGAUUGGUGCCAGCCGGCUCUUGAUAAAGUGCCGAGUAAUUUGCUCCCCUUGCAGGCCCUAUUCCUUAAGCUUCAGCAUGCGAUCCAACAGGUCAAGCGCUUGGGCAGCCUCUUCUCCCAUAGGAAGUGAGUUCCCGGUAUCGCGAUAUACUGGAGGAAGACAGGAGUACCCAGGAAGCGCUGGCUCGGGGUUUUGCACAUUGAACCAGUUCGCGUGCCAACCUUUGUUCAAGGUCUUGAAUGGCACGGAGAAGUAUUUUUGGCUCUAGGUCCCCCUCAGUUGAAAUCCGGCUCCCCCAACUACGCAUGGUUUGCUUUUAUUAGGCUAGGGCUUGAGGAAGAAGAUGCGACGGAAUAGAGCAAAAUGUGGCCUAAUCCCCAGAAAGGCCUCGCAAGCAUGGAUGAAAUUGGCGAUGUGGACUAUGGAGUUGGGGUUUAGGUCAUGCAAACUGAUCCCAUAGAAAUCUAAAAUCCCCCGGAAGAAACUUGAGGUCGGAAGGGAAAACCCGCCAUAGAAGAAAUGGGAGAAUACCACCACCUCGUAUGUGUCGGGGGUCGGAAACGUUUCACCACAUGCUGGACGCCACCCGAUGAUCUCCUUCGCCGGAAGAACGCCGUGCACCACCAUCUCCUUCAGGUUCUCCUCCGUUACAUCAGAGGGCACCCAUUGACUCUCAAAGCUUUCUCUCUCUUCCGCCAUGGAUACGAACUGGAUGAUGUGAUUUGGUUCGAAAUGUGGCUGGGAAUGGAUGGGAGAUUGAUGCGGUGGUUCCGUGGGAGAUUUUUGUGGAGUUUUGGUGGCUGGAUUGGAGCGAAUCUAUGAACCCUAGCUUCGCCGGUGUGGUCUGACACUGUAGCAGAGAAUGGGGAAAGUGGCGAGAGUUUUGGCGGGGAAGACGAACCGACGCUUUGCAUUCGGUGUUAUUUCAUUAGGGUAUCGGGAGUACUAAUGGGCCUGGGCCUAAACAGUACUUCAGCCCAAUUAGGCUAUCGACGUGGCUAAGUUGUGAUCCUUAGGGACUUAGGCAUUUUGCUUUGGCAACACUUGCUCACAACGGUAUAGCCCAAUGCUGUUAAAAUCCUUUUUGACGCAGUUAGAUAAUUAUUUGGAAUUACUACGAUGCAAAUAAAAUGGUGCCCAACGGAAAGGUGUUAUACUAAUUUUGUAAGCCUUUUUAGGCUGCAAAAGCUGUUUGGGUUUUGUUGAGAUGACUAGUUUUUGAAUAGUCAUUCUCUCGACAUGUUAUAUGCUUAUUUUGAUAUGGUGCGAGUCAUAGCUUAGGCAAUUUAGACUCACCUAUUGUCAUGAUUUAUACCACAUUUGAUGGAUCUUUUUUGAGAGUUUUUACUUGGAUUCUUAUCAUAUGUGUUGGUUUAUAGACCUUUAGAGUGUUUUUCACGCGGGACUUUAUAUAUCUCCUUUCCUGGUGUAUCAAAGCUAAAGCAGUCAGCUGGAUGUUUUAUUAACGUCACAUAUGCUUAGCUAUGUGAUACCAUGGAUGAUCCGGUUGUAAAACCACUCGGUUGGAUGUUAUUUACACCUUGGUUAUAUCCUUAGUUUUUAACUAAACACAUAGUCGAGGUCUACACCUAAUUAGGUGUAUCUAAUCGAUGCACCUGAUUUUCUCUAUUUUUAGCCCUUCACAGUCUUUGAUUUUGGCACUCGGGAGAUCAAGGCAGAAGAAGUCGGAGUACUCGGAUUAUCGUUUGGAUUACGGGAGAAGACUAUUUCGUCGACUGUAAAUGUCUCAGGGGCUACUGUGGAGAUUAUGGAUACCUCAUACCCACACGACAUGUAUAGUCCGACUGGGUAUGGGGUGCCAUGUGUAGAUAGAAUAUCUUUAAAGGGACUCGGAUUAAAUUCCAAACUUGUAUGUUAAGGAAAUAUCCGGGAUCCUAGUCGGUUACCAUUGUAACUUAUCUGUAACUACCUAUUCCGUUAGGGAUAUGGAUUGUACUUUGUAAUACGGACCCCUCCCCCUAUAUAAGGAGGGGUCCGGGUGCCUCUAAGGGCACGAUUUUCUCCCAGAUCAUACGAUCAAUAACAUACUCGGCGGAUCAAUCCCCGGAUAGGAGUAGAGUAUUACUUCUUAUUAAGAAGGCCUGAAUCUGUAUAAAAUUCCUUGUCUCUCAACCCAUCCACUUUUCUAGCUUGAUAGCCACCCCUUUAGUAUUGCCGAAAUCUCAUUUCGACAGUAUGAAUUUGACAUGGUGGGCUACAAACCUAGAACCAUAUGUAUUUCCGACUUGUAGUUGGCCAUCAGUGUAUAUAUAUAGAAAUUGAGAAGAUUAGUAUAGAUUCUACUAGCGAUCAUAGUGAUACAUCUAAGAAGUAAAGCUAUCACUUGUGGGCUUUGUGGAAGGGAAUAAGAAAAAAUAUGAGGUAGCACUAUAGGAAUAAGCUAUUACGUUUACUAGCCAAGAACAUGUGUAUUGUAACGGAAAAUGAAAUCAGUUUCUAGCUCAAUUAGGCACAUAUUUAGUCAAAUUAACACUUUUAUGUUUCUCCUUAUUGAAUAAGUAGAUGAGUUCGAUGUUUAAGAUAAACCAUUAGUGAAACGGGAGAGGACUCAUUGGAGGUUGGUGCAAUACUAUAGAUUGUAGGGCCUAAAUGUCAGUGGUAGGGGGUAGUGUGAAAGAACAGACACCACCACUACAGACAUUUGAAGUAGUAUAGAUUGAAAAAGCAGGUGAUUUCAAAGUUUAAGAUAAACCAACAGUGAAACGGGAGAGGACUCGUUGGAGGUUGGUGUAAUACUAUAGAUUGUUUGGCCUAAAUAUCAGUGGUAGGGGUAGUGUGGCAGAAUGGACACCACCACUACGAACAUUUUAAGUAGAAUAGAUGUACUCUAUUGCUUAAGUGUGAAAGAACUUACAAAGUUGUUGAUUUAUACAUAACAGCUUUGUCAAAUAGCCGUGAGCCCCAUGGACAAGUCAGCUCAGGUUUAACCGACUACUUUAGAUUUUCAGCAAGCUCAUAAGCUUUAGGCUUAUCAUAGGUCACAACCCGAAGUGCUUCGAAGUAAAGAGCAUGAUCAGUAAGUAUUAACCUUGCCAGCAAAGGAAAAGUUGAAAUCCAGUGAUAUAAAACCGUAACAAGGCAAGUUAAAAAAAGCAUGCCAGCAUCUAAACAACAAGAAAUCGUUUCUCCUCACUGAGAACCAGACAUACCUGGCCAUGUCGAAAUCCUAACAUGUUCAAGUACUGGUUGAGUCGUCAAUGUUUCAUCUAUUUCUACAAUCCUUUCUCCUCUCUGAGACCGCUGGCCAGAUAAAAUCAAGGACUCAAAUUGUCCUUUCAUUUUCUUAAUCUCCCUACAUGAGAUAAAACAUACUCUCAGUCCUGACUUUAUGAAACAAGAUCCAACAGAAAGUUAUAUGCUUGCAUAUCCUAUCUUCAGAAAAACAAAGGGAGUAUAGUUGAACUUAUUUUGGUAACAAAAAUUGGCAAAUAUGUUAUCCCAUAUUUGUCGAGGUUACGGAUAAGGUAUACCCUCUAUCCUUGGAUAAACAAUGAGUACUGAUAUGGUAUGCCCGCGCGUAUAUGGAUAGUUCCUAUAUGUGUUAAGGAAAUCUAUCACGUGAUAGAAACAUAAUCCAUGGAUGGAAGGAGUCCUACUCGGACGAGACUGGGUCUUUACCAUAUCGUGAGGGGUCCGAUAUCUCCGAGUUCUACUUGAAGAUCAACUUACCCGCGGUAUAAAAGGGACCCCCUGGGUAGGAGCUAAGGCAUUGAAUAUCAUCGCUAACACAUCCACCACAGCCUACGAAGCCGGAGCCUACAGGAGCUAAGUCGCCGGGUGAUCUAGUCGAACCAACUCGACUACGGUCUCGUCGGUACCAUCGAGUUCUGUUAUUCUCUUUGUAAUCUGUGGUUUCCAUCAUAUAAUCCCAUACCAACUAGAUUAAAGCUAUUACCUACAAAGGGGCCUGAACUAGUAUAAUCCUUAUCUUCUGUUUGCUUGAUGUCGUACUACAUAGAUCCUCAUACCAACAUACCCCAAUACCCUCUAUAUUCGGUCUACGGGUAUCCCCUGUCGACAGUUGCGCGCCAGGUAGGGGAAUUUGGUGCUCAAGGUUUUACUACUAUGACUUCAAGCCUCCUCGACAACAGCGUCGACCCUGGGAUCAACCAAGGAGCUUCAACUUCAACGAUGCUGGUGUGGACUCAAGUCGGCGAAAUCGUCUUCCCGGUCUACACCACGAUGCCGAUCUCGACUGGCGCAGUAAUCACCAGCAGCGAGAACGGCGUGGUUACGACCCCGGUCGACUCCAUGUCGAAAGAUCCUCCCGCAGGAGCGGAGAACGGAACAUCGACAACAUCUGCGCCCGAGAAGGGUCCUAACGCGGCCAGUUCUUUUCGUUCUGACAAGAAGCACGAGCCGACAAGGACAACUUCCGAGGCGACGAGGAUCUGGUGUCCCAUCCACAAGACCAAAAGGCACACUUUGGAAGCUUGCUCGGUUUUUCUCGACGUACAAGCUGAAAUCCGUGCCUGCAAAGAGCAUGGAAUCCAACGCACUUCUCCAACUCGUGAUGUCUAUUGUCCCAUUCACAAGGCAAAGACUCAUGACCUCUCAAGCUGCAAGGUCAUUCUCAGCGCCAUGAGGACGUCACCUCCUAAGGUCCAACAGUCACAAAUCUCUCCUAGAGAUGCGGACAAGGAACGAGGAGCAACGAAUAUUUAAGAUCGAUUCGUCAGGGUAAUCGAUAUUGAUCCCCACGAGCCAUCUGUCCUACAUCUGCUCGAAGACCAGGCCUCAUCAUCAACAAGUACACCACGCAACAUGUACGCCAUCGGUGGGACCAGCACGUCUGGAGGCGGCAACACGGAAGCGGAGGAUCAAUUGGCUACGCCAGCCCAACAUAUCAGAACCAUCAACGCAAUACUGAGGGAAACCUCUAAUGAUCCCGUCCUGAAUGCUGAUCUCGAUCAGUGGACGGAACGACUACGGGAAUCAGUGGCCAGCCUCAGUAACGCGUUCGAGGAGGCCGCUGCCAGGGCACCACCAGAACAACCGCCGACCGGCGGCGCUAAUGGGGAACAGCCUGAACAGCGGACGCCACCUCGUCAAGCCACCCUUCCGCCUUGCGGCACCAGUGAUCUGCGCGACCAUCUGAAUGGUCGCCGAGAAGCGCGACGCACGUGAGACAACGAAAAUCAUUCCCCACAUCGCGUCUCUUUGCGACAUCACGAGAACGAAGAACAAGGAGGACAUCCGAGCGAGAACCGAGACCGUGAUGAUCACCACAACCACCGAGAACAUGCUAAUCGCGAACUGUGGCUGCCGGGUGAUACAAGUUGAGGUCGACGCCGCAAUGACGACGACGAUGGAGGUCGACACUGGGAAAACAACGAUGGAUGACGACGAGGCUCACGAGAACCCGAGCGUCGUCCUCGGAACCCUGCCCCAAAACCGAGUGAUUCGUCAUCGUCCUCGUCAUCUUCAUCAUCUUCCUCAUCGGACAGACAUCCACGACGAGCACAUGAUCGCCGACAACCCACCGCUCCUGGCGGCGGGUGCAGAGCUUUCACUCGUUCCCUACAAGAGGUUCGAUGGCCUGAGAAAUUUCGACCAGGAGCAAUAGAGAAAUACGAUGGAAGCACCGACCCUGAGGAGUUCCUUCAGGUCUAUUCCAUUGUACUCUACACUGCCGGAGCAGACGACAGCGCACUGGCAAAUUAUUUGCCGGCGGCGUUGAAGGGAUCUGUGUCACGACCGGAAUUAACCCAACGGGCGUUCCUUACGUGCGUGUAUUAUUCCUUGUCCCAGGAGGCAAGGUACACCAAAAGUUGAUACAUUUCAGAGUUUAUCAAGCGGAAGCGUAAAUAGUUAAUUUAUUACAUGGGCGGCGAAGGCCCAGCACACACAAAGACAAACGGGAAACAGGGGAAGACUAGGGCGACGACCACAGGCGCUUGACGGCAGGCACGAGCUAGACACCAAAGCCUUCAUCUUCCAGGAACUCCACUUCUGGGUUUGGGAAAAAUUGAGCAAGACUGAGUACAACCACCGUACUCAACAAGACACACCCACAAGUGCAGAAUAAAUGCAAGGGAGUACAAGGGGGUUAUAAUAUAAGGGGUUAGGGUUUGCAGUAAACAGGAUUUAAAAGACACUUAGUUGCCCAAAGAUAUUUUAUAAAGACGAUCCUAGAGCUAUACAAGAUUAUUAAUCAAGGCCGUGAACCCACACGAACCUGCCUUAACCCAAGGCCUACGAUGAUUCAGACUGAAUUGGCAACCCUACCCUGGGUCCCAGCUCGUCCCAAGCCAACCCAGGCCAACCAUUCCACAUUUUAGUUGUUAAGCAGGUUUUAAGAAUUAAAACACUAACUUGGGUACAUUACUUGGCUUGCCCAUAACCGAGGGCGCGGCUAUUCGAAUAGAUUAUACUCUGAUCAGAGGUGUACAUCUUUACCCACAAGACACAUCUUCCUCACGUGUAACCACGUGCCACAUACCACCACGGUAUACGGAUGGAAGACGUGACAUAGUUUCCAACCCAUCCUAGCCAUAGACAAGAGUACCGACCCAACCCCACCUACGGCCGGAACCUCCGGGACAGGUAGGCAGGACUGAGCCCCUAGCAGCAGGACACCGGCCCUGUGCCAUGACAUCUCGACUACCGGGCCGCAGCUCAUGUAGCCUUCAUUUGCCCUAGAGAUGUCCAUCGACCCCUGACUUCGUCCAUCUCCAUCCGUGUACUUUUGUUUAUAACCAGACUGAGCCACAAACUAAGCCUUACCCACUAGACAUGUGGAAGUACGGUAGUGCUUUGCAACAGAGGCCCGAAGACCGGUCCUUAUAUGGCCGAGGUGCUACUAUCAAAACCAUGCACCCCGAGCCCAACCUAAAACCAUUUUGAGUGUUUUGAAUAGAGGGGGAGGUGUGAAUCCAAUUCCACAAUAAUCCAACCAUUCCAUAGUGUCCAGGUGGUGAGAAUAUUCCCAAAGUCUAGAGUUAUAAAACCACCUAAUGUUGCGUAAUUAAUCAGCGAAGCAUCUACCUAAAAUCAUACUAGUGGUACCAUGAGUAGAGUGUCCACUAGUUGGGGUUUUGUUUAUUCUAGGGUGAACAAGGAAAUAAUAACAAUAACAAUAAUAAGGUCAUAACAAAGGUAAAUAGGCAUGGCUAGAUAAAACAGUGAUAACGCGGGAAUUUAAAUAAAGCGGUAAUGCAAUAAUUUAAAUCAAAAUAAUUUUAUAAACUGGGAUUCAAUAUGUUCAAGGAUGAUGUGACUUGCCUUGCUCGCUUUCCCAAACGUCGGCUUCAACCUCCACGAAGAGCGGAUCUUCCGAAGCUGCAUCGUCUACACGACCAACGGAAAAGAAAAGGCUUUUACUCUAAUAAACUCCAUAUAACAAGCAGGAACAAAGCACAAAAAUGGGUUCUUGACUUCUUAAGGAAAAAUUAGAGACUUGAACGGUCCAAUUCCGAGUUCAAAUGGCCAAGUUAUGGUCAUUUGAAGUUUAUAUGCUCUUUAAAUGAAUAUUUGCGAAUUUCUUCACUUAAAUUUUAAUUUUAAAAGGGUUUAUUGCGUCAGCCGAGGGGAGGGGGCGCGCGGACCGGGUCCACGGGAGUGGGGCCCACGCGGCAGCCUCAUGGUCCACGGUGGACCGGGUGCACCCGGGCUCACACCGGCCGGCGCCGUGGGUCCCACGCGUCAGCCGCACCCGAGGGAGCGGGCGGCUGACGGCCGGGCCCCACGCGGCAACCACUCGGCGCGCCCGAGGGCAGCCAAGCCGGCGCAGCCGGCGGGAGGCGGUGCCCGCGCCCCUAUGGUCGGCGGCGGCGGCCAUAGGCACGGCGGAGCGGCGGCCGAGAGAGGGGAAGGGAAGGGGGAAAAGAGGCGGCGGUCCACGGCUCACCCUAGGUCGACGGCGACGACGAAAAAGGCGGCCGGAGCGGAGGAAGGCGGCGCCGCGGCUCGGGUCGACGGGGUCGACGGCGUUCCGGCGGUCGGCGAGCGAAACGGAGGGGUGGACGAGGUCGGCGAGGAUGCGGCGAAGCCGAAGGAGGCGGCGCCGAGGUGGGAGGUGGUCCGGGGCGACGACGGCGGCGGACCGGAGCUCGGCGGCGACGGCGGAGAGAGAGAGCGAUGGCGCGAGCUCGAUUCCGGCGAGGAGGAAGGGCGGCGAGAGGCGGAAACGGACGGAGGAGGUGCGGGGAGGGUUUAAAUAGAGUCGGGGCUAGAGAGGGCGGCCGGGGAAGGAUGGAAACCGGCGCGGGAGGUCGGCCGCCAUCAAUGGCGCCGGCGAGAUUUGCGGGGGCAAGUCCGCCCGUUUGAACGCGAGAGAGAGAGGGAAAAAUGGGGGGAAAGGGAGAGGGAAUCACGGGGAAUAAUUCCCCCCUAUUGAUUGCACGCGGGGACGACGGGAUGCGGCGGAUUCGGCGGCGGCGGCGGCGCUAGGGCGCGGGCGAGGCGGCGGGAGCGGCGGGAGGAUGGGGAUGACUGGUGGGCCCCACCCGUCAGCAAGGGUGGCGGGCGGGCCCGCCCGUCAGCGGCGCGCGCGCGGGGAGAGGCCGAGUGGGCCGCGGGGAGAGGAGAGAGGGGGAGGGAGAUGGGCCGAGCCGGCCCAAGAGGGGGAGGGAGGGAAAGGGGACCUUUAGGGUUUUUUUCUUUUUAUAAAACCAUUUUAACUUUGUUUAUUUCUUAAUAAUUAUUAUUUGUGCUCUGAAAAUUCCACUAAAAUUUAUUUACGCAUUUUAGGCUUUUAGGAAAUAUACAAAAUUCCUCCAAGCCUUAUUUGACUUUUAACUUUGCACAUUUUAAUUUUUGGAGGCUUUCACACAGAUUUUAAUUAUUCUAGGUAUAAUUUAGAGGAUGCAUUUUAGAGUCGUUUUGGGACGUGACAAUCUGCACGUUCACGGCUGGUUCACCUCCCGCCCUACUCGAUCUCAUCAUGGGCAGAUCUGUGGCAACAGUUUAUCACCAACUUCCAAGGUACAUACAAGCGCCACGCAAUCGAGGACGACCUACACGCGUUGACACAGAACCCGGGCGAAUCAUUGAGGGACUAUAUUCGGCGCUUUAGUGAGUGCAGAAAUACGAUCCCCGAGAUCAGCGAUGCUUCCGUGAUCCACGCUUUCAAGUUUGGUGUCCGAGAUCGCUACACUACCCAGGAGUUGGCGACAAGACGGAUCACAACUGCUCGUAAGCUAUUCGAGAUUGUCGAUCGAUGCGCUCACGUGGACGACACCCUGAGACGCAAGAACGACAAGCCGAAGACAGCAGGAGAGAAGAAACCAGCCAAGGAUGCACCUGAGUCAAGCAAGAAGAAGAGUAGCAGGAGUGGGUGUUAACGACCAAAUUUGGUAAUCCAAGGAUCGGAUGUGGAGGAGGAAUUGAGACGGAGUUCGAGAUAGAGAUUGUCCCGGAAACAGAGUGUGCAGAGUUCGAGUCGGACAGGGUUAGCCGAUUGAGCCGAAUCCAACAAUAUGACACGACACGUGUUGUCGGGUUAGGUUAACGUGCUUCAUGAUGGUUGCCACGCAUGGAUAGAGUCCUGAGAAGGCAAUUGUAUCUAUUAAUUAGGAUAUUUCAUGUAAUUUACUUAGAGAUAUGUUUGGGCAAAAGUCUGCCGCAAAGACUUAUGGUAUCUUAGAGUUUGUUAGAGAUAAGAGUCGUGUCCGAUAAGGACAUAUCUUGUAAUUCUCGGGUAUAAAUAGACCCGAGGCCCAUGUAAUCAAACUAACACACGUUCAAUACAAUCUCGGCGCAUCGCCACCCUUUUUUGCUUUCAUUUUGUUUCGACGAGUUAUUGCUUUCGGGUUGAGCUGCAUCGGUUUCGAUCUUCAACGAGAGGUAAAACUUGUUAUGGCGGCUUGCGUUCUUGGGAUUAGUGUUUCCAUCUUCAUGAUACUCUAAUCUUGUUUAUGUAAUUCGUCGAGUUAUCAUAUAUCUUACAUAAUCUCUAGCUAUAUCGUUAUCUAACCUACAAUCGGCUAACAUCUGUCAGUAGAAAGCAGCCGAUUAGGUUAAAUAUCGAUGUUGGUUUAGAUUAUAUAAGGUAUCCACCACUCUAUGACACAUCCAACGGCUUGAUUGUCUAGAUAUUGUCCUUCUUUUCAUACUUAUAGCUACAUCAGUUGAGUUUGAUCUUAGGAGUCAUGAUUAGAAUCUCAAUCUAUAGCCUAUCUUUGGUUGCCGAUUAUGGUAGUAUUGAUGUUUCAGCCGAUCUUACAUUUAUUUUAUAUGCUUGAUUGACAUGUUAAAUAUGCCCUUUAUGCUAGGAUCUUGUUGCAUUUAAGUAUAUUAGGCUCUCCGUUUGGUAUAUUUUAUUUGCUGUGAUAUCUUAAUAUAGAGUGGUAUCGGAGUAUUAGCUGAUACAUGCUAGAUCUAUCUGAUCGGCUAUGCUAUGAACACAUAUAGUCUCGUUAUUAAUAUAUAUUUCGAUCUAAGUGAUUUAUAUUGUCUCGGCACGGCGACCGAUCUAUCCCAAUCACUUGAUUUAAGUAUAUAUCGAUAUAAAGACUAUAUACCGUUAAUAUCUACAACCGAUCGAGUAGAUUUAGUUCUUUCUUACUUAUUAAUGAAUGCCGAUCGAUGCACUAUAUGACAUCGGCUUAAAGAUGAAUGAUAUGUCAUCGGCACCUAGCUGAUCGGCUAUCGUUUAUGGAUUUAACCGCGGUUUCUUUGUCUUUAUUUAUUGUUGAUUGCAGGAUCAAAUCAGCUGGCACGCUCAUACAUCUAAAGGCAAGUUUUGGACCUACACUGGAGUUAAGCAGAUCUCCUAGGCCUUGUGUUUUUACAUCAAUAGUGGGAAAAGGAAGGCUCAAACAGAAGUCUUCGCAGCAGAGUAUGCGAACCCACCCAAGCACCCAGACCCACAAGGCGACGACACGAAGAAAAUAUGGUGCCCUAUACACAAGUCGGAUAAGCACUCUCUUGAGACUUGUUUCGUCUUCAAAAAGGCACUCACAAAGCAACUAGCGUUGGAGAAGGGCAAGCGAGUAAGUGUAGUCGAGAAGGCCGCAGAAGCAGCUACUCAGGACUCAGACUCAGCCUACCCAGACUCCGACCUCCAUGUUUCGCACAUCUUCGGAGGUUCCACGAUGUACUCCUCAAAGCGAGAGUACAAAAAGGUGGAGCGCGAAGUUUGUUCAACAUGGCAGGGGGCUACAUCCAAGAUGAAGUAGUUAGAGCAGAAGAUCGAAUUCUCAGAGGCAGACCACCCCAAGACUGCUGUUACUCCAGGGUGAUAUCCGAUCGUGGUCGAGCCCACUAUUCGGAACAUCAAGGUCGCACAGGUCCUCAUCGAUGGCGGCAGCUCCAUUAACCUACUCUUCGCCAGCACCUUGGACGCGAUGGGGAUCCCACGAAGCGAUUUGACGCCUACUGAUCAACCCUUCCACGGAAUUACUCCUCAGUCAUCGUCCAAGCCAUUGGGCAAGAUUAUGCUACCUGUGACUUUCGGCCAAGCAAACAACUUCCGAACAGAGCAGAUCACCUUUGAUGUCACUGAGUUUGACACAACGCAUAUAAUUCCAUCAUCGGGAGGACUGCACUCGCGAAGUUCAUGGCCGCAUCUCACUACGCAUAUCAAGUGCUCAAGAUGCCUGGGCCAAAGGGAACAAUCACUAUUAAGGGAAACGCGAAGCUAGCGGUACAGUGCAACAAGCGGAGCCUCGACAUGGUUGAGCAUACUCCCAACCCGCCUGCCACAGCUGAGCCGUCCAAGAAAGUGAGCAAAACCAACAAGACACUGAAGCCAGAUGGCGCAAUCAAGAUUGUUCUGCUCUCCAGUGCCAACCCCGACAAGACUGUCAAGAUCGGGGCGUCACUAGAUGAGAAAUAGGAAUUCGCGCUCAUCACCUUCCUUCGCGACAAUGUAGACGUGUUUGUUUGGUAGCCGUCCGACAUGCCGGGGGUCCCUAGGGAGGUGAUUGAGCACAAACUCAUGGUGCGACUCGAUGCCAAGCCAGUAAAGCAAAAACUGCGGAGAUUCGCACCAGAUCGGAAACAAGCCAUACGAGAAGAGCUCGACAAGCUUCUCAAAGCUGGUUUCAUCCUAGAAGUUCUCCACCUAGAGUGGCUAGCCAAUCCAGUCAUGGUGCGCAAGGCCAACGGGAAGUGGAGGAUGUGUGUCGAUUUAACCGAUCUUAACAAGGCAUGUCCGAAGGAUCACUUCCCUCUUGUCACACCCUGAUUUUCGUCUUAGGAUUUAUAAAUUAUUUAAUAAAUUAUUAAUGGAAUUUAUAUUAAAUGUUCUUUAAUUUACAAGUAAAGUUAAAUGUGGGAAAUAAAAUUUUCUAAAUAUAAAGCAUGGAUGGAUUUAAUUUUUAUUAAAUUCUCCAUGGUUAAUUAUACUCUCUGGAAUUUUCUCGGAUUUUUCGGAGCUCAAUUAUUAAUUUUAAUCAUACAAAGAGAAGUUCAGCAAUUAUUUAAAUAUUAAAUUAAUCAUCAAAUGAUCUAAUUAUAAUUGUUAAGUGAUUUUCUUGUUUAAAAAUCCUUAAAUUAUAAAUUGUUGUUUAAAAGGAAUUAUUAGAAAUGAUUUUAAAAGCUUAAAAGAGAAGAUCUAAUUUUAAUUUGCUAAAUCUCAAUAUAAAAUUGGGUUAGAUAAAAUUUUAUUAAAUACUAUGCUUGCUCCUCUAUUUUCUAGAUUUUUCUGGGAAUUAUUUGAGCAAUGGAAGUAUUUUUAAUAAAUGAAACAUCAUUUCACAAUUUAUUUUUAUUGAAAAAGUUCAAAAAGCCCUUCCUUAGUUGUUGGGCCGAAUUCGGCCCAACUCUCUUUCUCUCUCCGCGCGGCCGAACAGGCCCAUUUGGCCCAGCCGAGCCGGCCGCCCUCCUCUCUCUCGUGUCACCGACAUGUGGGGCCCACAUGUCGGUAGCAUCUUCUACCUCCAGCCGCCGGCACAGGCCGAGCCCAAGCCGUCGCCCGAGCCGCUUUCUUCUCCUCUCAAAUCCGCUCCAAUCCGGCCUCUUUUCUUCCGGAUUUUUGAGGGGUUUUGAUCCUCUCGUUCUCCUCUAUCUCUUCCCCCAAGUUUUGGAGCAAAUCGUUGUGUAUCUUGUUCGAAUCAAACUCGUUUUCGAGUUUAUCUCCAAAACCGAGUUUUGAUUUUCUCGGAUCGAUUCCUCUUGUUUGGAGCCCGAUCUCUUCAAUCCAAGGCUAUAUAAAGCAUCCCCUCGUCGCCCUCUUUCGUUUGCCCCCUCUCUCGUCCUCUCCCGUGCACCGUAGCGCCGCCGCCGCGUGCACUUAGCCGCCGCCGUCGCCGGCCGGUCUUCGGUCGCGUCGCGUCGUCGCCUCCGCCGUCGCCGCCGCUUGCUGUCGCCGCCGUUAGGUACGCCGUGGUGAGGAGAACCCCGGCCGCCACCUCUCCUUCGCCGCCGGCCGCCGCAGCUCGCCGUCGCCGUUCAACCGAGCCGCCGCCGUCGCCCUUCUCGUCGCCGGCCGUCGUCGUUCGUCGUUUGUCGUCGUGGUGAGUACCGUCGGGUUCGUCUCGUCGUCCUCUUCGCGUAGGUGCUCUCCAAUCGCCCGGCCAAGGUCCCUAGCUCCGGCGAGGUUGCCGCCCGAGUCGGCCGGCCAUGGAUGACGUCAUGCUGACAUCAUCGAUCUCCUCUUUUUCCUUUUUUUUUAAUAGAUUAAAUCUUCGGAAAAUCAUAUCUAAAUAACCGUAGAUCCGUUUCAGGUGGUUCAAGUUGCUAAAUUUUUCUAAAAUAAAGAUCUACAUAUUAAAAUUGUCCAUAAAUUGAAUUAAAUUUAUUUAAUUCUUUUUAAAUGGGCUUUAAUUAGAUUUAAUCUUGUAAAAUUCAUAAUAAAUUCUUUUGAAGUCAGAAUGAGGCCGUUCAAGUCUCAUAAUUCAUCUAAAAUUAUGAUCUACAUGUUUGUUUACUUUAUAUGUAUUGUUUAUUUGGUUUUUAUUAGUCUUUUUCUUCGUUUUGCGUGUUAGCUUGUCGUUUCCGUCGUUGCGAAGGUUCGUGAGUGCGUCGGAAGUGAUCAAGAAGAUUAAUUGAAGACCGAUUAUUGCAAGGCAAGUCACACAGAUCCUAAACACAAUCCUUUGAGCAUGUUGAUCCUAUAUUUAAAUUCUCUAUUUAUUUCAACUGUGCAUUUAUUUUUGAAUGUCACCGGGUGGUGUGAACCUAUUCCUUUGUUAUGGCCAAUUUGCAUUGAAUGCCCUAUUCCUUGAUACCUUGGGUAAUAAAUUGAGUAGCUUGAACCUUAUGUAUUGGUUUGGUUCAGCUAAAUGUUAUAUAUAUAAUUGCUUAGCAAUGCUUAGAAACAUUAGCUCACUAAUGGGAUGAGUCAUAUAUACUACAUUAUUAUUUAUGGUUACAUUAAAUGGUAGCUCACGAUGGUUAAUCGUGUGAUGAUAAUUAAUUGAUAAUUAAAACCUGGUUAAGGUGGGUUGUGAGCAUGUGGUUUUGACGGUUGUGCUCAUGACAAUUAAGGACCGGUUCGCGAGCUACUGUUGUGAAACAUUAACCGUACCAACCACAAGCCAGCAUGGGCAACGGCUUUACCUUUUGUAUAGCAUGAUUCAUUGCGGGGUGCCAGACUGAGAAGCGGCGAGAAGUCCGUGGGGGUCGCUGGGGAGUCCAUGCCUCUGGUUGUAGAGGGGGUGAUUAUGAUCCAGGAAUGGUGCACUGUGGUGAGUUGUGUUAUGCAGAGGGUAUUGUCACAGCCUCUAUUCGGGUACUUUCCAGUAUCGCGACGCAUGGUAGACAUGAUGCUGAGGCUGUGUCUUGUGGGUACAGUGGUACACCUCUGGCCAGAGUAAAACUAUUCGAAUAGCCGUGCCCGCGGUUAUGGGCGAGUUGAGCAAUGUUUUUCGUGAUUAGUCUCACACCUCUCACAAUAAUUAUGGAUGUUAUAACUGGUAAUAAUUUGCUUAGCUCCUGGUUUGGAGUUAGAUCUGUACAGCCGGGUACGGUUGUUCAGGAUGGUUGGGCCUGUGCAGCAUGGGUGUGCUGUUCAGUGUUGAUUAAAAUUUCUGAUUAAUUACUCCACUGUUUUACUUCUCUUAAAUCUUUGCUAAAUGCUGCUUUUGCAAAUGAGCCGAUAUUAUGCCAUCCUUUGGUAUCCUUGUGCACUUGCAUAUUUGCUGUGUGGCUUGCUGAGUAUGUCAUAUGCUCACCUUGCAAUAAUCAAUCAACCUCAGUUGAAGAAAAAGGAUCCAGAAGGAGAAGACGUUUGGCUUAUACCCCAGUUGAGCUGCCUGUGGGAGUGGAGCCGGAGCUUCGCUAGAUUUUAUUUUCCGCUGCAGUUUUCUUCUUGAUGAGGACUAAGUGCCUCAUAAGUAAGUAUUUAUCGUUUUAGUUAAUUUGAUGAAUCUGUAUAUUAAAUUGUCAGUUUGUGUACCUCGGUUGAUUCCUGGACGAGGAUUUUAUGCACAAAUUAGUUCGGAAAUUACUAGUGAAUUUCCGGGCGUGACAAGUUGGUAUCAGAGCCAUCUCGACUGUAGGAUAAGCCAAGUGGUCAAACCUUAAGGACUAAUUUUCCGAAAACAUAAUUUGUGAAAAAUUUUCCUUUCUUCCUUAUCUAGAAUUCUUUGCAAAUUGUUUCAUUGUCUACUCUCCUCUCUCGUUCAACUUGAGUAGUUCUGAAACUAGUGGUUGAAACCUGAAGACGCC
rnacentral:lncRNA from 1 species